GCUGCCGGCGUUCUCCCUCUUCAUGUAAACCUUAUAAAAUAAGAGAGAAAAAGGCAUAAGUAUUGUACCGUAAAGUAUAAUAACAGCCCAUAAAGCAAUAAAUAUCAACAUAAAAGCAUGAUGCAAAAUUGACGUAUCAGGUACCAGAGCUCAAAGUGAAAAUCUUAGAGAUAUUUUUAAGGUGGCAGGCUUUUCCUAUCAACGAGAAAGACUAAGAGUUUUCAAUCUCCUCCGUGCUAAACAAAUUAUAGGAGGUUCCCAAACUGGAAAUAAAGUUAUUCCUUUUUCCACCAUUCUUUCACAUUCCACGGCUACCGUCCAUACCAACACUUCCCAAGGAAUUUAUUAUCUGAGAGCCUAAAAUUAUAUUUUUCUUUUUGGGAUUGGGCAUAUCUAUUACUGCCAUACUCUCGUGCAAUAUAAGUGAAUAAACACUCAUCUUGAGAAUAACCUGUUUAACAUGGAAGAUACUGGCCACCCCUCGCUUCUUCAUGAGUGGUACGGGCACACAAAACAGAAAUUUAUUUUGAAAAAUAGAGUUAGCACUUGCAAAUUUACUUGGAACGGUGUUGAAAUACCACACAUAGGUAGGCAUGGUGGACUCAUUUGACACAACUUUGGGUUUAGGAUUUGGAUGCACAAGAAGUAUUCCCGCUUAGUACAAGUGAAGGCUAGCAAAUAGAUUGAGAAGCUCCCAACCGAGGAACAAAAAUCAUCAUAAGUGAACAUUAAACACAACUAACACCGAAUAAUGCAACACAAGUAGGAUGUAAUUUCAUAACAUAGUUAUUGACUUCAUGUGCAUGCAUAGUGAAUGACAAACCUUAACACCAAUAUUCUUACUAGAGCAUAAUUACUCAUUAACAUAACUCACAUAUUACUAUCUUCAUAUCGAAUAACUAUUGCAAAGACUCAAGCUUAAUAUCCAAUGAUCUUCAUGAAAGUUUUUAUUAUAUCUUUCCUGGACAUUCAUCACUUUGGGACUACUUUUCAUUUAAAGCAAAUUGCCAAUGCAAAUAACGAGCUCUCAAACAAGUAUAAGUGAAGCAGGAGAACACAAGUUUCUUUAAAAAUUUCAACUCUCAAAAUUAUAUAAGUGAAGCAAUAGAGGAUUUCUUAAAAAUUUCAGCAACUCUCAAAAUAAUCUAAGUGAAGCAUUAGAGAAAAUUUCUUCAAAAUAAGAGCACCACCAUGCUCAAAAAGAUAUAAGUGAAGUACUUGAGCAAUUCCAUGCCUCAAAAAAUUAGUGAAGCAUAAAGAGUGAUUCGAACAAAUCAUAGCGUAAUUUGGCUCUCUAAAUUAGGUGUGUCCACCAAGGUUUAUUUUGACAAACUAACCAAAAAAUAAAGCAAAGACACAAAUGAUACAAGACGCUCCAAGUAAACUCAUGAUAUGUGACAAAUAAAAAUAUAGCUCCAAGUAAAAUUACCGAUGGUUUUUAGAAGAAAGAGGGGAUGCCUUCCGGGGCAUCCCCAAGCUUAGCUGAAUGAACUCCAUAGAUAUUGCCUUGGGAUGCCAUGGGGAAUCCCCAAUCUUAGGAUUUUAUCACUCCUUACUCCUUCAUCCAUCGUGAUUCCACUCAAAACUUGAAAACUUGAAUCACACAAAACUCAACAAAAGUUUCAGGAGAUCCAUUAGUAUAAGAAAACCAAACUUAACUAUAGGUAUUGUUGAAAACCCAUUCAAUUUUUUUUGCAUUAUACCUACUGUAUUUAACUUUACCAUGGCUUAUGCCCCUCUAUAUAAACCAUAGAAUCAUUAAAAUAAGCACAUAAUGCAAAUAGAACAGAAUCUGUUAAAAACAGAACAGCUUGUAAAGAUUCAAAAUUUACUUAUACUUAUGUAGAUCUAAAAAUUCUGAAAACUUAGGACAAUGUAGGGAAUUUGUAUAUAAAUCUGGUGUAAAAACUUUAGGCACUUUUUACGUUUUUGUGAUUUUUAGGAUGUUUUGUGCUAGACGCAAAUGUUUCUGUUUUUCAACAGGAUUAAAGCAACUAGCACCCUACAUGAUCCCAAAGGAUUUACUUGGCACAAGCACUAAAUAAAACACAAAAACACAAUUAUAAUAGUAGCAUAAUUGUGCAACACUCAAGAACAGAAAGCAAAAGUGAAAAUAAAUUUUAUUAAUUGGGUUGCCUCCGAACAAGCUCUUUCUUUAUAGCCAUUAAGAUAGUCUUGAGAUUUUAUUGAUGCUCACAUGAAAAAUAGUUGAAACACAAAGAGAGCAUCAUGUAGCAUAAGACAAACACAUUUAAGUCUAACAUACUUCCUAUGCAUAGGCAUCUCAUAAGCAAACAAAUUAUCAAGACAAGAAAUAUCUAACAUAUGCAUGGAAGAAGAAAGAAACAAUAGCAAUCUCAACAUGAAGAGUGAUAAUUUAGUAACAUGAAUAUUUCUAUAACCAUAUUUCCCUCUCUCAUAAUAAUUACAUGUAGGCUCAUAUUCAAAUUCAACUAAAAUAUUCUCUUCAUCAUCCACAACACCAUGUAAGAAGCACCUACACACAAAUGGAAAAUCCUCGCAACCCAACGCGUGGACGGGUUGUCAAUCCCUCAUGGGUAAAGUAAGGAUAUAUUGAUAGAUGCAAAUAAGAGUGAUGAAAAUAGAACACAUCAAUGUAUUUUUGUGUUUUUUGAUAAUAUAGAUCUAAAAAUAAAAGAUCAAAUAAAGUAGAAAUGCAAAUAGUAAAGUAGAGAUUGCAAAUAGAUGAUGUGAAGUAGACCCCGGGGCGUAGGUUUCACUAGUGGCUUCUCUCGAGAAAUAGAAAAUGGUGGGUAGACAAAUUACUAUUGCCCAAAUGAUAGAAGAGCAAAUAAUUAUGACAAUAUUCAAGGCAAUGAUCAUGUAUCUAAGAAUUACGUCCAAGAUAAGUAGAUCGACUUUUGCCUGCAUCUACUUCUAUUACUCCACACAUCGACCGAUAUCUAGCAUGCAUCUACGGUAUUGAGUUCAUGGAGAAAUGGAGCAAUGCCUUAAGAACGAUGACAUGAUGUAGACAUGAUCUAUUCAUGUAGGAAUAGACCCUAUUGUUUUAUCUUUGAUAGCAACGACACAUGUGUGUCAUGUCUCUUUGUGUCACUCAAAUUGAGCACCGCAAGAUCAAACCCAUUACAAAGCACCUCUUCCCAUUGCAAGAUAAAAUAUCAAGUUGGGCAGACAAAAACCAAAUAUCAGAGAAGAAAUACGAGGCUAUAAAAAUCAAGCAUGAAUAUGUUUUCAGGGAUCUUAUCAUAAACUCACAAUUCAUCGGAUCCCAACAAACACACCACAAAAAAGGAGUUACAUCAUAUGGAUCUCCAAGAGACCAUUGUAUUGAGAAACAAACCGAGAGAUAAAGCAAGCUGGCUACUGCCUACAGACACGUAUGUCUGAUAUGAACUACUCACGCAUCCUCGAAGGAGCACCAAUGAGGAUGGUGAACCCCUCUGUGAUCGUCUUCCUCUCCGGAAUGGGGUUUAGAUUGGAUUUCUUGGCUCUAGAUCUUGCGGCGGCUGAAAUGAUUUUUUGUCGAUUCCUCUAGGGUUUUCUAAAUAUUGGGGUAUUUAUAGAACUCAGAGGCGGUGGAGGAGGUGUCCGAGGGCCCCACUAGACACCAGGUCGCGCCAAGGGCCUCUAGCGCGCCUUGCUGUCUAGUGGACCCCCUGGGCCUCGUCUGCUGCUCAUUCUUGGUUCCAAGUUUCCUUCUGGUCCAAAAAAAAUCUCCGUGAACUUCCGUGGCAAUUGGACCUCAUCUGAUAUGGAUUUUAUGCGAAGGGAAAAAUAGCAAAAAAGAGCAACUGACACUAGGCACUAUGUCAAUAGGUUAGUCCCAAAAAAUGAUAUAAAGUUGCUAUAAAAUGAUCAUAAAACAUACAAGAAUGACAAUAUAACAGCAUGGAACAAUCAAAAAUUAUAGAUAAGUUGGAGACAUAUCACAGCCUUGUCUAUGAGCCGGCCCUCGAGGCCUCUCCAUGAGUCGCCUUCAGUCAGGGUCCACACUGGGCCUUGUCGUCCAGGUCGACCCGAUAAACAAGGUGACCUUACGAGCCGCCAAAUGAUGGGCUGGGUCAAACCUCCUAGUCGGGUCAGACCAUGGGGAAUAUCCCCAACAUUAGCUCCAAUGCUAGCUUGAAUUUAUUCAUGGUAAGCUCCUGAAAUAAUAAUGAUAAUAAUAAUAAUAACAAAUAUGCUAAGAAACUAGAUUGGUCCACUGGCUGGCUUAUUUCAAUGAAGUAGCUCCUCAAAAAUUCGGGUUUCUUCUUCAUAAAAAUUAGCCAUCUUCACCAUCAUCUUGCUGGUCUGUGUCCUCUGCAAUAAAAUAUUGGGAAUAAUAAAUCCUCCAUUAUUGAGCGAGUUUUCAAAUGUUUCGGCUUGAUGAAAAUAUUGGAGAUAGGAAAACCAGAUUAUGUUGAGCCGACUUCCAUUGCUUCGGUUUUGAUGAAGAUAUUGGUAGUAGAAGUUUUUCCGUUGUUAAACUGCUUCCUCAGACGCGGGGAUUUCGCCGGGUCAUCAGACGUAGUGGAUGCCAAAUUAGGAUAAAAAUAUUGCUGAUUUAUGGACGUAGAAAUUGCCAAAUUGUGAGGCUGGGUUGGUUAUAUAGACUCUGUCGGGUCCUGAUCAUUCAUGAUGCCAAGUAGACUACAGUUGAAUUUGAUAAAUGUAUCGGGAAUAAAGAAAUCCGUGUGAUGUUGAGCCGACUUUCAAUGUUUCAUCUCAACCAAGAACUGAGAUAUGGAUCACUCAAAGAUGAUCGUUUGAAGAUGUUAUUCCUCUCUCUUUUUUAUGUCCAUAUUACAUGUAGCCCCUAAGCUCCGAGUUUAUCAAUUAAUGAUGACUUGGUGCUCCGCGUAGAAAAAUAUCUUGACUGUGUAGCCCCGAAGUGCCGGAUUGUCUUGCCCAUAGCAUUAUGGGAUUUGCAGUUGUCUUAUACUUAUAAAACUUCAGCUAGUGUAGCCCCCAAGGGUCGGGUUGUUUUGCCUGCAACAAGCUCGGACUUGAACUUAGUUUUGGAUGUUGUAGAUAGCUUGGAGAAAUCCAGCUUGUCCAUCCGAGUCACCAGUUAUAAGCUGAUUUUUUUCAACAUGUGUAGCCUGAUAAACCACAAGUCUAGGGGAUCUAACAGUCUUCACGUGUUGUGUUUCACCGUGAUUUAUUGAUUCAUAACGAGGGGAGCCAAAGAAUAUUUAUUGGUUGUAACUGUUGAUUUGUCACUUCAACCGCACCUGGGAUAUCUCUCUCAAGCGAAGAUUUAGUAUCACAACAAAUGAUAGUAGUAACAGAACAGUGAUAGCAGUAAUUUUGCUAAUAGUAGUAACAUUAGCAAUUGAGUAGAAGGUGCGAGAGCAGCAUAAACAGUAAUAACUCAGCAAGAUUCAAUAUAUGUAAACGCAUAGGCACGUGGAUCGGUGAUGGAUAAUGAUUUAGAUAACAUUGAUCAUAGAACAGUUACACACUAGGGCAACACAUAACUAACUCCAAUUCAUCAAUAUAAUGUAGGCAUGUAUUCCAUAUAUAGUGAUCCGUGCUUACGAUAAGAACUUGCGUGACAUAUUUUGUCCUACCCUCCCGUGGCACGAGGGUCCUAUUAGAAACUAAGGGAUAUUCAGGCCUCCUUUUAAUAGAGAACCGGAAAAAAUCACUACCACAUGGUGUAUACAUGAACUCCCCAAACCAUGGCAAUCACCGGAAAGAAUCCCAAUUAUUGUCACCACGGGGUAUGCAUAUCAGAAAUGAAAGAAAUAAGAAAAAAAAACCUAUCUAACGCUUAACUGAGGCCCACCCCACCUUUUCCCUGUCGUCUACCUCGUGCCAGCGAGCAGCACGAGGUGGCCGCUGCUCGCUCCGGCGCAGCCACGCAACUGCGUGCUUGCCUGGACCUCCCCAUCGUGCUCGCAAGGAGGAUAAGCCUCCCCACGAUCCAUUCCCACCUCUUCCCCCUCCUCAUUCACGCUCUCUCCUCUCUUUCCUCCUCGGCCGCCAUGACCGUGAGCUCGAGCUCGAGCUAGCCAUUGCUCCGGCCGUCCUUCCCCGCCCCUGAGCACGUCGUUCGCUCCGCCUCAACGAGCUGGUCGCCCUACCAAAGGAGAAGAGGCCCCGAGCUCUACAUCGCCAGAUCCCCAUCGUCUUCUUCCUCGGAUCGCCGACGUUUGCCGCCGUCGCUCUUCCUCCUCAGACCAUCCCCGAGCCUGCUCUCGUUGCCUAUGCACUCCCCGUGAGCUCAGGGUUCUUUUCCCCUCAUUUCCCCCUUCGAUUCUGAGCUCUAGGCCCCGAUUCCACCGGAGCCCGACGAGAUCCGCCGCGGGACCUCGUCGCCGGUAGCCCUCCGGUGAUCGGCUGGUCAAUCUGAGGCCACCAAUGGCUUCAGUGUGUUGUGUAGGUGCUGUAGGAGCCUAGCCCCGCGCGUGUUGAGCCCCGUAGCAGUGCCCCCGAUGAUGCCCGAGCUUCGGUCGCCGCCGAGCUCGUCGCCGGCGUCAUCUCCGGCCAUAUUAGCCUCGGUUCUUUGCAAGAAUGGAACUGCUGCUGAGUGCUGGUUUGUUUGGUGUUCUUUGUCGUGCAAAUGGUCGCUCGAAUGGAAAUCCCGAGCCCCUCCGCCGUCUCUGUGGUCGUCGGAGGCUCAUCGCCGGUGAGAUCCACCUCGCCGCCGGUGGAUCUGACUCCCCGGAGUCACUAACAAGUGGGGCCAGCCCCCAGGCUAAUUAAGAUUAGCAAAAUAAAAAAAGAUUAUUUUAAAACCUAAACAAACACUGACAUGUGGGUCCUACUCUAUUAAUUAACUAAUUAAGUUAAAUCUAAACUAAAAACAGGCCAGAGUCACUGACUAGUGGGUCCCACUGGUCAGGUUUGACUUUCAACGGCCAGAUUGACCUGCUGAUGUCAUGCUGAUGCAAUAAAACCUUUUCUAUUUAAAAAUAAUUCCAGAAUAAGUUCAAAACUUUGGAAAUUCAUAGAAAAUUGAAUAUAACUCCAAAUUUGACAAAUAAUAUAUGUAAAAGGAUCAGAAAAAUUCAAGGAAUCCAAUGGUGCUAUUUUCAUGCAUAAAAACAAAAUUAUGAAACAGCAUCAGGUCAAAUCAAUUAAGAGAAUUUGCUAAAUUAUAAUUCAAAUGAUAUUUGAAUUAUGAUUUCAAAUCAAGAUCACCCAAAAGGUUGUGUUAGUCUUCUCAAACCAUGCUACAUUGCAUUUCAUGCAUCAUUUUGUUGCAUAUGUUUGAUAUUGAUUGAUUGUUGUUAUUCCGGUAGGCUCCGCCCCUGCGGAUACGACUGAUUAUCCGACUGACGGAUAUCACCCCUCUGUUGAGCAACAAGGCAAGCAACCAUUUUGAACAUCCCGAUAAAUCCCAUGUUCUCGUUCCUGCUCUUACUUAUUGCAUUAGGUCAAAAUUCUUUCAAUGCCUUUACCACGUUACUUGAACCCACUUCCUUUGCAUGACAUGUCCUUGUAACAAUAAAUAGCUGAACCUUGCAACCUAGCAUACCUGGUAGAUGCUUGAGCCAUGAUGUGCCUUAUCCUGCUAUGCAUGCUAUGCUUAGAGUUGUGUAUGGUCUGUCAUCUGGGUGAUGAACAGGAUCGUGAGAAUGUGUUCAGUUAGUAAAGGUGGUGUGUUGAACCUGAUUUGGUCAAGGUACCGGUGAAAGGCUAUGUAGGAGGACAUGGCGGGUUGUUUCAUUGGAACCGUCCUUAGGAACUGAGUUCCAUGUAUGUAAUCCAAGACAAUAUACUACCACAUGCGAGGCCCUGAAAUAUGACCCUGCUCGACUUAUUAAACGCCUAGUACUCCGUCCAGGAGUUGCAAGUAGUUUCUGGUGUUUAUAGUCAUGUUGGAGGCCGUGCAUGGUGCUGACCUUAGAGGUGGGCUAUGAUGCGGUAGGCAGUGGCACGGUGUACCAAGUGGCACCCGGAUGGUGGGCUUGGGAACCCUGCGCACAUCGUUUGGGGCCGUGGCAAAAACAUCGGCCGGACUUCCGUGCGGGUUACCAUUAGAUAUGCGAUAGACCUGGACUAAGUAUUAGCGUGGUUAACAGUCGUGGCCGACUCCCUCGCUAGGUUUCCGCUUGAAGGUUGCCGAGGUGCAUGACGUGCACAUGGCGAUAAGUGGCGAGAGCGUGUGUGAAUAAGUACACCCCUGCAGGGAUAUGAUCUAUUGAAAGUGCGUUAUAUCGACUAGAGGGGGUGAAUAGGAGAUUUUUAGAAUUUCAUCACUGAGGAAAUUCCUUUUUAGGAAAUUCCUCACUGAUGACUAACUUACAGCGGAAAUAGUAAAGGAUCUGAAGUGCAAAGUUUCACAACAACAGUUUUUCAGAGUGAAGAAUGUGAAAACAGAUUGCACAGUGAGCAAGCACGCAGAAUACAGAUGUGGAUUAACUGACGUGAAGAAUUUGGGGUUGAGGAAAUUCAGAGAAAGUCUUCAGCAAAUUCUUCAAACAGUUGAAGUGAAAGUCAUCAACACAUAAUACGAGAAAAGUAAGGAAUUGAGGAAUUAGAACCCGUUUCUCAGUGAAGACAAUCGUUGAUGACCCAGUUCCAACUGCUGUGACAGUCGUACAUCUGGUUUGGAGCGGCUUGGUAUUGAAACCAAAGGACACACAGUCCCGGGACACACAGUACCUACCGUAUUCUCCUUGAGCUAAGGACACACAGUCCUCGCCCAACACUCAUGGUAAGUCUUCAAGGCAGACUUCCAAACCCUCACAAAGUUGGUCACCUGGCGAUCCACAAUUGACUGCUGGAAAGCUCUAGACCUUGACGCCUAACCGUCUGGAGUAUGCACAGUCCUCAAAGGUAAAAGGCUUCAGUCCCACACAGGAACAACUUCUUCAGUGAUGCUCAAUCACUAGGUUUGGUUUGUGGUUUCGGUGUAUGGUGUAUUUCCUCACUCAUGAAUUACUCUUGAAGACUCUGAGGAAUUGGGUUGCUCUUAUGACAAGUGUCCGUUUCUAACGGAGCAGCCAACCAGCUAAUGGCUGUGGGGGGUGGCUAUUUAUAGCCUGGGAGCAUCCCGACAUGAUUUGACACUAAUGCCCUUAAUAAUAUGACCGUUGGAGUGGAUAAGACCAAUGACUUGGCGUGGCUAUCGAAACGGUCGGGACCCUCAACUGUGAGAGUCCUCAUGUCACUCGUAUUCCUCACUUGAGGCUUUUGGUAGGAUUUAGGCUUGGGUUGAGCAUCAUGAGGAAAUUCAUUCCAUAGUGUAACUUCGACCCCCUUUAACAGUACGGUGUUCCUAUUACUCAAAUGCGAAGAAAAUAAAACAGAAAGUGUUAAUCUUCAUGCUUCAAAUUCUUCAGAGUGAUUUUCUUUAGGACACACCGGACUUCUCAAUAUCAGUAUCUUCAUGAGGAAUACAAUUUCAUCGCAGAUUCCUCGCAUGGGUGUGUGCUUGACCUCGUGGACGAGGAAGGUUGUUCUCGGAGAUUUUCCUUCAGCCAAAGGUUUCAUGAGGACUUCCAUCAUCCCAUUGGGCAGCUCACGCUCACCAUAAAGCUUCACAGCCUCUUCUGAGGAAAUUGGUACACGCAGUUCUCUGAGGAGUUCAGUAGCAGGAGCCUUAUAGUGAGUGUUUUGUGUCAUCCAAUCAAACACCCAAGUGUUAAUGUCUUCAGGGUUGUCGGAUAUGUGAAGAGUGGCAUAAAACUAAAGAAUUAGCUCGUUGUUCCAGUCAGAGAUGCUGGAGCACAUUGGGAGUAAACCAGCAUCAUGGAGUACAUUGAGGACUGGCUCUAAGCACGGUAUAGCUUCAAGUUCAACAUGAGGAAUAUGCGUGUGCUGGAAUAUCUUGUUUCAUCCACAGAGCACAGAGGCAUAGUAGUUCAUCUGAGUCCUAGUCCAAAACUUCAGAUGCCUCAUUUGAGGCUUGUCAUAUGGGUUUUCUCCAAUGAAGUACAUGCGUUCUUCAAAGAAGUUUUCCUUUUGAAACUUAGGACGCUUGGAGAAUGGCUGACGCUGAACUGGCUUAAGAUUUUGCUGAGGAAUUGGAGGGAAGACAACAAUGGCAGUCUCUGGGUUGAGCACGAUGAAUGCAUUGUCUUGGUCAGGUGCAUUCUCCUCAACAUUUUCCUCAGGGUGAGGAAUUUCAGCGGCUGGUUCUUCAGGCUGAGGGGCUUGCUCUGGCUGUGCAUCAGGCUGAGGAAUAGCUUCUUCUUGCUCAGUUUGAGGAGUUGGGUCAGCAUGUUCCUCAUCUUGAGGAUUCUGCUCAGAGCGUUGAAUUUCAUCAGCUUGAGGAUUUUCAGUUUGUUCUUCCUCAGCUGGCUUGGUGGCAGAUGCAGUUUCAUCAGCUGAUGCUUGAACAGUGUCUUUCUGAGGAAUGAGAGGCUGAGGACUUUCGUCUAUCUGAAUCUCCUCAUCAGUGUGUUCCUCAGAGGCGGCAUCCUUCAUUUCCUCAUCUGCCUUUUUCGCUCGAUCAUCAAUGAUGACCAUUUCAUAGGAAGGACCGACAUUCAGUGGCACAGGGUCCAGAGGAGCAGUUUCUUCAAGUGCUUUGAGGCGCUUGGCCUCUGUUUCUUCUUCUGCUGAGGAGGCCUUUCUCUUCUUGGCUUCCUUCUCAACAGCCCUGGUUUUCUUCACGUCUGAUGCAGACGGAGUCAUCUUCUUCACCGUUGAAGCUUUUGGUGAAGGGGUUUUCUUGACAGAUUCUUCAGUUGGUAUUGAGGAACCAGCUGGAACAGAGUCAUCAGCUUGCUUUGGCGAAGCAACUGGGUCAGGGACAGUCUCAUCAGUUGCAGCAAAUUCAUCAGCAGGAGUUUCCAUGAUGAUUUCUUCAAUAGCCGGUUCAUCCACACGGCUUUCUUGGUGUACUUCCUCAGCUUGAGGAGUUUCCUCAUCAUGAGGAGAUUUAUCUGUUGGCUCCUCAAUCAGGGGCUAAGAAGUUGGUGCUGGGGGUGCGGCCUUCUUAUUGUAUUCAUCAACAGCACUAGUGGCCAGCUUGAUGAAAUUGCUCUUGAGACUUUUGCGAUCUGACAGCUUGGAGUACUUGUCAGUCAAUUUCUUCAGCUCUGCCUGUGUUGACACCAGUGCAUCAGGAGUUAAUUUGAGGAGAUUCUGCUUGAGGAAUUUUUCCUUUUUAAUCUUUGCAACUUUGGCCUGCCUGGCCUGCUGUUCUUUCCACUUGGCUUCAUUGAUGGAAGUGGCCACCAUGUGGCUAAUGCCAGGGGAAGUUUCAAAUCAUCAAGCGCAGUGUUUGGGUCCUCAUACCAGAUGUUGAUGUAGUCAAGGAGGACCUUGGGGUCCAUGGCCAGAGGAAUGGCACAGCCUGAUGCUUGAGCUACUCUUUCCUGCUUGUUUCUGAUGAUGGCUUGCAGGGUUUGAUCAUCAUAUUCAUCACUGCCCUCUGAUGCAGACGGGACGGUGAUGAUUUUGCUAGGGCUUGGCAGAGUUGCACGUUCAGCAGACACCUGAGUUUUCACAGGAGGUGGUGAAGACUUUGUCUCCGAGUUGGUUGCAGCUGGGAGUGAGGAGCUGGAGUUGGCGGUCAUAGGCUUCAUGACUUGCUUCUGUACUGGUUUCUCUUGAGGCUUUGGUGGUGGUGCUGAGGAUUUUGAAGCUUAGGAGAUUGGCACUGAGGGUUUUGGCGCCGAUGGUUUUGGUGUUGAAGGUUUUGGUGCUGAGGGUUCUGUGACUGAAGCCUGAGCAGACUUCUCUUGAGGAUUUGGAGCCCUUGGCUUUGACGGCACAGAGUGUGGUUGAGGAAUUGCUGAACCAGAGGUCUCAGCGACAGAGGAAGUAGCAGCUGCUGAGGAUUCAUUGAAUUUCCUCAUUGCAGCUUCUGCCUGCUUCUUGAGCUUAGCCAGAUGCUUUUCCUUCUCAUCUGGAUAGUCAUGAAUGGUCUUGAGGCUUGAGGGAUGUGCUACUUGAUGAUCCUCAAGUGGGGCCCGUCUGCCAGGGGGCUUUAGAGCGAAUUUCUUCGCAUACUUGGCAGUCACAAACCUGUAUUCCUUCCAUUCCUUUGCCCAUCGGCGUUCUAUCUUCUGCAGCCGUAUUUUUCUCUUGGCCAUUGUCUCAUUUUCAUCAGGCGUGCAAUAGUCCAAGUAAAUAUCGUCAGGGAUAUCCACAGCUGUGUUUUGCUCAAGUUUCUUUCCUCCCUUCUAUUUUCUGUCAUCCUCCACUUUCUUCAGCUGAGGAUUUUGCUGAUGAGAUUGAACUCUUGAGGAUUCUAAUGAGACUUGAAGAUUUUCUUCCAGAAACGCUGCAAAUGAGUUAAUGUGAUGAGAACCGAGAGAUUCAUCAGCUGACAUGUGUGUACCUGUGAACAGAGUAUAGUUGCGAGGAAUUUGGAGAGGUCAUAUGCAUUCUCAGAUUUGAGGAAAAUGAAAAAGUUUGACAGUUUGAGGAAUAUAACCAGUGGUUGAGGAAUUUGCCUAAGCAUACUGUUCUUGGGUUCCAGAGUUGUACAGAUCUGAAAAUUCGCACAAUUGAGGAAUCUCGUGAAAAUCUUAGAUGCUUAGCAUAGUUCAUCAAUGAUGUGGUGAUAGGCAGUGUUUGAGGAAUCAAGUGCUUAUCGUUUCUUGAGGAAAAACAGAUUUCACAUAGAAGAUGUAAAAUUUUAGAUCUAACUUGCUAUAAAAAUGGGAUUUAUUUACCCUGGAAGGUGCGCACGAAGAACACAGAAAGGUGUGUGUGGAGAAGCUCUUCGGUCGCGUGUCCAAUGCACCCUAACCCGGCGACAGAGGACGUCUACUGCGGCGACGGACGAAGAUGGUCCGACUCCGGCGUGGUUCCGGCGACGGAGAAGUCGAGGCAGUGAAGCUCUUCUUCACCGGCGACGAGACUACCAGCGAUGGCGCUAGGGUUCGGCAGUGUAUGAUGUGGCAGGAGAGCGAUGGAGCGAAGAAGAGUAUGCCGAGAGGGAUAAGUACAUAUUUAUAGCCAAAAGUUACUAUUGGCACGAAAAUUUCGGACCAAACCGCCCAUGCCGCUACGUCUCCGCAGGACAUGUGUAGCUCCCGAAUAGUGUGGUGGAGAUAGUGGAGAUCGUGGUUAUCCGAUCGUGGGAAGUGGGGUUCAGUUACAGUGUAUUAAAGAAACAAUUUUUUGAAGAUUUGAGGAUUUUCGUUACAAAAUCAUCAGCUGACACGGACACAGUGUGGAUUUUGAACAAAGUUUCAAGUAGAACGCAUAUGAAGAAUUGAAUAGACUGGAUGAGUAUAGCAUAGAGGGAAUGUAGGGUCCGAUCACAUUCACUUAGCAAAAAUAUCAACUUGAAGAAAUAGCAAUAAGUGAAUGCUGUUGAGGACUUGAAAUCACAGUCUAUCUAGUCAAAUGAAAGUCAUCAAGUGUUUUUGAAGAUUUUGUGAUAAAUCAUCACACUGAAGAACAGUUGUUUAGAAGAAAAACACAUUUUGAGGAAAUAGAACACUUGAAGAAAAUCAACUUGAGGAAUUUCACAUUGGGCGGUGGCGUGACCCACCAUAUAAGAAUGUUGAUUACAGACGCCGCGUACAAUUGUCGUAGGGCCCUGAGAAUCAAUUUCUUCGUUGAUUUCUUCACAUUCAGAGCGACCUUCUUCAUUAGUUGAAGAAAAUCGAUUCAUCAUGUGCUGCACAUCUAAGUCAUCAAUUUUGCAUAAGUGUUAGGAUGUGUGCAUGUUUUUAAAAAACAUUUGAAUAUUCUAAGAUAUUUAGCUCACACCGCAACUUGCAAAACCUUUUCUCAUCCAAGGGCUUAGUGAAGAUAUAUGCCAGUUGAUCAUCAGUCUUCACAUGGUUGAUGAGGAUAUUGCCCUUGACGACAUGGUCCCGAAGAAAAUGAUGUCGAAUUUGGAUGUGCUUGGUCUUCGAGUGUUGUACUGGGUUGUAUGCAAUUUUGAUAGCACUCUCAUUGUCAAGUAGAGAGGCACAUUCUUCAUGUUGAUGCCGUAGUCCUUGAGGGUUUGCUUCAUCCAUAGUAAUUGAGCACAGCAAGAACCAGUAGCAAUGUACUCAGCUUCGGCAGUGGAGAGUGAUACGCAGUUCUGCUUCUUUGAGGACCAGCAAACUAGUGAUCUUCUGAGGAAAUGGCAUGUGCCAGAUGUUGACUUGCGAUCCACACGGUCACCAGCAUAGUCAGAAUCAGAAUACCCUACCAGAUGAAGAUUUGAGCCCUUGGGAUACCAUAAUCCUAGUGUUGGUGUGUGAGCUACGUAUCGAAGAAUAUGUUUCACGGCCUUAUGGUGUGAUUCCUUCGGUUUUGCUUGAAAACGUGCACACAUGCAAACACUAAGCAUUAUAUCUGGCCUAGAUGCACACAGAUACAAUAAAGAGCCAAUCAUAGAACGAUAUACCUGCUGAUCGAAAUCUUUACCAUUUUCAUCAAUGCCGAGGUGGCCGUUGGUAGGCAUUGGAGUCUUGGCACCUUUGCAUUCAUCCAUGUCGAAUAUCCUCAAAACAUCCUUGAGGUAUUUCUCCUGUGAUAUGAAGAUUCCAUUGCUUUGUUGACGAAUUUGAAGACCUAAGAAGAAUUUCAGCUCCCCCAUCAUGGACAUCUGAUAUUCUUCACUCAUCAUGUAAGCAAAUUCAUCACUGUAUCGUUUGUCAGUACAGCCAAAUAUGAUAUCAUCGACAUAUAUUUGACACACAAAUAGCUCAUUAUCAUAGGAUUUAGUUAAAAGAGUUGGAUCGAGUGCACCAGGUUUGAAGCCUUUCUUCAUGAGAAAUUCCUUCAAUGUAUCAUACCAUGCCCGAGGGGCUUGCUUAAGACCAUAAAGAGCCUUUUUGAGUCUGAAGACUUUGUCUGGAUUCUUUGGAUCAUCAAAACCUGGGGGCUGAGCAACAUAUACUUCUUCCUCAAGCUUACCAUUGAGGAAUGCACUUUUCACAUCCAUUUGAUAUAAGAUGAUGUUAUGAUGAUUAGCAUAAGCAAGUAGUAUUCGAAUAGCUUCAAGUCUAGCAACAAGUGCAAAAGUUUCAUCGAAAUCUAUCCCUUCAACCUGGGUGUAGCCUUGGGCUACAAGUUGUGCCUUGUUCCUCACCACUUGACCGCCCUCAUCUUGCUUGUUUCAGAAAAUCCACUUGGUGCCGAUGAUGUUGUGCUUGCGAGGAUCUGGUCGUUUGACGAGCUCCCAUACGUCAUUCAGCUUGAAUUGAAGAAGUUCGUCUUGCAUAGCUUGGAUCCACUCCGGUUCCAGAAAAGCCUCAACAACUUUUGAGGGUUCUGUGAUGGAUACAAAGGAGAAAUGCCCACAAAAUUUAACUAAGUGUGAAGCUUUUGAGCGAGUGAGAGGACCUGGCGCGUUGAUGUCGUUGAGGAUUUUGUCAAGUUCUACUUCAUUUGCAAUCCUCGGAUGAGCUGGUUGAGGAUUUUGUCUAGGCUGAGGAAGUGGUGCUGGUGCAAUUUCCUCAGAAGCAUCUUCUUGAUUUUCAUCAGUGAUGGGGAUCAUUUCUUCAUCAAUUUCCUCAGUUGGGACAAUGUCUUCAGUAGGCUUGAGCUUUAUUGCUUCCUCAGGAGACAGCUUAUGUGGAUCAGAAGGCAAUUGUUCUCUUUGCGAGCCAUUAGUUUCAUCGAACCGCACAUCUACAGUCUCAACAACUUUGUUGUGAUAGUUGUUGAAGACUCUGUAAGUGUGCGGGUCCUUUCCAUAACCGAGCAUAAAACCUUCAUGUGCCUUAGGUGCAAAUUUUGAGCUAUGGUGAGGAUCUCUAAUCCAGCAUUUUGCACCGAAGACUUUGAAAUAACUUACAUUGGGUUUCUUGUCAGUGAGGAGUGCAUAUGAGGUUUUCUUGAGGAAUUUGUGAAGAUAUACCCUGUUGAUGAUAUGGCAUACAGUGUUGAUUGCUUCAGGCCAAAAGCGACGAGGAGUCUGAUAUUCUUCAAGCAUAGUUCUUGCCAUUUCAACCAGAGUCCUGUUCUUCCUUCCGACGACACCAUUCUGCUGAGGAGUAUAAGGAGCAGAUAAUUCGUGAGUAAUACCAAGUUCAUCAAGAUAAUCAUCAAGACUAGUGUUUUUGAACUCGGUUCCAUUAUCACUCCUGAUAUGUUUGAUCUUGAUGCCAAAGUUCGUCGAGGCCCUUGAAGAAAAUCGUUUGAAGAUUUCCUGCACUUCAGUUUUAUACACUAUGAUAUGCACCCAAGUAUAUCUGGAAUAAUCAUCAACUAUGACGAAGCCAUAUAAAGAUGCUGCAUUGGUUAGUGUGGCAUAGUGAGUAGGUCCAAAUAGAUCCAUAUGAAGCAAUUCAAAUGGACGUGUAGUGGUCAUGAUAGUCUUCGAGGGAUGCUUGGAUCUGGUCAUUUUCCCAGAUUCACAAGCACCGCAGAGAUGAUCCUUGAGGAAUUUGACUGAUUCGAUGCCAAUGACAUGCUUCUUCUUCGCGAGCGUGUGCAAAUUCCUCAUGCCUGCAUGACCUAGUCUUCGGUGCCACAACCAACCUUCUGAGGUUUUUGCUAGUAAGCAAGUGGUUGGUUGAGGACCUGUAGAGAAAUCAACAAUGUACAAAUCCCCUCUUCUUACACCUUCGAAGAUUUUGGAUUUGUCAGAUUCCAUAAUGACUACACAUCUAUAUCUACCAAAGCUAACAAUCAUAUCAAGAUCACAAAGCAUCAAGACUGACAUGAGGUUAAAACCAAGGGAUUCAACAAGCAUCACUUUGUCCAUAUGCCUAUCCUUGGAAAUAGCCACUUUGCCAAGUCCCAAUACCUUGCUUUUACCUUUGUCAGCAUAUGUGAUUUGCUUCAGAGGUGAUGGAGUUAGUGGCAUAUUCAUCAGUAAGCUUUUAUCACCAGUCAUGUGAUGUGUGCAGCCACUAUCAAGAACCCACUUAGUAUUCUUGGGUUUGUCAUCCUGCAGAUGAAUUUGUACAGCUUACCAUCUCAUAUGCUUCAGAUUUGAAGAAUAUGAUACUAGUUUCAUCAGAUCAGUAAUUUCAUCAGAGCAGAGAUGUAAGGACGUGUGAAAUAUUUCUAUUUCAUCAAUCAUUAGCUUGCGUCCUAUCAAGCAUUUCUUCAGGUCUCCAGCAAAUUCUUCAGAUGAUGAUUUUCAUCUGGAGACCUGACCUGCAGAAGUGAUUAGUUCGAUUUCUUGACCACCCACAUCUGAAGGGGUGGCAAAGCAUUCAUCAUCCUGCGAGCACCAUAUGAGAAAGGUGGCAUUGAGGCCAAUGCACUUCUCUUAACAGUGGGGGGAUUAAAGUACUCAUAUGGAUAUGCAGAGAACUUGUUAGAGGAUUUAUGAACAUAAUGAUUUGAGGAGUAACGUUCAUAUUCAUAUUCCUUGUAGUUUCCCUGCAUGUUAGACGCAUUAGCACGGGUACGAGCAUAGUUUUGACCAGUUGAGGAUUUUGAUCCUCUUGAAGACUUUGGUCCUCCUGAGGAAUUUGAUCUGGGGUUCAGAUUCUUCAGUGGUGGUUUCAUGAGGACAUUCACCUGAAGAUUUUUAAGACAACUUUUGGGAACCCAGAUUUUCCUCAGGGGAGGGCCAUUCCUGCAGUUAGUUCCAACAUAUCGAGCAAAUAAUUCACCAGAUUGAUUUUUGAACAGUUUAUAGUUGGAGUCAAAUGACUCAUCUGAGGAAUAGGAUAAUUCACAUGAAAAACCAGUUAGAUUAGAUGGAUCAAAAGGAGGCCCAGUAGCAGCAACCCAUGAGGUUUUGGGAUACUGCUCAGGUUUCCAAUAAGAUCCAUCAGCAUUUAAUUUCCUCUCAAAGGCAAUUCCUUCUUUCAUCGGGUACCUGUUCAAGAUCUGCUUUUUGAGCACAUCACAAAGGGUUUGAUGUCCUUUGAGGCUUUUGUAUAUGCCUGUCACGUACAAUUCCUUCAACCCUGCAUUUUCAUCAGUAACAUUUGUGUUUUCCUCAAGUGAGGAAAUAGACACAACAGGUGUAGUUGAAGAAUUUGUAGCAAUAGUAGCAUUUGAUGAUUCUGGUGAGGAAUUAGCAGUUUCACGUUCAAUGCAUUUAAGACAUGGAGGAAUGAAUUCAACUUGACCAGCGAUGAUCUGUUGAGCUAGUAAUGAAUCAUUUUCCAUACGAAGAUCAUCAUGAGACAUCCUCAGCUUCUCAAGAUCAAUCUUCCUUUGAAGAAAUUCAUAGGAAAGCUUCUCAUGAUCAGUGAGGAGUGUAUCAUAACGAUCCUGAAGAUUAUCAAAUCUAGACUGAAGACUUUUCACAUCUUCAGUGAGGAUUUGGGUAAGGUUCAUUUCAUCAUUCAAUAGAUCACCACUUUUAUCUAGCAGUUUCUGAAACUUUUCCAGAGCAGUUUGUUGUUUAGUGGCAAUGAUAGCAAUUUUACUGUAACUGGGUUUCUUAUAAUUAUCAGGUUCACAGUCACUUGAAUCAGAGGACGAGGCAUUAUUUGGUACCUUUGAACCUUUUUCCAUGAAGCAAAAGGUUGGAGUGAAGUCAUCAACAUAGUCAUCAGUGCGAAUGGUGCUAUCAUUUUCUUCAAGGUUGAAGAUUGACUUGCUGACGAAAGUGGUUGCCAGUGCAAGACUAGCCUGUCCGGGUUCUGAGUCUUCAUCAGAACCCUCUUCUUCAUUACAUUCCUCUGAUUCUGCCUCGGAGUCCAUUUCCUUGCCAAUAAGUGCCCGAGCCUUUCUGAAACUAGUCUUCUUGUGCGAUGAGGGCUUUGAAGAUGAGGAUUUUGAAGAUUUCUUCUUCUUCCUCGAGUCAUCAGAACUGUCAUCCUUGUAUUUCUUCUUCGUUGAUUCCUUUCCCCAACGGGGACAAUCAGCAAUGUAAUGGCCUGAUUUCUUGCACUUGUGACAGGUUUGUUUCUUGUAGUCCUCAGAUGAAGAUUCUGAUUUCCUCAUGUCUCUUCUUGGAGAUUUACCGAACUGGCCACGUCGUGUAAAUCUCUGGAAUUUCCUCACGAGCAUUGCAAGCUCCUGUCCAAAUUCUUCAGGGUCACAAAUGUUGUCAUCUGUGUCUUCGUCUUCAGAUGAGGAAAUUGCUCUAGCCUUCAGAGCACGUGGUCUGGAAUAGUUUGGUCCAUAUAGAUCUCUCUUUUCUUCUAGUUGGAAUUCAUGAUUAUUUCGCCUUUCUAGUAUAUCAGCUGGAUCAAGCAUCUUGUAAUCUGGUCUUUCUUGAAUCAUCAGAACUAAAGUAUCAAAUGAAGAAUCCAAAGAUCUCAGCAGUUUCUUCACAACUUCGUGAUCAGUGAUGUCUCGAGCUCCCAGUGCUUGCAGUUCAUUUGAUAUGUCAGUGAGGUGAUUAAAGGUGUCUUGGCAGCUUUCAUUGUCAUGUCUCUUGAAGCGAUUGAAGAGAUUGCAAAGAAUAUCAACACGAGAGUCACGCUGGGUUGAUACUCCUUCAUUUACCUUGCACAGUCUCUCCCAGAUCAGUGUUGCAGAGCCCAAAGCACUUACUCUUCCAAACUGGCCUGGGCUCAGAUGGCCACAGAUGAUGUUCUUCGCUUGAGAAUCGAGUUGCUUGAAUUUCUUCACAUCAGCAGCAGAGACACUGGCAGAGAUGAUGGGGACGCCAUGUUCCACAAUAUACCAGAGAUCAUUAUCAAUUGCUUGUAGAUGCAUUUGCAUUUUGUUCUUCCAGAAGGGAAAGUUCUUUCCUUCGUAGGUAGGACAUGCUGCAGUCACCUUAAACAUGUCUGCAGUCAACAUAACUAAAACUCCAGGUGGUUAAACCAAAAACACAUAGAACAAGGGAGUACCUUGCUCUGAUACCAAUUGAAAGUGCGUUAUAUCGACUAGAGGGGGGUGAAUAGGAGAUUUUUAGAAUUUCAUCACUGAGGAAAUUCCUUUUGAGGAAAUUCCUCACUGAUGACUAACUUACAGCGGAAACAGUAAAGGAUCAGAAGUGCAAAGUUUCACAACAGCAGUUUUUCAGAGUGAAGAAUGUGAAAACAGAUUGCACAGUGAGCAGGCACGCAGAAUACAGAUGUGGAUUAACUGAAGUGAAGAAUUUGGGGUUGAGGAAAUUCAGAGAAAGUCUUCAGCCAAUUCUUCAAACAGUUGCAGUGAAAGUCAUCAACACAUAAUACGAGAAAAGUAAGGAGUUGAGGAAUUAGAACCCAUUUCUGAGUGAAGACAAUCGUUGAUGACCCAGUUCCGACUGCUAUGACAGUCGUACAUCUGGUUUGGAGCGGCUUGGUAUUGAAACCAAAGGACACACAGUCCCUACCGUAUUCUCCUUGAGCUAAGGACACACAGUCCUCGCCCAACACUCAUGGUAAGUCUUCUGGGCAUACUUCCAAACCCUCACAAACUUGGUCACCCGGCGAUCCACAAUUGACUGCUGGAAAGCUCUAGACCUUGACUCCUAACCGUCUGGACGAUGCACAGUCCUCAAAGGUAAAAGGCUUCAGUCCCACACAGGAACAACUUCUUCAGUGAUGCUCAAUCACUAGGUUUGGUUUGUGGUUUCUGUGUAUGGUGUAUUUCCUCACUGAUGAAUUACUCUUGAAGACUCUGAGGAAUUGGGUUGCUCUUAUGACAAGUUUCAGUUUCUAACAGAGCAGCCAACCAGCUAAUGGUUGUGGGGGUGGCUAUUUAUAGCCUGGGAGCAUCCCGGCAUGAUUUGACACUAAUGCCCUUAAUAAUAUGACCAUUGGAGUGGAUAAGACCAAUGACUUGGCGUGGCUAUCGAAACGGUCGGGACCCUCAACUGUGAGAGUCCUCAUGUCACUCGUAUUCCUCACUUGAGGCUUUUGGUAGGAUUUAGGCUUGGGUUGAGAAUCAUGAGGAAAUUCAUUCCAUAGUGUAACUUCGACCCCCUUUAACAGUACGGUGUUCCUAUUACUCAAAUGCGAAGAAAAUAAAACAGAAAGUGUUAAUCUUCAUGCUUCAAAUUCUUCAGAGUGAUUUUCUUCACGACACACCGGACUUCUCAAUAUCAGUAUCUUCAUGAGGAAUAUCAAUUUCAUCGCAGAUUCCUCGCAGUUUAUUUCUUCAGCUUCAGACCAAUUUCUUCAACUGAGGACAUACAUUUUUAGGGGUCGAUAUUCUUCAAAUAUCUCAAACUCCUCAAUGACUUAUAGAUCUUGUGUACACUCACAAACACAUUAGAUACUUAACCUAUAAGUCUUCAAACCACCAAAAUCACUAAGGGGCACUAGAUGCACUUACAUCUAUUCGAAUAGCCGCGUCCGCGGAUAUGGACUACUUGGAAGCAUAUGUUGUUCAUAGAUAACUAUAAUGUCUACUCAUAAAAAUUGUCAAGAUAAGUGUGAGUGUCGUGGACGACAUUUCCGUAGGGAUACAGAAUGAUUCCACGAUGGAGUAUUGUUGUGGUGUUAGUGGACUCGUGUGCGAGAAACUUAGUUGUCAAAACUAUUUAAAAAUGCUAGUUGUCUAGCCAAGAGUCAAAUGCUGGCUUUUUGCAUGAAACCCCAAAACUCUUUGUUGAUACAUUGCAUGAGUAGAUAGAUUAUCCUAAAGUCUUGUUGAGUACUUUUGUACUCACGUUUUCUUAAUAAAUUGUUGCAGAGGUUGUUAAUGACCCUAUUGGAGGGUUCUACCUAGACGUUGACGACGACGAGUAGCUGGUGUCCCAGCUACGAUCUGGCCCUAGGUUGGGUCUGUAGAUAGUCAGGCCAUGUGCCUUUAUCUUUCCAUCUGUCUGUACUCAGACAGUUUUAAUCUUCCACUGGCUUGUAAGACUUAUGUGUAUGACUUGUGAUGAUGGGUCGUAAGACCCCUAUCUGUGUAAUAUUAUGUGUGAGGCUCUUCCGAGCCUUCUAAAUAAAGUUGUAUGUUUAUGGUUAUGUUGUGAUGCCAUCGAUGUAUCUAUACAUAUCGGUAUGCCAUGCGUACGUGUGUUGUACUUGAUAUGUAUGGGGUUCGAAUACCUAGUCGUAUGCCUUAGUAGCACUCCUUACGGGGAAAUGCCCCUUUGUGAUUCCAUCGAGCCAUGGUAGUUCGCUACUAUUCCGGACACAUUGGUUGACCGGCAUGUGUCCUUCUUAGCUGUUGUGUCUGUCCCUUUGGGAAAUGUCACGCGUAUGUAAUGGAGUCCUUGUAGCUUUCUACGACUCGUCUACAUUCGCUGAUGACCGACACCUGCUUUGCUGGGUCAUGUAUGCGUGUCCCUGUACGGCGGUGCCGCUUGAGUUUAUGGCUAGACAUGUCGAUCCGGGUUCUUUGACAUUGGAUUGCUAGCGACACAAUUGCAUACGCGACUCAAAAGGCGCAAACGGUCCCGGCUAAGGUAAGGCUUCAGCCGUGGGGAUAACCGUGCGUGAGACCGCAAAGAGAUGUGAUGUGUUACAAGCUGGAUUCCUAUGGCUUAGGAUCGGGGUCCCGACAGUGUUGGUAUCAGAGCCUGACUGACUGUAGGAUUACUAAGCCAAACUAGUCAAAGUUGAGUCUAGAAUUGCUUUAGUUAUACAUAAGGGAAUUGUUUGUGGAAGGGAACGUAAGAUUCUUGCUUCUCUUCUUAAAUUAUUCUAUUCUGGUCAUCCUCGUCUUCUCUGCGGGGAUUAAGGACUAGGUUACUUAUCUUUCUCUUAGGCUCGUGUUUUUCUGAUCGGUAGAUUAUAGGACAACGAGUCGAGAGUUACUUCGGGUUUCUUUUAUUCCAAGGAAAAGAAAGUAAGUUUUGGUGACCAAGGAAUUGAACUUGGUAGUUGAGUGGUUAUGCUAUCCUAUCUUUGUGGGUUGUCUCAAAAUUGUUUUUGAGCAUUUACAGCCGUUAUGCUGCCCAACUUUGUCUUCAGAGCUCUAAUGCUUGUUGCAUUACUCUCUAUUUUCAGAUGCAUGGCCGUCCUUCUCGUCAGGUGGUCCGUCUGACUAGGUGAAUUGAUGUGCCAGGUCAUACGGCCAUGCUAGUCAGGAUGAUGUCAGUAGCCGGUUACCGCCGGUACCCAGAGUACACAGUGGACGAGCAGCACCGGGAUUUUAAUCAGAGUCAGUAUCUCUGCACUGUCAGGGUAUUCCCAGAUUACCCUGGAGCUGAGGAGCCGAUCCAUUGGUCUUAUGGAUUGGGGGUCACUGUUGACAUGGCAGUACAAGAUGCUUCCUAUUCAAUGCUGACCAUCAUGAGGGCCAGACAUGCACUGUUGCAGAAUUCAGAGUUCUGCAAUGUUCCUGCCUCUCAGCCAGGAGAAGAAGGAUACCUCAGUGGGGCCUACUUUGAUUCCUCUAUGGAGGAUCCGCUGCUGCAGUCCACUGCUGAGAUGCUAGAGAAUAGAGACAGGGACGCUUGUGCCCUUAGUAUGGAGCUCUAUGCUACACGUGCCCGUCUGUGGACGGCUUUGACGCAGCUGGCACCUGUAGUCCAGACAGGGUAUGGAGAUAUGGAGAUGCUGAACCCUGUUAGGACCCAUCUUCCGGCUCAUGUUGACUGGCCUGCUAUAGGAGGAGUCACCCCUCUUCGGGGACCUCUACUACCACCAGCCAGGGGACCAAGGCCACACCCAUGCCCUUACGGUUCCCACGGGUCUCAGACUCGAGUAUUUCCUCAUCCGCGGGUUGAGCUCCCAGGUCAUGGAGGCAACCUUUAUGAGAUGUUCUAUGCGGAUGCCUGAACCCGUGAGUGGAAGGAUAGUAUGGUAGUAGUUAUACUUCCACAGUCCUGUGUGUCUUGUGGAGUAUGCUUAUGUCGUGAGAUGAAUUCUGGAGGCAUAGAUAAAUAAUGUAUAGAAAGCUUGGAAAGCCUCUGAUGAGUUGUGUCAUCUUUUCAGUAGUUUGCUCUUCGGAUAAGGUUGUUCUGAACUAUGUAAUGGUGUGUAUGAACCAUGGUGUAUAUAUAGUAGUUGCUUGUUACCAUGUUGUUCGGAUGUUCAUUUCUGCAUUCCAUGUGUUCAGUGCAUUCUUAAUCCAUAGUUAGUAUUGAUGUUGAUAUUGGUCUAAGCUGGGAGUUUGUUUGUCAGGAUGGUGUUCACCAGGUUGAACUGUGCCCCUGCUCAUGAGCAGGGAGAGGGUAGUCAAGCAUCGCAGGAGGAACUGCCUCACCCGCCCUCUCUGGCAGAAGUUAUGCUUGACGCAGAAAGAAACAGAACGGAGACCAACCGACUGUUAGAGCGUAUUGAGCAAAAUACGGCUCGUCAGCCUAGGAAUGAUGCAGUGUCCCUCAAUGACUUUGUGAAGGUGAAUCCUUCGAAGUUCCACCAAUCCGUCGACCCCCUCGACGUUGAUGACUGGUUGUGCAGUAUAUCGCGCAAGAUUCGCUCUGCAAAUGUUUCCGAGGCCGACAAGGUGACCUUUGCGGCGUACUUUCUGGAGGGACCCACCAAUCUGUGGUGGGAGAACUUUGAAGCUAUGCGUCCUGCCGGACCAGCAGCCACAUGGGCAGACUUUAGUGCAGCCUUCCGUCUGCACCAUAUUCCACAGGGUCUGAUGGACAGAAAGAGAGAGGAGUUAUUUGCAUUCACCCAAGGAAAAUUGACCGUGGAUGCCCAUAGCCGCGAGUUCGGUAACCUCGCCGCUAUGCAACUCAAGAGGUGUCAACUGAUGCCAAGAAGCAAGCAAGAUUCCGUAAGGGUCUGAGCCCUAAACUUCGUCGUGAUCUGCGCCUCCAUGAAUGUACAAGCUUUCAAGCUCUUGUCAACAAGGCGAUCAGUGCCGAGACUGGUCAUACCGACUAUGAAGCCACAAAGAAGCACUCCCGUGACUCUGGCUCGUCAUCUGGUUCCGCGUUCCCGAAACGCAGGCUGUGGGUUCCAAAUAGUUCUCUGCAGCCAAGAUACACUCCGAGGCCAUCCUAUUUGGCGCCUCAGGCGAAUCCGACCAACCCUCCAGCAAAAACCUAUGGUGGUCCAGCUAGCAAUGUUGCACCACGUGCCAAUCAGGUGAUCUGUUACAAGUGUGGAGAACCAGGGCACUAUUCCCGAGAGUGUCCUCAGAAUAUGGGUGCCAAGCAACCUAGAAAGUCUGUUGGGCAAGGCAAGUCGGGUAAAGCUUACUAUGUGAAGCCAACUCCUGCACGUGGCCGUGUGAACUAUGUUUCAGCAGAAGAAGCUGCACAGGAUCCCGACGUUAUACUGGGUACGCUCCUUGUUAAUCAUCACCCAGCGUCUGUUCUUUUUGACACUUGGUCAUCUCAUUCCUUCAUUUCAGAAAGUUAUGCGCAGUUGCAUGACAUGUGUUUCUGUGAUAUACCAAUCCCAUUGGUUGUCCAAACCCCUGGUAGUAAGUGGCAAACUUCCAGGAUAACCUAUGACAAUGAAAUUCUAGUAGACAUGCUAGUCUUUCUAGCAUCUUUGAUAGCCCUGAAAUCUUCGGAUAUCAAUAUCAUCUUGGGUAUGGACUGGAUGUCAGCUCAUUAUGCCAAGAUUCAUACACAUUCUAGAAAUGUCCAGCUUACCCAUCCCUCGGGUGAGAUAGUCAAUGUAUCUACUCGAGUUGCCAAAUGUCAACUCUAUUCCCUCAAUGCCAACCCUCUCCCAGAACUUCAAGACAUUCCGGUAGUCCGUGACUUCCUGGAUGUUUUCCCAGAAGAACUGCCAGGAAUUCCACCUGACAGGGAUGUAGAGUUUGUGAUAGACCUUGUUUCGGGAACCGUUCCAAUAGCCAGAAGACCUUAUAAGAUGGCACCCCUGGAGCUAGCCGAACUUAAGAAGAAACUAGAUGAGGCCUUGAAUAAAGAUUUCAUUCGUCCUAGCUCUUCUCCAUGGGCUUGUCCCGUCCUCUUCGUUAAGAAGAAAGACAGAACGGAUCGGAUGGUUGUAGAUUAUUGACCAGUUAACCUGGUCACCAUAAAGAACAAGUAUCCACUCCCCAGGAUCAACGACCUGUAUGAUCAGCUUGCUGGAUCCUUAGUCUUCUCCAAAAUGGAUUUGAGGUUGAGUUACCAUCAAAUCAAGAUCAAGAACGGGGACAUCCCAAAAACGGCUUUUGUCACUCGUUAUGGCCAAUACGAGUACACCGUCAUGUCCUUUGGUUUAACCAAUGCCCCAGCCACCUUUUCUCGCUUGAUGAAUUCAAUAUUCAUGGAGUAUUUGGAUAAAUUCGUCGUAGUAUAGCUCGAUGAUAUUCUCAUCUACUCGAAGAACAAACAAGAACAUGUCAAGCAUCUAAGGCUGGUAUUGAUGAAACUUCGAGAGCAUCGCCUUUAUGACAAGUUUUCAAAAUGUGAAUUUUGGUUACCAGAAGUGACCUAUCUAGGCCACAUAAUCUCUGGUAAGGGUAUUGUUGUCAAUCCCGAGAGAGUUCAAGUUGUCCUUGGUUGGACUCAACGUGAAUCGGUUAAGCAAGUUAGGAGUUUUCUUGGUCUAGUGAGCUAUUGUCGCCACUUUGUCGAGAAUUUCUCCAAGGUUGCAAAGCCUCUAACUGAACUCCUCAAGAAAGAUAAAAUGUUCGAGUGGACACCACAGUGUGAGCACAGUUUUUAGGAACUAAAAAGACGCGUGACUUCCGCACCUGUGUUGCUACCACCAGAUUUCUCUAAGGACUUUGUUAUCUACUGCGACGCCUCGCAACAAGGAUUAGGUUGCAUUCUCAUGCAGGAUCGUCAUGUGAUUGCAUACGCAUCUCGACAGUUGCGUCCACAUGAGGAUAACUAUCCCACACAUGAUCUUGAGCUUGCAGCAGUAGUCCAUGCACUUAAAACCUGGCGACAUUACCUUCUUGGUAAUCGUUGCGAAAUAUUCACUGAUCACCAAAGUCUGAAAUAUAUCUUCACCCAGCCGGAUUUGAAUCUCAGGCAAAGACGGUGGGUUGAGUUGAUUACGGAUUAUGACUUAGGGAUAACUUACACCCCGGGGAAGGCCACUGUUAUGGCUAAUGCACUAUGUCGUAAGUCUUAUUGUAACAACUUGAUGCUACAACGGGGUCAACCACAUCUCUAUGAGGAAUUUCGGAAGUUAAAUCUUCACAUUGUUCCUCAAGGAUUCCUUUCUAACUUGGUGGCGAAGCCUACUAUUAAGGAUCAAAUCAUAGCUGGCCAGAAGCGUGAUAAGGGUAUGUCACGGAUCAAGGGGAAUAUUAUUAGCGGAAAUGCUAAGGAAUUCUCCAUGAAUGAUCAAGAUGUUGUGUUCUUCCAGAAUCGUCUAGUUGUUCCUAAGAAUCCACAUCUAAGGCAUUUAAUCCUUAAGGAGGCUCAUGAUUCUCCUCUCACCAUUCAUCCUGGUAGUACUAAGAUGUAUCGGGACCUACGCCAGAGGUUUUGGUGGACUAGGAUGAAGAGAGAAGUUGUUGAGUUCGUUGCUAACUGCGACGUUUGUCGUCGAGUUAAGACGGAACAUCAAAGGCCUGUUGGCACCCUUCAACCUUUAGCUAUUCCUGAAUGGAAAUGGGAUAAAGUCAGUAUGGAUUUCAUACCAGAUUUCCCAAGACCAAGAAAGGAAAUAAUGUUAUCUUUGUGGUCAUUGACCGUCUUUCCAAAGUAGCUCAUUUUCUUCCAGUUCGUGAGAGUAUAACAGCUAGCCAGCUAGCAGAGUUAUAUAUCUCUCGAAUAGUGUCUCUUCAUGGUGUUCCUCUGGAUAUUAACUCAGACCGUGGAAGUAUCUUUACUUCUCGCUUCUGGGAGAGUUUUCAGAAUGCCAUGGGGACUCACUUAUCUUUUAGCACUGCUUUCCAUCCUCAAUCAAGUGGACAAGUAGAAAGGGUGAAUCAAAUCCUAGAAGAUAUGCUCCGAGCUUGUGUUAUAUCAUUCGGUAUGAAUUGGGAGAAGUGCCUUCCAUUCGCAUAAUUUGCCUAUAACAAUAGUUAUCAAUCAAGCUUGGGCAAAGCUCCUUUUGAAGUUCUCUAUGGACAAAGAUGUCGAACUCCUCUUAAUUGGUCAGAAACCGGAGAGAGGCAACUCUUUGGUCCUGAUAUGAUCCAGGAUGCAGAAGAGCAAGUUCGCAUUAUUCGUGAAAAGUUGAAAACAGCCCAGUCUUGUCAAAAGAGCCAAUAUGAUUGUCAUCAUAAGGUUGUGACCUUUGAAGUUGACGAGAAGGCUUACCUUCGGGUUACACCUUUGAAGGGUACCCAUAGAUUCGGUAUCAAGGGAAAGUUGGCUCCUCGUUACAUUGGUCCUUUCCGCAUUCUUGCCAAACGAGGAGAAGUUGCCUACCAAUUGGAACUUCCUUCGCAUAUUUCCAAGGUUCAUGAUGUAUUCCACGUCUCGCAACUCAGGCGUUGCUUUUCGGAUCCUAUACGCGAAGUGGACCACGACACGCUUGAUCUCCAAGAUAACUUUCAUACCGAGAAUACCCUGUGAGUAUUCUUGAUCAAGCUGAGCGUACCACUCGACGUCGAAACCUCAAGUUUCUUAAAGUUCAAUGGUCAAAUCAUUCCGAAAAGGAGGCAAGAUGGGAAAGAGAGGAUUGUCUCCGACUUGAGUAUCCCGCGCUAUUCCCGACGACUUCCAAAUCUCGGGACGAGAUUCUUUUGAGUGGGGGUGAGUUGUCACAUCCCUGAUCCCCAUUAGGGUUUAGCAAGCAUGAGCUCAUGUUUUCUUCCAUUGCAUCUUAAGAAUUUGAAUUGCACUCAAGGAAGGAAAUGAAAUCCAAAGCAAAGUAAAGAAAACCAAAGCAAAACCCUAGCCACCCCUCAUUCAAAAACAAUUCAACAAGUGCCAAAUCAAUGAACCCAAAAUGGCCAUUAGAAAAGUUCAUCUUUUCUGAUAAUUGUUGAAAACAAGAUAUCAGAGAUGAAACAUAUUUUCAAAAUACUUUUGGAAUUUUAAAUUUAAGUUAAAAGCUACUGAAAUCAAUUAUAUAUUUGAUUUCAAAUAUUUCAAAGUUUCCAAAAAUGUUGAAAACUUUAUAUGUGGUUGGAAAUAUUCCACCUAACACUCCAGUAUCAUUCAAACUAUUUUAGGAAUAGUUUGGAGCCAAAAUAAAACAAAACAAAGUCAGUAAGUAAAUAACAGAAACAAAAAUGAAAGACAUAAGAAAAAAACUAUCUAACGCUUACCUGAGGCCCAACCCACCUUUUCCCUUUCGUCUACCUCGUGCCAGCGAGCAGCAGGAGGUGGCCGCCGCUCGCUCUGGCGCGCCACGCACCUGCGUGCUUUCUUGGACCUCCGCGUCGCGCUCGCAAGGACGAUAAGCCUCCCUGCGAUCCAUUCCCACCUCCUCCCCCUCCUCAUCCGCGCUCUCUCCUCUCUUUCCUCCUCGCCGCCAUGACCAUGAGCUCGAGCUCGAGCUAGCCAUCGCUCCGGCCGUCCUUCCCCGCCCCUGAGCACGCCGUUCGCUCCGCCUCAACGAGCUAGUCGUCCCUGCCAAAGGAGAAGAGCCCCCGAGCCCUACACCGCCAGAUCCCCGUCGUCUUAUUCCUCGGAUCGCCGACGUUUGCCGCCGUCGUUCUUCCUCCUCAGACCAUCCCCGAGCCUGCUCUCGUCGCCUCUGCACUCCCCGUGAGCUCAGGGUUGUUUUCCUCUCAUUUCCCCCUUCGAUUCCGAGCUCUAGGCUCUGAUUCCACCGGAGCCCGACCAGAUCCGCCGCGUGACCUCGUCUCUCGUAGCCCUCCGGUGAUCGGCUGGUCAAUCUGAGGCCACCAAUGGCUUCAGUCCGUUGCGUAGGUGUUGUAGGAGCCUAGCCCCGCGCGUGUUGAGCCCCGUAGCAGUGCCCCCGAUGAUGCCCGAGCUUCGGCCGCCGCCGAGCUCGUCGCCGGCGUCAUCUCCGGCCAUAUUAGCCUCGGUUCUUUGCAGGAAUGGAACUACGGCUGAGUGCUGGUUCGUUUGGUGUUCUUUGUCGUGCAAAUGGUCGCCGGAAUGGAAAUCCCGAGCCCCUCCGCCAUCUGUGUGGUCGCCGGAGGCUCAUCGCCAGUGAGAUCCACCUCGCCACCGGUGGAUCUGACUCCCCGGAGUCACUGGCAAGUGGGGCCAGCCCCCAGGCUAAUUAAGAUUAGCAAAAUAAAAAAUAUUAUUUUAAAACCUAAACAGACACUGACAUGUGGGUCCUACUCUGUUAACUAACUAAUUAAGUUAAAUCUAAACUAAAAAUAGGCCAGAGUCACUGACUAGUGGGUCCCACUUGUCAGGUUUGACUUUCAAAGGCGAGAUUGACCUGCUGAUAUCGUGCUGAUGCAAUAAAACCUUUUCUGUUUAAAAAUAAUUCCAGAAUAAGUUCAAAACUUUGGAAAUUCAUAGAAAAUUGAAUAUAACUCCAAAUUUGACAAGUUAUAUAUGUAAAAGGAUCAGAAAAUUUCAAGGAAUCCAAUGGUGCUAUUUUCGUGCAUGAAAAACAAAAUUAUGAAACAGCAUCAGGUCAAAUCAAUUAAAAGAAUUUGCUAAAUUACAAUUCAAUUGAUAUUUGAAUUAUGAUUUCAAAUCGAGAUCACCCAAAAGGUUCUGUUAGUCUUCUCAAACCAUGCUACAUUGCAUUUCAUGCAUCAUUUUGUUGCAUAUGUUUGAUAUUGAUUGAUUGUUGUUAUUCCGGUAGGCUCCGCCCCUGCGGAUACGACUGAUUAUCCGACUGACGGAUAUCACCCCUCUGUUGAGCAACAAGGCAAGCAACCAUUUUGAUCAUCCCGAUAAAUCCCAUGUUCUCGCUCCUGCUCCUACUUAUUGCAUUAGGUCAAAAUGCUUUCAAUGCUUUUACCACGUUAGUUGAACCCACUUCCUUUGCAUGACCUGUCCUUGUCACAGUAAAUAGCUGAACCUUGCAAUCUAGCAUACCUGGUAGAUGCUUGAGCCAUGAUGUGCCCUAUCCUGCUAUGCAUGCUAUGCUUAGAGUUGUGUAUGGCCUGUCAUCUAGGUGAUGAACAAGAUCAUGAGAAUGUGUUCAGUUAGUAAAGGUGGUGUGUUGAACCUGAUUUGGUAAAGGCACCGGUGAAAGGCUAUGUAGGAGUACAUGGCGGGUUGUUUCAUUGGAACCGUCCUUAGGAACUGAGUUCCAUGUAUGUAAACCAAGAAAAGAUGCUACCACAUGCUGGGCCUUGAAAUAUGACCCCGCUCGACUUAUUAACUGCCUAGUACUCGGUCCAGGAGUUGCAAGUAGUUUCUGGUCAUUAUAAUCAUGCUGGAGGCCGUGCAUGGUGCUGACCUUAGAGGUGGGCUAUGAUGCGGUAGGCAGUGGCACGGUGUACCAAGUGGCACUCGGAUGGUGGGCUUGGGAACCCUGCGCACAUCGUUUGGGGCCGUGACGGAAACCUCGGCCGGACUUCCGUGUGGGUUACCCUCAGAUAGGCGAUAGACUUGGACUAAGUAUUAGCGUGGUUAACGGUCGUGGCCGACUCCCUCGCUGGGCUUCCGCUUGAAGGUUGCCGAGGUGCAUGACGUGCACAUGGCGAUAAGUGGCGAGAGCGUGUGUGAAGAAGUACACCCCUGCAGGGUUAUGAUCUAUUCGAAUAGCCGCGUCUGCGGAUAUGGACUACUUGGAAUCAUAUGUUGUUCAUAGAUAACUAUAAUGGCUACACAUAAAAAUUGUCAAGAUAAGUGUGAGUGUCGUGGAUGGCAUUUCCGUAGGGAUACGGAAUGAUUCCACGAUGGAGUAUUGUGGUGGUGUUAGUGGACUCGUGUGUGAGAAAUUUAGUUGUCAAAACUAUUUAAAAAUGCAAGUUGUCUAGCCAAGAGUCAAAUGCUGGCUUUCAGCAAGAAACCCCACAACUCUUUGUUGAUACAUUGCAUGAGUAGAUAGAUUAUCCUAAAGUCUUGUUGUGUACUUUUGUACUCACGUUUGCUUAAUAAAUUGUUGCAGAGGUUGUUAAUGACCCUAAUGGAGGGUUAUACUUAGACAUUGACGACGACGAGUAGCUGGUGUCCCAGCUACGAUCUGGCCCUAGGUUGGGUCUAUAGAUAGUCAGGACAUGUGCCUUUAUCUUUCCAUAUGUCUGUACUCAGAUAGUUUUAAUCUUCCGCUGGCUUAUAAGACUUGUGUGUAUGACUUGUGAUGAUGGGUCGUAAGACCCCUAUCUGUGUAAUAUUAUGUGUGAGGCUCUUCCGAGCCUUCUAAAUAAAGUUGUAUGUUUAUGGUUAUGUUGUGAUGCCAUCGAUGUAUCUAUACAUAUCGGUAUGCCAUGCGUACGUGUGUUGCACUUGAUAUGUAUGGGGUUCAAAUACCUAGUCGUAUGCCUUAGUAGCACUCCUUACGGGGAAAUGCCCCUUUGUGAUUCCAUAGAGCCAUGGUAGUUCGCUACUGCUCUGGACACAUUGGUUGACUGGCAUGUGUCAUUCUUAGCUGAUGUGUCUGUCCCUUUGGGAAAUGUCAUGCGUAUGUAAUGGAGUCCUUGUAGCUUGCUACGACUCGUCUACAUUCGAUGAUGACUGACACCUGCUUUGCUGGGUCAUGUAUGCAUGUCCCUGUACGGUGUUGCCGCUUGAGUUUAUGACUAGACAUGUCGAUCCGGGUUCUUUGACAUUGGAUUGCUAGCGACACAAUUGCAUACACGAGUCAAAAGGCGCAAACAGCCCCGAUUAAGGUAAGGCUGCAGCCGUGGGGAUAACCGUACGUGAGACCGCAAAGAGAUGCGAUGUGUUACAGGCUGGAUUCCUAUGGCUUAGGAUCGGGGUCCCGACAUCUAGUGUUCUAAGUAAGAGGGCGAGGACUCAACAUAAAAGUAAAUAGACAGUCCCUUCGCAGAGGGAAACAUUGAUUUACAGAGGUGCCACAGCUCAAGUUUUUAAAGUGGGAUUGAAAAUAUAGUUUUGAGUGGUGUUCUUUCCUGUCAACGUUAUGACAAAGGUUUUCAGUAUCUUCGAUGCUAAACUCAUCAUCGGUGGUUCCCAAGUAUAAUUGUAAAGUUUUACUCCUAUCCACCAUCCAUACACAACCAUGGCUAGCCGAAUUCACGAGUUCCCUCCAACAUAUCAGAUUUCCCAAGGAGUUUUGUUUUAAUUUAAUUUUGAUUAAGAAGGACUCGUCAUCCUUGUUACCAACCUCUCUCAUGCAAUGAUGGCGAAUUGAUGCAUGUCUUGAGACUAACUUACUUAGCAUAGAAGAUACCAAUCGCCCCAUCGCUCCAUGAGCGGUACGAGUGCACAAAACAUAUGUUUAUCUGGAUAUUUUAGAGGUGGCACAUGAAAAUUUAGUUUGAACGAUAGGGUAAUACCGCAUAUAGGUAGGUAUGAUGGACUCAUGUGGAAUAACUUGGUUUUAAGGAUAUUGGAUGCACAAGCACCAUUCCCGCUUAGUACACAUGGAGGCUAGCAAAGGAUUGGGAAGCGACCAGCUAGAGAGCAACAACGGUCAUGAACAUGCAUUAAAAAUAAUCAACUUUGGACAAAGCAUGAGUAGGAUAUAAACACUCUGAAUUUAAAUAUCAUGAAGGUUGCCUCAGUUUUGAAUUAACUACAUGUUUGCACAUGGGCCAAGUCAAACCACUUGAAUUACCGAGAGGAAAAUACUAUACUACCAUAUCACAUCAUAACCAUUUUAAUACAUGUUGCACAUAAGGUAAAUCAUUAUCAACUCCUAGCUAUUUAAGCAUGGCAUGAAAUCUAUGAUCUCUAAUUGGCAUCACACACAUGUUCACUCACGAUAUACUAAAUCAAGAAUGAAGGAGCCAACAUAUUUACAAAAAUGAAAAACAAGAAGAGUUCAUACCUGUUUCCUUUGCCACGAUCACUUCAUCAAAUAUCAUUAUUAUUGCCUUUCACUUGCACGACCAGAUGAUGUGAUAAUAAUAAAAGCGUAGUGGUGUCAUCGACUAAGCUGGAAUCCGUAGGGCAGAUUUAAACAAAGGGGAAGACAUGGUAAUAUUGGCUCUUCAUUAAAACAACAAAGCAUAUGAGAGUCACUCAUCAUUUUCAUCACGGUCUUCCCUUUUCAUGACUCAAUAAAAGCCAAAUAAAUUUAGAGAAACACACUACAAUAUUUUUUGAGUUUUUCUUCUUAAGCAAGCGAAAUAAACUAAGGGAAAAUAAGAACGAGAAAAACUAUUUACACGGGAAAGCUCCCGACAAGCAAAAGGAAAUCGUUUGGGGUCUUUUUUAAUAUUAUAGCUAAUUAAACGAGAAAGAAAACCCGAAAAGAAAUGAGAAAUAUUUUUGGAUUUACUAAAUUUUUCCUAACACAUAAGAAGAAAGGGAAAAAUAAAGCUAACAUGAGCAUACAAUGAAAGAGCAUGAACACCGACAAUUUAUAUGAAGUAUGUGAACAUGAAUGUAAUGUCGAUGGGAAAUUCGUACUCCCCCAAGCUUAGGCUUUUGCCUAGCUUGGUAAUCACCAAUGGUAGUCUGGGAAGUGGUUGAGAUGGUAGCUUGUUGGGGCAUUCCUGGCUGCCUCUUCUGCCAAGCGAGUGGCCUCUACUGCCGCAUUGUACUCCCGCACUUCGUUCUCAAGAACAUAGUAUCUGUCACGAUGAUGAAAAUUAAAGAGGGCACAUGCAGACAAAGUAACAGGCAUAGGUGUAUAUUUCUCAAAUAUUAAGUUAUACACAUAUCCUCUACACUAUUUACAAUAAACUCGUGAGACCGCAUAGCUUCAUAAUCAAGAUAUAUAUCAAGCAAAAUAGGAUCAUUAGGUUGAGGUGACACUCCCAAUUGUGCAAUUAUACGGGAGGCAUAAAUUCCUCCAUACAAUUCUCCGUUGCUAGAGUUGGAAUGCAGCCUUCGAGCAACAAUUGCACCUAGAUUAUAGCGUUGUUCACCCGUCACAACAGUGUGAAUAAGGCUCAAAUCAGGAGCACAUAACGCAGUGGAAUCUUGUUUCCCUACUACGCAUUUCCCAUUAAAUAGUGCAAAGUAACGAAUAGAGGGAAAAUUGAAUGCUUUUAAUUCUAGCCUGUGCCACUCCUCUAUUUUCUCCAACACAGAGGCUCUCAAGGAAUAAACUAUAAUCAAUUUUUGAUGGUUUCUCAAGUGAUCCCCCAAGUGGGAGCUUGCAUGCGACAUAAAAUUCUUCUAGGCUCAUGCUAAAGGCUUUUUCAUACAGCUUACAUAAAAUCUAGAAGUACUAGAGAGAUAACGGAAUUGAUGCAUGAAUGUGUGGGUAAGGUUAUAAUGUUGAACACGCAUAUGUGCAAGGAAGUUGGUGAGGCUGGUGUCAUGAAUGAAAUGAUCAAAUUCCUCCUUGAUACCUGCAUUCCUCAUGAACUCUUCGCUUGGCCAUCGGUAGGAUUUGGCAUCAGCCAUGACUAUCUAAUUAGCCUAAGGCUCAAUGUAAGCUUGUUGUAUCGAGCCCUCACUCAAUGAUUCACCCGAAGUAUUCUUUCUCGAGGAACUCCCCUUGAAGAAACUCAUCUCCCUAAGCACAAAUUUCUAAAAAAGUUGGACCACAAAAAUAUGUCAAUAAAACUUUAUGAGAAUGAUAGCAACUACUCAUAUGGAUACUUAGAGGCUAUAUAAAGCACUGAUGCUACUUGGAACUUAAAGAAUUUAACAUGCAAGCUUAUUUUCUGUAGCACCAAGUGCAGCGCUUUAUGCCAAAUAUAAAACACUAAGGCAAAAACUAAUUGGAGAGAUGGAGGAGUCACAUACCAAGGAACAAUUUCCUUAAAACACUUUCGGAAACGGGUUUCCGAGCAAGGGGAUCAAAAAUUUCAGUUGUGGAGGAAGAACGCGGGAGAGAGAGAGAGCUAGAAUUUUUUUUUCUUGAGCUAGAGGAUGAUGUGAGCUAAAGGGAUAGGGGAGGGGACCCUGUGGAUCCCACAAGCCAUGAGGGUGUGACCACGGGGGCCACGCCCUGUUGGCUUGUGGCCCAUAGGUGCGUCUCCCUACUACUAUUUUUAUGCCAAAAAAUCUUAUUUAUUCUAGAAAAAAAUCAUGUUAAAAUUUUAGGGCAUUUUGAGAAUUUUUACUUUUUGGGUCAUUUUUCUAUGGUACGAAAAAAAUCAGAAAAUAGCUUAAUCAUGGAUUUUUACUUUUACGUAACUAAGAGAACAUACAAUAAACUUGGGGUACACAUAGUUGUGAAUACUCAAUUCAUCGAUAACAUGCCUUUUGAAAAGGAUCCAUUAAUUAGAUUGAUCAAGUCUUAUUAACAAUCGCUUUCGAUAAACAUGAACCGGAGAACUUUUGUAUAUCACUAGGUUACCUCAUUGGGAAUUUGCAUAUCCCUCAAAAUAAGAUUAUAUUAUUUCUUUUUCUUGGAAGUAUGUAGGGGAAUGGUAAAAUUUCCAAUGAUGGCCUGGGAAUAGGCUCAAUGACAUUAAUAUUGUUAACCAAAGUUUGCUUCUUUCGAAAAUGCACCGUAUGUUGCUUGCCACUAACAUGAAAAGUGACCUUGCUUUUGUUGCAACCAAUAAUAGACCCUGCGGUAUUUAGAAAGGGUCUACCGAGGAUAAUUGACAUACUGUCGUCCUCGGGCAUAUCAAGAAUAACAAAGUCUAUUAAGAUAGUAACAUUUGCAACCACAAUGGGGACGUCCUCGCAAAUUCCAAUAGGUAAAGCAAUAGAUUUAUCAGCCAUUUGCAUAGAUAUCUUAGUGGGUGUAACCUUAUCUAAUUCAAGUCUUCUAUACACAGAGAAAGGCAUAACAGUAACGUCUGCUCCUAAAUCACAUAAAGCAAUUUUAACAUAAUUUAUUUUAGUGGAGUAAUGUAUUGUGGGUAUACCCGGAUCUACCAACUUCUUAGGUAUUCCACCAUCAAGAGAGUAAUUAGCAAUCAUAGUAGCAAUUUGAGUUUCGGGUAUCUUUCUUUUAUUGGUAAUAAUAUCCUUCAUGUAUUCAGCAUACGGAGGCAUUUUCAGUAUAUUAGUCAAGCGAAUGCACAAAAAGAGAGGUCUAAUCAUUUAAGCAAAGCAUUCAAAAUCUUCAUCGUCCCUACUUUUAGAAGAAUUUUGAGGGAAUGGCAUGGGUUUUUUAACCCAUGGCUCUGUUUCCCUUCCAUGUUUUCUAGCAACAAAGUCUGCCUUAGCAUAAUGUUUAUUUUUAGGAGGUGGGUUAUCAAGACCCUCAGGAGGUUCUAUCUCAACAAUAUUAUUAGGUUCCUUAUUACUACCUAGUGGAUCUUCUACAUGAACAUCAUUAUUAUCAUUAUCAGUAAGUUCAUGUUCAUUACCAGAUUGUGUUUAAGCAUCAGAAAUAGAAACAUCAUUGUGAUUCUUAGCAGGUUUCUCAUUAUCAGGUUCACUAGGGGCAUGCAAAGUCCUAUCAUUUUUCUUUUUCUUUUUCUUCCUAAUGGGACUAGGAGUAUCAUCAUUAGUUCCGUGGGAAUCAUGUUCUAUUCUUUUAGGGUGACCUUCAGGAUAAAGGGGUUCCUAAGUCAUUCUACCUUCUCUAGUCAUUACUCUAACGGCAUGAUCAUUAAUAUUAUUCAUGUGAGCAAACAAAUCAUUUUGUGACUUAGCUACUUGAUCUAAUUGGGUGUGAACCAUAGAGGCAUGUUUACCUAGACCCUUCACAUCAUUAGCAAUUAUAAAGAUCAAGUCACCUAAGCGGUCUAUCAUCAUGGCAUUAUUAUUUAAUUGAUCCUUAACACAAUUACUUAAGUGUUCUUGUUUAACAAUGUAAUUAUCAAAUACAUCCAUGCAUUGAUGAGGAGUCUUAGCAUAAGGUAUAUCAUUUCAGUAAAGGAAUGGAGAGAAUUUACCUUUAGUACAUGUGUCAGGGUAUCAAGUGGCACACCCUGUGUUUGUACCACUUUUGCCACAUGUUGCUUUAUGAGAAUUUGGAACCAAUUAAAACUUUUGCAUGUUUGUGAUGAUUGAUUUCUGUUGCAACUUGCUUGUGUGACUGAUUGAGUUUUUGAAUCACUACAGUUGUUCUCCUGUCUAAAACCUACCUCCUUCACCCCAAGCCCUUGACCAAUGAUCAUGCCAUGUGAAUAGGGAUAGAAAACAAUUUUUAUAAACUACUAUUUUAAACAAAGGCUUUUAAUCAUUUUAAAUUCUCCAAAACCCCUCAUUUGAGAUUUGCACUUCAAGUCCCCAAAUUAGGAGGGAUGUUUUACACCAAAGGUUUUAUUUGCACCCUAUUAUUCAAAAGACUUCCCAAAACAACACAAUAAAUAUUUUUAAAGUUAUUUUCCUAUUUUAUUUAGAUACGUUUUUGAGGCUAGAAAUGGUAUUUCAUAGGGAAAAAAUAUUUUCUUGCUUCAUAAAUAUUUGAUAAAAUUUAGGGAAACUCAGUGGACAUAUAUCUUCCAUAAAUAAGAGUUUCAACACAUGGUCAUGUUCAAAAUAUUGGACAAAAACCCUCAAAACCCUUUCUGCCUAUUUCAAGCUUUUGAGAUAUUUCCAAAGGAAAUAUUCUCAAUAAACCCGAGGAAAAUUAUAUCAAGUCACGCAUGGUAAGUGUGGUGAUCCUGCAAAGUUUCAUCUCAAUCCAAGUUGAUUUGAUCCACCUAUUAACCCCAAAACCCAUCCUAUCCAGAACCAAAUUUGAGCAACUCUACAUUGCCAAGUUUACCUAAUCGCUCUCAAACUUGACAAGAGUGAUACAGCCCCAAAACAGGGAUGCCACACCAAGUCUUGCAUUUGUGGGAGUUGAUUUGAUCACCUUGGUCCACAGAAAUCUAAUUAUGUCCAUUUCUAGGGUUUUUCAUGUCUAGAUUCUCAACCUUGCUCAAAUGAGCUCAGACUUGGUGAAUCCUAUUGGUUUUGCUCAUAAUCCGAUCCUGUUAAAUAUCACUACAAGUGGUGAGAUUUAUCUUCCUAAAACUAGCAUCAAACACCUUCUGGUGAAUUGGUAAAACUGCUACUUUCACCCCCUACAAUGUUCUCCUUCACUCCAAAUAUUUACCACAAGGCCACAGAGUCACUCUAGACAUGCGGUAGCAAGAUCCAGCUCUAGUUCAACCAUGGAGUUAGACAAAAAAACAAUUACCCCUCUCUUCCACCCUCGCAGAAGCUUUCCACCCCUCUCCUUUUGACCAGAGACCACCCCCUCGGCUCCAAGGCAUCCCAGGAGCAUCCCCACAUAACCCACACACUAGAGGACAAGAUGGGGUGCGCUAGAGCACGCUAGCAUGCCGUGGCAUGCCAAACCUACAGUCUCGCCGCGCUACAGUGCGCACCCACAUGUUGGGAGGCCAGCCUCGGCCAGCUUUAGAGUCCUCCGACUGUCCCGUGCGGGCCCUCGACCGUAGGAGACCUGCACCAUGUUGUGCCCCUCCUCUCUCCCCUUCUACCCCCUGCGACGCGUGGCCCCGGCGACCGAUUCGGUCAUAUGGCGCCCGCCACUGCAGCACGCCAAGAGCCAGCUCCAUGCUCCUCCUUGACCAUGUUUCGACCCCAUACCGCGUCCACGAAGACCGCAGAUGUGCUCCCAAGCCAUCUCUCCUCCACUGGUCGUCGUCAUGGUCUCAUCGGCGCACGAACAUUCGGUGCAUCGUGCCCCCGCUAUAUAACGCCACCCGAGCAUCCCUCUCCCUCACUUCAACCUCGUGCUGCACCUAAUCACACCCCUGAGCCACGCAUUCAUCUCCAGGAACCCCCACGCUCGAGAUCUACUUUCGGAUCCGCCGCAUCGGGAUUCCGGCAACCCUUGGGUACAAGACCGCUCCACCUCUCAUUUCUUUUCUAAUGGGUCCACAAUAGCUUCCUCAUGCUUUCCCCUCUCUUCCCUAUUCUUUUCCUCCAGGUUUCGGCCCCGACGACCACCCUCUCAAGCUCAUCCGCCGCAGGACCUCGUCACGGCGACUCCCUGCACCCCUGCUCCCCCUUCCUCCACCAGUCGAACGGCGGCUCGUCCCUGGAUCCAUUUUCAUCCCUAGCCACACUCAUCGUGCCCUCUGUCAUUGCUGGUGAGCUUUCCGCCCUCUCUCUCCCGAUGUUGAAGAUGAAAGGUGUGGUCCACCUAUCAUCCUCACCUCUCCCUCGCCUCCCCUCUCUCCCACUGGCGGUUGGGCCCCGCCUGUUGAGUUUAAACCCUCGCGGGUGUGCGCGCCUAGUCCACUUGGGCUAGUUCGCUAGCUGGGCCGAUUCGGCCAGCAGCUCCACGCCGAGGAACUAUGCCCUUUUUCCUUUUCCAUUUAAAUUUUGUGUUAUAAAAAUUCCACAUGAUUAAAUAUUUAUCCAAAGUCAAAUAUUCCUCCACCACAAAUCUUGUACUAUUAUGUAGUAUUUUAGAGUGCCACUUGUGCAUUUUUACAAAGGUUGCACGCACUGUAUUAUUUUAAAACCUUGUUUUAGAUAUUUUAAUACUCUAUUAAAAUGGUUUCUGCAACUUUUGUAGUCCAAAAAUAAAACCUAAUAAUUGUUUUUGACAAGCUACUGUAGGGAAACACCCCACACCUUAAAACCUAAUAAUUUUUACAGAACCUAAACUCACCCUAGUAUUAUACAAAAAUGGUGUGACAUUUUUCUGAGUAUAAUAUUUUCCCGGUUUUGGUUGAGUGCUUAUUUUUUCCCAUUUAAUUGCGGUGAUAGAUUGCAUUGCUGAAGAGGGGCUUGGACCAGAAGACCUCGAAGAUCCCGGAGACCUGUUUGAGCAAGGCAAGCAACCCUUGACCAUGUGAGAAAAUACUUUCAUGCAUGUCAUAUGAAGCAUUUUAUUACGACCCAUAAGACCAUGUUGAAUUGGUAACUACCUCUGUGGGGUGUUUCCGAUAGUUCCUAUUGACACUUGCACUUGGUCAUAACCCUAUCAUUUAUGAGGGUUGUGCGGGUGGAAGUAGUUAGGUUGCUAGUAGUGCUACACAUGGGAGUGAGCACAUGCAUGGUGAUGGUAAAAAGGAAGUGAUUUCAAAGGUUUUACAAAAAACCCGUCAUGUGCCACUAAUGCCCGAGGGAGAUGGUGUGAGAUAGGUAACUACUUGAGAGAGAAGCGGCAUACCAAGGCUAGUGAGUGUGUGGUUUUAAAAAUCGGAUUUGUUUAAGUUGCGACCGUUACUGCUUACAUGUGCAACCACGACACCCCUUAUGGGACGGGGCUUUGCUGACUACUAUGGUCGGCUCUAGUACAGAUCCCACAUUACUAGUGGAGGGAGUGACGUGGUUACUCUCGAGACAGGGUCGUGCCCGGAUAAGGGGCGACCAUGGGCUGUUUUUACGGACAAUGGGCACACCGUUGCGUGCCCUCGUGGAUGAUACGUGUGGUGUACAUCACGAGGGACUGUCACCAACGAGUGGACUCUUGCUAGUAUCAUCAUGGGAAAGGUGAUGUUCGGGUACUUACCUCGGGUAUGAUAAAUACAACGAGUCGUGUUCUGACACGGAAGUUUCCCGAAUCUUGUGGGUAAAGUGUGCAACCUCUAUAGAGUGUAAAACUAUUUGAAUAGCCAUGUCCAUGGUCAAGGACAGUUGGAUGACCGCUCUUGGGCUACGUCCAUGUUUACCAAAAACUGUGCGUGUGUGGAAAGGGGUGGUGUGUGGGUAAUAUGGCGUGUGGGCUGAGUCAGGUGACUUGGCAGUGUAGGAUCAAAAGUAUGUCUAGAGAGGGGGUGAUUACACUACUUGACAAGAUAAAAACCUAUCUGUUUCCCAAUUUUAGUUGUGGGCUAGUUUUAGCAAUUAUGGCAAGUCAAGUACACCCUACACAUGUAGUUCUAAGAGUAUAGCAGCGCAAUGUAAAACAUGCAAGCGUAAAGUAAAGGAGUAAGGUAGGGAGAUCACACACAUGGGGUUGACACGACGACUUUUGGCAUGGUUCCGAUAGGUGGAGCUAUCGUAUGUCCAUGUAGUGGAGACUUCAACCCACGGAGGGUAAUAGUUGCGAGAUUCCACGGAGAGCUCCACCCACAAGGGGUCCACGAAGAAGCGGCCUUGUCUAUUCCACCACGGCUUCCUUCCACAAAGGACUAGCCUCACUCACGGUAGAUCUUCACUAAGUAGGCGAUCUCCUUGCCCUUACAAACAUGUUGGUUCAACUCCACAACACGAAGUAGGAGGCUCCCAAGCAACACCUAACCAAUCUAGGAGGCACCACCCUCCAAAAGGUAAUAGAUGUAGUAGAACGAUGAACUCCUUGCUCUUGUGCUUCUAAAGAUAGUAUCCUCUACACACAAUCACUCUCUCACAGAAUAGGCAUGCGUAGGAGAGGUUGAUUUGGUGGAAAGCAGAUGGGGAGGCUAGAUAUCAAGUUUCAAAUGAUUGGAUUGGAAUGUCUUGAUCUCAACAUAUGAGUAGGUGGCUCUCACUCAGAAAAAUGGAUCUGGAAAUAAAGUGUGUGUUCUGAGUGUUUCUCCCUCGAAAGAGAGAUAGUGGAGGGGGUAUAUAUAGGCAGUUCCCAAAAUCCAACCGUUACACCUAAAGUGACCAACUCGGUGACACCGAAGUCAGGAACUCGGUUGUACCGACUUGCACUAAAGGCAGCAAAUUUUGAAUCUCGGUGGAACCGGUAUACACAACUCGGUGACACCGAAAAGGUGGCUAACGGUCAGAUGACACGACUCAGUGACACCGAUACCCAAACUCGAAAUUCUAAUUUUGUGUACUGAGGCAACAGAAAGUUGGUCACCUAAACUCGGUAGCACCGACACGGUUUCGGUUGCACCGAUUUGGUGGCUUUGGCUAGGUUCUGUCUAGGAUGAAAAUUGGUAGGGCCAAAUUGAGAAACUUGGUGGCACCGAUUUUGUGUAUGUGACUAUGGACAGAAUGGUUAUGUCGGAAAAUUACUGAGUAUUUUUGGUGGCUAUCUCUGAGCACUUGAGCAACCAGUUCAUUUUAAUACCUCACCCCCUUUUAAUAUUAUUGGUUGUCCUAUGUACUCAAAAGCGAUUUCUCACAAAUAUAAAAUGAAGAGUCUUCUAGCUUGAAGCUUGGGCCAAUCUUAUUCCUUUCUUGCAUCAAGGGGCAUCUCCAUAUAAGCCUUUAGCCAAUGCAUCUUUUGAACUUUUCUGAAAUAUACUUGGAUAAACAUAUUAGUCCAAUGAUGCAUAUGUUGUGAUCAAUUAUCAACACCACCCUAGGGAGCAAUUGUGCUUUCAGGCACGAUUGGUGAACAACGGUUUCCCGACCCCUCAGUUGAUAUUGAUAUUUGUAACCUGCUCUUGGUUACCGAUUACCUUAUGAUGCAUGCCUCACGAGAAGUUGAUAAUGUUAUUGCACUAGGGAAAGAUCUGCUUUCCGCAAAAUAGCAUACUAGUGUUAUGUCAUCAUUCAUUAUUGCCUUGUUCCAUAUCUUGGGUUGCUUGCGAGUACAUUCAAAAUACUCAUUGGCUUGCCACUGGUUAUUUAAUUGGCUAGGCAUGGAAGAACGAGAUUUUGGGGAAGAGUUUGUCGGAGAAGAACAUGCGAACUAGGACGCUUCCCAGUCAGAAUGCGUGUAGGUUAAGGCAGAUGGCAUGGGUUCACACUUUCAACCUAGAUAUCCGCUGCUUGGUUGUGUUUGGUGUGUCGGCCUUCGAGGCCCUAUCUAUGUAAUGACUUGGCCUUAAUGGUCUUUAUUUGUAUUAGACGGUACCCCUAUCUAUGUAAUGACUUGGUCUUAAUGGUCUUUAUUUGUAUUAGACGGUACGUAUGGAUGUAAGACUCGUUUUAUUCAGCUUCUGUGUGUUCGGUGAGCAUUGAUCUCUGGGAUCACCGUACACGUGCAUUCGGUGAUUACAACUUACAAGUCGGAGUCCCCACAUCAAGUCCAUGUAUUUAUUCAAGCGGUGGUAAUUUCUUGACAUCCUCAAUUUUAAUAGCUUUCUCCUUUAUAUAUCUUUUUGCAUCUUGCAUAUCUUUAGGGCUGAGGAAUACAAUACCUCUCUUCUUUUGAAUAGGUUCUCGGUGAUUGUUCAGGGAAUGUCCAAUCAUCGGUAUUUUGCAAUAUAUUAUUUAGUAACACUUCUUCUUGUUCAACGGUUCUUCCCUAGAAACACAACUAGCACAACUAUCUAGGAAAUCCCUAGAAGCAUUUGUUAGUCCAUUAUAACAUAUAUGAAGAAUUUCAUUCUUCUUAAGAGGGCAAUCAGGCAAAGCUCUAAGUAACUCGAGAAGCCUCCCCCAAGCUCGAGGGAGAUUCUCUUCUUCAAUUUGCACAAAGUUAAAUAUUUCCUGUAAAGCAGCUUGUUUCUUAUGAGCAGGAUUUUUUUCCAUAGAAGUAAUAAAGCAUAUCCUAGGGACUACGCAUACAACUAGGAGCAAGAGAAAGAAACGAUUCAUUGGCCUCGCCUUUCAGCGAGACGGGAAAAAGCUUAAGGAUAUAAUAGUAGCGUAUAUUUUCAUCAUUGGUGAACAAAGUAGGAAUAUCAUUUAGUUUCAUAAGGUGUUCAACCACAGUUUCAUUUUCACAACCAUGAAAAGGAUCAUACUCUACUAUAGGAAUUAAUUCAGGGUCUAUAGAAAAUUCAUAGUCCUUAUCAGUGACAAAUAUAGGAGAAGUAGCAAAACUAGGAUCAUGUUUCAUUUUCUCCAUCAUAGAUUUUUCUUUUAGUAUGCAUGGUAACUUUUUCAUACCAUCUCUAUCUUUGCAAGCAAGAAAGUACCUAGCCCCCUCACGAUCCAUAACAUAACCUUCAGGUACAUAAGGUAAUUCAUAUCUAUUCGGAGGACGGGGUGUAACGGGUGAUUCAAAAUCUUCAUCAGUUUCAGCAUUUUCAAGUUCGCUAGCUCUAGCAAUAUGAGCAUCAAGUAAUUCACUCAGUGGCACAGUUUUAGUUCAACAUGUGUAGCAAUAGUAUCAUGAUUAAUUGCAGAAGAAGCAUCGUCAAGUUCAUGUGACAAAUCGGGACGAUCAACACGUGGUGGUGUAACAAGCUGAUUAAAAACAGUAGGUGAAUCAAAAGCAGAGGUAGAUGGUAGUUCCUUACCUCCUCUCGUGCUAGAGGGGAUGAUCUUAGUUCGAUUAUCUUUCAGAUUCUUCAUAGUGGCAAUUGGAUAUCCUCAAGUCAACACAAUAAAUAAAUCUCUGCUCCCCAAAAAAUGGUGCCAAAAAAGGAUCUUGAUAGCCCCACAAGUAUAGGGGAUUGCGACAGUCUUCACGGGUAUUAUUUCACCCUAAUUUAUUGAUUCAACACAAGGGGAGCCAAAGAAUAUUUAUUGGCCAUAACAGUUGAGUUGUCAGUUCAACCACACCUGGGAUAUCUUUCUACAAUAAGGACUUAGUAGCAUAAUAAAUGAUAGUAGAACACUAACAAUGAUAACAACAAUUUUGGUAAUAGUAGUAACAGUAGAAAUUCAGUAGCAGGUGUGAUAGCAGCAACAACAGUAGUAACUUAGCAAGAUGACUAUAUGUAAAGCAUAGGCACAUGGACCGGUGAUGGAUAAUGAUUUAGAAGACACUGGUCAUAUAACAGUUAGACACUAGGGCGACAUAGAACUAGCUCCAAUUGAUCAAUACAAUGUAGGAAUGUGUUCCGUAUAUAGUCAUCCGUGCUUGCGAUAAGAACUUGCAUGACAUCUUUUGUCCUACCCUCCCGUGGCGGCGGGGUCCUAUUGGAAACUAAGGGAUAUUAAGACCUCCUUUUAAUAGAGAACCGAAACAAAGCAUUGACACAUGGUGAAUACAUGAACUCCUCAAACUACGACAAUCACCGGAAAGAAUCCCAAUUAUUUUCACCUUGGGGUAUGCGGAUCAAGACACGUAAUAGGUAACCACAGCUUGCAACAUAGGAUCUAAAUCACUAUUAUAUUCAUGAAAACACAAUAGGUUAAGAUCUUAAUUCAUGGUACUCGGGACAUGUGACAUCAAUCUCAGAACAUAGUGGAUACUAGGGAUCAAGCCCUGUCAACUUAACUCGAUGACAUGAUCAAUCCCAUUCAAUCUCACCACCAUCCAGCAAGACUACAAAGGAAUUACUCACUCCCGAUAGUGAGAAUCAAGGGGGUGUUGAUGAAGAAGGGUUGGUGAUGACGACGAUGAUGAAUCCCCCUCUCCAGAGCCCCAAACGAACUCCAGAUCAGCCCUCCCGAGGAAAAACACGAGGUGGCGGCGGCUCCAUCUCGUGAAAUGCGAUGAAAACUUCUCUCUAUUUAUUCUCCGAAGAUGUGAUCUUAUAGGAUUGGAAUUAGGGUCGGAGGAGCCACAUGGGCCCCACAAGCCAUCAAGAUCUGGCCUUGGGGGCGUCGUGUUGGCUUGUGGCCCGUGGCAGUGUUUCUUCAGCAGCUCUUUCCUCCAUAAUUCCUUAUAAAUGCCAGAAAUAAUUCACAAAAAGUUUCAUCCAAUUCCGAGAACUUCUAUUUCUAAAAAAGUAACACCAAGGUAGUUCUGCUGAAAACAACAUCAGUCCACGUUAGCUUCAUUCAAAUUAUGCAAAUUAGAGGUCAAAACAAGAACAAAAGUGUUUGGAAAAGUAGAUAUCUUGGAGACGUAUCAUAGCCCACGAGGGCCAACUCGUCAGUAUGUGAUGGGGCGGGUCUUCAGUUUGGACCUCAUAAUUUGUUAAACACUUGAAUACUGUAGCCCUCUAAGUGUCGUGUCACAUGCAUGCAGUGACUUGGGACUUUAGAAAAAUUGAUCUGAGUAGUGUAGCCCCCAAGUGUUGGGUCAUUUUGCUACAGCGACUCGAGACUUAUAUGUACUUCUCCUUUGAAAAUAAAAACAUUAUAUGAUGUAGCCCCAAAGUGUCAGGUCGUUUGCUUGCAAUGACUUGGGACUGUGUGAGAAUAAUAUAACCCAUGAUAAUGCACUUGAGAAGUUCUCUUUAACUUGAAUGAAUCCUUGACCGUGGUUGCAAUGCAAUCCGGUAAUUUAUUGUCUUGUACGAAUAUCUAGGAAUAAUGCCUUUGUGCUUGAAAUGAAAUACUUGCUCGUGGUUGUGGUACAACCCGACAAAUAUAUGUUUUAGAAAUCCAUAAGUGUUGUAGUUUACUAUAGAGCACAAAUUGAAAAAAUGUAAGAGACGGUCAAUUAGAUGACCCGGCAUUAUAUGUGAUAGGUUGGCUCAACAAUACGUAAUAUACUAUCUUAGCAAUGAUAGACCGGCUUUUCGAGAAUAUUUAUUUAUUCUGAGCUAGCUUGGAAACCCUAAUCAUUUAAUACUCGUUAUGAUAAAACAUGAUGAAGAUUCUGUCAUUUUGGCUAUCGAAGAUUUAUUUGUUCCUGCAAAAGUUACGAUGUAACCUGGUUUGAAUACCACCUUUCCACAACAUAAACAAUAUAGAAAUGUAUGUAUGAUACAUUAUGAAAUGAUGCAAUGCAGAAUGAUGUAUGUAUAUGAUAACAGAAUAUAAAAAUAUCGUCUUUCGUGGCUGGAGUCUUGCUUCAAUGAAGCUAGCGUGAUAGCCCAUGGUUUGUCCUCGCUUUUUGUAAGUCGGCUCUCACAUGACCCAAUCGAUGUUUUAACCUGGACAAGUUCAGGGUCCAUGUGGUUGGAGUAGCACCUUGUAAAUAUACAGGUUUAACCGAGCUUGUGAUGGCUUGAGUCUUGCUUCAAUGAAGCUAGCGUGAUAUGCCAUGGUUUAUCCUUGCUUUCUGUAAGUCGUCUCUCACAUGACCCAAUCGACGUUUUAACCUUGAUAAGUUCAGGUUCCAUGUGGAUUGACUUAUCAAGAGUACACGAGGUCGGAGUAGCAUCUUGCAAACAGGCAGGUUUAACCGAGCUUGUAAUGGCUUUUAGCCGGGUGAAGAGGGAUAUUAUGACUGGCUAACUCGUUGAGUCGGGAUCCCCCAAGUGACCUAUGAUCAUGGAAAAGCUGAGCAUAGGAUAUACAACAGACAAUGCUACUAAUGCAAACCAUCUGGGGUCCACAUAAGCCAACUUCUAUUCCAUUAAUAAUAAUAUGAUGAGCCAAUAAGGCAAGAUAAUAUAUUUGAACAACGCAUCAUGGCAGCUAGUUUGGAAACCUUUAAUUUUUCGCUAAUAAGGCAGGUCACCCAUGUUUGAACUACGCAUUAUGGAAGCUUGUCCUCUUGGGCGAUCUUCAAUUUUUUCGCCAAUAAGGCAGCAGCUCCCGGAACCGGGUUAUCUUCCGUGUAAUGACCCGGGGUUUUGGAAUUUGUUGAAACUAGCCAAAUCUGCUGAGUCAUGUCUGUGUAACCCCCGAGUCUUAGGUCGACUCAAAGAGGCGUCUUGAGAGUCUUCAUACUUGGUUGUAGCAUAAGCCGGUGUAAAGUUGACAACUGAACUAUGGAAUUUAUCCAAACUGGAGAUGCUGUGGUGAGUUGAUGAUCUUCGUGAUGAUCAUCGCAUGUUUUUGGCAAACGUUGUGGCCAAUUUGAGUUCAUAUGCCUCUUGACCCAUUCUUUGCUAUUCCUACUUGGUCCAGCUCUCCUAGCUCCUCCAGGUCCACUUUUUUGUUGUUGUCUUUUGAAUUGUCGGCUCAAUGAUGGCCGGCUCAAAUUGUAGCUUCUCGGGGAAUGUUUCCUCCGUGUGUGACUCUUAUUUAUUAAAUGUGUUGAGGUAGACUAGACCGGGGGAUGGCAAGGCAAUGCACCUAUCCAUUGGACAACCCGGUGCGAGUGGAGGUUGGCGCGGGCUUUGGCAAUGUUGCGUAAGACAUGAUUCCAAAUGUCACUUUGCUCCUUGGCUCCAUUGUUGUUGGAAUAAAUCGGACCAUGGGGGUGGUUUGCGUGCGUCCGUAGGGUGGCUCGAGCGAGCACGCACGGUACCAGCAUGUUGAUGUAGAUGUGGGAGUCAGCCAUCGUGUUCGAGACCGGCUUGAUAGCGCGGAUGCGAUAGUUCGGCGCGGCGUUUGUAACCCAGCGUUGCCGUGCAAGUCGGAUGCGGCGUUGGAAAUCUGUGUGGACGGUGAGUCGGACGUGGCAUUUAUGCUGGUGUAGACGAUGAGUCAGUCAUGUCAUUCUAAACCUAUGCAGACUCAUGGGUCGGCUAUGGCGUGUUGAUAUAGCCUGGAUCAACGGGGGCGACGACUUGCAUGUGUGUCCGUCAGAUAGUGCAACAUUGACGGAUGCUGGUGCAUCAUGAUGUUGACGCAAGCUCUAUACGUGCAAUAUAACGCCACUUUUGUAAUAAACAUUUUUCCUGCAAAAAAUAGUAUAGGCCAAAAACAAUUAUCUUUGAUCGAAUAAUAUGUAUUGGAAAAUAGAUAGGACAAAUAGCACCACAUUUGUUUUUCUCGGAUGAACGCGAACGCUAGUGCAGAAUAAUGCUUGACAUAGUAUCAACACCCACCUGAUUUGUUUUUGGCCAGCUGCCCCUUCUCCCUUUUUUAUUAUUAUCCUCUAGCCGGCUUUCCCCACGGCAGUCGGUUCGUGAGGCGGCAUCCGGCGCAGGCGGCCCAAGCGUGCGAGCGGAGCCACCGGCCCGUAGGACGACUGACUUGUAGAGCCGCGCAAGGGAGGCGUGGCUGAGCCGGUGAAUGCACGACGAUAGGUGGAGGCGAGGCGGAGGACGCCGGGGGCAGGGAAAAAUCGGUCGAGGUGUGGCGCGGACCUGAUGCGAUGCGGGCGAGGCCCUGGGUGGAGCUAGCCACGGCGUAGCAGGCAAGGCGAUACGGAAGUGGCCAACGCAUGGCGCAGCGCGAUGUGGGGACAUGUAAGCGACCGUGGCGAGACGGAUCUAACGGUCCCCAGCCGAACCGGCGCACGGAGCCGGCGAGGGAUGCGAUUGGCGGCGCAGUAGUAGAGGGCGUGCGGAGGUUGGUGGGCACGGGCAUGGGAUAGGCACGUCAGCUCUGCAGGAGCUCCUGUACGGCAAGCUCAUGGCUCCCCCGCACGACGCUGUGGUCGUCGGAGGCCUUUUCAUCUACCUGGUCGUCGUCUCCGCCUUCAGCACGGGGGGAUAUGAAAGCAGGGGAUCGGGAUGGGGCGGGGACGGGGAAAAUUGGUGGGGCAAUGGCAGGGGCGGAAUCGGAGCACGUGUAGCAGCUUCUUGGACCACGUGGACCCCGACUUGGAGCUGUUGGUGUGGAGAUAGUACUGCAAGUCUGUCGGUCCAUAGAUCAGAAGGGUAAUGACCAAGUCUUUGCAGUGGGAGACGAAACCGACAUAUCUACACCUGAUCCACUUCGUGUCAAUCUCGAACACGAACAAGCACGGGAGAACCUGGUCAAACUCGGCGACGCGGGGGCGAAAAAUCAGAAUUCGAUGGGUCGCCGAGAGACAUGACACGUGUAGCGGCGCACCAUGCAGUCCUAAUCUCUCGUAUCAAACACAGAUCAAUCUCGUAUAUGUCCUUCCAAAAUGUAUCAACAGAAUUAGUUAACUCGAUUGAUAACAAGCUUCUUGAAUUAUUCAGUGAUUCUUGACUCUCAUCACAAAUUAAUGAAAUUGCACACUCUGCCCAAGGUUGUCCCAUGAAGGAAACUGUAGCAUAGUGGCAACGACUCCUCACAGGGAACGACUGGCCCUAGGUUCGAAUCCCUCCCGGUGCGUGCGUUUGUUUCAUAUCCUCCAAUUCUGAACUUCUCGAUCCUUGGAGAGCUCCCUCCAAGAACAUAACACCAUCGUGCGUGCAGCCCCACGGUGGGCGCCAACUGUCGUGGUUUUGUCACGGCAGAUGUCCUCAUGAUAGAACUUAGGUGUGAGGCAAUCACAACUGGGUGGUAGGUUGGAUGGGGUUGGUCGAAAUCGAGAGACGCGAAUUUUACCCAGCUUCAGCCCCUCCAGUGGAGGUAAAAGCCUAUGUCCUGCUUUGUGUUUUAUUGAUGAUGAUGUUGAUUACAAGGGUGCGGAAUCACUACCUCUAGUCUCGACAGUUUCUAAUAUAUUUGUCUCUAAUGACUUAACUUCUCCCUCUUGGGGUGCCUUGCCCCUCCUUAUAUAAGUUGAAGCGAUAGGCUUACAUGUAGAGUCCUACUAGGACUAAGACUAGGACUAGUCUCUCUUGAAUCCUAAUUCGGGUCUUGAUUCCCUUGUGAGGAAAUCUUUCCUCUUCUUGGGCCUUCUUUGUGAUUUGGACCUCAGGCCUCUCCAUGCGUCGCCUUCAGUUGGGGUGCACAUUCAGCCUUGGGCCUUAUCGUCCAGGUCGACCCGGUAAAGAAGGUGACCUCAUGAGCUACCAAAUGAUGGGCCGAGUCAAACCUCCUGGACGACUCAGACCGUGGGGAAUAUCCCCAAUAGGUAUAUGUAGGCAUCUCCAAAAAUUCAACCGUUAUAACAUUAUUGCCCACCUCGGUGAAACCAAAGUGAAACUCGGUGGCACCGACUAGUGCAAAAUGUGGCAACUUUUGUCUUUUCAGUGAGACCCAUAUAUGAAUCUCGGUGGUACCAAUUUUGGUAGGCCUACUCAGUUUCCACAACUUGGUGAGACGGAUUCUCAAAACAAGGAAAUUCUGAUUUUAAGAAGUUGGUUAAUAGAGUCGAAGGAACUGAUUUUGAUGGCACUUAAAUGAAACUUGGUGGUACCUAGACUCUAGGGUUUGCCAUGGGAUAUGUGUAACACCCCGAGACCGAUGCUCCAGAAGAUUCCCCUUUUAGUCCAUUGUCGUCGUGUGAUUUAAUUAUUUGUCGCAUUCAUCAUCGCAUCAUUCGCGUCAUCUGCAUUGCAUCGACACUUCGUUGCCUUUAGUUUUCAAAACUUGCAUCCAUCAUUAGUUGUUGGUUCUCUCCGUUUUGUCGUUGACCGUUUCGAGACCAACCACACAUGCCCGCGCCCGCGGCAUUGAUAAAAUAUUGUUUUAAAAGUGUGUAUAAAACUUUCUCGGAUUGGGUUGAAACUUGGCAUGCGGUCUUAUUUUAAUGUAAGUAGACCACCUGGCAAAUUUCAUUGCGAUCGGAGAUCGUUUAAUACCCUGACCGUUAAACAUAUAGCGGCACUAUAGCCGGUCCAACGUGAGACGUUUUUCGUUGUUUUAAACUAUGUUGCCGGGUUACCCAUUUCCCUCUCUUCUAUGCCUAGCCUCUCUACACAAUGCAUAGACCCUACGUGCAACCUAGCCCGAAACUCCCCCCCCCCCGACACGAACCCGCGGUCGUGACCGGGUCUGAAUCAACCCCGUUUUACCCCAAAUCAUCAUCGGUUUGUCUAUUGGUCUCCCUAACCUAGUUAUUCUGAGCCAUCCAAUUUAAUCGUAGGGCCAAUUAAACCCCGUUUAGUCUCUUGCCCCUUAUAUAUACGGAUGUGGAUCAAAUCCUACCCUAACCCUAGCUAAAUAGUUCCCCUCCCGAAAGCGUCGCCGCCCCAUCUCAUUUUCCCAGUCGGGCCAACCCAGCACCACCUCUCCUGCCCAAACUCCCACGUGCCCGCGCUCCCUGCUGGCCGAGACCUUGUCGCCGCCGUCAACGACCAGCGGGUCCUGGGUUCGAGCCCUGGGUAUCCCAUUUUGAUUUUGCAAUAUUUCCUUUUGUAUCUUUUUUGCAUACGCUUCUACACUCCACCACGAGCACAACCAAGGUCGGCCUUAUUUUCCAUCAAGUUCGUUAGAGUACCUCGUCCAGUUAAGUUAGUUAUGCUAAUUUGACAGGAACACUCAGCAAGCCUAGUAGUAAGCACUCCACACACCCAUCCAAGGGAUCAUGGGUUCGAAACCCAUGCACACCAAUUUUUCCAUCUUUAUUUUUCCAUUUGCACACACACACACUGAUCUGGGUUCGCUUGCCCAGCCACAUCAAUAUUUUUGCAUGCAUGUUGCAUCCAUGUCAUAUGAUUUGUGUUGCUCGUAUCUCCUAGGUCGUAACCCCGUUGGAAAUGAAUUAUAUGUGUAAAUCGACUAGAAUGACGUGUAGAACCAUGUGAACCUAUUUACUCUGCUGUUUAACAAUAUUAAAACAUGUUAGUUCAGAUCGGGACAGAUUUCUUAAUUAGCGUAUGGGGUCAUUUCGGAGAUGUUAUAAGUUGUUUCCGACCUCAUUUAAAAUGCCUAGAUAGGUAGUUUAUUAGUGCUUCACCUCUUGCCAUGUUUAAACAACAUUUAAUAUUGUCGUGUGCCUAAACGGGAGUGAGCUAAAUAAUUAAAAUGUGGAGUUUCGUCAAUAUGCAACUCGUUGCAUGUUGUGCUUCACUUAAUGUGUAGUGGUUGAUUGUUGUGAAUUGCCAUGCCAUGCCUUGCAUAAUUGAAAUGGACAUGCAUCAUAUUAGAUUGUGCAUCAUAUCGUGCAUGUCCCGUGGUGAACAUUGCGUGAUGAUUCUUGUUUCCGGUUUGCUUCUUCUCGACAGAGUUCUGUAAGCGUGUCGGAAUGUGAGGAUCCGUUCGACUACGUUGGUUCGUCUGCUUCACGGAGUCGUUCUUCUUUCAAGCGGGAUCUCAGGCAAGAUGACCAUUUCCCUAGAUACCAUUACUAUCAAUGCCAUGCUAGUUGUCUUGUUUCUUUCGUUAUGUCUCGCUGCCUACCACGUGUUAAAUGUCAGCCUCUCAACAUUGCCAUGAAAACCUUCAACCUUUGUACAACCUAGCAAAUAUGUUACCGUUUGCUUAACCAUUGGAUAGCGUUGCUAGUCGCAGGUGCAGUUGCUUCCAUGUGAUAACAUGGUUUCCUUGUUAUAUCACCAUAUUAAUGCUAUUUCAAUUAAUGCACCUAUAUACUUGGUAAAACGUGGAAGGCUCGACCUUCUAGCCUGGUGUUUUGUUCUACCUUUGUCGCCUUAGUUUUGGCUACUGGUGUCUUAUUCCAUAACUGAGCACUCCUAACAUGUUCGGGGUUGUUAUGGGGACCCCCUUGGUAAAUCGUUUAGUGUUAAGGCGUGCCUCGCAAGACUCAACUUUGGUACUACAUUUUCCUAAAAACUAAUAAAAAUCAUAGGGACCCGCCGACAACCGCGGAUAAUUAAUCAACCCUCGGGCCAGUGCUCCUCAUGAGUGUUGGUCUAAAAAGAGCAGGAUGUGGGGGCACCGGGGGCAACUCGAGGUUUGAUUUAACUCGUAGUGUGACUCAUCCGUCGUGUCCUGAGAACGAGAUACACUGCUCCUAUCGGUUCGUCGACACGUCGGACGGUCUUGCUGGACUUGUCUUAUCUUAACGAUAUAUCUUGUGCAUUGGGAUUCCGGUGAGACUUUGGAUUUUCUCAGAGUUGAGGUUUUCCACUCAGGAAUCCGACGAGAUCGUGAGUUUCGUUAUCGAGGAUUCCUAUGCGGCAUGUGGUAAUUUUUGAUGGAUUAGUUGGAGCACCCCUACAGUCUUAAAUCUUUUGGAAAGCCAUGCCCGCGGUUAUGUGGCAAACUUGGAAACUUUGUUUAACACCUGGUUCUAGAAAACUUGAAGUAAACUUAAUUAAGAUAUGCCAGCUAUGUGCGUAACUGUGACUGUCUCUUCUCUUGAGUUCUGCAUCCGGAAGAGGGCAUGGUGGGGUUAUGUCUGAUGUAAGUAGGUGUUCAGGAUCAUUCAUUUGAUCAUCAGUAGUUCACGUCCGCUAUGCGUAGAUCAUCCCCCCUCUUUUAUUCUUGUACCCAUAAGUUAUCCACCUCAAAUAAAUGCUUAGUCGCUUGUGGCAGCCUCACCACUUAACCAUACCUCACCCAUUAAGCUUGUUAGUCUUGAUACCUUUGGAAAUGAGAUUGUUGAGUCCCUGUGGCUCACAGAUUACUACAACACCAGUUGCAGGUACAGGUAAAGCGAUACUUUGACGUGAGCGCAAUGAUUGUUCUAUUUGGAGUUUCUUCUUCUUCUUCUUCUUCGAUCUAGGAUGGGUUCGAUGCUGGCAGCCUGGGAUAGCAAGGAUGAACGUCGUUCUUUUAUCAUUUGUUUCCGUCCGUAGUCGGACCCUCCUCUUCUUCAUGAUGACUGUAUGUUGUUGUACUGAUGUGAACUUGUUGUAGCUUGUGGCAAUUGUAAGCCAAUUCCAUAUACUCAUCUCUUUAGUACAUGUACUUGUAACGAUAUUCAUUCUUAUGAAACGACGAGAUGCGCUUCUAUCCCUGUCCAGGCCCUCGUGCCAAAAUAAGGAUAAGAUCGCAUCUUGGGCGUUACAAGUUGGUAUCAGAGCAGUACCGACCUAGGAGCCCCCUUGAUUGAUCGAACUUGGCCGGGUCGAGUCUAGUGAAAAACUACUUUGAGUCUAUUUAUAUAUCAGAGAGUAUGAUUCUGUUUUCUCCUCUUCUAUGCUCUAGUGAGGAAUCUUGACGUAAUAAUUUUAAUUCUUCUCCUCUUCUCACACAAUUUUUGUUAGGAUUACGUAGAUAUAUUUGGAAUCUAUAUGAUGUCGAUGUGAUGGAGUUCUGUCUUGGUGCCUCCUGUAUGACUUGAUUUCUUUUGGGGAGUUGAGCUCCAAGGGAUUCUUGAGCACAUCUUUAUCGUUCAGAUUUCUUAGUAUCUCAAGAUGAAGGAUGUUCAAAAUUGCUUCAAUACUAGUAGUAGAGAGAGGAGUCCGGCAUCCCCAGUACUGGUGGAGAGAGUUCGGAUGUACUGUCAUACUUAGUAUCGUUGUGUUUUCGAGGGACUGAGAUAGUUGAGUUUCCAAGAUCUGUGGUUAUGUGUUGACGGAGGUGAUACACUGGACAGAUUAGUGUUAUUGCUAGGAGUUGAGUGAUGGAUUUUGCUCCUUGUAUUCAUGGAACCAAUUGCAAGACCAGAAAAUUCGGGAGUUCUUAGGUGGGAAUUCAAGUAGUUACUUAUAGGACAAUCUUCCAACAGAUGCAUGAUUUGAGGUUGUGGUUCGACAUCUAGUGGAAUACCACAAAAACAUCGAGCGAAAUCUCUGUCAUGAAUUUGUUCCGGCUUGUUUCGUAAGCAUCAUCCUUUGUUUUGUUGGAAUAUGGUAAUUCGAGUUGCUUCGAUGUCAAAUGGUGAUUUGAUCUCUUUUCUAAGUGAUGUUCUCAUAUUUCUAUGGGAAUGCUAAUUAUUUUGCUCAGUCAAGUCGCCUUAUCAAUUCUUGUCAACCGGGGUCGUCAUGUCAAUUCUUUUUCAAUCAGUGUGCUUCUCUUCAAGUAAUUCAAUCAUCUCCAAUAUUUGGAAGAUCAAUCUCUCAUUUCUUUUUCUGGAGUUCGUCUCAUCGGUCCCAAGUUGUCUUUGUUUUCCCGCCCUCCCUCCCUUUUUCCUCAAUGUUUCAAUUAUCAUCGAAAUAUAUUCCUUUCAUUAUUGCUUCCGUUAUCUUUUCUUUUCUUUUGUUCCCGAUGAUUCAUUGUGAAGAUUCUCACGAGUUUUGUGUUCAUCAUUCUUCAUUCUUGUUUUCUACUCCGGUGGAUUCAAUUCAAGCUAUCCGUGUUCAUCAUAUCCUUUUCAUCCUUUAAAUUAUUUCCCAUGUUCAAAUUCUUAUCAAGUCUUUCUUGGUUUUUCAUCCCUCUCUAUUCUACCUGGAGUGUUGAAGAUAUCUCAGAAGUUCCUUAUUUUCAAUCCUUUCAAUUAAUUCGAGGUGCUAACCUCAUCAAGUUUUCAUUUGUACCGGCGCAAUCAAUAUUUCUUAGCAAUCCGUUCAUCAGAUGUUUUCUUUCAGUGUGCCCAUAACCCAUAGGAUUUUCAUAGGAUCUUACCUCGCUCUUCUAAUCUUUUCCAAAGAUCUCUAAUUCUUUUUUAAUAUGACGUAAGAAUGGAUUCCAUAAGUCAUAUUCCUUCCUCAAAGUCAAUCUAAAUUAUUUCAUCAUCGUCUCAACUUUUCAUAUUCUUAUUCGGGAGUGUCUUAUUUAUUCAUGGUGGUGUUCUCGUCAUCAUUUUCAGUUUGGAAGACCGAAGGAGUGUUUUUCUCAAAUUUUGUCCAUUCUUCUGAAGAUUGUCAUCUCAGCUCGUGCUAUCUUCUCAAUUGUUGUCAAUCAUGAGAAAUUCUCCAUAUCUAUCUGGUGCAUUUUAGAUUUGUUUUCAUUUCUUGAUCCUCCGAAGGCCAUCAUUUCAGAAGAUUUCUUUGUUCUCAACUUUCAGCUUUCAUUUUCAAAUUCUUCUCAUUUGUUGUCUCUCCCUUUGUCUCUCAAUUAUUUCGGUGCUUUGUUCAAGUUUUCUCUUAGGUGGAUCAAGAUGUCUUCAUUCUCAUGUAUCUCCAUUCAAUCUUGGCAUCCUUAUUCAUUUGCAAAUUCUUAUCAGUGGUCUGUUAAAUCUUUGUCUAAUCGAAUCAUGCUCUUUUGUCCUCGUGUAUUCCAGUUCAUUUGUGUUAUCCUCUUUCAUUCCAAAUUCUUACCAGUGUUUCUUUCAAGACUUCUUCAGUUUGUGAUCCAUCUCUCUGUCCCCAAUCUUUUUCAAGAAUAAUAAGUGGUAUGCUAAAUCCAUUGCUUGUCAUCAAUUUAACUUGACGAAGGAUGAGCAUAACAUAAUCCUUAUUCUUGUUCAUCAAGGUGAUUUCAAUUUGUCUCUCGGAGUGGUUCAUGAUAUCAAUUCUUUAUCCCAAAUGCUUCAUCUUUUCCUUCCGGAUUCCAAGUUUUUCUCUAUUACCUCUUCGCGAAGCUUCAUCUAAAUCUUUGCAAGGCUUCAAUCUUAUUUGUUUCAACAUUCAACUCUUUAUAUCAUUCUCCAAGUGGUUCUUCAUGGUGAUUCAUCAAGGUUUCAAUUCUUUCUUGAAGUGUUCUUCAACAUUCUUGUUGCAGAGGCUCAAAUAUCCUGUGUUUUUAAUUCCAAAUGCAAUUCUCCCUCCUUUAUCCUUUGAUGUAGUGUUAUAGCAUUCUUCUUAGUGGAGGAGUCUCGAAGAUAAUUUGUUUCAAGAAUGAUAUAAUUAAACCCACCAAUUCCUUCAAUCAUGAGAUAUUUCAACCCAUGGUUUCUUCAUUGUGCUAUCUUGGUUUAGACUUCACUUAAAGCUUUGUAUAAGGAUUGUUGCUAUUAUGGUGUCGCCAUUAAUCCAAGUUUUCAAUGUUUCCUCUUGGUGUAAGAAGUUUCCAUAUCUUGUUGCUCCCAAUGAAUCAAUUGUUUUCCAAUUGUGCUUGGUUGUCACCUCAUUGUUGAGAUGGUUUUCAUAAGUACACUACAAUUUUAUUCUUUCCUUUGUUGGUUUGCCAACAACUUUGUUCAAUUCUUCUUGCAAGGCUGCUUGUCAAAUUCAAUUGUGGUAGUAGUUGUCAUUUUCUUCUUCAUUCUUUCUUCCCUAUGAUCUAGUUCCUAUUCUCUUGUUCAGGAGUUGUUGUGAUGUUGCGCUCUUUGAAUCUAUCAUCUCGUCUCAUCAAGAUCGUGUCCUUUCUUUGCUUAUCAAUUUAGUUGUUUUAUUGUGAAACUUUUCAAGAUCUUUCCAUCUUAUCAAGUUUUUCUUCUCUUUCCUACCGAAGUGAUGCCGAAAUUUUGUUUGAAUUCUUGCUUGUUUCUCAUAUCAUUCUUCAUCUCUUUGCAACCUUCAAGGAUCGUUGGUUUCACUCAUUCGUCAAAGAAGCAACUAUGUUUUAUCUCUUGCUUUCUCAUCCUCUUCCCCUUUCAUUAUUAGAUCUCAGGGCGAGAUCUCUUGUUAGUGUAGAAGAGUUGUAACAGCCCGAGAACGACGCUCCAGAAGAUUCCCCUUUUAGUCCAUUGCCAUCGUGUGAUUUAAUUGUUCGUCGCAUUCAUCAUCGCAUCAUUCGCAUCAUCUGCAUUACAUCGACACUUCAUUGUCGUCAGUUUUCAAAACUUGCAUCCGUCAUUAGUUGUCGGUUCUCUCCAUUUUUUCAUUGACCAUUUCGAGACCAACCAUACAUGCCCGUGCCCACGGCAUCGAUAAAAUAUUGUUUUUAAAAGUGUGUAUAAGACUUUCUCAGAUUGGAUUGAAACUUGGCGUGCGGUCUUAUUUUAAUGUAGGUAGACAGUCUCCCAAAUUUCAUCGCGAUCGGAGUUUGUUUGAUACCCGAACCGUUAAACCUAUAGCGGCACUAUACCCGGUCCAACAUUGGACGUUUUUCAUUGUUUUAAACGGUAUCACCGGGUUACCCGUUUCCCUCUCUUCUAUGCCUAGCCUCUCUACACACCGUUUCCUUCUCUUCUAUGCCUAGCCUCCCUACACACUGCACAGACCCCUACACGCAACCUAGCCCCCCCCCGACCCAAACCUGUGGUCGUGACUGUUGGGUCCGGAUCAACCCCGUUGUACCCCUAAUCAUAGUCGGUUUGUCCAUUGGUCUCCCUAACCUAGUUAUUCUCGGCCAUCUGAUCUAAUCGGAGGGCCAAUUAAACCCCGUUUAGUCGCUUGCCACUUAUAUGCACGGAUGCGGAUCAAAUCCUACCCUAACCAACCCUAGCUAACCAAUUCCCCUCCCGACAGUGCCGCCGCCCCACCUCAUUUUCCCCAUCGGGCCAACCCAGCGCCACCUCUCCUGCCCAAACUCCCACACGCCCGAGCUCCCUGCUGGCCGAGGCCUCGUCACCCCGCCGUCAGCGACCAGUGAGCUCAGCAGCCCUCGCCGUCCUCGUCGGAGUCUGCCGGCCACCGGAGCCCCUGAGUCUUCGGGUCCGGCCACCCGUGUGCCCCGCCUCGCCGGCCCUCUACCCGUCGGUGCAUGCUGCGCCGCAAGCCGCCGCCGCCGUUGCCAACCAGCGCCCCAUCAUGUCCCUCGAUGUGCAUGCACCACCAGCAGCAGCCGCCGGACUUCGCCAGCCGUCGCCUCGUGCCUCUGUGUGCCGCCGUCCCGCCUCCACCUGCGCCCGCAGCAGCAGUUCCUCGUGCCCUGUGCCUUCUCCUCCCUCUCGUAACUCCUCUUCUCUCUCUCUCUUUGAUAAUUCUUCUCUGUCUCUAUGCAGGGACUAGCAACUCCGCCAUGGAGGGCUCCCGUGCAUUGCCCCUUCACGCGAAUCUCGUGGUCAAUCACUGGAUCCGGCUGCUCCCAUGCCUGGCCUCCCAUGUAUACCGUUCGGUCUGACGGUCGUUCCCCAUGUUGCCGGUGAUGAACCCAAGCACCUCGCUGCAUCUGUGAGUCCUAGCCAUCGCUCGUUUCUUUUUUCAGUUCAGAUCUUCACACGCGCGCGAGAGUACUAGUUGAUGCACAUCCAGCCCUAUAUGCUAACCAAAAGUGCAAUAGCAUAGUGGCACGAGCUAAGUUAGAGUUCCUGGUUCAGUUAAGUUAGUUAUGCUAAUUUGACAGGAACACUCAGCUAGCCUAGUAGUAAGAACUCCAUGCACCCAUCCAAGGGAUCCUGGGUUCAAAACCCAUGAACCCCAAUUUUGUCAUGUUUAUUUUUCCUUUAGCACACACACACACACACUAAUAUGUGUUUGCUUGCCGAGCCACAUCAAUAUUUUUGCAUGUAUGUUGCAUCAAUGUCAUAUGAUUUGUGUUGCUCAUAUCUCCUAGGCGGUAACCCCAUUGGAGAUGAGCUAUAUGUGUAAAUCAACUAGAAUGACGCGUAGAACCACGUGAACCUAUUUAUUCUGUUGUUUAACAACAUUAAAACAUGUUAGUUCAGAUUGGGAUAGAUUUCUUAAUUAGCAUAUGGGGUCAUUUCGGAGAUGUUAUAAGUUGUUUCCGACCUCAUUUAAAAUGCCUAGAUAGGUAGUUUAUUAGUCUUCACCUCUUGCCAUGUUUAAUCAAAUGCAUCUGCAGGUCUUGGGUUCGAGCCCCGGGUACCCAAUUUUGAUUUUGCAUUGUUUCCUUUUGUAUUAUUUUGCAUACACUUCUACACUCCACCGCGAGCACAACCAAGGUCGGCCUUGUUUUCCAUCAGGUUCGUUAGAGUUCCUGGUUCAGUUAAUUUAGUUAUGCUAAUUUGACAGGAACACUCAGCUAGCCUGGUAGUAAGAACUCCAUGCACCCAUCCAAGGGAUCCUGGGUUCGAAACCCAUGCACCCCAAUUUUGCCAUGUUUAUUUUCCUUUAUCGCACAUACACACACUAAUAUGUGUUUGCUUGUCGAGCCACAUCAAUAUUUUUCAUUGUAUGUUGCAUCAAUGUCAUAUGAUUUGUGUUGGUCAUAUCUCCUAGGCGGUAACCCCGUUGGAGAUGAGCUAUAUGUGUAAAUCAACUAGAAUGACGCGUCGAACCACGUGAACCUAUUUAUUCUGUUGUUUAAUAACAUUAAAACAUGUUAGUUUAGAUUGGGACAGAUUUCUUAAUUAGCGUAUGGGGUUAUUUCGGAGAUGUUAUAAGCUGUUUCCGACCUCAUUUAAAAUGCCUAGAUAGGUAGUUUAUUAGUCUUCACCUCUUGCCAUGUUUAAUCAAAUGCAUCUGCAGGUCUUGGGUUCGAGCCCCGGGUACCCCAUUUUGAUUUUGCAUUGUUUCCUUUUGUAUUAUUUUGCAUACACUUCUACACUCCACCGCGAGCACAACCAAGGUCGGCCUUGUUUUCCAUCAGGUUCGUUAGAGUUCCUGGUUCAGUUAAGUUAUUUAUGCUAAUUUGACAGGAACACUCAGCUAGCCUAGUAGUAAGAACUCCAUGCACCCAUCCAAAGGAUCCUGGGUUCGAAACCCAUGCACCCUAAUUUUGCCAAGUUUAUUUUUCCUUUAACGCACACACACAAACUAAUAUGUGUUUGCUUGCCGAACCAUAUCAAUAUUUUUGCAUGCAUGUUACAUCCAUGUCAUAUGAUUUGUGUUGCUCAUAUCUCCUAGGCGGUAACCCCGAUGGAGAUGAGCUAUAUGUGUAAAUCAACUAGAAUGACGCGUAGAACCACGUGAACCUAUUUAUUCUGUUGUUUAACAACAUUAAAAACAUGUUAGUUCAGAUCGGGACAGAUUUCUUAAUUAGCGUAUGGGGUCAUUUCGGAGAUUUUAUAAGUUGUUUCCGACCUCAUUUAAAAUGCCUAGAUAGGUAGUUUAUUAGUCUUCACCUCUUGCCAUGUUUAAUCAAAUGCAUCUGCAGGUCUUGGGUUCGAGCCCCGGGUACCCCAUUUUGAUUUUGCAUUGUUUCCUUUUGUAUUAUUUGCAUACAAUUCUACACUCCACCGCGAGCACAACCAAGGUCGGCCUUGUUUUCCAUCAGGUUCGUUAGAGUUCCUAGUUCAGUUAAGUUAGUUAUGCUAAUUUGACAGGAACACUCAUCUAGCCUAGUAGUAAGAACUCCAUGCACCCAUCCAAGGGAUCCUGGGUUCGAAACCCAUGCACCCCAAUUUUGCCAUGUUUAUUUUUCCUUUAGCACACACACACACACACUAAUAUGUGUUUGCUUGCCGAGCCACAUCAAUAUUUCUGCAUGCAUGUUGCAUCCAUGUCAUAUGAUUUGNNNNNNNNNNNNNNNNNNNNNNNNNNNNNNNNNNNNNNNNNNNNNNNNNNNNNNNNNNNNNNNNNNNNNNNNNNNNNNNNNNNNNNNNNNNNNNNNNNNNAUGAGGUCGGAAACAACUUAUAACAUCUCGGAUCUGAUAUAACAUGUUUUAAUGUUGUUAAACAACAGAAUAAAUAGGUUCACGUGGUUCUACGCGUCAUUCUAGUUGAUUUACACAUAUAGCUCAUCUCCAACGGGGUUACCGCCUAGGAGAUAUGAGCAACACAAAUCAUAUGACAUGGAUGCAACAUCCAUGCAAAAAUAUUGAUGUGGCUCGACAAGCAAACACAUAUUAGUGUGUGUGUGUGUGUGUGUGCUAAAGGAAAAAUAAACAUGGCAAAAUUGGGGUGCAUGGGUUUCGAACCCAGGAUCCCUUGGAUGGGUGCAUGGAGUUCUUACUACUAGGCUAGCUGAGUGUUCCUGUCAAAUUAGCAUAACUAACUUAACUGAACCGGGAACUCUAACGAACCUGAUGGAAAACAAGGCCGACCUUGGUUGUGCUCGCGGUGGAGUGUAGAAGUGUAUGCAAAAUAAUACAAAAGGAAACAAUGCAAAAUCAAAAUGGGGUACCCGGGGCUCGAACCCAAGACCUGCAGAUGCAUUUGAUUAAACAUGGCAAGAGGUGAAGACUAAUAAACUACCUAUCUAGGCAUUUUAAAUGAGGUCGGAAACAACUUAUAACAUCUCCGAAAUGACCUAAUACGCUAAUUAAGAAAUCUGUCCCGAUCUGAACUAACAUGUUUUAAUGUUGUUAAACAAUAGAAUAAAUAGGUUCACGUGGUUCUACGCGUCAUUCUAGUUGAUUUACACAUAUAGCUCAUCUCCAACGGGGUUACCKMGGAGAUAUGAGCAACACAAAUCAUAUGACAUGGAUGNNNNNNNNNNNNNNNNNNNNNNNNNNNNNNNNNNNNNNNNNNNNNNNNNNNNNNNNNNNNNNNNNNNNNNNNNNNNNNNNNNNNNNNNNNNNNNNNNNNNCACGACUAAUUUAUGGUUCUGGCACAUGGAUAGAAAGCUUCCACACAUCCCUGUCCAUGCCUAGUUCUUUGGUGAUGAAAGGACCACGAUGACGCCUAGAGGGGGGUGAAUAGGAUAUUUAAAAACUUCUUCGGAUUUGGCUUAAACCUAAUGCGGAAAUAAACUAAGAGGAUACUUUUCAAGCACAAAUCCUAAAUGCAAUAGGCACCGCAACGUGCACCAACAACACGAUCUACCAAGAUGGACACAACACGGUUACUAACAAGCACAAGUAAGUUACACAAACUUACUUGAGCUAUAUCACACGACGAGUAGGUGAAUGACACAAGAUACUAGAUCACACUAUAGCACACGAUAUAUCAAAAGCUGCAAGUGUGAACGUGUGGAUAUAGAGGGUAUGCUUGAACGAUUAAUCGUGUACAAAGAAAUAGACAACACAAUAUAAUGAGCACAAACAAUAUGCAAUGUAUGUAUGCUCAAGUAACACAAGUAAACCACAAUUAAGGAGUUAGGGUUAGGGAUAACCAAGGUCACUGAGACAAAGAUGUAUCCCGAUGUUCACUUCCUUGGAGGGAAGCUAGUCACCGUUAGAGAGGUGGAUGUUACCACGAAGGCACACCAACGCCACGAAGGCUCACCCUAUUCUCCCUUUAAGAUAACACCACGAAGGUGUUUCUCAACCACUAGUGGUAAGCCUUUGAGGUGGCUUCCAAACCCUCACAAACUUUUCCGGGGGUAAUCACACGGAUUGAUUCCUCUCCGAAGAACUCCUACCGCGUAGGAGUCUCCAACCUCCAAGAGUAACAAGAUCACGGGGAAUGCUCAAAACUUGCUCAAAUCUCAAAUAUCUUGGGUUGAGAGGAGGAGAGGGAGAAGAUCUAUCUUUUGAUUGGAACAACUCUCAAAGGGGCUCACAAAUGCUCUUGGGAUCUAAGAUUUGGUGUGAGCAAAUGUGUGCGAGGUAGAAAUGUGUUCUGAUGAAGAUAUGGCUGUGUUGGACCCCCUCUCACGAAGUGGGAGGGGGGUAUAUAUAGUGGGGAGACUAAAAUAACCGUUGUGGUCACUUAAGUCUGACAGUGGUCGGACGUCCGACGGUUUCCGGACGUCCGGACGGCCCCGGAUGUCCAAGAGUACGGCUCUGUUCAAGGGCACCGAAUUUCCGAAAGUGGUCGGACGUCCGGCCCUCGGACGACAGGGAGAGGCCGGAAGUCUGAGUUAUUUGACUCUGGAUUUCUCUGGUGCAAGGUUCCGGUUUUCCUAAGUGGUCGGGCGUCCGGUCCUCGGUCGUCCGGAGGGAGCCGGAUGUCCGAGACUUUGGCUCUGGUAUAGGGUUCCGGAUUUCCGAAGUGGUUGGGCGUCCGGUCCUCGGACGUCCGGAGGGGGCCGGAUGUCCGAGGCUUUGGUUCUGUUUUGGGAUCAAAGCAGAGCAGUGGAGAUGUGGCAUGAGCAGAGAAGUNNNNNNNNNNNNNNNNNNNNNNNNNNNNNNNNNNNNNNNNNNNNNNNNNNNNNNNNNNNNNNNNNNNNNNNNNNNNNNNNNNNNNNNNNNNNNNNNNNNNUUAAGGACAUAAUCCUUCUUCCCAGCUUGUAAGAUUAGCUUAAGAUUACGAGCCCAGUCUACAAAGUUGCUUCCAUCAUCUUUCAACUUAGCUUUCUCUAGGAACGUAUUAAAAUUCAGGAUGACUGUUGCGUGAGCCAUGAUCUACAACACAAAUAUAUUCAAAGUGGACUUAGACUAUGUUCAAGAUAAUUAGAGUUUAACUUAAUCAAAUUAUACGCUAAACUCCCACUCAGAAAGUACAUCUCUCUAGUCAUUUGAGUGGUUCAUGAUCCACUUACACUAGCUCAAGUCCGAUCAUCACGUGAGUUGAGUAUAGUUUCAGUGGUAAGCAUCCCUAUGCUAAUCAUAUCAUCUAUAUGAUUCAUGAUCCACCUUUCGGUCUCAUGUGUUCCGAGGCCAUGUCUGCACAUGCUAGGCUCGUCAAGCUUAACCCGAGUGUUCCGCGUGCACAACUGUUUUGCACCCGUUGUAUGUGAACGUUGAGUCUAUCACACACGAUCAUCACGUGGUGUCUCGAAACGACGAACUGUAGUAACCGUGCACAGUCGGGGAGAACACAAUUUCGUCUUGAAAUUUUAGUGAGAGAUCACCUCAUAAUGCUACCGUCGUUCUAAGCAAAAUAAGGUGCAUAAAAGGAUUAACAUCACAUGCAAUUCAUAAGUGACAUGAUAUGGCCAUCAUCACGUGCUUCUUGAUCUCCAUCACCAAAGCACCUGGCACGAUCUUCUUUUCACCGGCGCCACACCAUGAUCAUCCAUCAACGUGUUGCCAUCGGGGUUGUCGUGAUACUCAUGCUAUUACUACUAAAGCUACAUCCUAGCAAAAUAGUAAACGCAUCUCCAAGCACAAACGCUAGUAUAAAGACAACCCUAUGGCUCCUGCCGGUUGCCGUACCAUCGACGUGCAAGUCGAUAUUUCUAUUACAACAUGAUCAUCUCAUACAUCCAAUAUAUCACAUCACAUCGUUGGCCAUAUCACAUCACAAGCAUACCCUGCAAAAACAAGUUAGACGUCCUCUAAUUUUGUUGUUGCAUGUUUUACGUGGUGACCAAGGGUAUCUAGUAGGAUCGCAUCUUACUUACGCAAACACCACAAAGGAGAUAUAUGAGUUGCUAUUUAACAUCAUCCAAGCACCUCCUUGGUCAAAUCCGAUUCAACUAAAGUUGGAGAAACCGACACUUGCCAGUCAUCUUUGAGCAAAGGGGGUUACUCGUAACGAUGAAACCAGUCUCUCGUAAGCGUACGAGUAAUGUCGGUCCAAGCCGCUUCAAUCCAACAAUACCACGGAAUCAAGAAAAGACUAAGGAGGGCAGCAAAGCGCACAUCAUCGCCCACAAAAACUUUUGUGUUCUACUCGAGAAGACAUCUACGCAUGAACCUAGCUCAUGAUGCCACUGUUGGGGAACGUCGCGUGGGAAACAAAAAUUUUCCUACGCGCACGAAGACCUAUCAUGGUGAUGUCCAUCUACGAGAGGGGAUGAGUGAUCUACGUACCCUUGUAGACCGUACAGCAGAAGCGUUAGAGAACGCGGUUGAUGUAGUGGAACGUCCUCACGUCCCUCGAUCCGCCCCGCGAACAAUCCCGCGAUCAGUCCCACGAUCUAGUACCGAACGGACGGCACCUCCGCGUUCAGCACACGUACAACUCGACGAUGAUCUCGGCCUUCUUGAUCCAGCAAGAGAGACGAAGAGGUAGAAGAGUUCUCCGGCAGCGUGACGGUGCUCCGGAGGUUGGUGAUGACCUUGUCUCAGCAGGGCUCCGCCCGAGCUCCGCAGAAACGCGAUCUAGAGGAAAAACUGUGGAGGUAUGUGGUCGGGCUGCCGUGGAAAAGUCGUCUCAAAUCAGCCCUAAAACCUCCGUAUAUAUAGGUGGGAGGGAGGGGACCUUGCCUUGGGGCUCAAGGAGCCCCAAGGGGGUCGGCCGACUCCAAGGGGGAGGACUCUCCCCCCCCCCAAACCGAGUUGGACUAGGUUUGGUGGGAGGGAGUCCCCCUUCCUUCCCACCUCCUCCUUUUUUUUCUCUCUUGAUUUUCUUCUCCUUGGCGCAUAGAGCCUUUUGGGCUGUUCCACCAGCCCACUAAGGGCUGGUGUGCCACCCUCAAGGCCNNNNNNNNNNAUUUUUCUUUCUCUCUUGAUUUUCUUCUCCUUGGCGCAUAGAGCCUUUCGGGCUGUUCCACCAGCCCACUAAGGGCUGGUGUGCCACCCUCAAGGCCUAUGGGCUUCCCCGGGGUGGGUUGCCCCCCCCCGGUGAACUCCCGGAACCCAUUCGUCAUUCCCGGUAACUCCGAAAACCUUCCGGUAAUCAAAUGAGGUCAUCCUAUAUAUCAAUCUUCGUUUCCGGACCAUUUCGGAAACCCUCGUGACGUCCGUGAUCUCAUCCGGGACUCCGAACAACAUUCGGUAACCAACCAUAUAACUCUAAUACGCAUAAAACAACGUCGAACCUUAAGUGUGCAGACCCUGCGGGUUCGAGAACUAUGUAGACANNNNNNNNNNNNNNNNNNNNNNNNNNNNNNNNNNNNNNNNNNNNNNNNNNNNNNNNNNNNNNNNNNNNNNNNNNNNNNNNNNNNNNNNNNNNNNNNNNNNAGUUCACAUGUGCCUCAUGGCAAGAGGUAAUAAUGAGGUAUCAUCUUCCCUGUGCAAUAACGAUGAUAUUUGCGAUGAGGAUGAUGAUGAUGAUUUGACCAAAAAUAUCUAUGUGAUCAGUAAAAUUCUUCAUAAAGCUAAAAAUAACGCUCUUCAAAGAUUCCAAGAUGUUCUUGCUUACUUGGAAAAUUGUAAUGAUUCACUUAAUCAUGAACAAGCUAAAAGUGAACAACUUGAACAUGAACUUGAUAAGAGUCAUCAAGCAUGUAGAGACUUAAGAUCUUCAAAAGGAGAGAUUGAAGUUGCUCAUGAUAAACUUAAAAAGGAUUUUGAGGUCCUUCUCCUUGAAUGCAAUAAUGUCAAGCGAGAGCUCAUCAAAACCUCUAAGAUCUAUGAGGAGCUUCAAUCUACUCAUGAGAAGUAUCUAUUUGCUACUUACUCCUCUCAUAUUGUUGAUGAUACUUGUACAUCUAACUCUACCUCAUUUGAAGUAUCAACAUUGAAGGAGAAUAUUGAGCUACGUACUCAACUUGAUUUACUAACUAGCAAUUAUGGGAAGUUGGAAGAAAACCAUGUAAUGCUCACAAGCUCUCAUGCCGAUCUUCUAACAUCCCAUAAUGUGCAAAAGUUAGCUCAUGAGGCUAUCAUCACCAAGGUAACAUCAAGUGAGCCUCAUGUGGACAAUGGCACUACUUCUAGUCAAAGUACUAUAUUUCCAUGAGCUAGUCCUCGUAAUUCGUCUACUCAUAAUAUUGCUACCUCGUGUGAUGAAUUACUUUCCUUGCCUUGUUGCUCUAACAUUGAAGCUUACACUUCCUCUAGUACUUGCAUUGAUAGUAACCGUGCAGAGGAAAUCAAAGAGCUCAAGGCCCAAGUCACUUCUUUGAAGAAAGACUUGGAACAGUNNNNNNNNNNAUGAACAAUGGCACUACUUCUAGUCAAACUACUAUAUUUCCAUGUGCUAGUCCUCGUAAUUCGUCUACUCAUAAUGUUGCUACCUCGUGUGAUGAAUUACUUUCCUUGCCUUGUUGCUCUAACAUUGAAGCUUACACUUCCUCUAGUACUUGCGUUGAUACUAACCAUGCAGAGGAAAUCGAAGAGCUCAAGGCCCAAGUCACUUCUUUGAAGAAAGACUUGGAACAGUGUCAUGAAGGGAUGUCCACACUCAACAACGUCUUGUGUGAGCAAACAUCUCUAAAUGACAAAAAUGACGUUGGAGUAAACUCAAACAAGAACAAGAGGGGCCUAGAACAAGUCAAGNNNNNNNNNNGCCACAAACUCAAUCACAUACUCAGCUACAAGUUGAAGGAAGGCCUCUUCCCAAUAAGACCCAAGCCAACACUCCCCGAGGUGAGAAAUCAACUCGGAAGAAAGCAAAGGGUAGGUGUUGCUACUUAUGUCGUGAGAAGGGUCACGUCGCUUCGUCUUGCACGAGAGGUAACUUAUCCAACCCAAUCACUAUUGAUGAUAUCUAUUCCCUUNNNNNNNNNNNNNNNNNNNNNNNNNNNNNNNNNNNNNNNNNNNNNNNNNNNNNNNNNNNNNNNNNNNNNNNNNNNNNNNNNNNNNNNNNNNNNNNNNNNNGGUUUAGGGUUUUUUGAGACACAACUUUGCCAAUGCAACUCUAGCCUAUACCACAUAGUUUUACCUCUAGAUCGGAUUUCUGCGGAGCUCGGGUGGAACCCUGCAGGAAUAGAUUAUCACCACCACCGGAGCACCGUCACGCUGCCGAAGUACUCAUCUACUUCUCCGUCUUGCUUGCUGGAUCAAGAAGGCCGAGAUCAUCGUCGAGCUGUACGUGUGCUGAACGCGGAGGUGCCGUCCGUUUGGCGCUAGAUCGGAAAGGAUUGUGGGAAGGAUCGCGAGACGGUUCAUGGGACGGUUUAAGGAACGUGAAGACGUUCCACUACAUCAACCGUGUUUCUUAACGCUUCCCGUUGUGCGAUCUACAAGGGUACGUAGAUCUAAUCUCCACUCGUCGAUGGACAUCACCAUGAUAAGUCUUCGUGUACGUAGAAUUUUUUUGUUUACCAUGCAACGUUCACCAUAGUGGCAUCAUGAGCUAGCUCUGAAGUGGUACGCGCUCCGAAUAAAUCACUAAGAGGGGUCAACGACACAUAAAACACCAACCAUCUCGUUUUAAUCCACCAUGUACUUCCUCAUCAAUGGGUUGAAUAUUCAGUCCCGUGGGGCCUGUAUUGCCGCUUUUUUACUUGGGCAAUAUCACACGAAAACCAAUAUUCAAUGAAAACUUUGUAGAAACCAUAUAUUAAAGUUUCGUAAAAAAAAACUAAAAAAUAACAUUGAAUGUUAGGAAUGUGAUGUUUUAUUGCGACACAAAAUUUCAAACUGAAACACAUUAUGAGAUGUGAGCUAUCAAAAAGACAAAUUCAACCGUGAAUAAUGACAUUACUAUUCGGCACUAUUCAAUGUUAAAAAAAUUUCAUAGCCCAUAUCUCGUAAUGUGUCUCAACUUGAAAUUUUGUGUAGCAAUAAAACACCAUCCUCUUAGCGUCUGUAUUUAUUUUCAUAUUUUUCUCAAAACUUCAAAACAUUUUUCUCAUGGUUUUCACCGAACAUUGGUUUUUGCAUCAUAUUUCCCUCCCUAUCCCGCUGACCAUGGUGGCCUUAGUGGCAUGGUGGACAUAGCAACUAGGCCCCGCCCGGGAAUGUGUGCAUCACCGUUACUUGUUAACUAGUUUAUAGUAUUUGUCGUUCUAUCAUUUUUAACUUGCACCCCAUUCAUUUUUUCAAUCAAAAUUGUUACUCCUUCUGUUUCAUAUUUUGUUGUGGUUUUUGAGAAACUCUAGAACACCCUUUAAAGUGGUCAAAUCCGUAAAAAAACAAGGUGUUCAUAGUUUAACGGUGCCUAGCAGACCCCAUAAAACUUAUUAGCCCUUAAACUUUUCUAAAGGGCACUAUGAAUCCAUCCGCGAAAACCUUGUAUGUACGGUUUUGAAGGUAGUAUACAGUUUAACCCGUAAACCGGUCAAACCUCGUCGGAGCAGACACGCCGCUGGGAAACUUGCCGAACUGAACCCAAAACUCAUCGGAAUCCGUCGCCGCAGGACAGAAGAAGCCACCACACGCAAGAAUUUGCCGCCACGGGUUCAAAUUGCGACCGGCUCGCCUCCAUUGUCGAGGCAAGGUCGUCCACGGGCAGGGCAAAGCAAGCCAUCGGAGGCCCGAAUUGUUGGAAUUAUGCCCUAGAGGCAAUAAUAAAUAUAGUUAUUAUUAUAAUUCCUAUAUCAAGAUAAUCGUUUAUUAUCCAUGUUAUAAUUGUAUUGAAUGAAGACUCAUUUACAUGUGUGGAUACAUAGACAAAACACCGUCCCUAGCAAGCCUCUAGNNNNNNNNNNACUAGCCAGUUGAUCAAAGAUAGUUAGUGUCUUCUGAUUAUGAACAAGGUGUUGUUGAUUGAUAACUGGAUCACGUCAUUAGGAGAAUCACGUGAUGGACUAGACCCAAACUAAUAGACGUAGCAUGUUGAUCGUGUCAUUUUUUUGCUACUGUUUUCUGCGUGUCAAGUAUUUAUUCCUAUGACCAUGAGAUCAUAUAACUCACUGACACCGGAGGAAUGCUUUGUGUGUAUCAAACGUCGCAACGUAACUGGGUGACUAUAAAGAUGCUCUACAGGUAUCUCUGAAGAUGUUAGUUGAGUUAGUAUGGAUCAAGACUGGGAUUUGUCACUCCGUGUGAGCGGAGAGGUAUCUCGGGGCCCACUCGGUAAUACAACAUCACACACAAGCCUUGCAAGCAAUGUAACUUAGUGUAAGUUGCGGGAUCUUGUAUUACGGAACGAGUAAAGAGACUUGCUAGUAAACGAGAUUGAAAUAGGUAUACGGAUACUGACGAUCGAAUCUCGGGCAAGUAACAUACCGAAGGACAAAGGGAAUGACAUACGGGAUUAUANNNNNNNNNNNNNNNNNNNNNNNNNNNNNNNNNNNNNNNNNNNNNNNNNNNNNNNNNNNNNNNNNNNNNNNNNNNNNNNNNNNNNNNNNNNNNNNNNNNNAGCAAGACAUGAUGAAGUCUUCAAGAAGCUCUCCCAUACACAAUGUGGAAGGCCUAGCUUGUGUAUUCAUCUUCAUCUGUCCACCAUGUGAACAUCCACAAGAUUCAAGCAUGUAGUACUCAGGAAUGCUUAUCUUGAUCUUGUCCUUGUUAGCACAUGAGCUUGUCCUUAUCAACAUAUGAUCAUUAACAACAACUUAAAGGGGAUUAGUGAUUAGUUAUCUAUAUGUGUGUUGUCAGCAACACCAAAACACGAUUAAGGACAUGACUGCACUUUCAGGUGAUACUCCAUUCCUUCAGAUCUCUCUUUACAAAUAUGUCAAGUUCGGUCUACGCCAGCCUCUUUUGACCUUAUCAACAUGCUUUAGUCGUCUGUUAUGCACUUGAGCUUUUAGAGGCCUCCGCUAGUAUGACGAAAAAGGCUUUCGUCCCGCUUUGUAGAUAAAGCAUGAUCAACUUACAACUCUAAGAACACAACACACAACAUCACAACAGAACCCACACACCCGAGGCAAGAUACACAGGUACCAGAGAACAACUACAAAACCCCAUCCACCACCACAAAGACAAAAGAUAAACAAGAAGGAAUACUAUGGUGAUGAUGGAGCCCUCAACGAAGCGAAGAUGGGAAGUUGCUGGCCAAUGAACCGAGAGUGCCAAGGCGGUGUCUUCAAAAAUGUUACGGCACCGGAGUGCCGCCACUGUCCAAUCCAAAGAAUCUAGAUUUUCACUCGAAGCACGACGAAGGUCAAGAUGCAGCCACGACGAAUACUUCAAGAAGCUGACGAUGUCCACGGACAUCGCCUCCGACAGUCUGGCCAACGCCAGACAGGGUGUNNNNNNNNNNCGACCACAAUGCAUCGAGAACGAUGUCAGCCGCAUCUCCAUCCCGGCCGUCAACCCUAGCCCCCAUGCUGCCCCACGGCCAUGGUAGCUAGCUUGUAUCGGAAUCACGGGUUCUGCCUGAGAACACUCUCAUUCUUAAAAAAUGUAUAUCAAAAAAUACAUACUUUUUUUUUCUGUGAGGUAACCAAAAACAUACUUUCUCUUAACCAAAAAUACAUACCUUGAAGGAUCAAAUGUAUAUCAAAAAAUCUUGAUGGACCAAAAACAUACUUUUUUUUCCUGUGAGAUAAACAAAAACAUACUUUCUCUUAAAAAUAUUGAUGUCUCAUCAAGGGACUCACAAAAAAGAAACUGAUCUCUUUUGCUAAGCGAUUAUCCAAUCGCUUAAACUGUACAUGUUCUAAGAUGCUCUAGGAGAGAGUGUAUAUGAUGCGAGUUGUGUUUGCAGGUCGUAUUAUUAUCUACGGAUGAUAUACUCAUCCGAUGGUCCCUUACCACACCAGCAUCUCUACGCUAUCGAUCUCCACCAACCAAUUUCGGGAUCUGGGAAUUUUUAGGGUUUGUUAGUUGACAUUUUUAGUACCAACUAGCUNNNNNNNNNNACGUGAAAAAAUGUGCACCGCAUCAUUCGGAUCGCGUUCCUUGGAUUUACUCCGUAGCAACUCCCCCACAGCUCCAACCCCUGGCUGUACCUAACUUGCUAUAUAUACGUGCGCCAGCUCUGCACAGGGACGCUCACACUCCAAUCAGGCACAGCACACAAAACAAGUCUCGUCAUAUCGAGAAACGGAGCUAGCUCGACCAUGGGUGGUGUUCGGCAGCAGCUCAUGGCCGUCGUCCUCGUGGCGGUGACGCUAAUGGCCACGGCGGCGGAGGGGUACAUCACUCAGAAGACGUGGGCAGCCAUCCGCCGGGCGAACCGCGCCGGGCCGUUCGUCGGCCUCGUCGUGCCCAACACCUACGAGAUGGUUCCUGUGCUCGAGUCGCCCAGCUUCGUGGCCAGCAAGAGCAUCCCUAACAUGGACAUCCAAGGUAAAUACUCUACUCAAAUGGUACGUUUUCAGUCUAAUCAGAUCAAGCAUCGUACGUCAUGUGCAAAAAUAAUCUGACAUGAAAUGACACUGUUGGUAAUACGUGAUCGAUGAUGUUUUCUUAAGCUUGAAAUGUCAACGGUUUGUUUGGGUCAAAGAAAUAAACGUAAUAAGAAACAAGCCUAUUCAUAAAUAUCACUGUCGGAGUCAGAAAUUCGGAAAGAAUAUGGUUGAAUUGAGUAACAAGCCUGCUCAUUUAUAAGAACCGGCCGAACUAUGUACUGUGCUGAAUUUGAAUGGUACUCGAAAGCAGUAACCUGACGAGCUGAAACACUGAGACGUUAAGUGUAUGCAUGACCUGAGAACGGACGACUUGCAUGAAAGCACACGGUGAUGGAACGCGGGACCGGAGAUUAUUAAUAUAUGGACGACUUGCAUGAAAGCACAUGGGAUGUGCGUAUUGAUGGAAGCACAUGCAUGAUAGGCACAGAUCUGCGAACUCAGUGAAAUUUUGUACGUACGAUCGAAGUGAAAAAUGAUACUCGUACGUAGAAGUAAAAGUCGGUCGUAACUACACCGUAAAGAUUAACGAAUGCAAUCAGCAUGAACGUCGUUGAUAAUUAAUACUAACAUUAUUGAAUGAUUUUUGCUUGAAGGGCGAAGGUUUCGCUUUGGAACCAUCGAAGGCCAAAGCGUCGUCAUGGUCAUGACAGGACUGAGCAUGGUAAGUUGGUACAUACCAUUAUAUCUGACUGACAAUGUUUAUCACAAAUACAGUCAGAACUUCCUUUUUUUUUUUUGCCGGGAAAAACACAGUCAGAACUUAACAUACUGUUGCACCAUGGUUGCAGCUCAACGCUGGUCUGACCACCCAGAUGCUGCUGAGCCUGUUCCGGGUGAAGGGCAUCGUCCACUGGGGCAUCGCUGGCAACGCCAACGAGGACCUCCAGAUCGGCGACGUCACCAUCCCCGAGUACUGGGCCCACGUCUCCCUCUGGAACUGGCAGGUAGUACAGAUUUAUCAGCGCUAAUAUUUUUGCACGUUUCACGUGUGUCAUGGUCGACCAAGAUUUGAUGUGUGGAUGAUUGAUUCGGGGGCCAGCGAUUCGGCGACGGCAAGGACAACGAGCUACCGCUGGAGGCCGCCGGCGACUACACUCGGGAGUACGGCGCCCUCAACUUCUCGGACUACACCGUGGGACAGAGCAACCCGGCGCUAUCAGCGAACCUCCUCAACAGCAUCUGGUACCAGCCGGAGGAGAUCUUCCCCAAGUCCGGCGAGCCGGAGGUGCGGCAGCACGCGUUCUGGGUGCCCGCUAGCAAGCGGUACUACGCGCUGGCGAAGAAGCUGGAGGGCAUGGAGCUGCCGGCGUGCGUGAACGCCACGACGUGCCUGCCCCGCGCGCCGCGGGUCACCCGAGUCAGCAAGGGCUGCAGCGCCAACGUGUUCCUGGACAACGCCGAGUACCGCCAGUUCCUCCGCAAGCAGUUCGGGUGCACCCCCGUGGAGAUGGAGAGCGCUGCCGUGGCCCUCGUGGCGCACACGCAGGGGGUGCCGUUCCUCACCAUCCGCUCGCUCUCCGACCUCGCCGGGGGAGGCUCCGCGCUCGGGAACGAGGCCAGCACCUUCAUCGACAUCGCCGCCAAGAACGCCGUCCAAGUCAUGCUCAAGUUCGUGCCGCUGCUCGGGAAGAGCGCCGAGGAGAUGGACGACGGCGCGGCCGCGGACAUCUGAUGUGAGCCAGCAGCCACUUGUCCAUGCACGAAUAAUCUGACGCCCGUGCGUCGUGUAUCUCCAUCGUUGUUCCGCUUUCCCAUUUUUCCUUGCGUUGCGCGACUUUGCGAGCCUAGAUCAAAUCACAGUUGAUGAGCCCACGAGUUGCAGAGAUGAAUUAAAUUAACAAAUCAAAUAAUCAAGCGCAAUGCCGUUUAUCCGGACUUCCAACUACUAUGUGGAAUUUAAUUAGACGCACUCAAUUCACUCACGCGAGUAAUGUACGUAUGUGCUUACGAUCUUAGAGUAACUUUUUUUUUUGGUGAAACUUUGCACUAUUACUCAAGUGGAGGUACUACAGUCUGCAUUACAAAGUUCAAUAAUCUCUGAUAAACCAGAGUUGAGCCAACCAAUUGUUCUACACCUCAUUCUAGCAUACUUUGUCAAAAAAUUACUAACAUUAUUUUGACUACGAUGAACAUAACUAAAAGUAGUGCUACGUAGGGAGAUGAUUGAUCUGUCAAUUAAGUCACUCAUGAUCAUGUUCAAAGCCUCCCGUGAGUCCAUCUCUACCUGAAUAGGUAGGUUUGUCAUCUGAAUAGCCAGCGAAAGACCCUUGAUACAUGAACUUAAUUCAGCUUCCAAUGCAUUUCUACAGAAAAAGAGCUCCAUGCAUGAUGUGUAAAUGAUCUGACCUGUACUAUCACGAGGAACCAUACCUGCACCUGCUCGCCCAUCGGCUGUCCAAGAGCCAUCGAUGUUGAGCUUAGCCCAGCCCUCCGUAGGCAAAACCCACUUAAUGUUUGGAGUAGGAGGCGGAACCAAUCGUGAUCUAGAUAACUGACCAUAAGCAACCACUUGCUUCCCCUUCCGCAGUUCCUCCUCUGAAUAAUUUAGUGAUAGUAGUGAAUCCAGGUAUCUCAUCAGAAAACGUUUAGAUGCCUCCAUUGGAGGGGGUUCUUUCUAGUGAGUAACCUCAUUCCGAUUAUGCCACACCCUCCAUAAGCUCAUCACUAGCAUGCCUCUCUCUAACACAGAAAGAGGGUGAAGUGUAUCCAGCAACCAUUCAGUGCCUGAAUUCUUCAAAUCCGCACGCUUGGGCAAACGCCAAACUAAAUCCAUACAAUCCUAGAGCUGCACUACUAGCGGGCACUUGCAUAGAGCAUGGAAGGUAUAUUCAUCUUCCCUCUCGCAGAUUGGGCAUAAUCCAGUCGUUUCUAGGGUGCAUUUGAAUUUGUUCUGCCAAGUUUGAAGGGAAUUCAUGGCAACGCACCAUGCAAAUUUUUUGACCGUAGGAGGCACAAAACUUCCCCAAAUAAGCUUCCAGCACGUGCGGCGACCAUCUGAAGCAGCACUUGAAGAUUCUGUUGUUGUUCUAUAUGUUUCCUCGAAGGCAAAUUCAUAAACUUAUUUCACCGAGAAGACUCCAGAUUUCGCCGGUCCCCAUGCCAGCACAUCCUCCUCUAGCCUAGGAGAUGCUCGGAUUUUCAGAAUCUCCUGAACGUCACAAGACAGAAAUGUUUCUUGGAGCAGAUUGUAAUUCCAUGCACCAUUAUGUUGGAGUAGGUGAGACACAUAUCGAAUUAUGCAAGUACCUUGAGAUGAUAUGGACCUGUAAGAGAAGGAUCUAGGGAUCCAAGGAUCCCUCCAGAUUCUGAUGUUGUUCCCAUUCCCUACUCUCCAUAUAAGCCCUUUCUUGAGAAGAUCUAGGCCAUGGCUGGUUGCAGUCCAAGUUGAAGAGGCAUUUCCUGAGAAGACCGUAUCCUCCAGUUUAUCACUGGGAUAGUAUUUGCUCUUAAGCAAUCUUGCAGACAGGCUAUCAGGCCGAUUCAAUAAUCUUCACGCCUGCCUAGCCAGCAGCGCCUGAUUAAAGAGGCGAUAGUCCCUAAAUCUGGCACCACCUUUGCACUUCGGACGUUGCAACUUUUGCCAAGAUUUCCAGUGAGCUUUGCGAUGCCCCUUGGUCGAUCUCAAAUAAAGUUUCUGACCAUCUCAGUGAGAUCAUCGCAGACCGAAAAGGGCAUCUUGAAAACACCCAUGAUGAAAACUAGUAGUGCCUCUGCAACUGACUUACUGAGAAUUUCCCUGCCGGGUUGGGCUAGAUGCCCACCGCCCCAUUGAACUAGCCUCUCCAUAAGCUAAGCUUGAAGAUUUUGAAACCGACCUUUCGUCAUUCUUCCGUUAGAGGUUGACAGCCCUAAGUACUUCUCUUCAAACCCUGUGGCAGAAAUAUUCAGAACAUCCUGAACGUCCUCCUGUGCAGUGACUGGGCAAGCUUCUCCAAACAUAAUCGACCAUUUCUCAUAAUUAAGAAGUUGACAAGUAGAUUUGCAUAAAGAUCAAGACAAUCCUUAACUUGUUCAGCUUGAGCUCUUGAGGCCUCAAAGAAAAGGAGUGUAUCAUCUGCAAACAAAAGAUGGGAGAUGCCCGGGGCGCGUCGACAAUUCUUUACAGGUAACAGAGAUCCCAUGUACACACGUUGUCGAAGGAGUGCAGAGAGACCAUCAGAAAAAAAACAGAAACAAGAAGGGGGGGAGUGGAUCAUCUUGUCGCGGACCACACGACAGUGCAAAUGAAUCCAAGAGGGUCCCAUUAAAUCUUACCGAAUAUCUCACCGAUGUGACACAAGUCAUAAUCCCCGCCCUUCUUGGGCGCCACCCUUCCCAUAUUUGUGUUGGGGAACGUCGCAGGGGAAACAAAAAUUUUCCUACGCGCACGAAGACCUAUCAUGGUGAUGUCCAUCUACGAGAGGGGAUGAGUGAUCUACGUACCCUUGUAGACCGUACAGCAGAAGCGUUAGAGAACGCGGUUGAUGUAGUGGAACGUCCUCACGUCCCUCGAUCCGCCCCGCGANNNNNNNNNNNNNNNNNNNNNNNNNNNNNNNNNNNNNNNNNNNNNNNNNNNNNNNNNNNNNNNNNNNNNNNNNNNNNNNNNNNNNNNNNNNNNNNNNNNNGCAAUGAUUAUAUCUAUAGGCAUCACGUCCAAAACAAGUAGACCGAUAUUUUCUGCAUCUACUACUAUUACUCCACACGUCGACUGCUAUCCAGCAUGCAUCUAGUGUAUUAAGUCCAAAAGAACAGAGUAACGCCUUAACCAAGAUGACAUGAUGUAGAUGGACAAUCUCAUAUCUACGAUAAAAGCCCAUCUUGUUACCCUUGAUGGCAACUACACGAUGCGUUCCUUGCUGCCCCUACUGUCACUGGGAAAGGUCACCACAUGGUAUGAACCCAAAACCAAGCACUUCUCCCAUUGCAAGAAUCAUAGAUCUAGUUGGCCAAACAAAACCCAAGACUCGGAGAGACUUACAAGGAUAUCAAAUCAUGCAUAUAAUAAAUCAUCAAAGACUCAAAUAUAUAUCGUAGAUAAUCUGAUCACAAAUCCACAAUUCAUCGGAUCUCGACAAACACACCGCCAAAGAGGAUUACAUCGGAUAGAUCUCCAUGAAGAUCAUGGAGAACUUUGUAUUGAAGAUCCAAGAGAGAGAAGAAGUCAUCUAGAUACUAACUACGGACCCGUAGGUCUGAAGUAAACUACUCACGAGUCAUUGGAGGGGCGAUGAUGUUGAUGAAGAAGCCCUCCAACUCCAAAGUCCCCUUCGGCAGGGCACCGGGAAGGGUCUCCAGAUGAGAUCUCGCGGAAACGGAAGCUUGCGGUCGCGGAAAAGUGUUUUCGUGGAUGCCCUGAUUUUUUCUGGAUUUUUAGGGAAUUUAUAGGCCAAAGACCUAGGGCAGGGGAGCGCCAGGGGGGCACAAGCUUGGUUGCCGCGGCCUCCCCCCUAGCCGCAGCAAUAGGGCUUGUGGGACCCCUGUGGGCCCACUUGCUUGGACCUCAAGCCUCCUGAUCUUCUUCCAUUGUGGAAAAAAUUAUUUCGGGGAUUUUAUUCCGUUUGGACUCCAUUCCAAAAUCAGAUCUAAAAAGAGUCAAAAACACAGAAAAAACAGGAACUGGCGCUUGGCACUGAAUUAAUAAGUUAGUCCCAAAAAAGAUAUCAAAGGUAAAAAAAACAUCCAAAGUUGACAAGAUAACAGCGUGAAACCAUCAAAAAUUAUAGAUACGUUUGAGACGUAUCAAGCAUCCCCAAGCUUAACUCCUGCUGGUCCUCAAGUAGGGAAGUGAUAAAGAAUGAAUUUUUGAUGCUUUCAUGCUACCUAGCAUAGAUGUCCUUUGUAACUCCUCUUAUGUGACGUGAAUGUUCAGAUCCAUUAGAUUCAAAACAAUAGUUUGCUAUUGACGUGGAAACGAUAAUACUUCAAGCAAACUAGCAAAGUAAUCAUGAACUUUCAAAAUAACAAGGCCAAAAGAAAGUUAUCCCUACAAAAUCAUAUAGUCUCGCUAUGCUCUAUCAUCAUUGCACAACGAAUUUAAAUCAUGCACAACCCCGAUAUUGGCCAAGUAAUUGUUUUCACACCUUUACUUUCUCAAACUUUUUCAACUCUCACGCAAUACAUGAGCGUGAGCCAUGGUUUUAGCACUAAAAGUGGUGUGGAGUGUGGUGGAGGUUGCAAGACAAACAAGGAGAAGAUGGUCACAUUGACUAGGCAUAUCAAUGAGCUAUGGAGAUGCUCAUCAAUAGAUAUCAACGUGAAUGAGUAGGGAUUGCCAUACAAAUGAUGCACUAGAGCUAAGAGUAUGUGAAAGCUCUUAAAGAAAACUAGUGGGUGUGCAUCCAACUUGCUUGCUCGCGAAGACCUAAGGCAAAUUUGAGGAAGCCUAUCAUUGGAAUAUACAAGCCAAGUUAUAUAAGGAAAAUUUCCCACUAGCUAUAUGGUGGUGAUAAAACGAGAGACUCUCAAUCAUGAAGAUCAUGGUGCUUAAUAUGCACAAGUGUUGAAAGGUGGUAACAUUGUCCCUUCUCUCUUUUUCUCUCAUUUUUUUGGCACUUUGGCCUCUUUUUUUUUGGUGGGCAUCUUUGGCCUAUUUUAUUUCCUCACAUGGGACAAUGCUCCAUCAAUGAUGAUCAUCACACUUACAACUCAAAACUUAGAGCAAUGAUGACUCUAUAUGGAAUGCCUUCGGUAGCGUACCGUGACAAUGAUCUAGCAUGGCAUAGACAUUAAUGGAAACAUCAUGCUAGCUAUCUUACGAUCAUGCAAUGGCAAUGUAGACGUGGUGGCACAUGUCAUGGUGGUAGUUGCAUGGCAAUAUAUCUCGGAAUGACUUGAAAAAGGCAUAUUAGGUAGGUAUGGUGGCUGUUUUGAGGGAGGCUAAUGGUGGGUUUUGUGCACCGGCAAAAGUUGCACGACACUAAAGAAGAUAGUGAUGGUGGAAGGUGAAAGUGCAUCUAAACCAUGGACUCAACAUUAGUCAUGAAGAACUCAUAUACUUGUUGCAAAAGUUUUAUUAGUAAUCGAAACAAAGCAUUCAACGCAUACUCCUAGGGGAAGGGUUGGUAGGUAUAAACCAUCGCGCGAUCCCGACCGCCACACAAAGGAUGACAAUCAAUAGACUAAUCAUGCUCAGACUUCAUCACAUAACGGUUCACCAUACGUGCAUGCUACGGGAAUCACUAACUUCAACACAAGUAUUUCUAGAUCCACAACACCUUACUAAUAUAACUUCAGUAUUACCAUAACCACAACUCAAAACUAGUUGAGAUGAAUCAAACUUCUCUAACUAUUCAAUGCACAUGAAGGUGGAAGUUUUUGUAUCCCUUUCGAUACCUACCCCUUUUGAGACUACUUUAAUAGCAAGAUCAACUACCAAGCCACGCACCACCGUGCUCUAAAAGAUAUAAGUGAAGCACAUAGAGCAAAAUCAACUAGCUCAAAAGAUAUAAGUGAAGCACAUGUGAGCUGAAUUGUCUACCAAAGGAUAUAAGUGAAGCUCGACAAAAUCACGGUGAGUGCAUGUCUCUCUCUCUAGGUGUGCAGCAAGGAUGAUUAUGACACAACAAAAAUAAAAGACUCCUACGAUACAAGACGCUCCAAGCAAAACACAAAACAUGUGGUGAAUAAAAAUAUAGCCCCAAGUAACGUUACCGGUGGAUUGAAGACGAAAGAGGGGAUGCCUUCCCGGGGCAUCCCCAAGCUUAGGCUUUUACGACAUCCUUGAAUCAUCUUGGGGUGCCUUGGGCAUCCCCAAGCUUGAGCUCUUGCCACUCUUUAUCUUUUUGUCCAUAAGAACUUCACCCAAAACUUGAAAACUUCACAACACGAAACUUAAACAGAAACUCGUGAUAACAUUAGUAUAAGAAAGCAAACCACCACUUCCUUAGGUACUGUAGCAAACUUAAAUUCUACUUAUGUUGAUGUUGGGUUACUGUAUUUUCAAUCUUCCAUGGCUAAUACCCCCCGAUACUAUCCGUAGUUUCAUCAAAAUAAGCAACCAACACAACAAAAAGAAUAUGUUAAUAGCAGACCAGUCUGUAGCAAUCUGUAUACUUCGUAUACUUCUGGUACUUCAAAAAUUCUGAAAAAUUACGAGAUUUUGAAGAAUUUGUGUAUCAAUCAGCAGAAAAAAUAAUCAACUCAAAAUCGCUUACAGAAAAAAAAGAAAAUUCUAUUCGUGAGCAGAAAGUUUUUUGUCUUUUCCAGCAUGACCAAACGAUCAUCCCCAAGACUAAUCAUAACGGUUUUGCUUGGCACAAAGGCAAAAAGAAACACAAAAAACACAAUCAGAACAGAAUUAUGAAAGUGUGCAAAACACAAAACAGAAAUAAAAAGGAUAGAUUCGUUGGGUUGCCUCCCAACAAGCGCUAUUGUUUAACGCCCUUAGCUAGGCAAAUGGUGAUGGAAUCACGUAUAGUCAUCUUUGGUGCUUAAACCAUAAGUAGUGUGAUCAUUUAUCAUCUUAAGAUCUUCAUCUUUAUUGGAUGACUCACCACUAGCUUUAGGAACAAAAACAGACUUGACGGUCUUUUUGAGAGUGAUAUUUGGAGUAUUUUGCACAGCGGCAAAAGCGGAACCCAAGUUGGUUAUGACAUCUUCUAGUUUGUCAAUUCUAGAAGAAUCAUUAACUAUAGGUUCCUUCUCCCUUAAUUUUUUCAAAACAUUUCCCACUUUGGAUUCGUACUGAGUAAUUUGAUUGUGGAUCUUUCUAUCCAAACCCUCAAUAAGUUCAACUGUGGCAAUUUUGUUUUCAAUAGCGUCAAGCCUUUGCAUCACAUGUUCCAAGGUUAAGGUAGUUCCAUUUACCAUGAGCGGGGGUGAGCCUACCAAAUUCAUGAUAGCUCCAUAGGAGUCAACAGUAUGGCUCCCCAAAAAAUUCCCGCCUACGAUGGUAUCAAGGAUAUACCUAUUCCAAGGAGAGAUUCCAACAUAAAAACUACGAAGAAGAACGGUAGUGGACUGCUUACGAAUAGAUCUACGUGAGCAUUGCAAAUCCGGUACCAAGCGUCCUUUAAAUUUUCUUCCUCAUUUUGCCUGAAAUUGAGAACUUCAUUCUUAGGGGUAUCGUUUGGAGUAGUGGGUCUAGCUAUUGAUGGACUAUCCCACACACAAACGAGCAGGAAGUAAGAGAGUGAAGCGGGCAAAAGAGAAUGGCAAAGGAAGAUGGCAAAAAGGCAAAAGGCAAAAGAAAACGACAAAGGAGAAAGGCAAAUGGCAAAAAAGUAAAUGCAAUAGAUGAGUUUGUGAGACCUACUUGGAUAGAUCUCUCCUUCCCCGGAAACGGCACCAGAAAUGCUUCUGCUACUGCAACAAAAGACCUUCCAACGGUGCCAGAAACAAGCGUGCUGACGGGAGACUAGUCUUGUCUUGAUACUCCUCAGCAACGACACCAGGAAUCCUUCUACUACGGCUACGCCUUUAGGGACUUCCUUGGCAAAUAUGCAAAGGAUUCCCCCAUGGCCUUGAAGCCUUGCAUUGGUGUUCCCUCGAAGCGGAAAGGGUGAUAUAGCACAGCGGCGGUAAGUAUUUCCCUCAGUUUUGACCAAGGUAUCAAUCCAGUGAAGGAUUAUCACAAGUACCUGCACAAACACAAAGAGCUUGCACCCAACGCUAUGAAGGGGUUGUCAAUCCCUUAUAGAUUGUUUGCCAAGUGAGAACUGAAAGCAAAAAAGAAACAAAGCAAAGUAAAAGCAAAAGUGGAAACGGUAGGUGUGAAUAGACCCGGGGGCCGUAGUGUUCACUAGUGGCUUCUCUCAUGAAAGCAAGUAGACAGUGGGUGAACGAAUUACUGUCGAGCAAUUAAUAGAACCGCGCAAAGUUGUGACGUUAUCUAUGGCAAUGAUUAUAUCUAUAGGCAUCACGUCCAAAACAAGUAGACCGAUACUUUCUGCAUCUACUACUAUUAGUCCACACGUCGACCGCUAUCCAACAUGCAUCUAGUCUAUUAAGUCCAAAAGAACAGAGUAACGCCUUAAGCAAGAUGACAUGAUGUAGAUGGACAAUCUCAUAUCUACGAUAAAAGCCCAUCUUGUUUCCCUUGAUGGCAACAACACGAUGCGUGCCUUGCUGCCCCUACUGUCACUAGGAAAGGUCACCGCACGGUAUGAACCCAAAACCAAGCACUUCUCCAUUGCAAGAAUCAUAGAUCUAGUUGGCCAAACAAAGCCCAAGACCCGGAGAGACUUACAAGGAUACCAAAUCAUGCAUAUAAGAAAUCAGCAAAGACUCAAAUAUAUAUCAUAGAUAAUUUGAUCACAAAUCCACAAUUCAUCGGAUCUCGACAAACACACCGCCAAACAGGAUUACAUCGGAUAGAUCUCCAUGAAGAUCAUGGAGAACUUUGUAUNNNNNNNNNNNNNNNNNNNNNNNNNNNNNNNNNNNNNNNNNNNNNNNNNNNNNNNNNNNNNNNNNNNNNNNNNNNNNNNNNNNNNNNNNNNNNNNNNNNNAUCAAUAUCCAAUAGCGGGACCUGGAUGCCCAUAUUGGAUCCUACAUAUUCUAUGAAGAUCUUAUCGUUUGAACCUCAGUGCCAAGGAUUCAUAUAAUCCCGUAUGUCAUUCCCUUUGUCCUUCGGUAUGUUACUUGCCCGAGAUUCGAUCGUCAGUAUCCGUAUACCUAUUUCAAUCUCGUUUACUAGCAAGUCUCUUUACUCGUUCCGUAAUACAAGAUCCCGCAACUUACACUAAGUUACAUUGCUUGCAAGGCUUGUGUGUGAUGUUGUAUUACCGAGUGGGCCCCGAGAUACCUCUCCGCUCACACGGAGUGACAAAUCCCAGUCUUGAUCCAUACUAACUCAACUAACACCUUCGGAGAUACCUGUAGAGCAUCUUUAUAGUCACCCAGUUACGUUGCGACGUUUGAUACACACAAAGCAUUCCUCCGGUGUCAGUGAGUUAUAUGAUCUCAUGGUCAUAGGAAUAAAUACUUGACACGCAGAAAACAGUAGCAACAAAAUGACACGAUCAACAUGCUACGUCUAUUAGUUUGGGUCUAGUCCAUCACGUGAUUCUCCUAAUGACGUGAUCCAGUUAUCAAUCAACAACACCUUGUUCAUAAUCAGAAGACACUAACUAUCUUUGAUCAACUGGCUAGUCAACUAGAGGCUUGCUAGGGACAGUGUUUUGUCUAUGUAUCCACACAUGUAAAUGAGUCUUCAUUCAAUACAAUUAUAGCAUGGAUAAUAAACGAUUAUCUUGAUACAGGAAUUAUAAUAAUAACUAUAUUUAUUAUUGCCUCUAGGGCAUAAUUCCAACAGUCUCCCACUUGCACUAGAGUCAAUAAUGUAGCCCUCACAUCACUAUGUGAAUUACAUUGUAAUAAAUCUAACACCCAUACAGUUCUGGUGUUGAUCAUGCUUUGGCCGUGGAAGAGUUUAGUUAGCGGGUCCGCUACAUUCAGAUCCGUGUGCACUUUGCAUAUAUUCACGUCCUCUCCCUCGACGUAGUCGCGGAUGAGGUUGAAGCGUCGUUUGAUGUGUCUGGUCUUCUUGUGAAACCGUGGUUCCUUUGCUAAGGCAAUGGCACCAGUGUUGUCACAGAACAAGGUUAUUGGAUUCAGUGCGCUUGGCACCACUCCAAGAUCCGUCAUGAACUGCUUCAUCCAGACACCCUCCUUAGCCGCCUCCGAGGCAGCCAUGUACUCCGCUUCACAUGUAGAAUCUGCUACGACGCUUUGCUUGGAACUGCACCAGCUUACUGCACCCCCAUUAAGAAUAAAUACGUAUCCGGUUUGCGACUUAGAGUCGUCCGGAUCUGUGUCAAAACUUGCAUCGACGUAACCUUUUACGGCGAGCUCUUCGUCACCUCCAUAUACGAGAAACAUCUCCUUAGUCCUUUUCAGGUACUUCAGGAUAUUCUUGACCGCUGUCCAGUGAUCCACUCCUGGAUUACUCUGGAACCUACCUGCCAUACUUAUGGCCAGGCUAACAUCCGGUCUAGUGCACAGCAUCGCAUACAUGAUAGAACCUAUGGCUGAAGCAUAGGGGACGGAGCGCAUAUGCUCUCUAUCUUCAUCAGUUGCUGGGCACUGAGUCUUAAUCAAUCUCGUACCUUGUAGAACUGGCAAGAACCCUUUCUUGGACUAUUCCAUUUUGAACCUCUUCAAAACUUUAUCAAGGUAUGUGCUUUGUGAAAGUCCUAUCAGGCGUUUUGAUCUAUCCCUAUAGAUCUUAAUGCCUAGAAUGUAAGCAGCUUCUCCUAGGUCCUUCAUAGAGAAACUUUUAUUCAAGUAACCUUUUAUGCUCUCCAAAAACUCUACGUUGUUUCCAAUCAGUAAUAUGUCAUCCACAUAUAAUAUUAGAAACGCCACAGAGCUCCCACUCACUUUCUUGUAAAUACAAGAUUCUCCAACCACUUGUAUAAACCCAAAUGCUUUGAUCACCUCAUCAAAGCGUUUGUUCCAACUCCGAGAUGCUUGCACCAGUCCAUAAAUGGAUCGCUGGAGCUUGCAUACCUUGUUAGCAUUCUUAGGAUUUACAAAACCUUUGGGUUGUAUCAUAUACAACUCUUCCUUAAGGAAACCGUUAAGGAACGCCGUUUUGACAUCCAUCUGCCAGAUUUCAUAAUCGAAAAAUGUAGCUAUUGCUAACAUGAUUCUGACGGACUUAAGCAUCGCUACAGGUGAGAAAGUCUCAUCAUAGUCAACUCCUGGAACUUGUGAAAAACCCUUUGCCACAAGUCGAGCUUUAUAAACGGUCACAUUGCCGUCAGCGUCCGUCUUCUUCUUAAAGAUCCAUUUGUUCUGAAUAGCCUUGCGGCCCUCAGGUAGUAUCUCCAAAGUCCACACUUUGUUCUCAUACAUGGAUCCUAUCUCGGAUUUCAUGGCUUCUAGCCAUUUGUUGGAAUCUGGCCCCACCAUUGCUUCUUCAUAAUUUGCAGGUUCAUUGUUGUCUAACAACAUGAUUGACAAGACGGGAUUACCGUACCACUCUGGAGCAGCACAUGAUCUCGUCGACCUGCGUGGUUCAACAGAAACUUGAACUGGAGUUUCAUGAUUAUCAUCAUUAACUUCCUCCUCAACUGGCGUCGCAAUGACAGAGGUUUCCCCCUGCCCUGCGCCACCAUCCAGAGGGAUGAGAGGUUCGACAACCUCGUCAAGUUCUAUCUUCCUCCCACUCAAUUCUCUCGAGAGAAACUCCUUCUCGAGAAAAGCUACGUUUUAAGCAACAAACACUUUGCCCUCGGAUUUGAGAUAGAAGGUGUACCCAACUGUCUCUUUUGGGUAACCUAUGAAGACACACUUUUCCGCUUUGGGUUCCAGCUUUUCAGGCUGAAGCUUUUUGACAUAAGCAUCACAUCCCCAAACUUUAAGAAACGACAAUUUUUGCCUUUUUAGCCAUACCACAGUUCGUAUGGUGUCGUCUCAACGGAUUUUGAUGGUGCCCUAUUUAAACUGAAUGCAGCUGUUUCUAAUGCAUAGCCCCAAAAUGAUAAUGGUAAAUCAGUAAGAGACAUCAUAGAUCGCACCAUCUCUAAUAGAGUACGAUUACGACGUUCGGACACACCAUUACGCUGUGGUGUUCCAGGCGGUGUUAACUGUGAAACAAUUCCACAUUGUCUUAAGUGAGCACCAAACUCGAAACUCAGAUAUUCACCCCCACGAUCAGACCGCAGGAACUUGAUCUUCUUGUUACGAUGAUUUUCCACUUCACUCUGAAAUUGCUUGAACUUUUCAAAUGUUUCAGACUUGUGCUUCAUCAAGUAGACAUAACCAUAUCUACUUAAAUCGUUAGUGAAGGUGAGAAAAUAACGAUAUCCACCGCGUGCCUCCACGCUCAUCGGACCACACACAUCGGUAUGUAUGAUUUCCAACAAGUCACUUGCACGCUCCAUUGUUCCUGAGAACGGAGUCUUAGUCAUCUUGCCCAUGAGGCAUGGUUCGCACGUGUCAAGAGAAUCAAAGUCAAGUGACUCCAAAAGUCCAUCAGCAUGGAGUUUCUUCAUGCGCUUUACACCAAUAUGACCUAAGCGGCAGUGCCACAAAAAUAUGGCGCUAUCAUUGUUAACUCUAACUCUUUUGGUCUCAAUGUUAUGUAUAUGCGUAUCGCUAUCAAGAUUCAAUAUGAACAAUCCUCUCACAUUCGGUGCAUGACCAUAAAAGAUGGUACUCAUAGAAAUAGAACAACCAUUAUUCUCUGACUUAAAAGAGUAACCGUCUCGCAAUAAACAAGAUCCAGAUAUAAUGUUCAUGCUCAACGCAGGCACUAAAUAACAAUGAUUUAAGUUCAUCACUAAUCCUGACGGUAACUGAAGUGACACUGUGUCGACGGCGAUUGCAUCAACCUUGGAACCAUUUCCUACGCGCAUCGUCACUUCAUCUUUCGCCAGCCUUCGCCUAUUCCGCAGUUCCUGUUUCGAGUUGCAAAUAUGAGCAACAGAACCGGUAUCGAAUACCCAGGCACUACUACGAGAGCCGGUUAAGUACACAUCAAUAACAUGUAUAUCAAAUAUACCUAAUUUUCUUUGCCCGCCUUCUUAUCUGCCAGAUACUUGGGGCAAUUGCGCUUCCAGUGACCCAUACCCUUGCAAUAGUAACACUCCGUUUCCGGCUUAGGUCCAGCUUUGGGUUUCUUCGUCGGAUUGGCAACAGGCUUGCCGCUCUUCUUCGAAUUGCCCUUCUUGCCUUUGCCGUUUCUCUUGAAACUAGUGGUCUUAUUCACCAUCAACACUUGAUGCUCUUUACGGAGUUCAGACUCUGCGACUUUCAGCAUCGCAAACAACUCGCCGGGAGACUUGUUCAUCCCUUGCAUGUUGUAGUUCAACACAAAGCCUUUAUAGCUUGGCGGCAGUGAUUGAAGGAUUCUGUCAGUGAUAGAUUCUUGCGGGAGUUCAAUCCCCAGCUCAGCUAGACGGUUUGAGUACCCAGACAUUUUGAGCACAUGUUCACUGACAGAUGAGUUUUCCUCCAUCUUGCAAGCAUAGAAUUUGUCGGAGGUCUCAUACCUCUCGAUCCGGGCGUUCUUCUGAAAGAUAAACUCCAACUCCUGGAACAUCUCAAAUGCUCCAUGACGCUCAAAGCGACGUUGAAGUCCCGGUUCUAAGCCAUACAAGACUGCACAUUGAACUAUUGAGUAGUCCUCCUUACGUGCUAACCAAGCGUUCUUAACAUCCUGAUCAGCCGUAGCGGGUGGUUCAUCUCCUAACGCAGCAUUAAGGACAUAAUCCUUCUUCCCAGCUUGUAAGAUUAGCUUAAGAUUACGAGCCCAGUCUACAAAGUUGCUUCCAUCAUCUUUCAACUUAGCUUUCUCUAGGAACGUAUUAAAAUUCAGGAUGACUGUUGCGUGAGCCAUGAUCUACAACACAAAUAUAUUCAAAGUGGACUUAGACUAUGUUCAAGAUAAUUAGAGUUUAACUUAAUCAAAUUAUACGCUAAACUCCCACUCAGAAAGUACAUCUCUCUAGUCAUUUGAGUGGUUCAUGAUCCACUUACACUAGCUCAAGUCCGAUCAUCACGUGAGUUGAGUAUAGUUUCAGUGGUAAGCAUCCCUAUGCUAAUCAUAUCAUCUAUAUGAUUCAUGAUCCACCUUUCGGUCUCAUGUGUUCCGAGGCCAUGUCUGCACAUGCUAGGCUCGUCAAGCUUAACCCGAGUGUUCCGCGUGCACAACUGUUUUGCACCCGUUGUAUGUGAACGUUGAGUCUAUCACACACGAUCAUCACGUGGUGUCUCGAAACGACGAACUGUAGUAACCGUGCACAGUCGGGGAGAACACAAUUUCGUCUUGAAAUUUUAGUGAGAGAUCACCUCAUAAUGCUACCGUCGUUCUAAGCAAAAUAAGGUGCAUAAAAGGAUUAACAUCACAUGCAAUUCAUAAGUGACAUGAUAUGGCCAUCAUCACGUGCUUCUUGAUCUCCAUCACCAAAGCACCUGGCACGAUCUUCUUUUCACCGGCGCCACACCAUGAUCAUCCAUCAACGUGUUGCCAUCGGGGUUGUCGUGAUACUCAUGCUAUUACUACUAAAGCUACAUCCUAGCAAAAUAGUAAACGCAUCUCCAAGCACAAACGCUAGUAUAAAGACAACCCUAUGGCUCCUGCCGGUUGCCGUACCAUCGACGUGCAAGUCGAUAUUUCUAUUACAACAUGAUCAUCUCAUACAUCCAAUAUAUCACAUCACAUCGUUGGCCAUAUCACAUCACAAGCAUACCCUGCAAAAACAAGUUAGACGUCCUCUAAUUUUGUUGUUGCAUGUUUUACGUGGUGACCAAGGGUAUCUAGUAGGAUCGCAUCUUACUUACGCAAACACCACAAAGGAGAUAUAUGAGUUGCUAUUUAACAUCAUCCAAGCACCUCCUUGGUCAAAUCCGAUUCAACUAAAGUUGGAGAAACCGACACUUGCCAGUCAUCUUUGAGCAAAGGGGGUUACUCGUAACGAUGAAACCAGUCUCUCGUAAGCGUACGAGUAAUGUCGGUCCAAGCCGCUUCAAUCCAACAAUACCACGGAAUCAAGAAAAGACUAAGGAGGGCAGCAAAGCGCACAUCAUCGCCCACAAAAACUUUUGUGUUCUACUCGAGAAGACAUCUACGCAUGAACCUAGCUCAUGAUGCCACUGUUGGGGAACGUCGCGUGGGAAACAAAAAUUUUCCUACGCGCACGAAGACCUAUCAUGGUGAUGUCCAUCUACGAGAGGGGAUGAGUGAUCUACGUACCCUUGUAGACCGUACAGCAGAAGCGUUAGAGAACGCGGUUGAUGUAGUGGAAUGUCCUCACGUCCCUCGAUCCGCCCCGCGAACAAUCCCGCGAUCAGUCCCACGAUCUAGUACCGAACGGACGGCACCUCCGCGUUCAACACACGUACAGCUCGACGAUGAUCUCGGCCUUCUUGAUCCAGCAAGAGAGACGGAGAGGUAGAAGAGUUCUCCGGCAGCGUGACGGUGCUCCGAAGGUUGGUGAUGACCUUGUCUCAGCAGGGCUCCGCCCGAGCUCCGCCCGAGCUCCGCAGAAACGCGAUCUAGAGGAAAAACUGUGGAGGUAUGUGGUCGGGCUGCCGUGGAAAAGUCGUCUCAAAUCAGCCCUAAAACCUCCGUAUAUAUAGGUGGGAGGGAGGGGACCUUGCCUUGGGGCUCAAGGAGCCCCAAGGGGGUCGGCCGACUCCAAGGGGGAGGACUCUCCCCCCCCCCAAACCGAGUUGGACUAGGUUUGGUGGGAGGGAGUCCCCCUUCCUUCCCACCUCCUCCUUUAUUUUUCUUUCUCUCUUGAUUUUCUUCUCCUUGGCGCAUAGAGCCUUUCGGGCUGUUCCACCAGCCCACUAAGGGCUGGUGUGCCACCCUCAAGGCCUAUGGGCUUCCCCGGGGUCGGGUUGACCCCCCCCCCCCCGGUGAACUCCCGGAACCCAUUCAUCAUUCCCGGUACAUUCCCGGUAACUCCGAAAACCUUCCGGUAAUCAAAUGAGGUCAUCCUAUAUAUCAAUCUUUGUUUCCGGACCAUUCCAGAAACCCUCGUGACGUCCAUGAUCUCAUCCGGGACUCCGAACAACAUUCGGUAACCAACCAUAUAACUCUAAUACGCAUAAAACAACGUCGAACCUUAAGUGUGCAGACCCUGCGGGUUCGAGAACUAUGUAGACAUGACCCGAGAGACUCCUCGGUCAAUAUCCAAUAGCGGGACCUGGAUGCCCAUAUUGGAUCCUACAUAUUCUACGAAGAUCUUAUCGUUUGAACCUCAGUGCCAAGGAUUCAUAUAAUCCCGUAUGUCAUUCCCUUUGUCCUUCGGUAUGUUACUUGCCCGAGAUUCGAUCGUCAGUAUCCGUAUACCUNNNNNNNNNNNNNNNNNNNNNNNNNNNNNNNNNNNNNNNNNNNNNNNNNNNNNNNNNNNNNNNNNNNNNNNNNNNNNNNNNNNNNNNNNNNNNNNNNNNNCGUCGACUGCUAUCCAGCAUGCAUCUAGUGAUUUAAGUCCAAAAGAACAGAGUAACGCCUUAACCAAGAUGACAUGAUGUAGAUGGACAAUCUCAUAUCUACGAUAAAAGCCCAUCUUGUUUCCCUUGAUGGCAACAACACGAUGCGUGCCUUGCUGCCCCUACUGUCACUAGGAAAGGUCACCGCACGGUAUGAACCCAAAACCAAGCACUUCUCCAUUGCAAGAAUCAUAGAUCUAGUUGGCCAAACAAAGCCCAAGACCCGGAGAGACUUACAAGGAUACCAAAUCAUGCAUAUAAGAAAUCAGCAAAGACUCAAAUAUAUAUCAUAGAUAAUUUGAUCACAAAUCCACAAUUCAUCGGAUCUCGACAAACACACCGCCAAACAGGAUUACAUCGGAUAGAUCUCCAUGAAGAUCAUGGAGAACUUUGUAUUGAAGAUCCAAGAGAGAGAAGAAGUCAUCUAGAUACUAACUACGGACCCGUAGGUCUGAAGUAAACUACUCACGAGUCAUUGGGAGGGGCGAUGAUGUUGAUGAAGAACGCCCUCCAACUACCAAACGUCCCCUUCGGCGAGGGCACCGGGAAGGGUCUCCAGAUGAGAUCUCGACGGAAACGGAAGCUUGCGGUCGACGGAAAAGUUGUUUUCGUGGAUCGCCCUGUUAUUUUUUUCKUGGUUAGUUUUUAAGGGUAAKUUUAGUACGGACCAAACGACCGUAGGGCGAGGGGAGCCGCCGAGGGGGGCACAAGCUUGGUUGCCGCGGCCUCCCCCCUAGCCGCAGCAAUAGGGCUUGUGGGACCCCUGUGGGCCCACUUGCUUGGACCUCAAGCCUCCUGAUCUUCUUCCAUUAGUGGAAAAAUUAUUUCGGGGAUUUUAUUCCGUUUGGACUCCAUUCCAAAAUCAGAUCUAAAAAGAGUCAAAAACACAGAAAAAACAGGAACUGGCGCUUGGCACUGAAUUAAUAAGUUAGUCCCAAAAAAGAUAUCAAAGGUAAAAAAACAUCCAAAGUUGACAAGAUAACAGCGUGAAACCAUCAAAAAUUAUAGAUACGUUUGAGACGUAUCAAGCAUCCCCAAGCUUAACUCCUGCUGGUCCUCAAGUAGGGAAGUGAUAAAGAAUGAAUUUUUGAUGCUUUCAUGCUACCUAGCAUAGAUGUCCUUUGUAACUCCUCUUAUGUGACGUGAAUGUUCAGAUCCAUUAGAUUCAAAACAAUAGUUUGCUAUUGACGUGGAAACGAUAAUACUUCAAGCAAACUAGCAAAGUAAUCAUGAACUUUCAAAAUAACAAGGCCAAAAGAAAGUUAUCCCUACAAAAUCAUAUAGUCUCGCUAUGCUCUAUCAUCAUUGCACAACGAAUUUAAAUCAUGCACAACCCCGAUAUUGGCCAAGUAAUUGUUUUCACACCUUUACUUUCUCAAACUUUUUCAACUCUCACGCAAUACAUGAGCGUGAGCCAUGGUUUUAGCACUAAAAGUGGUGUGGAGUGUGGUGGAGGUUGCAAGACAAACAAGGAGAAGAUGGUCACAUUGACUAGGCAUAUCAAUGAGCUAUGGAGAUGCUCAUCAAUAGAUAUCAACGUGAAUGAGUAGGGAUUGCCAUACAAAUGAUGCACUAGAGCUAAGAGUAUGUGAAAGCUCUUAAAGAAAACUAGUGGGUGUGCAUCCAACUUGCUUGCUCGCGAAGACCUAAGGCAAAUUUGAGGAAGCCUAUCAUUGGAAUAUACAAGCCAAGUUAUAUAAGGAAAAUUUCCCACUAGCUAUAUGGUGGUGAUAAAACGAGAGACUCUCAAUCAUGAAGAUCAUGGUGCUUAAUAUGCACAAGUGUUGAAAGGUGGUAACAUUGUCCCUUCUCUCUUUUUCUCUCAUUUUUUUGGCACUUUGGCCUCUUUUUUUUGGUGGGCAUCUUUGGCCUAUUUUAUUUCCUCACAUGGGACAAUGCUCCAUCAAUGAUGAUCAUCACACUUACAACUCAAAACUUAGAGCAAUGAUGACUCUAUAUGGAAUGCCUUCGGUAGCGUACCGUGACAAUGAUCUAGCAUGGCAUAGACAUUAAUGGAAACAUCAUGCUAGCUAUCUUACGAUCAUGCAAUGGCAAUGUAGACGUGGUGGCACAUGUCAUGGUGGUAGUUGCAUGGCAAUAUAUCUCGGAAUGACUUGAAAAAGGCAUAUUAGGUAGGUAUGGUGGCUGUUUUGAGGGAGGCUAAUGGUGGGUUUUGUGCACCGGCAAAAGUUGCACGACACUAAAGAAGAUAGUGAUGGUGGAAGGUGAAAGUGCAUCUAAACCAUGGACUCAACAUUAGUCAUGAAGAACUCAUAUACUUGUUGCAAAAGUUUUAUUAGUAAUCGAAACAAAGCAUUCAACGCAUACUCCUAGGGGAAGGGUUGGUAGGUAUAAACCAUCGCGCGAUCCCGACCGCCACACAAAGGAUGACAAUCAAUAGACUAAUCAUGCUCAGACUUCAUCACAUAACGGUUCACCAUACGUGCAUGCUACGGGAAUCACUAACUUCAACACAAGUAUUUCUAGAUCCACAACACCUUACUAAUAUAACUUCAGUAUUACCAUAACCACAACUCAAAACUAGUUGAGAUGAAUCAAACUUCUCUAACUAUUCAAUGCACAUGAAGGUGGAAGUUUUYGUAUCCCUUUSGAUAMCUACCCMUUUUGAGACUASUUUMAWAGCAUAGAUCAACUACCAAGCCACGCACCACYGCWRCUCUAAAAURAUAUAAGUGAAGCACAUAGAGCMAAAUYAWCUAGCUCAAAAGAUAUAAGUGAAGCACAAUGUGAGCUGAAUUGUCUACCAAARGAUAUAAGUGAAGCUCGACAAAAUCACGGUGWGUGCAUGUMUCUCUCUCUAGGUGUGYAGCAAGGAUGAUURUGACACAACGAAAAAUAAAAGACUCCUACGAUACAAGACGCUCCAAGCAAAACACAAAACAUGUGGUGAAUAAAAAUAUAGCCCCAAGUAACGUUACCGGUGGAUUGAAGACGAAAGAGGGAUGCCUUCCGGGCAUCCCAAGCUUAGGCUUUACGACAUCCUUGAAUCAUCUGGGUGCCUUGGGCAUCCCCAAGCUUGAGCUCUUGCCACUCUUUAUCUUUUUGUCCAUAAGAACUUCACCCAAAACUUGAAAACUUCACAACACGAAACUUAAACAGAAACUCGUGAUAACAUUAGUAUAAGAAAGCAAACCACCACUUCCUUAGGUACUGUAGCAAACUUAAAUUCUACUUAUGUUGAUGUUGGGUUACUGUAUUUUCAAUCUUCCAUGGCUAAUACCCCCCGAUACUAUCCGUAGUUUCAUCAAAAUAAGCAACCAACACAACAAAAAGAAUAUGUUAAUAGCAGACCAGUCUGUAGCAAUCUGUAUACUUCGUAUACUUCUGGUACUUCAAAAAUUCUGAAAAAUUACGAGAUUUUGAAGAAUUUGUGUAUCAAUCAGCAGAAAAAUAAUCAACUCAAAAUCGCUUACAGAAAAAAAGAAAAUUCUAAUUCGUGAGCAGAAAGUUUUUUUAGUCUUUUCCAGCAUGACCAAACGAUCAUCCCCAAGACUAAUCAUAACGGUUUUGCUUGGCACAAAGGCAAAAGAACACAAAAACACAAUCAGAACAGAAUUAUGAAAGUGUGACAAAACACAAAACAGAAAUAAAAAGGAUAGAUUCGUGGGUUGCCUCCCAACAGCGCUAUUGUUUAACGCCUUAGCUAGGCAAUGGUGAUGGAAUCACGUAUAGUCAUCUUUGGUGUCUAAACCUAUAAGUAGUGUGAUCAUUUAUCAUCUUAAGAUCUUCAUCUUUANNNNNNNNNNNNNNNNNNNNNNNNNNNNNNNNNNNNNNNNNNNNNNNNNNNNNNNNNNNNNNNNNNNNNNNNNNNNNNNNNNNNNNNNNNNNNNNNNNNNUCGAUCUCCACCAACCAAUUUCGGGAUUUGGGAAUUUUAGGGUUUGUUAGUUGACAUUUUAGUACCAACUAGCUAUAGAUAUCUUUAUCACCUAAUAAUAAAAAGGCUAUCGCUUCCGUCGGAAACCCACCUCGGUGAUUUUAAAAAGUCCUUGAUGUUUUUAAAAUUAAACCAGCAAUCCAAUUGAUAAGUGAAGCUAAAUCGGUAUGUACGUACGUACGUGACCAGUUGCCGCUGCUUGAUCGAUAGUGGCAUAGAUCAGCAACCAGCCGGACAAUGCACGGGCCGAAGUACGAGCGUGCACAUCGAUCAGCGUCGGAAGCUACGCUGCGGGCGCGGCGUCUCGCCGUUGACGUCAGCUUGUACAUGCCGGCGCCGCACACCGAUCAAUGUGGCCCGUCGACAAGAUGAUGGUCGUCACCGUGAGGCCCGCGUACGCCGCGUUCCGAAAUGGCGAGAUCACGCCACCGUACUUCUGGUUCACGAUCGGCGCCGCCAUCGCGAAGAAGACGAGGAUGAACGUGCCGACGAACUCCGCGCCAAGCUGUACCAAUGUAAAUUCAUUUUUUUAUCUCUCCCUCUCUCCUUAAUCUUUACCUAAUAUAUAUCUAUACCUAAUAAUAAAGCGGCUAUUGCUUCCGUCAGAAAACCCAUCACGGUAUUUUUAUAAAAAACCUCUGUAAUUUUUGUUAUUCAACCCGCGCUCCAUCAUUUAUCUGCAACACAAAAGGAAAAAAAAUGAUUCGCUGCAAAAAUUAUACCCGUACGCAUCGCCUCCUCCCGUCGACCCUGGGCCACCCAGGCCUGUGCCCAGGCCGCCGCCACACCACUCGCCGCCGCGGCCGACCUCAGCCGCCACCGCUGCCGAUCUCAACCCACCCGCCUCCGGGGUUGUACCUCUCCCCGCUCACAACCCCCGUUGCGACGCUCGAGCGCAUCGCGUCGACCCUGAUCCACCCUUGGCCUGUGCCCAGGCCGCUGCCACACCACUCGCCGCCGCGGCCGACCUCAACCACCACUAUUGUCGAUCUCAACCCACCCUCCUCCGCGGUCGUACCUCUGCCGCUUGCUGCCCGUUUCGGCGCUCGAGCACAGCUUCUGGAUCAAAUCAACGCGACAACUACAGCGACUUGGGAUGAUGCGUCUGCUCGAUGCAGAACGGCGGUGGCACGCGGAUAAGGCGCGGCGGAGCGAAGUACUUGCAGGUGGAGGCGGGCCUCCAUGGCUCACACGGGGAACUCCGAGGUUAUGGCGUGGCAACGACGACUCCUUAUGGUCAGAUAGAGGCGCCUAACCCUUGCUUCCCUCAUCGCAUCCCCUCCUCCGGCAGGAACUCAUCAUCUGGUGAGAUCCUCUCUCCAUGCCUUCAACCGUGUACCAAGCACCGGCAAGAAAUUUUGUUUUGUGAGAAUUUGUUUGCUGAUGAAUGAAUGUAUUGAAUGUAACAUUGCAUUGUUGUAAAGAAAGAGAAUGGAACACCACCUUGAGUUUGUCAUCUGAUUCCACAUUCUCUACCCCGUGAGUGAAAUAAGAUAACAGUCCAUUGAUCAAUUCAUGUAGCCUCUUUGUUUUGCUUUGCUUGUCCCGUUUAAUUUCUCAUCAUGGUGAAAUUAACAAUGGACGGGUUGAUUUCUCAACAAAAUAGGAUAGGACUGGCUACAUUAGUUAGUUAGUUUAUUAUUUUAAUAAUCAAAAUGAUUAUAAAAAAACGUAGAAAUAUGUGGUAUUUUUUUCUUCUCGUUGCAACGCACGAGCCCUUUUGUCUAGUACGUGAAAAAAUAGUGCACCGCAUCAUUCGGAUCGCGUUCCUUUGAUUUACUCCAUAGCAACUCCCCCACCAGCUCCAACCCUGUAUGUACCUAACUUGCUAUAUAUACGUGCACCAGCUCUGCACAGGGACGGUCACACUCCAAUCAGGCACAGCACACAAAACAAGUCUCGUCAUAUCGAGAAACGGAGCUAGCUCGACCACGGGUGGUGUUCGGCAGCAGCUCUAGGCCGUCGUCCUCGGCCGGGUGGCGCCGAUGGCCACACACAUAAAUUAUCCUUAUGAUGAGGUUUCGAGAUCAACGAAUGCGCACGGUCCACUUGUUUGUUCUUGCAUGUCCGACAUGAGGGGCAGCUGUCAGCGUUCGUACCACCAACCAAGAGCGAUAUUCACGUGCAGACAUAAAUCGGAUCAUUUAAUUUUCCCAUGCGAUCCACGAGGGCACUAUAUAUACUCCUCCUGAGAGUAACCACUAAGAUAGCGAACGGAACUCCUGAUUCUUUUUUUAGGAAUUUAUUCUGUAUAUGGAUGGAUGUACUACCCAUGGACGUCUUUUGUGAUUGACGGNNNNNNNNNNNNNNNNNNNNNNNNNNNNNNNNNNNNNNNNNNNNNNNNNNNNNNNNNNNNNNNNNNNNNNNNNNNNNNNNNNNNNNNNNNNNNNNNNNNNUGGAGUAUCACCUGAAAGUGCAGUCAUGCCUUUAAUACGUGUUUUGGUGUUGCUGACAACACACAUAUAGAUAACUAAUCACUAAUACCCCUUUAGUUGUUAAAAAAAAGUUUGAUCAUAUGUUGAUAAGGACAAGCUCAUGUGCUAACAAGGACAAGAUCAAGAUAAGCAUUCCUGAGUACUACAUGCUUGAAUCUUGUGGAUGUUCACAUGGUGGACAGAUGAAGAUGAAUACACAAGCUAGGCCUUCCACAUUGUGUAUGGGAGAGCUUCUUGAAGACUUCAUCAUGUCUUGCUUUCAUCUUGAGUCAAGAAGGAACAACAACACCAAGCUCAAGUGAAAGGGCUAACUCAAAGGUAUCAGUUCMUUUGACGUUARUGGUGCGGAGUGAUGAUCAGCGAAUAAAAGUAUACACGCAAGUAUAGAUCAUCGGACCCUUUUUUUUAUGUUUCUUGAGUCUUUAGGGAUCCCGCACUAUUAAGAGGGGAUCACUGGGUAUUGCGAUAAAUUUGCUCAAACUACAUCUCUACUUCUCUGCUCAUGCCACAUCUCCACUGCUCUGCUUUGAUCCCAAAAGAGAACCAAAGCCUCGGACAUCCGCCCCCUUCGGACGUCCGAGGGCCGGACGCCCGACCAGUUCGGAAAUACGGAACCCUAUACCAGAGCCAAAGUCUCGGACAUCCGGCUCCCUCUAUCCGAGGACCGGACGCCCGACCACUUCGGAAAAUCGGAACCUUGCACCAGAGAAAUCCAGAGUCAGAUAACUCGGACUUCCGGCCUCUCCCUGUCGUCCGAGGGCCGGACGUCCGACCACUUUUGGAAAUCCGGUGCCCUUGAACAGAGCCGUACUCUCGGACAUCCGGGGCCGUCCGGACGUCCGGAAACCGUCGGACGUCACUACAAGAAGUAUGCUCAUACAUGAUGUUUUUAAGACGUCGUUGAUGAAUUCGUCAUAAAUCUAUGACGAAUUCAUCCGAGAUUGUCGUAAACCGUUUGAGGGGAUCAAAUCUACAUAUAAAUUACGACGAUGUGAGUCAAAAACGUCGUAACCACAUAAGAUGAGAUCGUCAUAACUUUUACGACGAUUAUAAAAAUGUCGUAACAUGUUCUAACUAUGUUGACAUGUCACUCGUGGGUCCAUUAUAUUCCACCUCAUCCAUGUAUUGAACUGUUUUUAUACCACUUUUUGUUGGGCUAUUUUUUCAUCUUACUUUUAUAUUGGGCUGGUAAUUUAUCCUCCAUGCUUGCUAAUGGGUUGGUUUCUGGUCUGUCAUAAUAUUUUAUAUUAUACAUAAUAUAUUGUCUAAUAUUUUUAAAAUGAGUUGCUACAUUUUUACAACAAAGAUUUGGUAGGUUCUUUACAAAAAACCUAUUUUCUGGCACUUCGAAAAUAGAAAAUGAUUUUUUUGUGCAAACAAAAUGUAAAAUCUCUUUGACAACGUUGUUUGUCAUACCAACAUACACACAUGUGGACAAUAUUGGGUCAUUGUAACAAACUAUAAGAGGAUAAAAUAUAAGAGAAACAAACAAACAACUAAAAAUUUUAUAUAAGCUUAAUUCUGAUUGGUGGGUAUGUGCUAUGGUCUAAAGAAUAUGAAAUUGGACNNNNNNNNNNNNNNNNNNNNNNNNNNNNNNNNNNNNNNNNNNNNNNNNNNNNNNNNNNNNNNNNNNNNNNNNNNNNNNNNNNNNNNNNNNNNNNNNNNNNCUAGGCGUCCCACAAUGCACAGUGCAUGUAUGCACCCUUGGUUCCGUUGUUGCCAUCUUCUGCCCUCCCAUCUUUAGGAGGGAUCAUUUCACACACGUUGCGUGGCCCAUCAGUCGUCGACUUUAGCACGAUGCCGAACAACGCCAUCAACCUACGCGCGUCCAUCAAACCAUGUCCAACACCGAGACUCCAAUAUUGCACACCACCGAGCCCCGUCGUCUUCAAUGUGGUACUGAUACGUCUCAAACGUAUCUAUAAUUUUUGAUAGUUUCACGCUGUUAUCUUGUCAACUUUCGAUGUUUUGUUUACCUUUUAUAUCUUUUUUGGGACUAACUUAUUAAUUCAGUGCCAAGCGCCAGUUCCUGUUUUUUCUGUGUUUUUGACUCUUUUCAGAUCUGGUUUUGGAACGGAGUCCAAACGGAAUAAAAUCCCCGAAAUAAAGUUUUCCAGAACGGAAUAUCGGGAGGCUUGAGGGCCAAGCAAGUGGGCCCACAUGGGGCCCACAAGCCCUGUUGCCGCGGCCAGGGGGGAGGCCGCGGCAACCAAGCUUGUGGCCCCCCUGGCGCUCCCCUUCCCUAGGUCUUUGGCCUAUAAAUUCCAUAAAAAUCCAGAAAAAUCAGGGCAAUCACGAAAACACUUUUCCGCGGCCGCAAGCUUCCGUUUCUGCGAGAUGUCAUCUGGAGACCCUUCCCAGUGCCCUGCCGAGGGGACUUUGGAGUUGGAGGGCUUCUUCAUCAACAUCAUCGCCCCUCCAAUGACUCGUGAGUAGUUCACUUCAGACCUACGGGUCCGUAGUUAGUAGCUAGAUGGCUUCUUCUCUCUCUUGGAUCUUCAAUACAAAGUUCUCCAUGAUCUUCAUGGAGAUCUAUCCGAUGUAAUCCUCUUUGGCGGUGUGUUUGUCGAGAUCCGAUGAAUUGUGGAUUUGUGAUCAGAUUAUCUACGAUAUAUAUUUGAGUCUUUGAUGAUUUAUUAUAUGCAUGAUUUGAUAUCCUUGUAAGUCUCUCCGAGUCUUGGGUUUUGUUUGGCCAACUAGAUCUAUGAUUCUUGCAAUGGGAGAAGUGCUUGGUUUUGGGUUCAUACCAUGUGGUGACCUUUCCCAGUGACAGUAGGGGCAGCAAGGAACGCAUCGUGUAGUUGCCAUCAAGGGUAACAAGAUGGGCUUUUAUCGUAGAUAUGAGAUUGUCCAUCUACAUCAUGUCAUCUUGCUUAAGGCGUUACUCUGUUCUUUUGGACUUAAUAGACUAGAUGCAUGUUGGAUAGCGGUCGACGUGUGGACUAAUAGUAGUAGAUGCAGAAAGUAUCGGUCUACUUGUUUUGGACGUGAUGCCUAUAGAUAUAAUCAUUGCCAUAGAUAACGUCACGACUUUGCGCGGUUCUAUCAAUUGCUCGACAGUAAUUCGUUCACCCACCGUCUACUUGCUUUCAUGAGAGAAGCCACUAGUGAACGACUACGGCCCCCGGGGUCUAUUCCGACACCGUAUCGUUUCCGACUUUUGCUUUUACGUUUGCUUUCGUUAUUUUUUGCUUUCAGUUCUCACUUGGCAANNNNNNNNNNNNNNNNNNNNNNNNNNNNNNNNNNNNNNNNNNNNNNNNNNNNNNNNNNNNNNNNNNNNNNNNNNNNNNNNNNNNNNNNNNNNNNNNNNNNCGUGGCGGGCGGGCUCUGCUCGCGCCAGCCGCGAUGAGCGCUGAGCGUAGUGGUCUGGGAGCUGCCGCCGUGCAGGUGCUGGCGCGUGAUGGGGCACGUCGCGUUGCCGCGGUCAAGCCACUCCUGUAUGGCGCGGCGCUCGUACGUUUGGCCGGUCUCGAGCGUGACGGGGUCGUCGAACACCUGGCUCGUGAUCGGGCACACGAAGUCCUUGGGCGUCGUCGCCGCCUGCUGCUGAAGCCGCGACAGCUCGGCGUCGCCGGCCAUCGAGGACCUGUAUGUAUUCAAAUCCAUCAGCGCGUGUCUCCAUCGAUGGCAUCGGUGCAAUCUAGGUUGCGGGAAAUGCUGUAUCCGGAAGCGGGUGACAUGGUUACCUUGAGUGCUCCGGAGAGAGGCGGGCCCGGCUGGCGCCGUCGUCGCCGCGUGGCUUGGACAGUGGGGACGCCGCUUGCUUUUCCUAAGAGACAAGGCAACAACAUUGGGAACUCAGCUUUGGAGAGAUGGCUCAUCAGCAGAUCAGCCGGAGAAGCAAACGAGGGUUGUGUAGUACUCGCUCCGUUCCUAAAUAGGGCUACAUACGGAUGUAUAUAGACAUACUUUAGAGUAUAGAUUCAAUCAUUUUGCUCCGUAUGUAGACCCUUAGUGAAAUCGCUUAAAAAACUUAUAUUUAGAAACGGAGGGAGUAUUUUUUUCCCGGGUAAGUUUACAUGUCUUCUUUUACUGAGCUUUUUCUAAAGAAGCUAAGAACUCAAUUUCAUAAUUAUUUCUAUUUAGGCCACCCUAAGUAUUACACAUCUAAAUGACAUAAUCAAAAUGAAAAGGAAAAUAAAAAGGAACAUACCAACACGAAUCUCCGCUUCAAAUCAAUGCCGGGUACAUUUAGACGUGUUUUUAUCAAAAACAUAUUUGAAAAUGGACAACUCUAGUGAAAUUGGGUGACUAAGGUCAUCUCCAAUGCUUAGCCAUUUGUUUAGACGCUAGAGAUAAAAAAACAAAUUGAAAAUUCACCAUAGAGUCGUUCUCUAUAAUAAACAAAAAAACUCAAAUUGCAAAUCCUGUCAACUUACAUAAAAAUUGUCAAAAAUAAAAUAAAAACUUGAAUCGCAAAUUUGUCCUCCUCAACACCAAGCCGACCUAGCAGCCAAAGAAACCGGAAAACCAGCGAGUUAGUUGAAGAAGCCUCCAUUGAUAUUCUUUGGGAAUUAAUUUCUUUGGCAUCCAGGAUAAGGUUUAAAAAUCUCAACGAAAUUUCACACAAAUUUUUGAAAUUUUGCAUAUUUCAUUGGGGUCUGAAAUAUUUUUUUCCCUGAAAUUAAGAUGCAAAUUCAAACUGAUUUCAAAAUAAAUUUAAAAUUAUGUUAAAAUUCAUUGAAAUUAGGUGAAUUUUGGAAACUCAAAAUCAAAAUAUUUCAGGAAAUAUGUAAUUUUUUGAACUUUUGUAUAUUUAGGUGAGGUCUGAAAUUNNNNNNNNNNNNNNNNNNNNNNNNNNNNNNNNNNNNNNNNNNNNNNNNNNNNNNNNNNNNNNNNNNNNNNNNNNNNNNNNNNNNNNNNNNNNNNNNNNNNUGUUUUUAAAGUUUGCUCGUUUCUCUGCUUACCAUGCUAGCUAACACUAGCCUACCUGAUGCAAACUUGCUGAAUAUAUGUAUGGGUAGUUCCUGGUGGUCACUUAUUAUCCAAGGGAGUAGUUUUGGUACUUAACGAAUGGUGUUUCAGCUAGCUUGCACCUCAUCUAGCUACUCACUGUUAUUGUUACACCUGAGAUGAUAUUUUGUUCUUCGAAAGACGUUUUACAAUUUAGCAUUGCCAUCUAGUUCCUGCGCCUCAAAAAUACAUUACUUUGUUUGUAUGCAGGUAUACUAGAGCCCAUAAAAGCUGGUAUCAGUGAUGCAAAACUAGGAGUGGGGAAGCAAGAGCAGGAUGACUUCUUCACAGCGAGUGCUAAUUUCUGUAUUUUCUUUUGAGAUUCUUUUGGGUUGAUGCUUCAGUUGUGAAAACUGGUAUCUGAUUGUCAACUGUGAAUUAGAUGAGUUAUUGAAUUAUGUAAACCUGGAGAUGUAUUAUGUGAUGUUAUAUGAUGAUUUUAAUUCGACUUGGAGUUUUCUUGAUUUGAACAUGAAAUAGUGCUGCAUUUAAUAUUGGACAAAUAAUUGGUUGAAAAGGCCCAAUAAAUAGAAAUGAAAUCAAGUUCUGAAAAAAAAGUUGCUGAAUUCAAAAAUGAAAAAAGGCCAAAACUGAAACUGGACCAAAUGUAUUUGGACACUAAAAGGCGAGGGCCCAAAAACAAUUCAAAAAGAAAACUAAAAGUGGCUAUAAAUGGGCUAAGGCCCAAAAGAAGCCCAAAAAUAAAACCAGCCCAUGUGAUCAAUUGAAAUGGGUUGGGCUGAUUUCAAUUAUGAUGUUUUGAUUUCGUCGUAAUUUUGCCACGUAGGACUGCCAUGUAGGACUGGGUUAGAUUGUCAACGACGAUUUAGGAUCGUCGUAAAGGUUACGACGAUCCAUGAAUCGUCGUAGAAGUUAUGACGAWUUUGUAUCAAAACGUCGCUCGUGUUCAUUUGUGACGCUCCGUUUUCGACGCUUGGUUUUUCGUCGUGAGAUCGUCGUAAACUAAAAACUGUGACGAUGUAGCGAAGAAAAUAUAGCGUCGUGUAUUAGCANNNNNNNNNNNNNNNNNNNNNNNNNNNNNNNNNNNNNNNNNNNNNNNNNNNNNNNNNNNNNNNNNNNNNNNNNNNNNNNNNNNNNNNNNNNNNNNNNNNNCUCACGAAGUGGGAGGGGGUAUUUAUAGUGGGGAGAGAAAACCAGCCGUUGGGUACACUUUAGGUCACACAGGGUCCGGACGUCCGACAGUUUCCGGAAGUCCCGGCGUCCGUGAGGGGUCGGACGUCCGACAGGGGUCGGUCGUCCGAGAGCUGUAGAUAUGUCUGGAAACACUGUGAGUUGAACAGGCACCGGACUUCCGAAGAAGGCCGGAAAUCCGAGUUAUUCGACUCAACUUCUUCUAGUGCAAAGUUCCGGAAUUCCGAAAGGGGACGGACGUCUGGCCCUCGGACGUCCGGAGGGAGCCGGAAAUCCGAGCUAUAGAGCUCAUGUUCUUCGGGUGCACGGCUCCGGAUUUCUGAAGCUGGUCGGUCGUCCGACCCUUGACCGGCCCUCGGACGUCCGGAGGGAGCCGGAAGUCCGAGUUAUAUGGUUCAAGUUUCUCUCGUGCAUAGUUCCGGAAUUCCAAAGCUGGUCGGAUAUCCUGGCCUCGGACGUCCGGAGGGAGCCGGAAGUCCGAGUUAUAUGGCUCUGAUUUCUCUGGUAUAGGAUUCCGGAUUUCCGAAGCAGUCGGUCGUCCAGCCCUCGGACGUCCGGAGAGCCGGAUGUCCGAGGCACUGGUUCUGUUUUCAGANAAGUGGGAGGGGGUAUUUAUAGUGGGGAGAGAAAACCAGCCGUUGGGUACACUUUAGGUCACACAGGGUCCGGACGUCCGACAGUUUCCGGAAGUCCCGGCGUCCGUGAGGGGUCGGACGUCCGACAGGGGUCGGUCGUCCGAGAGCUGUAGAUAUGUCUGGAAACACUGUGAGUUGAACAGGCACCGGACUUCCGAAGAAGGCCGGAAAUCCGAGUUAUUCGACUCAACUUCUUCUAGUGCAAAGUUCCGGAAUUCCGAAAGGGGACGGACGUCUGGCCCUCGGACGUCCGGAGGGAGCCGGAAAUCCGAGCUAUAGAGCUCAUGUUCUUCGGGUGCACGGCUCCGGAUUUCUGAAGCUGGUCGGUCGUCCGACCCUUGACCGGCCCUCGGACGUCCGGAGGGAGCCGGAAGUCCGAGUUAUAUGGUUCAAGUUUCUCUCGUGCAUAGUUCCGGAAUUCCAAAGCUGGUCGGAUAUCCUGGCCUCGGACGUCCGGAGGGAGCCGGAAGUCCGAGUUAUAUGGCUCUGAUUUCUCUGGUAUAGGAUUCCGGAUUUCCGAAGCAGUCGGUCGUCCAGCCCUCGGACGUCCGGAGGAAGCCGGAUGUCCGAGGCACUGGUUCUGUUUUCAGAUAACAGCAGAGCAGUGGAGAUGUGGUCUGAGCAGAACAGUGGAGAUGUAGUUUGAGCAAGUUCAUCGCAAAACCUGUGAUCCCCUCUUAAUAGUGCGGGAUCCCUAAAGACUCAAGAAUCAUAAAAGGGGUACUGAUGAUCCAUACUUGAGUGUAUACUUUUAUUCGCUGAUCAUCACUCCGCAUAACUAACGUCAAAGGAACUGAUACCUUUGAGUUAGCCCUUUCACUUGAACUUGAUGUUGUUGUUCCUUCUUGGCUCAAGUUGAAAGCAAGACAUGAUGAAGUCUUCAAGUAGCUCUCCCAUACACAAUGUGGAAAGCCUAGGUUAUGUAUUCAUCUUCAGUUGUCCACCAUGUGAACAUCCACAAGAAUCAAGCAUGUAGUGCUCAGGAAUGCUUAUCUUGAUCUUGUCCUUGUUAGCACAUGAGCUUGUCCUUAUCAACACAUGAUUAUUAACAAUAGUUUCAAUGAUAUAUUCGUGUUGAUCCAGUUGAACUUGCACACCACAAUUUGAUGACGAUCACCACUUGACGUCAUCCUUCAUGAGUUGUAUGAGAUCUUCCUUUUGACGCAAGCCCAAUGGAAGCACACCUAACCCCCACAUAGGACUCUCACAAAGACCAUGGGUUAGUACACAAACACGUAAUGGACAAUGCUUACCAUACCAUGGGAUCACUUGAUCCCUCUCGGUACAUCUUAUACGCUUUGUGUGUUGACCAUCUUGAUUUACUCUUUGUCUGAGAUCUUGAUCAACCUAGUGUCUCUAUGACCAUUCUUUGGAUAAUACCUUGAAUAACAUCUUGGUCAUCAUAUAAACUCCUUGAACCCAACAGAUGGACUUCAAGAAGUGCCUAUGGACAAANNNNNNNNNNNNNNNNNNNNNNNNNNNNNNNNNNNNNNNNNNNNNNNNNNNNNNNNNNNNNNNNNNNNNNNNNNNNNNNNNNNNNNNNNNNNNNNNNNNNGUGGAGCAGGGGAGGGUGCGGGGGGUCGGCGGCGGCGGUGGAGUGGUGGCCAUUAGUAGUUUCAUACAACUCGUAAGAGCCUAAACACUUGUACUCGUAUAGAAUACUAGGUAAACGAAUAUCCUGGUACAAUGAACCUGCCCUACCAAGAUGCGUCCGGGCAGAUCGGUGAAUUCACGGACAGAGAACCGGCCAGAUCUCCAAACGCUCACCCCCCACCGGCGACGUCGAGCCCCGAACCCUACUACUGGGCUCCUCAUAGGAUCGCGAAAUUCCGGCGUUACUACUCGCGACACCACCUCCGCAAAUCGCGUGAUGGAUUCAGGCGAGCGCUCGCGGUUCAGAGGGCUCAACUGCAGAAGACCGCUCUAGAGAGAGGCCAGUCGAGGGGAGGGGCCGACGGCAUACGUACGUGGGCUUGGGCCUCGACGGAGGGAACGUGGAAGGCGUCGAGCGUGGAGGCGGCGGCGCAGGCAGCGACGAGGAGGAGCGGCGUCUCCGUGGACGAGGGCGAGGGCAGAGGAGAGGCGAGGGUGGGUGAGGGUGUGGGCACCGUCUCCGUGGACGAAGGUGGGGGAGGGGGAGGGCGGGGCAGCGGCGGCGACGUCUCCGUGGACCCCAGAGAGGUGCGCCAUUGGAACUUUUUUUUUGGAUAGCAACGGCGCUCGAGGGGAGGGAGGGGUGGGUGGUGCGCUCGGUCGAUUCCGUUCGGGGGAACCGAGCGAGGAGACAGGGGAGGGUCCAGGGGGUCGGCGGCAGCGGUGGAGCGGGGGAGGGUGCGGGGGGUCGUCGGCGGCGGUGGAGCGGGGGAGGGUGCGGGGGGACACUAUUGGGACACUAUGAUGCAAGAAUAUGAGACACCCGAGACAAGCUUGGAGGAGGAGGUGGAGAGAAUGAAAGUGGGGAAAGUGAGUGUGGUAGGUGGUUGUCCAAAAUAUCUAGCUAUGAUGCAAGAAUAUGAACCAUGAUCAAUGAAAAAAGACAGAAUUUGUUAUGCUAUUUCUCUGCGGUUGUAGUUGUAAGCCAGGUAUUUCUACAUGUUAGAACAUGCUUGGAUAUAGAAAAUUCGAAGAAAACUUGCAUAAACCGGCCUACUUCUGCAUAGGGAAAAUGAUUUUAUAUGAUAUAUUGACAUUACAAAUAUUAAAUACGUAGAAAAAUAAACAUCAUAUGGCCCAUACAUAUUUCUUUUAGAGAUUGGCUUCUGGCACAUUGCCCAUAAAUAGCAAAGAUCAAUCUGAUGUAAUUCAAAAGACGACCUGAAAUAGAUAAAAAACAUCAUAUUGUUUAUAGGCAAGGAGAAUUGUUUUUUUAGCAGAUUUCUCCAUUUCUAGGUCUUCAUGAAAGAGCGAGGAAAAUGUGCAGGAUAGGUGGAGCAUAAGAGGUGUCAAAAUAUGGAGAAGCUGCUGCUGAAAGAGGUCUGCAUUUGCACAUGAGGAAGAUGCUAGGGGAUGAUGAGGACUCACCGCAUCCUUCAAUCCUCUAGGUUCAGAACAAUUGGACAGACAACUCAAGUGAACUAGCAGCAAGGGAACACAAAUUUUCACCUCAUCAUCUUCCACCUCCUGCCAAUCCUCAUCGUCCCAUCCUUCAUCCUGCAAAAUGGCAGAGCAUUACUUGUAAAAGGUUCUUUCCAGCUCCAGCACAAAUGGGGUGCCCGAGAUCCUACAGCCAAGAACUCUAAAUCCCCACCAGUUGGGCACAAGAAACAUGCCAAGAACGGCAUAAAGAACACCCAGACGCGCCAAAUCUCACAAGACGAGUGAGAUUUUGGAGAAAAGAUCGCCGAGCAAUCAUCACCCAAGGUACUGGGAACUCACCGUAUCCUUGUCGGCGGGACGCGGCGAAGGUCCUGGCGGCUGAGGCGGGGGCGCCGAGGUGGGAGGCGCCGAAGCUCGAGAGAUGGCUACAAGUAAUGGAGCGCAGGGUGCGGUCGAUGUUCUCGUGGGCGGUGCGGACGACGUGGGUGUGGAGCUGGAUGGGGCGCAUGGCAGCGUCGAGCAAGGAGAGGCGGCUGUCGAAGGGAUUCCCGCAGCAGCGCUCCUCCUCCGUGACCCUCCAUCCCGCUACCCAAGGACGGAUGCUCCUCCUCCUCCUAGAGAGCUUGGGCCGGAGAGGCGGGGCGGAUCUGGGGGACGGGAUCCGGGGCUGCACGCAGGCACAGCGGAGCGGGGCGGUCUGGGGGACGGGAUCCAGGGCGGAUCCGGGGCAGGCACUGCCGGUUAGCAAUGGCGCACCCCGGAGCGGUGCGCCAUUAGAUUUUUUUGAUAGCAAUGUCGCAUCCCCAUGCAGUGCGCCAUUAGUAAAUAUAUUUUUAUAUAGCAAUGGCGCAUUUCACAGAGGUGCGCCAUUAGUAAUCUUUUUUUUGGAUAGCAAUGGCGCACCCCAAAGAGGUGCGCCAUUAGUAAUAUUAUUUUUUUUGGAUAGCAAUGGCGCUCGGGGGGGAGGAGGGGGUGGAUGGUGCGCUCGGCCGAUUCUGUUCGGGGGAACCGAGCGAGGAGACAGGGGAGGGUGCGGGGGGUCGGCGGCGGCGNNNNNNNNNNNNNNNNNNNNNNNNNNNNNNNNNNNNNNNNNNNNNNNNNNNNNNNNNNNNNNNNNNNNNNNNNNNNNNNNNNNNNNNNNNNNNNNNNNNNUAGGGCGAAUUCUUUGAAUACCCAUGAUGCUAAUGAUAUGCAAAUCCACAAGCUUGGGGAUGUGAUGUUUCAUGAAGAUGAUAUUUUUAGUUCCCCCACUUUGAAUGAUGAAAAUUAUUAUGAUGAAAGCAUGCCCCCUAUCUAUGACGAUUAUUGUGAUGAUACUUAUGCUAUAAAGAAGAAUGAUAAUAAAACUUGUCACAAUUAUGAGUACCCUCUUACUGAACAUUACUCUUCUAAUGUGGAAACAAUUCAUAGUGUUCAAGUCUUUUACGAUACUCCCACUACUAUUGAUGAGAAUAAAUUUCCUUAUGUGGAGAGUAGUAAAAUUUCUAUGCUUGUAGAUCAUGAAAAGAAUGCUUUAGGUGCUGGUUAUAUUGUUGAAUUCAUUCAUGAUGCUACUGAAAAUUAUUAUGAGAGAGGAUCAUAUGCUUCUACAUAUUGCAAUAAUAUCAAGCUUCCUCUCCAUGUGUUGAAACUUUUGAAGUCAUGCUUGUUUUAUCUUCCUAUGCUAAUUGAUUCUUGCUCCAAUAAAUUGUUUGAUCAAAAAAUCCGUAUGCAUAUGUCACACCCAAGAUGCGACCCUAUCCUCAAUUUGGCACGAGGGCCUUGUCAGGGAUAGAAGCGCAUCUCGUCGUGUCGCAAGAAUGGAUAUCGUUACAAAUACAUGUACUGAAAAGAAGAGAUAUAUAAAUAGAAUUGGCUUACACUCGCCACAAGCUACAUUAGAGUCAUAGCAGUACAAUACAUAAUCAUCAUGAAGAAGAGCAGGGUUCGACUACAGACGAAAACAAACGACAAAAGAAGAACGACGUCCAUCCUUGCUAUCCCAGGCUGCCGGUCUAGAACCCAUCCUAGAUCGAAGAAGAAGAACAACAACAAGCAACUCCAAAUGAACAAUCAACACGGUCGCGUCGAGUAACCUUUACCUGUACCUGCCACUGGUGUUGUAGUAAUAUGUGAGCCACAGGGGACUCAGCAAUCUCAUUUCCAAAGGUAUGAAGACUAGCAAAGCUUAAUAGGUGAGGUGAGGUUAAGUGGUGAGGUUGCAGCAGCGGCUAAGCAUAUAUAUAUGGUGGCUAACUUACGAGUACAAGAAAUAAGGAGGGGGAAGAUCUACGCAUAGCGGACAUGAACUACAGUUGGUCAAAUGAAUGAUCCUGAACACCUACCUACGUCAGUCAUAACCCCACUGUGUCCUCGAUCGGAGAAGGAACUCACGAAAGAGACAGUCACGGUUACGCAUACAGUGGGCAUAUUUUAAUUAAGUCAACUUCAAGUUAUCUCGAACCAGUGUUAACCAAAGUUUCCACGUUGCCACAUAACUGCGGGCAUGGAUUUCCGAAAAGAUUUAACCCUACAGGGGUGCUCCAACUAGUCCAUCACAAAUUACCACAAGCCGCAUAGAAAUCCUCAAUCACGAAGCUCGCGAUCUCGUCAGAUUCCCUAGUGGAAAACCUAAACUCUGAGAUUACCCAAAGCAUCACCGAAAUCCCGAUGCAUAAGAUAUUUCGUCAAAGGUAAAACUAAUCCAGCAAGGCCGCCCGACGUGUCGACGAUCCCGAUAGGAGCCGCGUAUCCUAUUCUCAGGACACGAUGGAUGGAAAAGCCUACAGGUACCAAACCACGAGUUGCCCCGUGGUGGCCCUGCAGUCUGUCCAUUUUGGACCAACACUCAUGAGGAGCACUGGCCCGGAGGUUGAUUAAAUUUCCUCGGGUUAAUUACUCCCUAUGCAGUUCAUUGGUUGUUAGGCAAAUGUAGUAUCAAAGUUGGGCCUUGCCAGACCAGCUUUAAUCUAAAACCAAUUAUCAAGGGGGUCCCCAUAACAACCCCGAUCGUGUUAGGAGCACUCAAUUAUGGAACAUAACACCGGUAGCCAAAACUAAGGGGGCAAAGGUGGAACAAAACACCAGGCUAGAUAGGCCGAGCAUUCCACCUUUUAUCAAGUAUAUAGGUGCAUUAAAAUUAAAUAGCUUUAAUAUGGUGAUAUGACAAGGAACCCAUGUUAUUACAUGGAAGCAACUACACCUGCAACUAGCAACGCUAACAACAUGGUUAAGCAAGCAGUAACAUAGCCAAUCAGUGGUUUGCUAGGUUGAACAGUUGAGGUUCCAUGGCAUUGUUGAGAGGAUUAUAUAUAACAUGUAGUAGGCAAUGAGACAUAAACGGUAGAAACGGUAAAACUAGCAUGGCAAUGAUAGUAAUGGUAUCUGGGGAAAUGGUCAUCUUGCCUGAGAUCCCGCUUGGAAGAAGAACAACUCCAAGAAGUCGACGAACCAUCGUAGUCGAACGGGUGCUCACAUUCCGACAUGCUUGCGGAACUAUAUCGAGACGGAGCAAACCGGAAACAAACAUCAACACAGAUAUUCACCACACGAUGCACAACAUGAUGCACAACCUACUAUGAUGCAUGAGAAGGUUAAAAUGCAAGGGAUGGCAUGGCAAUUCACCUCACACAAACACUACACAUUAAGUGAAGCUCGAUAUGCAACGAGUUACAUAUCGACGAAACUCCACGUUUAAUUAUUUAAUUCACUCCCGUUAAUUUACACGGCAAUAUUAAAUUGUUGUUAACAUGGCAAGGGGUGAAGCGGGUGAUCCUACAUGUCAUCCUAGACGGUUAUCACGCGGGACAUAGAUCGGAGCUACGUGACAAGAGACAUGCAACACAAGGUAAUUAUGCCAUGAUUGUGUCAUGCAUGCAAGCUCAUAACAUCACGGGCAAGAAGAGAAAGAAACAUGUGUCGCCACGGCGAGCGAAAGGGAACCAUGUCGGCAAAACGGAAACUAAGCCACGACAACGUUCCUAUCCCGAUAACUCGUCGAGAUAUCGUGCCAACGUAUAGGAAGCUUGUGCGGGAACGCUAAAUAAAGAUGGGGUGAUCCUGCUACCGGGUUCCCAUGUGUCGAGGGCACGACGAAAAGGAAGACAACGUGCAACGGGCAAACAUACGGCGCAAACAUACAGUUACAUCUCAUACAACAUAUGCGUUCGGUUCACGACAAUGUCCCAUCGAUAUACCUUCGAAGCGUGCAUAUCGGAGCGGAUCGGGUCGUGGCGGUAAAGGCAAACGAAAGAUCGUCGUGGAAGUCGAGGUACUCGGGUCUCGUCGAAGGUAGUCGUUCGCUUGGCGUUGUGGUUCACGGGUCUUCGGCGUCGGUAGUCGAACAUGUUUUCGGGGGUCGUCGAGGACGCAGUUGUACACGGCGAACUUGUAGCCGACCCACGAUGGCGGGGAUGGUGCACGCGGUCUUCGGCGACGUUCCAACACGCAACCGGGCAAGGCAACAGCAAGCUAGAGAAGCAACUAGCAUCUGGCAGCAGCAAUCACAUCAGGGAGCAACACAUCGGCAAGGCAGCACAGCAGGCAAGCAACAGGGGCAGCAAGGCACGGCACGGCACAUCAACAGCAUCUCGGCAGCAACAGCAAGCUAGCAGCGAGCAACUAGCAACCACAGCUUCGGCACAGCAACACGGCAACACAGAGCAGCAAUCACAGGCAGCGGCUACAGCACAAGUAAGCAGCGAUGGCGAGCUCGGCAGGGCGGCCCACCGGCGGGGUUGAGGGAGGCCACGGCACGGGACGAGGGCGGCCAUGGCGGAAGCGAGCACCUGAGGAGGAGGGGCGAGGCCAUGGCGCGGCCAUGCCGGUGAGGUCGGGGACCGGCGGCUGCGCGGGGGCAGGGGGCUGUGGCGCUGGUGGAGGGCGCAGACGGGCACGCGGGGAACGGCGGCGCAGCGCGGGGAAGCUGCUGCACCGGCUCGGGGCUGGCGACCGGGGCACAGCGCGGAGGCGGCGCAGCUCAGGACGGCGGCGACCACGAGCACGGCGGGGAAGAGAGAGGCGAGGUCGAGGGCAAGGCUAGGGAUCAGGACAGAGGGAGGAACGAGAGGAGGGGAUCGAGGCAGAGGGGCAAUGGCGCACACGGGAGGACGAGGGGAUCGGGCUGCGCUAGGGUUGGGGGGACUUGGGCCUGCUGGGCCUUGGGCCUGGGGUCCCCUCUCUCCCUACGAGUUUUUAUUUUUAAAAACAUAAAAACUCAAACAAAAGAAAAACUUUUAACAAAAAUAUAAAAAAAUGCUUUUGGCUCCGUUGAAAAAUAUACCCCAACUAUAAAAAUAGAUUGGGCAUUUUUUAACGAAUAAAAAUAAAACCUUUUGAAGAAUAAAAUAAAACCCUUUUUUUAAAGAAUAAAAUAAAAGUUGUUUUAAAGGAGAAAAGAAAAUGAGGCUCUGUUUUUCUUAAAUAAACAAAACGAAAAAAUAAGGGAACCCAAGGUUUGCCCCCACAUUUAAUAAAAUGUUUUUUUAAAGAAGACAAACUUUUUAAAGGGGGUUAAAACUGAAACUUUAAAACAGCCACGAAAUAAAAACAAGAGAGGAGAGAAGGGAGUUACUAUCGCACUUGAGGCACACACACUCAAAACACCACACGCAAUAGAUGAUGCAAGAUGCCAUGCAUGAUGCGACGAUGCAAACUAAAUGACGAUGCAACAAACGGAAUAUAAUCACAUGACGGAAAUGGAAAUUAAGGGGAAUCUUCUAGGGCGUCGGUCUCGGGAUGUCACAGCAUAGGAAGUGGGUCAGACUUAAAUGUGCUAGUCAUAUCCUCCAUGAUGCUUCCAUUAUGUUUCAAUCCUUAUCUUUUAUGUGAGCAUCAUUGAAAUCAUCAUGCCUAGCUUGAAAAGCAUUAAAGAAAAGUACUUGGUGGGAGACAACCCAAUAUGUAUCCUUACUAUUUUUUUGUGUUCACAUGAUUAAGCUACUGUAUUAAUCAUGUUUUAUAGAUUUUAUUUCAAUAAAGUGCCAAGUAAAGCAUCUACGAUUAGUUUGGGUGAUAGUUGUUUGAUCAUGCUGAAAAAGACAGAAACUUUGCCUCGCGAAAUCAUUUAUAAUUCUAUCCAGAUAGUGAUUUUAGGUUGAUUCUUUUUUCUGCUGAUUUAUAUACAAAUUUCCUUAAUUUGCAUAAAUUUUUCGGAAUUUUUGUAAGUGUAGAAGUAUGGUUAUCAUUCAGAUCAUUAGAGACUGUUCUGUUUUUGACAGAUUUUGUUUUCAAUGCAUAGUUUGCUCAUUUUGGUGUUUCCAUAGAUUAUAUUGAGUAAUAUAAAUUGUGGAAAUAGUAAGAUACAGUAGGAAUUGUGUGAAAAUAAUUAUGAGUCUUUUUUUGACAGUUUUGGGUAGAGUUUCGAUGGACUAUGGAACAAGGAGUGGAAAGAGCCUAAGAUUGGGGAUGCCCAAGUCACCCCAAAGCCAUAUUCAAGGACUCCAAAUAGCCUAAGCUUGGGGAUGCCCCGGGAAGGCAUCCCCUCUUUUGUCUUCAAUCCAUCGGUAACUUUACUUGGGGCUAUAUUUUUAUUCACCACAUGAUAUUUGUUUUGCUUGGAGCGUCAUUUUCUUUUAUUCGUACUUGCUUGAUGUUAUUUAUAUUAAUGUUUUGCAUGAUUUAGUUCAAUAAAAAUGUCAAGGAUAGCCUUUACCAUGCUUAAUUUGCAAGUAUAGGAGUUGCUGUUCCAAAACAGAAAGUUUGCUUGCAGUGCAAAAAUUCUCUAGAAUUUUCUGUAUGUCAUAAUAACUUGAAAUUUGGACACAGUAUGCUCUUUUAAAUUAUCUGCAGCGUGGAAUUGUUUCAGAUUUUUUGGAGUUAAUGAAGUAUCGACCUUGCUGCAUUCUUUACAUACUGUUCUGUUUAGGAAGAUUGUUGUUAUGUUUGCAUUGUUUGCAUAUGUUUGCUUCUUUAAUGAUCCUAUUUGAGGAUAGGAGUUUUAAAUAUGCAGAGGCAUUUAGUAUGCAAUGUCAAAUAAUAAUUUUAGUGAUUUACUACAGUAGAGGAUGAUAAAGUUUUGCAUUGAUUUAUACUAACAUAUCUCACGAGUUCUUGUUGAGUUUUGUGUGGAUGAAGUUUUUAAGAUUUAGGAAACCACCAUAUGAGAGGAAUUAAGGAGACACAAAAGCUCAAGCUUGGGGAUGCCCAAGUCAUCCCCAAUUCAUAUUUAAAGAAGUCUCAAACACCUAAUCUUGGGGAUGCCCCGGAUGGCAUCCCACCUUUCUUCUUCAAACAAUUAUCGGUUAGUAUCGGUUGAACCUAAGUUUUUCCUUCUUCACAUGAUUCGUGCUAUCCUUGAAGUGCCAUUUUAUUUUGUUUGAAUAAGGUACUUAAGAUAUGAAAUUAUUAGAUGGGAGAGUCUUCACAUAGCCAAAUAAUUAUUUACUACUCACUGAUCUUCACUUAUAUCUUUUGGAGUAGUUUUUCUUUUACUCUCAUGCUUCACUUAUAUCAUUUUGAGAGUCUUAAAAAGCAUGUAAUUUGCUUAGGUUAUGAAUCUAGUCCUAAUAUGAUGGGCAUCCAAGAGGGAUAUAAUAAAAACUUUCAUAUGGAGUGCAUCGAGUACUAUGAGAAGUUUGAUUCUUUGCAUAUGGUUUUGAGACAUAAGGAUGGUGAUAUUAGAGUCAUGCUAGUUAGUAAUUAUGGAUUGGUAGAAAUACUUGUGUUAGAGUUUGUGAUUCCCGUAGCAUGCACAUAUGGUGAACCGCUAUGUUAGGAAGUCGGAGAAUGAUAUUUUUAUUGAGUGUCAUCCUUUGUGUGGAGGUUGGGAUCGCGCGAUGGUUAACUCCUACGAACCCUUCCCUAGGAGCAUGUGUCUAAUACUUUGUUUCAGUUACUAAUAAAACUUCUGCAAUAAGUAUGUGAGUUCUUUAUGACUAAUUUUGAGUCCAUGGAUUAUACGCACUCUCACCCUUCCACCAUUGCUAGCCUCUCUAGUACCGCAAAACUUUUGCCGGUGCAAUGCACCCACCAUAUAUCUCCUCAAAACAGCUACCAUACCUACCCAUCAUGGCAUUUUUAUAUCCAUUCCGAGAUAUAUUGCCAUGCAACUUCCACCGUUCCGUUUAUUAUGACGCGCACCAUCAUUGUCAUAUUGCUUUGCAUGAUCAUGUAGUUAACAUCGUAUUUGUGGCAAAGCCACGUUCAUAUCUUUCAUACAUGUCACACAUGAGUCAUUGCACAUCCCGGUACACCGCCGGAGGCAUUCAUGUAGAGUCAUAUCUUUUGUUCUAAGAAUCGAGUUGUAAGUAAAUAAAAGUGUGAUGAUCAUCAUUAGUAGAGCAUUGUCCCAUGUGAGGAAAGGAAGGAAGCAAUGAUUCCCUCACAAGUUGGGAUGAGACUCCGGACUAUAAAAAUAAAAUAGAAGAGGCCAAAGAGCCCACACAAGAAAAAAUGAAAAUGAAAACAAAGGGAAAAAAAGAGGCUAAAGAGCCCAAACAAAAAAAUGAGAGAAAAAGAGAGAAGGGACAAUGCUACUAUCCUUUACCACACUUGUGCUUCAAAGUAGCACCAUGAUCUUCAUGACAGAGAGUCUCAUAUAUUGUCACUUUCAUAUACUAGUGGGAAUUUAAUUAUAAAACUUGGCUUGUAUAUUCCAAUGAUGGGCUGCUUCUACAUAUUGCAAUAAUAUCAAGAUUCCUCUCCACGUGUUGAAACUUUUGAAGUCAUGCUUGUUUUAUCUUCCUAUGCUAGUUGAUUCUUGCUCCAAUAAAUUGUUAGAUCAUAAAAUCCCUAUGCAUAGGAAGUGGGUUAGACUUAAAUGUGCUAGUCAUAUGCUCCAUGAUGCUUCCAUUAUGUUUCAAUCCUUAUGUUUUAUGUGAGCAUCAUUAAAAUCAUCAUGCCUAGCUUGAAAGGCAUUAAAUAAAAGUGCUUGUUGGGGGACAACCCAAUAUGUAUCCUUACUAUUUUUGUGUGUUCACAUGAUUAAGCUACUGUAUUAGUAAUGUUUUAUAGCUUUUAUUUCAAUAAAGUGCCAAGUAAAGCCUCUAUGAUUAGUUUGGGUGAUAGUUGUUUGAUCAUGCUGAAAAAACCCAAAAUUAACAUGACAUAGAUGCGAAUGCCACACAUUUGAUUCACUAUUGUUGAAAACAUGAUUGACAACUUUGUUGCAAACAUGUGCCAAGCAUAAACGGAACAGGCCACCUGACUCAUAACCUUUACCAACAAAAGUUCCAUACUUGGAUAUUACAAGUUUACUCGACUCAAAGACAAGCGUGUACCCAUCUCUACACAGAAGAGAUCCGCUAACAAGAUUUUUAUUGACGGAGUGGACAUAAUGCACGUUCUUCAGCCGCACGAUCUUCCCCGAAGUAAACUUCAGAUCGACUGUGCCAACUGUUGGAAAUAUGCCCUAGAGGCAAUGAUAAAUAGUUAUUAUUAUAUUUCCUGUUUCAAGAUAAUCGUUUAUUAUCCAUGCUAUAAUUGUAUUGAAUGAAAACAUAGAUACAUGUGUGGAUACAUAAACAAAACAAUGUCCCUAGCAAGCCUCUAGUUGGCUAGCCAGUUGAACAAUGAUAGUCAAGGUUUUCUGACUAUAUGCAAGUGUUGUAGCUUGAUAACUGGAUCACAUCAUUAGGAGAAUCAUGUGAUGGACUAGACCCAAACUAUGAACAUAUCAUAUUGAUCAUGUCAUUUUAUUGAUAUUGUUUUCUGCGUGUCAAGUAUUUAUUCCUAUGACCAUGAGAUCAUAUAACUCACUGGCACCGGAAAAAUACCUUGUGUGUAUCAAACGUCACAACGUAACUAGGUGACUAUAAAGGUUCUCUACAGGUAUCUCCGAAGGUGUCCGUUGAGUUAGUAUGGAUCAAGACUGGGAUUUGUCACUCCGUGUGACGGAGCGGUAUCUCAGGGCCCACUCGGUUAUAAAACAUCACACACAAGCCUUGCAAGCAAUGUGACUAAUUGUAAGUCACGGGAUCUUGUAUUAUGGAACGAUUAAAGAGACUUGCUGGUAACGAGAUUGAAAUAGGUAUGCGGAUACCGACGAUCGAAUCUCGGGCAAGUAACAUACCGAAGGACAAAGGGAAUGACAUACGGGAUUAUAUGAAUCCUUGACACUGUGGUUCAAACGAUAAGAUCUUCAGAGAAUAUGUAGGAUGCAAUAUGGGCAUCCAGGUCCCGCUAUUGGAUAUUGACCGAGGAGUGCCACGGGACAUGUCUACAUAGUUCUCCAACCCGCAGGGUCUGCACACUUAAGGUUCGAUGAUGUUUUAGUAUAGUUGAGUUAUAAGUGUGGUUACCGAAUGUUGUUCGGAGUCCCGUAUGAGAUCACGGACAUCACGAGGGUUUCCGGAAUGGUCCGGAAACAAAGAUUUAUAUAUAGGAUGGUUCCAUUUGGUUACCGGAAAGUUUUGGGCAAUUCCGACAGUGUACCGGGAGUGACGAAUGGGUUCCUGGUGUUUACCGGGAGGGGCCCACCCACCCGGGAGUGAUCCCAAGGCCCUAGGGUGGCGCGACAAGUCCUUAUUGGGUUGGUGGAUUCAGCCCAAGAGGGCUAUGGCGCCACAUAAGAUAAUACCAAAAGAAAAGAAAAAGAAAAAGGAAAGAGGGAGGUGGGAAGGAAGAGGAGGACUCCUCCUUCCCAAACCGAAUUGGAGGAGGAGUCCUCCUCCUCCUGGCGGCCGGCGCACCUCGAGGGCCUUGUCCCUCAAGGCUAGCCCCUCCGCCUCCCUCCUAUAUAUAGUGGUGGUUUAGGGAUUUUUGAGACACAACUUUGCCACGUGCAACUCAGGGCUAUUCCACAUAGUUUUACCUCUAGAUCAGAUUUUUGCGGAGCUCGGGCGGAGCCCUGCAGGAGUAGAUCGUCACCACCACCGGAGUGUCGUCAUGCUGCCGGAUAACUCAUCUACUUCUCCGUCUUGCUUGCUAGAUCAAGAAGGCCGAGAUCAUCGUCGAGUUGUACGUGUGCUGAACGCGGAGGUGCCUUCCGUUCCGCACUAGAUCGGAAUGGAUCGUGGGACGGAUCGCGGGACGGUUCGUGGGACGGUUCGAGGGACGUGAAGACGUUCCACUACAUCAACCGCAUUUCUUAACGCUUCCUGUUGUGCGAUCUACAAGGGUAGUAGAUCUAAUCUCCACUCAUAGAUGGACAUCACCAUGAUAGGUCUUCAUGUGCGUAGGAAAUUUUUUGUUAUCCAUGCAACAUUCCCCAACAGUGGUAUCAGAGCUAGGUUCAUGCGUCGAUGUUAUCUCGAGUAGAACACAUAAGGUUUUGUGGACGGUGAUGUUUGAUUUUCUGCCCCCCCCCUAGUCUUUUCUCGAUUCGGCGGUAUUGUUGGAUUGAAGCGGCCCGGACCGACAUUACUCGUACGCUUACGAGAGACUGGUUUCAUCGACUGACAUGCAACUCGUUGCAUAAAUAUGACUGGCGGGUGUCAGUUUCUUCAACUUUAGUUGAAUUGGUUUUGACCGUGGUAGUCCUUACAUAGAGGUUAAAUAGCUAUUUGCACAUCUUCGUUGUUGUUUUUGCGUAAGUAAGAUGCGAUCGUACUAGAUACCCAUAGCAGCCACGUAAAACAUGCAACAACAAUGUGAUAUGGCCAAUGACGUGAUGUGAUAUAUUGGAUGUAUGAGAUGAUCAUGUUGUAAUAGUUAAUAUCGACUUGCACGUUGAUGCUACGGCAACCGGCAGGAGCCACAGGGUUCUCUUUAAACUAAAGUUUGUGUUUGUAGAUGCAUUUACUAUAUUGCUAGGUCGUAGCUUUAGUAGUAAUAGCAUAGAUAUCAUGACAACCCCGAUGGCGGCACGAUGAUGGAGAUGAUGAUGAUGAAGAUCCUGUCGGUGCUUUGGUGAUGGAGAUCAAGAAGCACAAGAUCAUGGUUGACUCCGUAACAGCAGACCUUCCCCUGCAACGGCACCAGAAGAAUGCUCCUAGCACUCUCCGGCAAUCGAAACUAGAAGAAUCUUGUUGACGGCCCACCAGCGCGUGGGAUCGUAGCAGUUUUCGAGGGUAGAGUAUUCGACCCAAAUUUGUUGAUACGCCUAUAGGAGGUGAGAGGAUACUCUCAAGUAUUAGCAGCUGAAUGUGUCAGAUUGAACCACACCUGAAAGAUUAGUAUCUGCAAGCAAAGUAGUAACAGCAAAGUAGUAUGAUAGCAACGGUGUCAGAAACGAUCUGUUGACACGGCAGACUAUUUCUAACGGUUGUAUCAAUGGCGCCAAGUUGCCUCGUUCACGGAAAUUGUCUGUUCCAUUCAACGACCAGCAAAUCAAGAUUGUAGCAGGUAGCAGCAGUGUAAUGAGUAAUAGCAGCGGCAAGGAACAGCAGUAGUGACAGCAGUAGCAAGUAGCAACAGUAGCAAGCGACAGUAGUAGCAACAGUAGCAGCAGAGCAAGACAAGUAACAGCAGCAGAGCAAGACAAGUAACAGCAGCAGAGCAAGACAAGUAACAGCAGCAGUAGGACAAACUCGUAGGCAAUGGGUCGGUGAUUUGUUUGGAUGAUAUUCAUCAUGCAACAGUUAUAACACUGAGAGAUAUGUGGCUAGCUCCCGUUCGUCAAUGUGAUGUAGGCAUGCAUUCCGUGUGUCGUCAUACGUGCUUAGGGAAAAGAACUUGCAUGACAUCUAUUGUCCAUACCUGCCGUGGCAGGGGGUCCAAAAGGAAACUAAGGGAUAUUAAGGUUCUCCUUUUAAUAAAGAACCGGACCAACGCAUUAGCACUUGGUGAACACAUGAACUCCUCAAACUAUGGUCAUCACCGGGAGUGGUUCCGGUUAUUGUCACUCCGGGGUUGCCGGAUCAUAACACAUAGUAGGUAACUACAACUUGCAAGAUCGGAUCUAAAACACACAUAUAUUGGUGACAACAUAAUAAUUUCAGAUCUGAAAUCAUGGCACUCGGGCUCUAGUGACAAGCAUUGAGCCUGGCAAAGUAGUAGCAACAUCAAUCUCAGAACAUAGUGGAUACUAGGGAUCAAUCCCCAUCAAAACUAACUCGAUUACAUGAUAGAUCUCAUCCUACUCAUCACCGCCCAGCGAGCCUACGAAUAGAUUACUCACGAACGACGAAGAGCUUCAUGGCAUUGGAGAGGGAAGAAGGUUGAUGAUGACGAUGGCGACGAUUUCCCCUCUCCGAAGCCCAAAACGGACACCAGAUCUGCCCUCCAAAUGAAGAACAGGAUGUGGCGGCGCCUCCGUAUCGCAAACGCGACAAAAUCUUCUCUCUUUAUUUUUUCUGGGACGAAAGUGAACUUAUAGAGCUGAGAUUGGGGGCGGCAGAGCCGUGUGGGCCCCACAAGCUUGCCCACCACCACCACGGGGUGGCGGUGGCAGGGCUUGUGGCCUACUGGCCCACCCCGUCAGGUGGAUCUUUGCGCAGGUAUUUUUCAUAUUUUCCAAAAAUGUUCCCCGUAAAUUUUCAGGACGUUCUGAGAACUUUGAUUUCUGCACAAAAAUAACACCAAGGCAAUUCUGCCGAAAACAACGUCAGUCCAGGUUAGUUCCAUUCAAAUCAUGCUAAUUAGGGUCCAAAACAAGGGCAAAAGAGUUUGUAAAAGUAGAUAUGAUGGAGACGUAUCAACUCCCCCAAGCUUAAAACCUUGCUUGUCCUCAAGCAACUCAGUUGACAAACUGAGAGAGAAACAAAAACUUUGACAAACUCUAUUUGAUCUUGUUGUUGCAACUAUGUCUAACUCAUAACCAGAAUUUCAGCAAGAUCACAAGUUAACCACAUAAGCAAGUGACACAAAGGUCUCACGGUAAACACAAAUCAAUGGCAUAAUCAGCUAACGAGCAAAUAAUAAUGAGUUUCAAAUACCAACACUUCAAUCAAAACAAGCAUGAAGCAAUAUGAAUAGGUGGUAUCUCGCUAGCUCUUUCUGAGACCGCAAAACAUAAAUGCAGAGCACUUUCAAAGAUCAAGGGCUGACUAAACAUUGUAAUUCAUAGCAACGAAGAUCCAGUCAUAGUCAUACUCAAUAUCAAUCAAAAGCAAAGCAUAAAAAUGACACACAUGCUCUCUAAUUGGUGAUUAUAUAAGAGGAGGAUGACUCGAGAGGAAAAUAGAUAGACAGGCCCUUCGCAGAGGGAAGCAUUGAUUUGCAGAGGUGCCAGAGCUCAAGCUUUGAAAACAGAGAUAAUAAUUUUGGGUGGCAUGCUUUCAUUGUCAACGCAAUGACCAAGAGUUCUCAAUAUAUUCCUUGCUACUCAUGCUAUAGGCGGUUCCCAAACAGAAAAGUAAAGUUUUAACUCCCCCACCACCAAUCAAUCACACUCCACGGCUAGCCGAAUCCUCGAGUACCGUCCAUACUAACAUCAAUCCGGGGGGGUCUUGUUUUACAGUUACGUUUUCGAUUUAAGCGUGGAACUGGGCAUUCCAAUUAACGGCCCCUUUCUCGUGAAUGACAGUGAAUAAACACAUGUCGAGGAUAACACUCCUAGCAUGGAAGAUACCAAUAGACCCCUGUCUAGCGGUUCGGGCAUGCAAAACAGAUUAUUUCUUGAAGAUUUAGAGAAUGGCACAUGCAAAUUUACUUGGAACGGCAGGUAGAUAUCGCAAAUAGGUAGGUAUGGUGGACUCUCAUGGAAAAACUUUUGGGUUUAUGGAAGUGGAUGCACAAGAAGUAUUCCGCUUAGUACAAGUGAAGGCUAGCAAAAGACUGGGAAGCGGCCAACUAGAGAGCGACAACAGUCAUCAAGAUGCAAUGAGUUUGACUAACAUUGAAUGCAAGCAUGAACAGGAUAUAAAUCACCAUGAACACGAACAUCAUAGAGGCUAUGUUGAUUUUGUUUCAACUACAUGCAUGAACAUGCGCCAAGUAAAGCCACUUGAAUCAUUCAAAGGAGAAUACCAUCCUAUCAUACUACAUCAUAGUCAUCUCAAAAUCUAUGUUGGCAUUCAAGACAAACCAUUAUAAACUCUCAGCUAAAUAAGCAUGGCAUCAGAAACUAUGAUCUCCAAGUUGUCAUUGCAAUCAUGGUUCUCCCACAACAAAGUUGAAUCUGGGAUGACAAGCUAGUCAUAUUUACAAAAACAAAAUAGAUAGAGUUCAUACCAGCUUUUCCAGUCUCAGUCACUUCAUCAUAUAUCAUCAUUAUUACCUUUCACUUGCACGAUCGAACGAUGUGAACAAUAAUAAGAGUGCUCAUGCAUUGGACUAAGCUGAAUCUGCAGGCAAACACAAAGGAGAAGACAAAGUAAUAUGGCUAUUUGAAAGCUAAUCAGGUAUGCAUGCAAGAACCACUAAACAUUCUAACCAAUAUCUUCUACCUUGACCCAAAGAAAAAGAAAACUAUUUACACGUGAAAGCUCCCAACGAGCAAAAGAAGAAAGAAAAAUCUUUUUGGGUUUUCUCAAACUAGACAGACACACGAAAAGAAAACGAGAAAAAGAAAUAAACUAGCAUGGAUGAUACAGUGGCAAAGUGUGAACAUCGGCUAACAAAGUGAAAGCAUAAGUAUGAAUGUAAAGUCGGUGAGAACACGUACUCCCCCAAGCUUAGGCUUUUGGCCUAGCUUGGUCUACUCCCAUGGUGGGAAAUAACCAGCUCCAGGAUACUCCGGAGCAGACUGUGGAUGCCACUACUGUGUGAGCUCCUCUGGCUCCCACUGAUAAACUCGCGUCUGGUACUCGACUGGCGGCUCGGGCACGGGUGCCUGUGGUUGGGCCAAGCCCCAAUAUGCGUAGAUGUCCGAGGGCAUAAUAGUGUACCUGCCUUCAUGAAGAUCGAACAAAGAAGGAGCAGGCAAAGUAAUAGUCUCUCGAGUACCCUGACUAAAUACCAGGUUAUAUAUCAUCCGUCUACUAGCAUCUCUAUCCAGAAAGUCAUGGUGAACCAUGCUGUCAUAAUCCAGAUAUUUCUCAGGGAGAAGCAUCUCUCCUUCCUCUCCCAGUCUAAUGGGUAUCUCAAAGUAUCUCGCAAGACGGGUAGCAUAGAUACCUCCAUAGACGACACCCUUGGAACGGUUGAUGUUCAACCGCUGGGCCACUAUAGCACCUAGGCCAUAAGCCUUAUCGUUAUAAAGGCCUUCGCGCAAAACCGCAAGGUAUGGAGAACUACGUGAUCCAGCCUCCCCACGGCCAAUCAAACAUUUUCCCACAAAUAGUGAGAAGUACCGAAGCACAGGAAAAUGUAUGCUAGCAAUUCUAGCGCGAGACACUCCUCUCUCCUCUCCAACAGCAGUAGUACCAAUGAAAUCCUCCAAGUCCCGUGGACGAGGGUCACGAAUAUCCCCAACAUAAGGUAAUUUGCAUACAUUGCAAAAAUCCUGUAGUGUCAUGCACUGGGGAACAUCGUAUAUCAUGAACUCAACCAUGGGAGGAUUCUUCCUCGGAUAAAAGUUGAAGCUUUGAACAAAAAUAUUGGUGAGGAGGAGAUACUGUGAGCACUUAUCUUCAACGAACGCAGUAAGACCUUCGUUCUCCACCAAGUAAUAAAAGUCUUCAUAAAGCCCAGCGGCGCGCAAAAAUUCAUCACUUGUCCACUCGCACGCUCGAAAUUCUGUGACUCGAGGGACUACGUACUUGGGGUGGUUCUUCUAAUCCUCCUUGGGGUUACGGCUUGAGGAGCCUCUCAAGAACCUCCUCAUCUUUUCCUUUUUCUAACUCUGAAAAAUUCUGAAAUUUUUAGAGACUUCAAAAGAAAAGUGAAUAAAGAUUAACCCAACUUGUAGCAACUACUCCUACUAGUGCCUAGAGACCGUAUCACGCUCUAGAACUACUUGGGACCAGCUAAAAUCAACCUUUCUAGCUUAAGAACAGGGUCACCAUGGUAGCAAGAAUACGCGAAGGAUAAAGCACUAGAGCAAAAACUAAUUGGACCAAUGGAGGAGUCACUUACCAAGGAGUAAUUUCCCCAAAACGAUUCGGAGAAUGGUGCUUUGAGCAAGGAGAUCGAAAAUCACAGCCAAAUGAGCAAGAACACGGGUUUGAGCUGCGAAACAAUUUUUUCUGGAGGUGGAAGAAGAGGAUGGGAGCUGGAAUGAGUGGAGGGGGUCCCUGUGGGCCCCACAAGCUUGCUAGCCGCCACCACGGGGUGGCGGUGGCAGGGCUUGUGGCCCACUAGUUUGGCCCCCAGGCCAGCUCUCAGGCCCAAUAAUUUUCAAAAAUUCCAGAAAAAAUCAUACUAAAUUUUCAGGACCAUCGGAGAACUUUUAGUUUCGAGGUAUUUUCUCCGGGACGCUAAAACAGAAAACAGGAAAAACUAAACUAAACCAUCAUUUUCUUAUAUGAAACAGAACAUGAAAGCUCAAAACAGAGGUAUGUGACUCUUUGAUUCAUCCAUUUCAUGGUCAUCGAAAGAAAUCCGUCAAUGGGGUUGAUCAAGUCCUCAUGAAAAAACCUUCUCGAAUCGCAAGAGAGAAUGGAGAAUUUUCGAGUAGCCACUGAGUCACCUCAAUGGGGAUACGUAUCUCCCCAACAAGCAAAUCAUACUUCAUCUUGACACGAGGAAUAGGGCAUUCAAAGCUCCCAAUAAGAAUCGAUGAAGUCUUUUUGAUAGCAUUGAUGCAAUGUACUUGAUAUCGUUUCUUCGAAAAGUGCGUUGUGUGCUCCUUACCGUUGACAUGGAAAGUGACAAUGCCUUUGUUGCAAUCUAUAACUGCUCCUGCAGUGUUUAAAAAGGGUCUUCCGAGGAUGACAUCCAUGGCAUCGUCCUCGGGAAUAUCCAAGAUAACAAAGUAUGUUAAGAUAGUGGUGUUAGCAACCACAACAGGCACAUCCUCGCAAAUGCCGAUAGGGAAAGCAGUUGAUUUGUCGGCCAUUUGCAGAGAAAUUUCAGUGGGUGUCAACUUAUCCAAUUCAAGUCUACGAUAAAGAGAGAGCGGCAUAACACUAACACCGGCUCCAAGGUCACAUAAGGCAGUUCUUAGGUAGUUUCCUUUAAUGGAGCAAGGUAUAGUGGGCACUCCGGGAUCACCAAGUUUCUUAGGAGUUCCACCUUUGAAAGUGUAAUUGGCAAGCAUGGUGGAGAUCUCAAGAUCUGGUAUCUUCCGUUUAUUAGUCACGAUAUCUUUCAUGUACUUGGCAUACGGAGACAUCUUGAGCAUAUCAGUUAACCGCAUCUGUAGAAAGAUGGGUCUUAUCAUCUCAACGAAGCGCUCAAAAUCCACAUCAUCCUUUUUCUUGGAUGGCUUAGGAGGAAAGGGCAUAGAUCUCUGAACCCAUGGCUCCCUUUCUUUACCAUGCUUUCUAGCAGUGAAGUCAUUCUUAUCGUAUCUCUUAGGUUGUGGGUUAUCAGGAUUACCGUAGGUUCAAUCUCCACAUCCUCAUCAUUGCUAGGUUGAGCAUUAUUAUGGACGCCACUGUCCAUAUUGUCACCAGGUUCAUGUUCAUCACCAGAUUGUAUUUCUGCAUCAGACGCGGAAAUAUCAUUAGGUUCUUCAGGUGUGACAGUAUUUGGUGAACUGGCAUGUAGGUUUCUAGCAUCCUUCUUCUUCUCCUUAGGAUGACUGGGUGUAUCAGCAUUGAUUCCUUGAGAAUCUUGAUCAAUUCUCUUAGGAUGACCUUCAGGAUACAAAGGUUCCUGAGUUAUUUUGCCUCCUCUAGUAAUGACUCUGACAGAAUUGUCAUUUAAUUCAUUGAGCAGGUCAUUCUGAUCUUGAAGUACUUGUUCUACCUGAGUAGUAAUCAUAGAGGCAUGUUUAUUCAGAAGCUUCAGAUCAUUGACAUUUCUGUCUACACAAGCACUUAAAUCGCUAAGCAUACGAGUACUUUGUUCCAAUUGUCUGCUAACAUAAUCAUUGAAACUGUGUUGUUUGGACACAAAGUUGUCAAAUUCAUCAAAGCAUAGGCUAGCAGGUUUUUCAAAAGGAAUAUCACUCUCAUCAAACCUACGCAGAGAAUUUACUUCCACUACCUGUAUCGGGUUAUCGAGACCAUGGAUCUCUUCGAUAGGAGGUAGAUUUUUGACAUCUUCAGAUCUAAUGCCUUUCUCUUGCCUAGAUUUCUUGGCUUCUUGCAUAUCUUCGGGACUGAGGAAUAGAAUACCUCUUUUCUUCAGAGUUGGCUUAGGAGGUGGUUUGGGAAUAGUCCAAGCAUUAUCAUUGAUCAAGAUGUUAUUCAGUAGGGUCUCAGCUUGUUCUACAGUUUGUUCCCUAAAAACACAACUAGCACAACUAUCUAGGUGGUCUCUAGAGGCAUCGGUAAGUCCAUUAUAGAGGAUAUCAAGUAUCUCGUUCUUCUUAAGAGGGUGAUCAGGCAAAGCAUUCUGUAGCUGGACGAGCCUCCCCCCAGCUUGUGGGAGACUCUCUUCUUGGAGUUGAGCAAAGUUGUAUAUUUCCUGCAAGGCAGCUUGCUUCUUAUGGGCAGGGAAAUAUUUCUCACAGAAGUAAUAGACCAUAUCAUGGGCACUACUCACACAUCCAGGAGCAAGAGAGGUGAACCAGGCUUUAGCGUCAUCCUUUAGAGAGAAAGGAAACAACUUAAGGAUAUAGUAGUGGCGGAUCUUCUCCUCAUUAGUGAAAAGGGUGGCUAUAUCGUACAGUUUGGCAAGAUGGGCUACGACCGUCUCAGACUCAUAACCGUGAAAAGGAUCAGAUUCGACUAGAGAGAUUAUCUCAGGAUUGACAGAGAAUUCAUAAUCCUUAUCGGUGAUAAAGAUAGGUGAAGUGGCAAACUUCGGGGCGUAUUUCAUCCUAGCUUUCAGAGAUUUUUCCUUCCACUUGAGAAGUAAUUUCUCAGCGUCAUAGGCAUCCUUACACGCAAGAAAAUCCUCAACUAUCACUCCCUCCAUAAUGUAACCCUCAGGUAUAUCAGGCAAUUCAUAUCUAGGAGAGCUAGAUCUAGCAGGAGCAAAAGCAGGUUCUAUCUCAAUAGUAUCGGCAGUUUCAAAAGCAUCACAAGCAUUGGCAGUAACUCUAGCAAUAUGAGCAUCAAGGAAUACCCCUAGUGGAACAUCAGGAAAAGUAGUGUCUCUAGCAGUAUCAAGCAUAGUAUCAUCAGGCAUAGCAUCAUAAGCAUCAUCAGGCAUAGCAUCUCUAGCAGUAUCAGGCAUAGCAUCUCUAGCAGUAUCAUGCAAAGCAGUAUCAAGCAUAGCAUCUCUAGCAGUAUCAGGCAAAGCAGUAUCAGGCAUAGCAUCUCUAGCAGUAGCAUCAUCAGCAUCAUCAAGCACAGGCGACAUAUCAAGAUUUCUAGCAGGAGGUGAUGUCGCAAACUUACUCAUAACUGAAGGUGAAUCAAGUGCAGAGCUAGAUGGCAAUUCCUUACCUCCCCUCGUAGUUGAGGGCAAGACUUUGGUUUUCGGAUCCUUCAGAUUCUUCAUAGUGACCAGCAGAUAUAAAUCCCAAGUAACUCAGAGAAUACAGCAAUACCUCCCCGGAAAUGGUGCCAGAAAAAUGUUGACUCCAUAACAGCAGACCUUCCCCUGCAACGGCACCAGAAGAAUACUGCUAGCACUCUCCGGCAAUCGAAACUAGAAGAGGAUUCGACCCAAAUUUGUUGAUACGCCUAUAGGAGGUGAGAGGAUACUCUCAAAUAUUAGCAGCUGAAUAUGUUAGAUUGAACCACACCUGAAAGAUUAGUAUCUGCAAGCAAAGUAGUAUGAUAGCAACGGUGUCAGAAACGAUCUGUUGACACGGCAAACUAUUUCUAACGGUUGUAUCAAUGGCGCCAAGUUGCCUCGUUGACGGAAAUUGUCUGUUCCCGUCUGAAAAGACCUCGAUGACGCCUAGAGGGGGGGUGAAUAGGCUAUUUAAAAACUUCUUCAGAUUUGGCUUGAACCUAAUGUGGAAAUAAACUAAGAGGGUACUUGUCAAGCACAAAUCCUAAANNNNNNNNNNNNNNNNNNNNNNNNNNNNNNNNNNNNNNNNNNNNNNNNNNNNNNNNNNNNNNNNNNNNNNNNNNNNNNNNNNNNNNNNNNNNNNNNNNNNNNNNNNNNNNNNNNNNNNNNNNNNNNNNNNNNNNNNNNNNNNNNNNNNNNNNNNNNNNNNNNNNNNNNNNNNNNNNNNNNNNNNNNNNNNNNNNNNNNNNNNNNNNNNNNNNNNNNNNNNNNNNNNNNNNNNNNNNNNNNNNNNNNNNNNNNNNNNNNNNNNNNNNNNNNNNNNNNNNNNNNNNNNNNNNNNNNNNNNNNNNNNNNNNNNNNNNNNNNNNNNNNNNNNNNNNNNNNNNNNNNNNNNNNNNNNNNNNNNNNNNNNNNNNNNNNNNNNNNNNNNNNNNNNNNNNNNNNNNNNNNNNNNNNNNNNNNNNNNNNNNNNNNNNNNNNNNNNNNNNNNNNNNNNNNNNNNNNNNNNNNNNNNNNNNNNNNNNNNNNNNNNNNNNNNNNNNNNNNNNNNNNNNNNNNNNNNNNNNNNNNNNNNNNNNNNNNNNNNNNNNNNNNNNNNNNNNNNNNNNNNNNNNNNNNNNNNNNNNNNNNNNNNNNNNNNNNNNNNNNNNNNNNNNNNNNNNNNNNNNNNNNNNNNNNNNNNNNNNNNNNNNNNNNNNNNNNNNNNNNNNNNNNNNNNNNNNNNNNNNNNNNNNNNNNNNNNNNNNNNNNNNNNNNNNNNNNNNNNNNNNNNNNNNNNNNNNNNNNNNNNNNNNNNNNNNNNNNNNNNNNNNNNNNNNNNNNNNNNNNNNNNNNNNNNNNNNNNNNNNNNNNNNNNNNNNNNNNNNNNNNNNNNNNNNNNNNNNNNNNNNNNNNNNNNNNNNNNNNNNNNNNNNNNNNNNNNNNNNNNNNNNNNNNNNNNNNNNNNNNNNNNNNNNNNNNNNNNNNNNNNNNNNNNNNNNNNNNNNNNNNNNNNNNNNNNNNNNNNNNNNNNNNNNNNNNNNNNNNNNNNNNNNNNNNNNNNNNNNNNNNNNNNNNNNNNNNNNNNNNNNNNNNNNNNNNNNNNNNNNNNNNNNNNNNNNNNNNNNNNNNNNNNNNNNNNNNNNNNNNNNNNNNNNNNNNNNNNNNNNNNNNNNNNNNNNNNNNNNNNNNNNNNNNNNNNNNNNNNNNNNNNNNNNNNNNNNNNNNNNNNNNNNNNNNNNNNNNNNNNNNNNNNNNNNNNNNNNNNNNNNNNNNNNNNNNNNNNNNNNNNNNNNNNNNNNNNNNNNNNNNNNNNNNNNNNNNNNNNNNNNNNNNNNNNNNNNNNNNNNNNNNNNNNNNNNNNNNNNNNNNNNNNNNNNNNNNNNNNNNNNNNNNNNNNNNNNNNNNNNNNNNNNNNNNNNNNNNNNNNNNNNNNNNNNNNNNNNNNNNNNNNNNNNNNNNNNNNNNNNNNNNNNNNNUCCUAUAAAUAUAACUUAUGGCAACCAUUAGUCCAUAGGAAUUGUCAUCAAUUACCAAAACCACAUAUGGAGAUAUAUGCUCUAACAAUCUCCCCCAUUUUGAUAAUUGAAGACAACCACUUCAAGAGAGUUUAUAUAAGGAAAUAAGCAUAACCAAGCGCACACAUACAAGGUAAUAAUGCAUGUGUGCAAGAUGUAAAUGCUUACGCAAUAAAAGCAAAACCCUCUAAACAUAUCCAAAGUAAACUCUCUAAACUUCUCCCCCAUUGGCAUCGAUUGCCAAAAUGGACGAAAAGUUUAGAAAGCCAAAAUAGUAGGUGGUCCUCCAAAAAGUGUGUACUUCUCAGCAAAUGAGUGCAGAAAAAUAUACAAAUACAAUGAUAAGUAGUUGGAGGAAAACAAACUAUAUUGAGGACCCAAAGAUUGCAAAUAAAAGGAUCGUAUGCCACAAAGACAUACAAAGAUAGAGGCAAGCAAUCAAAGGAUUCCAGAUGGAACAAAAAAUCAUAUGGUCCUUCGAACCACAUGAAUAAAAGAUAUUAUGAUAAAGGCAACAUAGUGCUUUAUCAAAAACUAGAGAAGCUCCCCAUGAUUUGUGCACUAAUAUGAGAUUUUUGUAUUUGACACAGGUGCACAAAAUAGGAUCGUUGCUCCCCCAGAAUUUAUAAAGCACACAAUGCAUGCAAGAAGAUAGAUGAGACAAUAAGCAUAUCAAUUCCACAAAACAAAUGGUUGAGCAACAGGUAAUAGAAGCAACUUAAGAAUAGGCUCAAACAAAGUAAUGUGUGUGAGUCAUGGCAAAACACUUGAGAAGACUAAGAUAAGGAUGAGCAUUACUCAUCAACAUAGUCUUGAUGGAAUGAGAUACAAAGUGCAAGACAUAUCAUUCCCACACACACAUACUAGAAAAUGGGUUCACAAGCUUACUAAUAAACAAAAUAAGAACCAACGCUUGUGACACCCCAUUGUGAAGAUAGGAAGUAAGAACCUUGUCAAGAGGACAGAUACUAAUUGAAAUGGGAAAACCCUCAUCAAGACAAGCAUGAGGAAAAAUAAUCUUCACGGCCAAAGAGUGCAUCAAGAUGUAGGAAAAUAAGAUACGCACUCAAAUUGAAACUUUUCACGAAGCCACCAAAAGCUGAAAAAGGAAAUGCAAUGAUGAUCGUGAAAGAAAAGAGGAUAUUAAUUAGAGAUGUAACUUAUCUCAUGUGUAAAAGAUUCUAAGUAGAAGACAAUCAUGAUGAUAUAUAUAUCCACAAAGAAGAAUGUACACACGAAAUGGUUACAAGAAGGAACAAACUAGAUAUCCAAAAGUAAGUCAUAAAUAUAUCAAUGAGAUCUUUUGCUUGGAAGCAUAGCACAUGGCCUAAUAUUUUCUUAUUGUACAAUAUGAACUUCCAACUGGUAGUAAGACAUCAUCGUUCGGAUGCUUUGAGAAAGCAAACAAGUACUACGAGAACAAAUCAAGAGAUUCAUGCCAUGAUGCAACCUGGAAAAGAAAAGACAGGUUGGGUCCAUUGCAAGAAAAGAAUGCAUGAAGUGGAUACUUGUUACCGAUACAACAUUGGAUUGAUGUAGUAGAUAGUUGUUCUUUGAUCAUCCUAACGUGGCUCCAAUAAUUACAUGGUCUCAACAUCUUCCUUAUAGGUGAGCCGAGCAUCCAAUGCAUCUCUAGUUGUUCCUGGAGCAACAAAACAAACAAAAUGGUGCCCAAACUCAUUGGGACCAAAGACUUAGAAAACUAGCAAUACAUAGGACAAACUCCACAUACAUAUGUGCAUACAAAUAUGAAUUUGAAUUUCAUGCACACUUUAGCCAAUUUAUGAGAAGUUGGAGUUUCUCCUAUAUAUUGGGUCAAAGAAGGAAAGCAAGCAAAAGAAGUUGUAUAUAGUAGCUAGAUACGCAUGCUCAAGACUCUCAAGAAUCAACUCAACACAAAGUUGAUAAGUCACCAAAAGACAAGGUAUCAAGUGAUAAUAAGAUCCUAAAACAAAAGAACUAUCACUUGAAGGAUAUCAAUUAAAAGAUACCUCAAGGAAUGAGAUAUCCAUUGACACAUGCCAAAUAGAAGGCAACAAGAAACCAAUUGAAGGAAAACAAACACGAGGUAUCUAGUUUCCAAAAGAGAGCUAGGUUCCAACAAACCAAGCCCUCGACAAAUUUUCAUGAUGGCACAAAGCAUCAUAAAGAGCAAGACUUGCCUCCCAUCAACACAUAUUUGAUGGGGAUCAAAAGAUUUUAUGAUGGGUGAAUAAAGAGAGUGUUCUAAAGAAAAUAGGAUAGCUCCCCCAAGGGACGUGCAUUAUAUAGAAUUUGCAUUUGAAUACAAAACGCACAUGAUGGGAUCAUCACUUUCUCUAUACCUAUAAAAAUACUAGACAUGUUAAAAUACAUUCAUAAGAGGCAAGGAAGACAAACGAAACACAAAAUCCAAUGUAAAGAUGAUUAGCAAUUCCUAUCACAUGAUGGGAAUACCAAUUGUCAAGGACAAGAAGUAUUUUCGAAAGGAUACUCAUUGGUAGAUCAAAAAUAUAUCCAAGAUCAUCUUUACCCAUAAAACGCAAGCAAAUGACACUUGUAGAGCUAACAUGCCACCUAGGAACAAGAUAAUUUACAAUAUCAACACUAAGUGGCAACACGUCAAAUGUACACAUUUUCUAGGUUUGUAAUAUGCACAUAGCAUGUUACUCCCCCAUAAUGUGAUAAACCAUCAAUAUUAACAAGUGGCAAAUUAAAACCAACGAGAGAUACUUAAUGGACCAUAUAGAAUUUGAAUUUCUCAUGAGUAAGACAUACCACAUAGAAACUAGAUAAUCUUGAAAUAUCAAAACUAAGUGGUAUUCCCCAUGUAUACACAUUUAUAGGAUUGUGAGGUGUGCAAAGCACAUCACUCCCCCACAAUGGGAUAAUCCAUUAAUCUCUCACAAGAGCCAACAAAAAUACAAACAAGACGCAAAAAGGCUCAAUACAAGACUCACAUGUACAUGAUAUGCAAAUCAACAUACCCAUACUCGAUUACUCAAGAUAAGCAAGUUGGAAGCACAACAUAUACAAACGCAUGCAAGGUGCAAAGGGGCAAGCACCUAACAAUGUAAACAGUUUAAGUAUAAGUUACCGUAAGGAGGCACAUUGGAUAUAAGAUAGAAACUCGAUAUUCCAAAUGACUUGGCUUGAGAUAAUAUGAAUGAUGAAGACCCCUUAAUUCUUUAUUAUGUAUCCAAGUCUCUAAUGUCCUCCAUAGUCACCUAUUGAUCAAGUUUGAGCUUGUUGGUCCCCAACUACGUUGGGUCCUAAGAGGUUAAUCACAAUAGGCUUGGCAACCCAAAUGGUUCUUUUCUUGACACCAUUUUGAGUACCAACUAACUUGGCAAACACAUUGCCAACCUUAUCCUUCCCAAGGGAAUAGAUAUCAUCAAUAGUGAUUGGGUUGGAUAAGUUACCUCUUGUGCAAGACGAAGCGACGUGACCCUUCUCACGACAUAAGUAGCAACAUCUACCCUUUGCUUUCUUCCCAGUUGAUUUCUCACCUCGGGGAGUGUAGGCUUGGGUCUUAUUGGGAAGAGGCCUUCCUUCAACUUGUAGUUGAAUAUGUGAUUGAGUUUGUGGACGCUUCCCUUGUUGCUUGUGACUUUGAGACUUCGUCUUCAGAGGGCAAGAUCUAACAUGGUGCCCUUUAACUUUGCACUUGAAGCAAAUGAUUUUGGCCGAAUUCUUGACUUGUUCUAGGCCCCUCUUGUUCUUGUUUGAGUUUACUCCAACGUCAUUUUUGUCAUUUAGAGAUGUUUGCUCACACAAGACGUUGUUGAGUGUGGACAUCCCUUCAUGACACUGUUCCAAGUCUUUCUUCAAAGAAGUGACUUGGGCCUUGAGCUCUUUGAUUUCCUCUGCACGGUUACUAUCAAUGCAAGUACUAGAGGAAGUGUAAGCUUCAAUGUUAGAGCAACAAGGCAAGGAAAGUAAUUCAUCACACGAGGUAGCAAUAUUAUGAGUAGACGAAUUACGAGGACUAGCUCAUGGAAAUAUAGUACUUUGACUAGAAGUAGUGCCAUUGUCCACAUGAGGCUCACUUGAUGUUACCUUGGUGAUGAUAGCCUCAUGAGCUAACCUUUGCACAUUAUAGGAUGUUAGAAGAUCGGCAUGAGAGCUUGUGAGCAUUACAUGGUUUUCUUCCAACUUCCCAUAAUUGCUAGUUAGUAAAUCAAGUUGAGUACGUAGCUCAAUAUUCUCCUUCAAUGUUGAUACUUCAAAUGAGGUAGAGUUAGAUGUACAAGUAUCAUCAACAAUAUGAGAGGAGUAAGUAGCAAAUAGAUACUUCUCAUGAGUAGAUUGAAGCUCCUCAUAGAUCUUAGAGGUUUUGAUGAGCUCUCGCUUGACAUUAUUGCAUUCAAGGAGAAGGACCUCAAAAUCCUUUUUAAGUUUAUCAUGAGCAACUUCAAUCUCUCCUUUUGAAGAUCUUAAGUCUCUACAUGCUUGGUGACUCUUCUCAAGUUCAUGUUCAAGUUGUUCACUUUUAGCUUGUUCAUGAUUAAGUGAAUCAUUACAAUUUUCGAAGUAAGCAAGAACAUCUUGGAAUCUUUGAAGAGCGUUAUUUUUAGCUUUAUGAAGAAUUUUACUGAUCACAUAGAUAUUUUUGGUCAAAUCAUCAUCAUCAUCCUCAUCGCAAAUAUCAUCGUUAUUGCACAGGGAAGAUGAUACCUCAUUAUUACCUCUUGCCAUGAGGCACAUGUGAACUGGAGGAGUUGAUGAUGAUUCUUUUGGUGAAUCGGAUUCUUCAUUAGUCAAAGGUACUACAUAUUUCUUGAUUUCCCCUAAAUGAUUAGUCAUAGAGCAACUAGGUAGAAACAAGAUAUUUUGAUCAAGAGGACACGAGGAAGCAGGCAUAUCACCACAGACAUUUGUCGAGGGAUCUUUAGGUGAAAUGCAUGACCUAUCAGCACAAUAAUUUACACUAUGUGUGGUGCUAUAUAUGCUCGUGUCCAUAGAGGCUAUGACAUUUUCAUCAACAUAUAUUUCUUCACUCACCAUGUCAUUACCUUGUGAGAUUGAAGAUGCUGGGGUGUGCAAGCAAUCGGAUAUGGAAGUAGUGGUGGACUCUUUAAGAUCGAAAAGAGUGAAGAGCUCAUGCACCAACUCCUUCAUCAUAAUACCGUAUUCAUCAAGAUUGGACCCACCAUGUAUAUCUUCAAGUUUAGUCCAAACUUCAUGAGCUGACUUGCAAGUCGAGAUAGACUUAAACACUUCAGGACUUAUGGUUCGAUGAAUGGCAAGAAAAGCCUCACAAUCAAGAUACAUCUCAUUAGUAGAUGAAGAUGCAUCAUCCUUUUUGUCGGCAAUCCCUACAAGAACAAUUCAUAAAGUAUUUGGGCCCAUGGCCCAAAAGUGAUGAAGCAUACGAAUUCUCCAUAGGGUAUAAUUUGUGCCAUCAAAGUCAAAGAUGCCAUUGUGCACUAAUCCAAUAGUCGACAUCGAUACUCUCUAGGUCGUGAAACCUAAUUAAAGAGAGACCUAGCUCUGAUACCAAUUGAAAAGACCUCGAUGACGCCUAGAGGGGGGUGAAUAGGNNNNNNNNNNNNNNNNNNNNNNNNNNNNNNNNNNNNNNNNNNNNNNNNNNNNNNNNNNNNNNNNNNNNNNNNNNNNNNNNNNNNNNNNNNNNNNNNNNNNNNNNNNNNNNNNNNNNNNNNNNNNNNNNNNNNNNNNNNNNNNNNNNNNNNNNNNNNNNNNNNNNNNNNNNNNNNNNNNNNNNNNNNNNNNNNNNNNNNNNNNNNNNNNNNNNNNNNNNNNNNNNNNNNNNNNNNNNNNNNNNNNNNNNNNNNNNNNNNNNNNNNNNNNNNNNNNNNNNNNNNNNNNNNNNNNNNNNNNNNNNNNNNNNNNNNNNNNNNNNNNNNNNNNNNNNNNNNNNNNNNNNNNNNNNNNNNNNNNNNNNNNNNNNNNNNNNNUCCUAUAAAUAUAACUUAAGGCAACCAUUAGUCCAUAGGAAUUGUCAUCAAUUGCCAAAACCACAUAUGGAGAUAUAUGCUCUAACACCGUCAACGACCAACGAAUCAAGAUUGUAGCAGGUAGCAGCAGUGUAAUGAGUAAUAGCAGCGGCAAGGAAAAGCAGUAGUGACAGCAGUAGCAAGUAGCAACAGUAGCAAGCGACAGUAGUAGCAACAGUAGCAGCAGAGCAAGACGAGUAACGGCAGCAAAGCCAGACAAGUAACAGCAGCAGUAGGACAAACUCGUAUGCAAUGGGUCGGUGAUUUGUUUGGAUGAUAUUCAUCAUGCAACAGUUAUAGCACGGAGAGAUAUGUGGCUAGCUCCCGUUUGUCAAUGUGAUGUAGGCAUGCAUUCCAUGUGUCGUCAUACGUGCUUAGGGAAAGGAACUUGCAUGACAUCUAUUGUCCAUCCCUCCCGUGGCAGCGGGGUCCAAAAGGAAACUAUGGGAUAUUAAGGUUCUCCUUUUAAUAAAGAACCGGACCAAUGCAUUAGCACUUGGUGAACACAUGAACUCCUCAAACUAUGGUCAUCACCGGGAGUGGUUCCGGUUAUUGUCACUCCGAGGUUGCCGUAUCAUAACACAUAGUAGGUAACUACAACUUGCAAGAUCGGAUCUAAAACACACAUAUAUUGGUGACAACAUAAUAAUUUCGGAUCUGAAAUCAAGGCACUCGGGCCCUAGUGACAAGCAUUAAGCAUGGAAAAGUAGUAGCAACACCCAUCUCAGAACAUAGUGGAUACUAGGGAUCAAUCCCCGUCAAAAAUAACUCGAUUACAUGAUAGAUCUCAUCCUACUCAUCACCACCCAGCGAGCCUACGAAUAGAUUACUCACGAACAAUGAAGAGCUUCAUGGAAUUGGAGAGGGAAGAAGGUUGAUGAUGACGCUGGCGACGAUUUCCCCUCUCCGGAGCCCAAAACGAACUCCAGAUCUGCCCUCUAGAUGAAGAACACGAUGUGGCGGCGGCUCUGUAUCGCAAACGCAACGAAAUCUACUCUCUUUAUUUUUUCUGGGACGAAAGUGAACUUAUAGAGCUGAGAUUGGGGGCGCCAGAGCCGUGUGGGCCCCACAAGCUUGCCUACCGCCACCAGGGGGUGGCGGUGGCAGGGCUUGUGGCCCACUGGCCCACCCCCUCAGGUGGAUCUUUGCGCAGGUAUUUUUCAUAUUUUCCAAGAAAGUUCCCCGUAAAUUUUCAGGACGUUCUGAGAACUUUGAUUUCUGCACAAAAAUAACACCAAGGCAAUUCUGCUGAAAAUAGCAUCAGUCCAGGUUAGUUCCAUUCAAAUCAUGCAAAAUAGAGUCCAAAACAAGGGCAAAAGAGUUUGGAAAACUAGAUACGAUGGAGACGUAUCAAUGGCCAUAUCAUGUCACUUAUGAAUUGCAUGUGAUGUUAAUCCUUUUAUGCACCUUAUUUUUCUUAGAACGGUGGUAGCAUUAUAAGGUGAUCUCUCACUAAAAUUUCAAGACGAAACUGUGUUCUCCCCGACUGUCCACCGUUGCGACACUUUGUCGUUUUGAGACACCAUGUGAUGAUCGGGUGUGAUAGACUCAACGUUCACAUACAACGGGUGCAAAACAGUUGCACACGCGGAACACUCGGGUUAAACUUGACGAGCCUAGCAUGUGCAAACAUGGCCUCGGAACACAUGAGACCUAAAUGUCGAGCAUGAAUCGUAUAGUUGAUAUGAUUAGCAUAGAGAUGCUUACCACUGAAGCUAUUCUCAACUCACGUGAUGAUCGGACUUGAGUUAGUGAAUUUGGAUCAUGUACCACUCAAAUGACUCGAGAGAUGUACUUUUUGAGUGGGAGUUUAUCAGUAAUUCUUCAAUCACUGUCACCUAGCUAUAAGGGCUUCGUGGGUACCAUGCAAGGAAUGAACAAGUCACCUGGCGAGUUAUUCGCGAUGCUGAAAGUCGCAGAGUCAGAACUCCGGAAAGAGCAUCAAGUGUUGAUGGUCAAUAAGACCAAUGGUUUGAAGAGAAACGGCAAAGGCAAGAAGGGUAACUCCAAGAAGAGCGGCAAGCCUGUUGCCAAUCCGAUGAAGAAACCCAAGGCUGGACCUAAGCCUGAAACAGAGUGUUAUUUUUGCAAGGGACUGGGUCACUGGAAGCGCAACUGCCCCAUGUAUUUAGCUGAUAAGAAGGCGGCCAAGGAAAAAUAUGGUAUAUUCGAUAUACAUGUUAUUGAUGUGUACUUAACCAACUCUCGUAGUAGUGCCUGGGUAUUCAAUACCAGUUCUGUUGCUCAUAUUUGCAACUCGGACCAGGAACUACGGAAUAAACGAAGGCUGGCGAAAGAUGAAGUGACGAUGCACGUGGGAAACGGUUCCAAGGUUGAUGCAAUCGCCGUCGGCACAGUCUCACUUCAGUUACCAUCGGGAUUAGUUAUGGACAUAAAUAAUUGUUAUUUAGUGCCUGCGUUAAGCAUGAACAUUAUAUCUGGAUCUUGUUUAUUGCGAGACGGUUACUCGUUUAAGUCACAGAAUAAUGGUUGUUCUAUUUCUAUGAGUAAUAUCUUUUAUGGUCAUGCACCCAAUGUGAGAGGAUUGUUCAUAUUGAAUCUUGAUAGUGAUGAUACACAUAUACAUAACAUUGAGACCAAAAUAUGUACAGUUAACAAUGAUAGUGCCAUGUUUUUGUGGCACUGCUGCUUAGGUCAUAUUGGUGUAAAGCGCAUGAAGAAACUCCAUUCCGAUGGUCUUUUGGAGUCACUUGACUUUGAAUCACUUGACACGUGCGAACCAUGCCUCAUGGGCAAGAUGACUAAGACUCCGUUCUCCGGAACAAUGGAGCGUGCAAGUGACUUGUUGGAAAUCAUAAAUACCGAUGUGUGCGGUCCGAUGAGUGUGGAGGCACGCGGCAGAUGUCAUUAUUUUGUCACCUUCACUGACGACUUGAGUAGAUAUGGUUAUGUCUACUUGAUGAAGCACAAGUCCAAAGUUGUCAGAAUCGUGACUCAAGUCUUAGAAUCUUAAGAUCUUACGAUCCAAAAUAGCCCCUCCUAUUCUACGAUUUUGCACAUAGAAUCUAAGUUUCUACGAUCCUGAUAGUUAAGAUUCUAUGAUUCACGAUCCUAGCAGUGGAGCUCCGAUCCGAUUCAGAAUCGCGAUUCUGACAACUUUACACAAGUCUGAAGCGUUUGAGAAUUUCAAGCAAUUUCAGAGUGAAGUUGAAAAUCAUUGUAACAAGAAGAUCAAGUUCCUACGUUCUGAUCGUGGGGGUGAGCAUCUAAGUUUCGAGUUUGGUACUUACUUAAGACAAUGUGGAAUUAUUUCACAGUUGACACCGCCUGGAACACCACAGCGUAAUGGUGUGUCCAAACGUCGUAAUCGUACUUUGUUAGAGAUGGUGCGAUCUAUGAUGUCUCUUACCGAUUUGCCAUUAUUGUUUUGGGGUUAUGCAUUAGAGACAGUUGCAUUCACUUUAAAUAGGGCACCAUCAAAAUCCAUUGAGAUGACACCAUACGAGGUGUGGUAUGGCAAAAGACCAAAGUUGUCGUUUCUUAAACUUUGGGGAUGUGAUUCUUAUGUCAAAAAGCUUCAGCCUGAAAAGCUGGAACCCAAAUCGGAAAAGUGCGUCUUCGUAGGUUACCCAAAGAAGACACUUGGGUACACCUUCUAUCUCAAAUCCGAGGGCAAAGUAUUUGUCGCUAAGAAUGGAGCUUUUCUUGAGAAGGAGUUUCUGUCGAAAGAAUUGAGUGGGAGAAAGAUAGAACUUGAUGAGGUUGUCGAACCUCCAGUCCCUCUAGAUGGUGGCGCAAGGCAAGGGGAAACCCCUGUCAUUGCGACGCCGGUUGAGGAGGAAGUUGAUGAUGAUGAUCAUGAAACUUCGGAUCAAAUUCCUAUCGGACCUCGCAGAUAGACUAGAUCACGUACUGCUCCUGAGUGGUACGGUAAUCUUGUCUUAUCAAUUAUGUUGUUAUACAACAAUGAACCUGCGAAUUAUGAAGAAGCAAUGGUGGGCCCGGAUUCCAACAGCCAUGAAGUCCGAGAUAGGAUCUAUGUACAAAAACAAAGUGUGGACUUUGGAAGUACUACCUGAAGGCCGCAAGGCUAUUCAGAACAAAUGGAUCUUUAAGAAGAAGACGACACCGACGAUAAUGUGACCGUUUAUAAAGUUCGACUUAUGGCAAAGGGUUUUUCACAAGUUCAAGGAGUUGACUACGAUGAGACAUUCUCACCGGUAGCGAUGCUUAAGUCCGUCCGAAUCAUGUUAGCAAUAGCUGCAUUUUUCGAUUAUGAAAUCUGGCAGAUGGAUGUCAAAACGGCGUUCCUUGACGGUUUUCUUAAGGAAGAGUUGUAUAUGAUGCAACCCGAAGGUUUUGUCGAUCCAAAGAAUGCUAACAAAGUAUGCAAGCUCCAGUGAUCCAUUUAUGGACUGGUGCAAGCAUCUCGGAGUUGGAAUAAGCGCUCUGAUGAGGUGAUCAAAGCAUUUGGGAUUAUACAAGUGGUUGGAGAAUCUUGUAUUGACAAGAAAGUGAGUGGGAGCUCUGUGGUGUUUCUAAUAUUAUAUGUGGAUGACAUAUUACUGAUUGGAAACAACGUGGAGUUUUUGGAGAGCGUAAAGGAUUACUUGAAUAAAAGGUUCUCUAUGAAGCACCUAAGCUGCUUACAUUCUAGGCAUUAAGAUCUAUGGGGAUAGAUCGAGACGCCUAAUAGGACUUUCACAAAGCACAUACCUUGAUAAAGUUUUGAAGAAGUUCAAAAUGGAUCAGUCCAAGAAGGGGUUCUUGCCAGUGUUACAAGGUAUAAAAUUGAGUAAGACUCAGUGCCCAGCAACUGUAGAAGAUAGAAAGGCAAUGAGUAUCGUUCCCUAUGCUUCAGCCAUAGGUUCUAUCAUGUCUGCAAUGUUGUGCACUAGACCGGACGUGAGCUUGGCCAUAAGUAUGGCACGCAGGUUUCAAAGUAAUCCAGGAGUGGAUCACUGGACGGUGGUCAAGAAUAUUGUGAAGUACCUGAAAAGGACUAAGGAAAUGUUUCUCGUUUAUGGAGUUGACGAAGAGCUCGUCGUAAAGGGUUACGUCGAUGCAAGCUUUUGCACUGAUCCGGAUGACUCUAAGUCUCAAACCAGAUACGUAUUUAUUCUUAAUGGGGGUGCGGUAAGUUGCUGCAGUUCCAAGCAAAGCGUCGUAGCAGAUUCUACAUGUGAAGCGGAGUACAUGGCUGCAUCGGAGGCAGCAAAGGAGGGUGUCUGGAUGAGGCAGAUCAUGACGGAUAUUGGAGUUGUGCCAAGCGCACUAAAUCCAAUAACUCUGUUCUGUGACAACACUCGUGCCAUUGCUUUAGCAAAGGAACCAAGGUUUCACAAGAAGACCAGGCACAUCAAACGACGCUUCAACCUCAUCCGCGACUACGUCGAAGGAGAGGACGUGAAUAUUUGCAAAGUGCACAUGGAUCUGAAUGUAGCAAACCUGCUGACUAAACCUCUUCCACGGGCAAAACAUGAUCAACACCAGAACUGUAUGGGUGUUAGAUUUAUUACAAUGUAAAUCGCAACGCGAUGUGAGGACUAUAUUAUUGACUCUAAUGCAAGUGGGAGACUGUUGGAAAUAUGCCCUAGAGGCAAUGAUAAAUAGUUAUUAUUAUAUUUCCUGUUUCAAGAUAAUCGUUUAUUAUCCAUGCUAUAAUUGUAUUGAAUGAAAACAUAGAUACAUGUGUGGAUACAUAAACAAAACAAUGUCCCUAGCAAGCCUCUAGUUGGCUAGCGAGCUGAUCAAUGAUAGUCAAGGUUUUCUGACUAUAUGCAAGUGUUGUCACUUGAUAACUGGAUCACAUCAUUAGGAGAAUCAUGUGAUGGACUAGACCCAAACUAUGAACGUAGCAUAUUGAUCGUGUCAUUUCAUUGCUAUAGUUUUCUGCGUGUCAAGUAUUUAUUCCUAUGACCAUGAGAUCAUAUAACUCACUGGCACCGGAAGAAUACCUUGUAUGUAUCAAACGUCACAAUGUAACUGGGUGACUAAGAAGGUGCUCUACAGGUAUCUCUGAAGGUGUCUGUUGAGUUAGUAUGGAUCAAGACUGGGAUUUGUCACUCCGUGUGACGGAGAGGUAUCUCGGGGACCACUCGGUAAUACAGCAUCACACACAAGCCUUGCAAGCAAUGUGACUAACACUACUAGGAAAAGGCUUGCUAAUGGCGCACCUAUUUUUGUUACUAAUGGCGCACUAUAGAUGCGCCACUAGCAUCACGCCAUUAGAUUUUUUUACUAAUGGCGCACCACAAGUGCGCCAUUAGUAUCUGAUAUACUAAUGGCGCACCAGGUAGUGCGCCAUUAGUAUUGCUCACGGUGCGCCAUUAGUAUGCCUCCCAGGUGCGCCAUUAGUAUGCCUCUCAGGUGCGCCAUUAGUAUGCCUCCCAGGUGCGCCAUUAGUAAUCCUCUCAGGUGCGCCAUUAGUAUGCCUCCGAGGUGCGCCAUUAGUAUGCCUCCCAGGUGUGCCAUUAGUAUAGCCCAUGGUGCUUCAUUAGUAUAUGGUAUUCUAGCAUAUAUAUGUUUUGUUUCAAAACCACAAAUUCAACAGCACAUAACAUAUAUAUCAAAUAUAUAAUACAUAAUAUGUGCCCAAUAAUUUUACUGAUCCACAACACAUAACAUAUAUGCAAAGUUGCAUAACAAAUUUCAUGAUCCAUAUAUCAAAACUCCAUAGCAUCCAUACAUCCAAAAUUCCAUAACAUCCAUAUAUACAUAUAGUUCCAUAGCAUCCAUACAUACAUAGCUCCAUAACAAAUAUAGUUCCAUAGCAUCCAUUCAUUAUUCACAUACAAUUUUUUGAGCUAGAAUAUUAUUUUGUUUGUAUUAAUAUGUUACCAUUAUUAUUUUAGAUGACAAAAAGACAACUAUGGCUCCAAAGGUUUGUUUAUGUCUUCACGCCACAUAAGUAAACGAAGUAGAAGGGGCGCAUGUUUAGGAGCUCAAGCGCGCUGUCCUUUUGAACUUCCCUUGGCAAAAGAAGCAUGAAUCAAAAGUGUUAGAGAAAGAAAACAGAUGAUUCAGAAUUACAAAUUUUGAUACAUAUUGACUUCUAACAUAACAACACUAGCAAUGUUUGUUACAAAAUUUACGAGGUAUCAAGAUACUUAAAUUGUCAACUAGUCACGACUACACACACACAGAGAGAGAUAUAUAUACACAUAAGCUCCAAUGAAUACAACUAAGAUUUUCAAGAGAACAUUCACAUACAAGAAUAAGCACAUGAUGUUUGGUUCCAAAUUAUAAAUAUAAGCUGCCGAUGUUGCGCUGAAUCCAAAGUAAUCCCAGCUACAUAGGUCACACGCUCGCUCUAAUGAGAUGUGAUACCAAAUGUUUAAGCCUGAAGGAAACAAGCAAUGGUAUAGGCACAAACUUUCCAAUCAUGGAGAUGAUACUACGAUCACAGUGUUCACCCUUGAUUGCAAACAAAAUCUAACUAGUAAACGCACACAAUCAGCAGCCCCUAUAUAUAAUUCCAUAAAAGUAUUAGAACAGAUGCAUCAUAACUGAAUUACCUGUGAGCAACAGCAUGAAUGAGCCUUCAGGCUGCGCGAGGAAGGAGACCGUCUUGGCAACCUUCUCCAAGAACUGCUGACUCUGCACCAGCAACGAAUCGCCAUUCCUCUCCACAAUUCAGUCAAACCUGUAAAUUCUACUCGGGAGCUAAGCAAAUGAAAGGGUUAUAGGUUAUUUCUAGAGCAGAGCUAUUUGAGAAGAUGGUCCAAAGUGGUCAUGAACAAAAUUUACACACGAAAUGACAAUGAAACAAAGGCAUUUAGCCAGCUUUGCAAAUCUACAUGAAAAAGUUAUGUAAAUUUGAUUUGCUUGCGGCACACACAUUAGUAGGAAUAGAACUAGCAAAUUUACAACAAACAAUAUAUGAUGGAUCCUACAGAUUAUUGAGAUCAGAAUGUUCCAACACAUCAAAGAUAGAUAUCCAGCAAAGCCAAGAUUUGAACUAUCCGGCAACAAGAAAACGUAUAUACACAAAAAUGUCUUGCAUUGCAGGCACAUUUUAUAUUUAAUGGGUGGUAUAAAGCAUAAUGCAAAGCUCAACAAAACUCGGUUUGCUCAUAUGUACAACUUUCAAUACUAACACAUAUAUUGAGCAAGGUAAACCACCAGAGAUGGCACUAUAUUUCUCAACUUCUUUAGUCCUCAGGAUUAGUAUAUCAUGCUUCCGGGAAAGCGAAGAGCGAGGAGCCCGAAGAGCACACAGAAUCUCCCAAUUUGCAAGGAGUUUACCUACAGUGCACAAGUGUAGAUCGAUCAGCAGUUGAAACUAGGAUUUACAAUUUCCUUUUUUUCAUAAACUACAUGAACGGAAUCUAUGAAAGGGGGGACAACACAAUGUAAGCUGAAAAUUAAGGGUUAAGAUUGGUACUAGUCAGUAGAAAUACUAGUCUCCCAUCGACAGAUGCCCUGAUAAACGCAGCAGAAUGGAUGAAGUCCUAAGCCCGUUUCGGAGCAUACAAAGACAGGUUAACAAUCCCACUGCAUUACGCCAAAAGAAACAGCGUUGAGUAAAGAGAUGAAAACAAACUAAAACUGCAAGACAAUGAAACUGCAGGAAUGAUUAGCUCUAGAGAUACUGGAAAAGGCGGUCCAAUGGUAUGGAACAUGGUAAAAUCAGGAUAGAAAAAUAAAUAAAAGAAGAUAUGUAUCGUACUUUCUAAGCACAUCGUUUGGUAUCUACUCUAUACUCUACAAGCAAAGUGCAAUGCCAACGGUUUUAUUGAUUUGAAUGGAGGGUUGUAGCAAAACCAUCAGUUUAACAUGUGAUAGAAAUGUGAUACAAGUGAUAAAUUCGUAGCUCGAGAAACCAAGUUAUGAGCAUCCAAGUGUCAGCAAACAGAACAAGCACCAAUCCAUGAAGCGAUAUGUUAUCUCUGACAGGAACAGAAGAAGAUUUCUAAACAUUGAUAACUGAUAAGUACCCUGAAAGCGCUAUAUCCUAUCCAUUGCCACAAUAUAGCAUGAGACGAGACGCAAUUGCCUCCAUAAGCUCAGUGAGAAAUAUCUUCUGCAAGUUACUGUUUCUUUAUUAUUAUAAACAGCACUUCUUGUCACACAGGUUGAAAAGAAAAAAAACAAGGACAAGGGGCUGUCAUCAUCUUCAAAUAAACCAAUACCUAUCAAUAAUAAUACAAACUACUCCUAUCGUCCGAGAGAAUACUCUGUAUGUAUCGGGGAGAGGCUCGCUGGUUUUCUUAAAAAAAAUAUUACAAUGUGUGUUUUGAUUCGUUAGGCUCUAGUUAAUUAACAGUUGUUCUAACAUGUAGAGUAAGAUUUUACUAUUUCACAAAAAGAAAAAAACUGAGUAGCGUGCAAGGUUGCACAAGGCUCAAGUCUGUGAGUCCUAAUUAACAACCACUGGGUACCUGUGCCGCUAUGCCUGGUGCUGAUGGAAGGCCAGAAUCAAAAUUGGUUUGGCUGCUGGAUAAGCAAGCGAAUGUGCACCUUUAGUACCUAAGGAGCCUCUACUGAUAAACUGGUAGAGAACUGAAGGAGCCUCAGUUGUGGCAUACCUGAACAAGUGAUCAGGCCGGACGAGGUAGCGAUAUGCUUGAGCCGAGGAUGUGUAUGUCCAUCUACACAUUGUCACCACCGUCCACUGGAUCUGCUCAACGGAACUAAUUGCAAAUCCAAGAGUAAAACAAAGACUAUGCUCCGACCCUUGAUGUAUUGUAUUGUAUUCGUCUCAAACUCAAGCGCAAGCUAAAACAAUAAUCCCACAAGACCCAACUUUAUUCGUUUCAAGCUCAAGCUCGUAUCUUGAUGUAUAGUAUGGUGGCCAUUAUUGACUUAAUUUAUUCCACUGGACGCAAAGAAGUGUGCGUGCACGCGGUAGGCAACUGGGUGCUGGAUCUAGCUAGGAAGGUCGCGGCGGAAGGAAGAUGGUGCUGGCGGGAAUAAACGCAACUACCUGCAGUGCGCGGGCAGAGCAGACGAGAACAGCUAACCUGGUGAGUGGCGGUUGCUUCCGGUUCAAGUUCCAGUGGACGGAGGAGUGGGAGAGGCGGCUGUCAGCGCGGAAAGGCGGCUGUCGAAGGAGCCGAGGAUGGAGACGACGGCGUCUGUGGCCGCCUGGCUCUGGCCCAGCGACUCCCGCAGCAGCGCGGCCCACUGCGCCAGGCCCUCCAUCUCUCUGCCCGAGGACGGAUGAUCCUCCUCCUCCUCUUGGAGAGCUUGGGCCGGAGAGGCGGGGCGGAUCUGGGGGACGGGAUCCGGGGCUGCGCGCUAGCUGCGCGCUAGCUGCGCGCAGGCACAGCGGAGCGGGUGGAUCUGGGGGACGGGAUCCGGGUGGAGAGAGAGGGAGUGGGCACGGGAGAGAGAGUGGCCGGUUGGAUUUGGGAGAGGAGAUGCACUGCCGGUUAGCAAUGGCGCACCGCUCCGGCUGCGUCAUUAGAAUUUUUUUUAUAGCAAUGGCGCAUCCUCAUGCAGUGCGUCAUUAGUAAUCUUUUUUAUAUAGCAAUGGCGCAUCCCAGAGAGAUGCGCCAUUAGUAAUUUUUUUUGGAUAGCAAUGACGCACACCAGAGAGGUGCGCCAUUAGUAAUAUUAUUUUUUUUGGAAUAGCAAUGGCGCUCGGGGGGAGGGAGGGGGUGGGUGGUGUGCUCGGUCGAUUCCGUUCGGGGAAACCGAGCGAGGAGACAGGGGAGGGUCCAGGGGGUCGGCAUUGACGGUGGAGCAUGGGAGGGUGCGGGAGGUCGUCGGCGGCGGUGGAGCGGGGGAGGGUGCGGGGGGUGCUCGGCGGCGAGGGUGGUGGUGCGUCAUUAGUAGUUUUACAAAAAAAAUAUAGUAGUGGCGCACCACCUACAUAUACGCCAUUAGUAACCCUGGUUACUAAUGGCGCACUAGCUGUGGUGCGCCAUUAGUAGUUUGCAAAAAAAACAAAAAAAAAAUAUAGUAGUGGCGCACUACUAACAGAUGCGCCAUUAGUAUUACUAAUGGCGCACCAGCUUCUAGUGCGUCAUUAGAACUUUUGCAAAAAAAUAAAAAUAAAAAAAAUAUAGUAGUGGCGCACCGAAAGUGUGGUGCGCCAUUAGUAUCCACCACACUAAUGGCCCACCUCACAUGGUGCGCCAUUACUAUAUAGUAGUGGCGCACUGCUUGUGUGGUGCGCCAUUAGUAUCUAUAUCAUCUAUAGCCCUUUUCCUAGUAGUGUAAUUGUAAGUCACGAGAUUUUGUAUUACGGAAGGAGUAAAGAAACUUUCGAGGAACGAGAUUGAAAUAGGUAUGCGGAUACCGACGAUCAAAUCUCGGGCAAGUAACAUACCGAAGGACAAAGGGAAUGACAUACGGGAUUAUAAGAAUCCUUGAAGCUGAGAUUCAACCGAUAAGAUCUUCAGAGAAUAUGUAGUAUCCAAUAUGGGCAUCCAGGUCCCGCUAUUGGAUAUUGACCGAGGAGUGCCUCGAGACAUGUCUACAUAGUUCUCGAACCCGCAGGGUGUGCACACUAAAGGUUCGAUGAUGUUUUAGUAUAGUUGAGUUAUAUGUGUGGUUAUGGAAUGUUUUUCGGAGUCCCGAAUGAGAUCACGGACAUCACGAGGGUUUCCGGAAUGGUCCAGAAACGAUGAUUGAUAUAUUGGAUGGUUUCAUUUCGUUACCGGAAAGUUUCGGGCAAUUCCGGCGGUGUACCAGGAGUGGCGAAUGGGUUCCGGGUGUUUAUCGGGCGGGGCCCACCCACCCGGCAGUGAUCCCAAGGCCCUAGGGUGGCUCCACAAGUCCUUCGCCCAAGAGGGCUAUGGCACCAGAUAAGAAAAUACCAAAGGAAAAGAAAAAGAAAAAGGAAAGAGGGAGGUGGGAAGGAAGAGGAGGACUCCUCCUUCCAAACCGAAUUGGAGGAGGAGUCCUCCUCCUCCUGGUGGCCGGCGCACCUUGAGGGCCUUGUCCCUCAAGGCUAGCCCCUCCCCCUCCCUCCUAUAUAUAGUGGUUGUUUAGGGCUUUUUUAUACACAACUUUGCCACGUGCAACUCAUGGCUAUUCCACAUAGUUUUACCUCUAGAUCAGAUUUCUGCGGAGCUCGGGCGGAGCCCUGCAGGAGUAGAUCGUCACCAUCACCGGAGCGUCGUCACGCUGCCGAAGAACUCAUCUACUUCUCCUCCUGCUUGCUCGAUCAAGAAGGCCGAGAUCAUUGUGGAGUUGUACGUGUGCUGAACGCGGAGGUGUCGUCCGUUCGGCACUAGAUCGGAACGGGUCGUGGAACGGAUCACGGGACGGUUCGUGGGACAGUUCGAGGGAUGUGGAAACGUUCCACUACAUCAAUCGCAUUUCUUAACGCUUCCCGCUGUGCGAUCUACAAGGGUACGUAGAUCUAAUCUCCACUCGUAGAUGGACAUCACCAUGAUAGGUCUUCGUGUGCGUAGGAAAUUUUUUGUUUCCCAUGCAACGUUCCCCAACACCAACACCACGAACAGAAGCACUUGAACCGUUUCCCAUCAGCACGGUGGAAGUCCCUGCGGUCUAAUAAGACGAAAACAUGGAAAUAUCACCGCAUACAUGCACAUUAGCACCCGUGUCAAUCAACCAACGAGGGAAAUGACAUACUGAAAGAAUAGUGGGAAAUAUACCAUACCCAACAUCCUUCACGUCAAUGUCAUCAAUGACAACAUUAGCGGUCUUGCCGCCUUUUCCAUGUUGACGCUUGUCAUAACGGUUAGGGCAGCUGGGUACCCAAUGAUAAGUAUCUCCGCAUACACGACAAACACCUUUCUUUUUGUCAGUCUUCUUCUUGAAGUUGGUGUGCUGCAAAGCCUUAUUAUUCUCAUCAAACUUUCCCUUACCAUCAAACUUUCCCUUAUUCUUGAAAUUGUGGGGCUCGAAGUUUUUCUUUUAUACCAGAUUGGCACUAGAUCCUCCCUCAAUAGCUCGAGCACGUGUCUUUUUCUCUCGCCUUUUCUUCCACAUCAAGAGUACCAAUGAGAUCCGGAACGGAAAACUCCUGCCUCUUAUGCUUCAGUAAUGUAGCAAAGUUCCUCCACGACGAAGGAAGCUUAGUGAUGAUGCCUCCGGCAACAAACUUGUCCGGUGGCGUACAAUUGAAGUGCUCAAGUUCUCUAGGAAAUUACUGUAUCUCGUGAGCUUGCUCAACCACAGAGUGCUCUUCACUCGUCGUGUAGUCAUAGAAUUGUUCCAUGAUGUACAGCUCAGUGCCAGCAUCCGAGACCCCAAACUUGGCCUCGAGUGCAUCCCACAUAUCUUUUCCAUUAUCAAUUGACGCAUAAGCAUCAACUAUGUUCUCACCAAGAACACUCAAGAGAGCAGCCUUAAACAGAGUAUCCAUUUUCUGAAAAGCUUGUGCCUGUUGUGCAUCAUAAUCUCCUUCAGGUUUGCCAAGAGUGGCAUCAUAGCAGCUCAUGGUUUGAAACCAUAGAACGGCUCUCACCCGCCACCUCUUAUAGUGGAUAUCCUCAAACGUAGGAGGUCUCAUGGUAGCAGUAAAACAACUUGGGGUAAAUUGCCUAUAAUAAGGUUUUUGGAUUGUUGGAAGUAUGAGCAAUUGACCAUAGGAUUUUGCAACCAGAAAAGGUAGUAAAUACAUGACAAACAUAAUAGAGAUGAAACAAGGCAGGUAAUAUAGAGAUGAGACAGCAAAAGGCAUGUGCACAUAUGAUCUAGAAGAGAACAUAUAUAGAGUCAUUCUAUAUAUGCAAGAAGGCAUCUGAAAGGAUGAGAAUAAACGGAACAUGUCUAGAAGUGAAACUAGAACAAGAAUUUAUGGCAUGAACUAAAAGAAAAACAACACGAGCACGCACUGAGUUGCAGCAGAAGUAGGGUUGGUGUUGGCGUUGUCGUUGGCCAUGUUACCGAAGAGGUGGUCGACGUCGGGGAAGAAGUCAUCGUCCGAGAAGUGGUCGUCGGUGUUCGUGAUGAAAGCCAGUAGUAGCGUUGAGCACUCCCCAAAAACCUUAUCGCCCUUCUCCCGUACAGAACUCAAAGAGAUGGAGUUUCGGAGGCCUACUGUCCAGACCUACGGUGCACGCCGCAAGCUGGGAUGAGGAAGAAUGUAGCAGUAGCAUAGAGAAUGGAACCGGUGGCGAGAGGAAGUUCUAAUGUGUAUCUCUGGAGAGGAGUGACCUCCCUUUUAUAGGCGCAAGGGAAGGAGGCGAGAGGCCAGCGAUGGGAGCCGAAGAGAAGGAGGGAUAUGAAAUGAACAAACAACAGCCAAAAGGUGCAGCGUUCGUGUUCGAUUUCCACUACAGCAAAAACUCGGCUCAUUGUCGCAACCCGCGUCGUGAUGAGGCGAGGCGGGCGGCGGAGGAGGAGGAGCGCGCGUGUAUGUCUCUCUUGUUCUCAAGCUCAUACAUGUGUGGAAAUAUCUUCCCUUAUAAGGAGGUCCAACUGCCACUAAACUAGAAAUGUGGGACUAAACUUUCCACCUCUUGCCUUGCACGAAUGGGCUACGUGGGCCUCUAGGAUUUAUUAGGAAUUUCUGAAAUUAUUGGGCUGGCCCAAAAUGGAUAAAAUUCCAGCAAUAAAACCCUCCACAACCCCUAACCCCCCCCAUUUAAAAAAAACUAGCGCAUGCGAGCUGAUGAUGCGUGGCUACAUUUUGGUCCUAGUUGGUGUUACCAACCGGGACUAACGGUCCUCCUGCCUGGGCGCCCCAUAUCGGCCAUGUGGAGAUCCUUUGGACCCGGUUCGUAAGCCAACCGGGACUAAAGGUUUCGGCCUUCGGUCUCGUUUGUUUUGUCCCAGAUGAAGAACCGGGACUAACGCCCCUCUGAAACCGGGACUAAAUCUAUGUUUUCUACUAGUGAGAGGGAGAAGCCGCACCAGGUUGGCGGUGUGUGUGUGAUGCCGGAGCACGGGAAGAGUGGAGCUACGCUAGGACUUGGAUGAACACAGAGCUGCAAUGAGACUAAGAAAUGAAGGAGUGAGAAAAAGAUUGGAUGAUAGCGAGAAGCAAGCAUGGAGUUAACAAGACCGUGGGGAGCGUCCGCGUGGUGCAGCUAGCCGAUGAGGCUGGGAUGCAAUGGAUGCGCGCCUCACUUCAUUGCGUCGGCCUAUCUUGCAGGUCAUUUCCUGAAGAUGUGAGUUGCAAAUACGUGGGCGAUACGAAGAUGAUACACUGAUGAUGAAAACUUUAUACCAGCCUUAAGUAUUGGAAUUACAAGAAUCGCGUGGUAACAUGCGGUGUGGAUACCCACCGCGCGUGGCUACAUCUCCACUCGCGAUUUAUGGCCACACACUUAAGUUAUCCUUAUGAUGAGGUUUCGAGAUCAACGAAUGCGCAUGGUCCACUUGUUUGUUAUUGUAUGUCCGACAUGAGGGGCAGCUGCCAGCGUACGUACCACCAACCAACAAAGAUAUUCACGUGCAGACAUAAAUACGGACCGUUUUAAUUUCCCAUGCGAUCCACGAGGGCACUAUAUAUACUCCUCCUAAGACUAACCACUAAGACAACGAAUCGAACUCCUGAUUCUUUUUUGUAGGGAGAAUUUUAUUUCUGCAUAUGGAUGGAUGUACUACCCAUGGACGUCUUUUGUGAUUGACGGAGGAUUGCGGAAUCAAUCGUCCCCACGACCACGAGGUCCCUAACCGAGACGACACAUCCAACAAUCGCAAGGGCCCGUGCACGUUCAAAUCGCGCGGCCUAAUGGCCCAUUUGUAGCCAAUAGAUAAAACUUUUGGUUUUCAUUAGCGAAAUGAAUGGACAGACACUAAGAUGGAUACGGGACGGGGUACGUGUGGUAGUGGCUAAGGGAACGGGCUCGUGGCACCGAUUCUCUGUGUAUUAUUGUUCUUUCAAAGAACAUGCUAAAUUUACGUGAUCGUGAGCCAACCACUUCAUCCCAUAAAAUCUUGUCCGUAAUAAAAAAAAUCUCAGUACAGACAUAGACAUUCAUACAUACGCGCCUAGUCAAGUACUCCCUUUGUUCCUAAAUAUUUCUAAAUAUAUGUCAUUUAAGAUACUUCACUAGGAGUCUAUAUACAAAACAAAAUGAGUGAAUUUACGUUCUAAAGUAUGUCUAUAUACAUUUGUAUGUAGUUCACUAGUGAAAUCUCUAGAAAAACGUAUUUAGAAACGGAGGGAGUAGUAAAAAAGAUUGCAGCCCUUGAGGCAAGGAUGGAUCAUGUUAAAUCUCCAUAAUAGAUUCAUCAUUGUACAUAUCUAUACUCAUCCCUAUAUAUAAAGACACGCAAGCACACAUGCUAUUCAUAUGAGCAUCUUGAAAAGAAUGAGACCCCACAUUAUCUCGAGAUUGAUGAGAACAUCACAAAUGCGUUCGUAGUCGAUGGAAAUGUCUCCUUCCAUUUAAUGAACAUCCCAAAAAGCCUCGAAAAAAGCUAGAAAUCUGAGCACCAAUGUCUAGGACUUGAACGCUCAUGACUUAGUUCCACCAUAAAUAACGAAACCGUUUAAGCAACGCUCACUUCGUGUAGGUAAUAAACCUUUUGUUGAUAUAAAGAGUGCAUAAACUACAAUGACACUCCUUCCAUUUUAUAUUUUUUGUCGUGGUUUUAGUUCAAAUUAAGAGCAUUGAUAUCUAAUCAAACACUCAUGUUUACAUGAAGAGACAACUCGUUUAUUCUGUUAAUCAUAUAUUCAUAUUUGCAUUAGAAAUACAAUCCAAAAAUGGUUUCUAAGAUUUAGUUUUGACCAACUUUUUGUCAAACUAUACAUGAGUUUUCUGGUUAUAAAAUUGAUAUACCAAUGAAAUGUAUUUUUAUACAACAACAACAACAACAAUAAAGCCUUUAAUCCCAAACAAGUUGGGAUAGGCUAGAGGUGAAACCCGCCAGAUCUUACGACCAACUCAUGGUUCUGGCACAUGGAUAGAAAGCUUCCACGCAUCCCUGUUCAUGCCUAGUUCUUUGGUGAUACUCCAUUCCUUCAGAUCUCUCUUUACAAACAUGUCAAGUUCGGUCUACGUCAGCCUCUUGACCUUAUCAACAUGCUUUAGUCGUCUGCUAUGCACUUGAGCUUUUAGAGGCCUCCGCUAGUAUGACGAAAAAGGCUUUCGUCCCGCUUUAUAGAUAAAACAUGAUCAACUUAUAACACUAAGAAGCCAACACACAACACACAACAUCACAACAGAACCCACACACCCGAGACAAGAUACACAGGUACCAGAGAACAACUACAACACCCCAUCCACCACCACAAAGACAAAAGAUAAACAAGAAGGAAUACUAUGGUGAUGAUGGAGCCCUCAAUGAAGUGAAGAUGUGAAGUUGCUGACCAAUGAACCGAGAGUGCCAAGGCGGUGUCUUCAGGAAGGUUACGGCACCGGAGUGCCGCCACCGCCCAAUCCAAAUAAUCUAGAUUUUCACUCGAAGCACGACGAAGGUCAAGAAGCAGCCACGACGAAUACUUCAAGAAGCUAACAACGUCCACGGACAUCGCCUCCGACAGUCUGGCCAACGCCAGACAGGGUGUAUACCCCGGCAAGAAUGCUUCACCUUUGACCACAAUGCAUCGAGAACGAUGUGAGCCGCAUCUCCAUCCCGGCCGUCGACCCUAGCCCCCAUGCUGCCCCACGGCCAUGGUAGCUAGCUCGUAUCGGAAUCACGGGUUCUGUCUGAGAACAGUGUCAUUCCCAAAAAAAUGUAUAUCAAAAAAUACAUACUUUUUUUUCUGCGAGGUAACCAAAAACAUACUUUCUCUUAACCAAAAAUACAUACAUACUUGAAGGAUCAAAUGUAUAUCAAAAAAUCUUGAUGGACCAAAAACAUACUUUUUUUCCUGUGAGGUAACCAAAAACAUACUUUCUCUUAAAAACAUUGAUGUCUCAUCAAGGGACUCACAAAACAGAAACUGAUCUCUUUUGCUAAGCGAUUAUCCAAUCACUUAAACUGUACAUGUUCUAAGAUGCUCUAGGAGAGAGUUUAUAUGAUGCGAGUUGUGUUUGCAGGUCAUAUUAUUAUCUACGGAUGACAUACACAUCCGAUGGUCCCUUACCACACCGGCAUCUCUACGCGAUCGAUCUCCACCAACCAAUUUCGGGAUUUGGGAAUUUUUAGGGUUUGUUAGUUGACAUUUUUAGUACCAACUAGCUAUAGAUAUCUUUAUCACCUAAUAAUAAAAAGGCUAUCGCUUCCGUCGGAAAACCCACCUCGGUGAUUUUAAAAAAAGUCCUUGAUGUUUUUUAAAAUUAACCAGCAAUCCAAUUGAUAAGUGAAGCUAAAUCGGUAUGUACGUACGUACGUGACCAGUUGCCGCUGCUUGAUCGAUAGUGGCAUAGAUCAGCAACCAGCCGGACAAUGCACGGGCCGAAGUACGAGCGUGCACAUCGAUCAGCGUCGGAAGCUACGCUGCGGGCGCGGCGUCUCGCCGUUGACGUCAGCUUGUACAUGCCGGCGCCGCACACCGAUCAAUGUGGCCCGUCGACAAGAUGAUGGUCGUCACCGUGAGGCCCGCGUACGCCGCGUUCCGAAAUGGCGAGAUCACGCCACCGUACUUCUGGUUCACGAUCGGCGCCGCCAUCGCGAAGAAGACGAGGAUGAACGUGCCGACGAACUCCGCGCCAAGCUGUACCAAUGUAAAUUCAUUUUUUUAUCUCUCCCUCUCUCCUUAAUCUUUACCUAAUAUAUAUCUAUACCUAAUAAUAAAGCGGCUAUUGCUUCCGUCAGAAAACCCAUCACGGUAUUUUUAUAAAAAACCUCUGUAAUUUUUGUUAUUCAACCCGCGCUCCAUCAUUUAUCUGCAACACAAAAGGAAAAAAAAUGAUUCGCUGCAAAAAUUAUACCCGUACGCAUCGCCUCCUCCCGUCGACCCUGGGCCACCCAGGCCUGUGCCCAGGCCGCCGCCACACCACUCGCCGCCGCGGCCGACCUCAGCCGCCACCGCUGCCGAUCUCAACCCACCCGCCUCCGGGGUUGUACCUCUCCCCGCUCACAACCCCCGUUGCGACGCUCGAGCGCAUCGCGUCGACCCUGAUCCACCCUUGGCCUGUGCCCAGGCCGCUGCCACACCACUCGCCGCCGCGGCCGACCUCAACCACCACUAUUGUCGAUCUCAACCCACCCUCCUCCGCGGUCGUACCUCUGCCCGCUUGCUGCCCCGUUUCGGCGCUCGAGCACAGCUUCUGGAUCAAAUCAACGCGACAACUACAGCGACUUGGGAUGAUGCGUCUGCUCGAUGCAGAACGGCGGUGGCACGCGGAUAAGGCGCGGCGGAGCGAAGUACUUGCAGGUGGAGGCGGGCCUCCAUGGCUCACACGGGGAACUCCGAGGUUAUGGCGUGGCAACGACGACUCCUUAUGGUCAGAUAGAGGCGCCUAACCCUUGCUUCCCUCAUCGCAUCCCCUCCUCCGGCAGGAACUCAUCAUCUGGUGAGAUCCUCUCUCCAUGCCUUCAACCGUGUACCAAGCACCGGCAAGAAAUUUUGUUUUGUGAGAAUUUGUUUGCUGAUGAAUGAAUGUAUUGAAUGUAACAUUGCAUUGUUGUAAAGAAAGAGAAUGGAACACCACCUUGAGUUUGUCAUCUGAUUCCACAUUCUCUACCCCGUGAGUGAAAUAAGAUAACAGUCCAUUGAUCAAUUCAUGUAGCCUCUUUGUUUUGCUUUGCUUGUCCCGUUUAAUUUCUCAUCAUGGUGAAAUUAACAAUGGACGGGUUGAUUUCUCAACAAAAUAGGAUAGGACUGGCUACAUUAGUUAGUUAGUUUAUUAUUUUAAUAAUCAAAAUGAUUAUAAAAAAAGUAGAAAUAUGUGGUAUUUUUUUCUCUCGUUGCAACGCACGAGCCCUUUUGCUAGUACGUGAAAAAAUGUGCACCGCAUCAUUCGGAUCGCGUUCCUUUGAUUUACUCCAUAGCAACUCCCCCACAGCUCCAACCCUGUAUGUACCUAACUUGCUAUAUAUACGUGCACCAGCUCUGCACAGGGACGGUCACACUCCAAUCAGGCACAGCACACAAAACAAGUCUCGUCAUAUCGAGAAACGGAGCUAGCUCGACCACGGGUGGUGUUCGGCAGCAGCUCUAGGCCGUCGUCCUCGGCCGGGUGGCGCCGAUGGCCACACACAUAAAUUAUCCUUAUGAUGAGGUUUCGAGAUCAACGAAUGCGCACGGUCCACUUGUUUGUUCUUGCAUGUCCGACAUGAGGGGCAGCUGUCAGCGUUCGUACCACCAACCAAGAGCGAUAUUCACGUGCAGACAUAAAUACGGAUCAUUUAAUUUUCCCAUGCGAUCCACGAGGGCACUAUAUAUACUCCUCCUGAGAGUAACCACUAAGAUAGCGAACGGAACUCCUGAUUCUUUUUUUUAGGAAGAAUUUUAUUUCUGUAUAUGGAUGGAUGUACUACCCAUGGACGUCUUUUGUGAUUGACGGAGGAUUGCAAAAUCAAUCGUCCCCACGACCACGAGGUCCCUAACCGGGACGACAAAUCCAACAAUCGCAAGGGCCCGCACACGUUCAAAUCGCACGGCUUAAUGGCCCAUUUCUAGCUAAUAGAUAAAAUUGUUGGUUUUCAUUGGCGAAAUGAAUGGACAGACAAUAAGAUGGAUAUGGGACGGGGUACGUGUGGUAGUGGCCAAGGGAACGUGCUCGUGGCGCCGAUUCUCUUUGCAUUAUUGUUCUUUCAAAGAAAAUGCUAAAUUUAGGUGACCGUGAGCCAACCACUUCAUCCCAUAAAAUCUUGUCCGUAAUAAAAAAAAUCUCAGUACAGACAUAGACAUUCAUACAUACGUGCCUAGUCAAGUACUCCCUUUGUUCGUAAAUAUUUCUAAAUAUAUGUCUUUUAAGAUAUUUCACUAGGAGUCUAUAUACAAAACAAAAUGAGUGAAUUUACGUUUUAAAAUAUGUCUAUAUACAUUCGUAUGUAGUUCACUAGUGGAACCUUUAGAAAAACAUAUUUAGGAACGGAGGGAGUAGUAAAAAAGAUUGCAACCCUUAAGGGGAGGAUGGAUCCUGUUAAAUCUCCGUAAUAGAUUCAUCAUUGUACAUAUCUAUACUCAUCCCUAUAUAUAAAGACAUGCAAGCACACAUGAUAUUCAUAUGAGCAUCUUGAAAAGAAUGAGACCCCACAUUAUCUCGAGAUUGAUGAAAGCACCACAAAUGCGUUCGUAGUCGAUGAAAAUGUCUCCUUCCAUUUAAUAAACACCCCAAAAAGCCUCGAAAAAAUCUAGAAAUCUGAACACCAAUGGCUAGGACUUGAACACUCAUGACUUAGUUCCACCAUAAAUAACGAAACCGUUUAAGCAACGCUCACUUCGUGUAGGUAAUAAACCUUUUGUUGAUGUAAAGAGUGCAUAAACUACAAUGGCACUCCCUCCGUUUUAUAUUUUUUGUCGUUGUUUUAGUUCAAAUUAAGAGCAUUGAUGUCUAAUCAAACACUCAUGUGUACAUGAAGAGACAACUCAUUUAUUCUGUAAAUCAUAUAUUCAUAUUUGCAUUUCGAGAAAUACAAUCCAAAAAUGUUUUCUGAGAUUUAGUUUUGACCAACUUUUUUCCAACUAUACAUGAGUUUUCUGGUUAUAAAAUUGAUAUACCCAUGAAAUGUGUUUUUAUACAACAACAACAACAACGACGACGACGACAACGACGAUGACAACAACAACAAGAAAGCCUUUAAUCCCAAACAAGUUGGGAUAGGCUAGAGGUGAAACCCGCCAGAUCUCACGACUAAUUUAUGGUUCUGGCACAUGGAUAGAAAGCUUCCACACAUCCCUGUCCAUGCCUAGUUCUUUGGUGAUGAAAGGACCACGAUGACGCCUAGAGGGGGGUGAAUAGGAUAUUUAAAAACUUCUUCGGAUUUGGCUUAAACCUAAUNNNNNNNNNNNNNNNNNNNNNNNNNNNNNNNNNNNNNNNNNNNNNNNNNNNNNNNNNNNNNNNNNNNNNNNNNNNNNNNNNNNNNNNNNNNNNNNNNNNNNNNNNNNNNNNNNNNNNNNNNNNNNNNNNNNNNNNNNNNNNNNNNNNNNNNNNNNNNNNNNNNNNNNNNNNNNNNNNNNNNNNNNNNNNNNNNNNNNNNNNNNNNNNNNNNNNNNNNNNNNNNNNNNNNNNNNNNNNNNNNNNNNNNNNNNNNNNNNNNNNNNNNNNNNNNNNNNNNNNNNNNNNNNNNNNNNNNNNNNNNNNNNNNNNNNNNNNNNNNNNNNNNNNNNNNNNNNNNNNNNNNNNNNNNNNNNNNNNNNNNNNNNNNNNNNNNNNNNNNNNNNNNNNNNNNNNNNNNNNNNNNNNNNNNNNNNNNNNNNNNNNNNNNNNNACACGACGAGUAGGUGAACGACACAAGAUACUAGAUCACACUAUAGCACACGAUAUAUCAAAAGCUACAAGUGUGAACGUGUGGAUAUAGAGGGUAUGCUUGAAUGAUUAAUCUUAUACAAGAAAUGGCCAACACAAUAUAAUGAGCACAAACAAUAUGCAAUGUAUGUAUGCUCAAGUAACACAAGUAAACCACAAGUGAGGAGUUAGGGUUAAGGAUAACCAAGGUCACUGAGACGAAGAUGUAUCCCGAUGUUCACUUCCUUGGAGGGAAGCUAGUCACCGUUAGAGAGGUGGAUGUUACCACGAAGGCACACCAAUGCCACGAGGGCUAACCCUAUUCUCCCUUUGAGAUAACACCACGAAGGCGUUUCUCAACCACUAGUGGUAAGCCUUUGAGGUGGCUUCCAAACCCUCACAAACUUUUCCGGGGGGUAAUCACACGGAUUGAUUCCUCUCCGAAGAACUCCUACCGCCUAGGAGUCUCCAACCUCCAAGAGUAACAAGAUCACGGGGAAUGCUCAAAACUUGCUCAAAUCUCAAAUAGCUUGGGUUGAGAGGAGGAGAGGGAGACGAUCUAUCUUUUGAUUGGAACAACUCUCAAGGGGGCUCAAAAAUGCUCUUGGGAUCUAAGAUUUGGUGUGAGAAAAUGUGUGUGAGGUAGAAGUGUGUUCUUAUGAGGAUAAGGCUGUGUUGGGCAACCCUNUUGGAGGGAAGCUAGUCACCGUUAGAGAGGUGGAUGUUACCACGAAGGCACACCAACGCCACGAAGGCUCACCCUAUUCUCCCUUUGAGAUAACACCACGAAGGCGUUUCUCAACCACUAGUGGUAAGCCUUUGAGGUGGCUUCCAAACCUCACAAACUUUUCCGGGGGUAAUCACACGGAUUGAUUCCUCUCCGAAGAACUCCUACCGCGUAGGAGUCUCCAACCUCCAAAAGUAACAAGAUCACGGGGAAUGCUCAAAACUUGCUCAAAUCUCAAAUAGCUUGGGUUGAGAGGAGAAGAGGGAGGCGAUCUAUCUUUUGAUUGGAACAACUCUCAAAGGGGAUCACAAAUGCUCUUGGGAUCUAAAAUUUGGUGUGAGCAAAUGUGUGUGAGGUAGAAAUGUGUUAUUGUGAAGAUAUGGAUGUGUUGGACCCCCUCUCACGAAGUGGGAGGGGGGUAUAUAUAGUGGGGAGACUAAAAUAACCGUUGGGGUCACUAAAGUCUGACAGUGGUCGGACGCACUACAAGGAAUAUGCUAAUACACGACGCUAUAUUUUCUUCGCUACAUCGUCACAGUUUUUAGUUUACGACGAUCUCACGACGAAAAACCAAGCGUCGAAAACGGAGCGUCACAAAUGAACACGAGCGACGUUUUGAUCAAAAUCGUCAUAACUUCUACGACGAUUCAUGGAUCGUCGUAACCUUUACGACGAUCCUAAAUCGUCGUUGACAAUCUAACCCAGUCCUACAUGGCAGUCCUACGUGGCAAAAUUACGACGAAAUCAAAACAUCAUAAUUGAAAUCAGCCCAACCCAUUUCAAUUGAUCACAUGGGCUGGUUUUAUUUUUUGGGCUUCUUUUUGGGCCUUAGCCCAUUUAUAGCCACUUUUAGUUUUUCUUUUUUGAAUUGUUUUUGGGCCCUCGCCUUUUAGUGUCCAAAUACAUUUGGUCCAGUUUCAGUUUUGGCCUUUUUUCAUUUUUGAAUUCAGCAACUUUUUUUUCAGAACUUGAUUUCAUUUCUAUUUAUUGGGCCUUUUCAACCAAUUAUUUGUCCAAUAUUAAAUGCAGCACUAUUUCAUGUUCAAAUCAAGAAAACUCCAAGUCGAAUUAAAAUCAUCAUAUAACAUCACAUAAUACAUCUCCAGGUUUACAUAAUUCAAUAACUCAUCUAAUUCACAGUUGACAAUCAGAUACCAGUUUUCACAACUGAAGCAUCAACCCAAAAGAAUCUCAAAAGAAAAUACAGAAAUUAGCACUCGCUGUGAAGAAGUCAUCCUGCUCUUGCUUCCCCACUCCUAGUUUUGCAUCACUGAUACCAGCUUUUAUGGGCUCUAGUAUACCUGCAUACAAACAAAGUAAUGUAUUUUUGAGGCGCAGGAACUAGAUGGCAAUGCUAAAUUGUAAAACGUCUUUCGAAGAACAAAAUAUCAUCUCAGGUGUAACAAUAACAGUGAGUAGCUAGAUGAGGUGCAAGCUAGCUGAAACACCAUUCGUUAAGUACCAAAACUACUCCCUUGGAUAAUAAGUGACCACCAGGAACUACCCAUACAUAUAUUCAGCAAGUUUGCAUCAGGUAGGCUAGUGUUAGCUAGCAUGGUAAGCAGAGAAACGAGCAAACUUUAAAAACAAAUAGUGGCAUGAUGAUUAUGAAAGGACUCUAGCAGCCUAACCAGACAGCCAUGGAACGAUGGCCAUAGACCCACACCAUGACCGUGGCUCGAAGGCCAUGAGGAUCAUCAGAGCAACCGGGGACAGGAGGCACGGAGCAGAGGAGGGAGAGGAGCUCACCGUGCCGAUGCCAAACAACGUCACCGGCAGCAACGGGGCAGUCCAAUGGAAGACGUCGAAGCUGAGCCUACCUCCAUGCACCUUGCCUGUAAGAGAUGGUAAAGUAGUUUCAGAUAUCACAUUAUUGAAUUGCUUGCAGUGUGACAUGAGCUAGCCAAAAGUAUUCAAGGGACUAAAAAAAUUAGAAGUGUAGAAUCAUAUAUGCCCCUAGCAUGCAUCUCUCAAAUAGUUAAUUAAUCAGACUUGCACUGUUGUACUAACAAGCAUGAGCGUUUAAUUUGUACUCAAAACUGAACCUAGAGGAUAUAUAUGAUAAAUCUCACUCACAGCUAACCAAAUCAACAACUAGAAAUUGGUGGUGUGCUAUUUAGAAGGUCAACAAUGAAGACAUGUUUGUGUCUUUCAAAAGAAACAUGUUUGUGGUGUUUUUUCCAACAAAAUAUAAUUAAGCGGUCCAAGUAAAUAUACUGAAGCAAUAAUUAUCUGAAAAAUGAUGUUUUCAUGCUGCUCUUAGCCUCAUUGUACAAAAAACAAAUGUGACUGAGAGAAGUAGGAGCAGUAGGCUGUGAUCCUAUAUGAAUGAUACUGAGAACAUUUGAGAGAAGUAGGACACCAGCAGCAGAAGGAAAAUCUAAAGUAGGACACCAACAGAAGCAGGAAAAUCAUGGGAAAAUAGACUGAGAGAAGUAGGGCACGAGCAGCAGCAGGAAAAUCUGAAUUUAUACUGAGAAAAUUUAUUUACAAGGAUAUGAAUAGGUGACUACAACCCCACACGUGUCACGCCCUUUGCCCCACAAAAGCAUCUCCGGCGAACUACUAGAGAAGCAAACGUGGUUGGAUUAUUUUGUGCUUUGUUGGAGAAGAGAUAAAAUUUACUUCAGAUAUACUACUGAUCGCUACCUUCAAUUUUCUUGUCUGCACUUUCUGGCCUUGUACCGAAUUGCAUAGAGGUAUCAUUUGAAUUAUGACAGGAACUGUUCUAAGUUCUGACCUAGCUUUGAAACAACCUCUUGUGUUGCUGCGCAUAAUUGAGUAGUAGAUAACUAAAGAUAACAAGAAAAAGUAAACAAGCAUGCCAAAACAAAACCCAUGUGUUUCGGAGCUCUAAUCAUGUUAUACUAAAGGGCUAGUGUUUACAUUCUGUUUUGCUGCAUUUUUAGGUUGAUGCUAUGCUUCAGAAAUUAGAGAAAGAAUUUUUAGGUUGAUGCGGCAAGGCCCCUCUGAUCGUUUGAAGUGGAGAAGAACGUGGCCAUCCGAUCCUCUUCGGAUGCAAAUGCAGUCUAUCAUCAGAAGGGUACCACUAUCGACGCUUGGGAAGGUUCAAGUUCUGUCUUGAGUGUGUCGAACUGAAGAAAUAGAGGAUUGGAAACUGUUAGUAAAUCCUGCCUACUAUUGUCAGAAAACGAUUUCAUCUUGCUCCUAAAUUCAAAUCACAGUAGCAAAUAGCAUAAUUAGUCACGGCGUGCAAGUGGAACUGUACUGAAUUAGGCAGAAGUGUGAUAUGAGUGGACUAGGCAAUAAUAACUGCAAAUUCAUUCAGAAAAUUACAAGAGAAAAGUGGAAGAAUUCUACUGCAAGUGAAGUAAAUCAAAAGGAAGGAAUGGAUCCAACAGAAUUGAAAGCAUGCAUCUACCUGGGAGAACAAAGUUCAGAUCACCGUACUUCCUUAACACACAAUCCCUCAGUCUUCUUUCUAAGGUACCACGUGCAUACAAAAAGAAACAGAAGCAUUUCCACUCAGCUGAUGAAACCAGCAUAUAAUUUCAGGAAAACACCAGUCCAAAUCAGUAGUACCUAUCAAGACUAAAAAAGAGCCUAACUGGACUAGACUUGACUUGAGAGAAACUAAGAGGAGGCAAAAAUAUUAGUCACCAUACUACCACUUAGCAAUUCAGAGACCGAACUUGCCGAGAAUCAGCUAAAACACGAAGCAGUUUUUCUAGUUGGUAUGAUGUUGUGCUGCUGCACCAGCCAAGGCGCCAACCACAAGUAGGUAAGCAGGAACAGAGAGCUCAACAAGAAAGAAAAGAAGCCACAACCACACCAAGAAUCCACACAGAAACACUAAAAGUCACAGUAGCACUAUCAUCAUUAUUUUCUGAUGGGCGCCACAGCCUGCAUGUAUUUGGCUAUCUGCACAUGAUAAACCAUCUAAACUGCAUCAAGAUUCAUGUUGUUGAUGUUGUUUGUUUUGUUGCACUGUAAUCGCAACUAACACUGGAGUAUUUGAAUUAAUUAUUUGAUUUUGGUUGGUAGCAUAAUCUGGAAUACAGUAGUUAAAGUCCACAAACAUGUUCUGAUACACAGCAAACUUCUAAAAGGAAAAUAAACCUUUUUUAAGCAUGAAAAGAAACAAUUAAAGUUAAAGAGAACCAGGAGAAACGCGGUGAGAUGUUUGCAUAUGACACAUUUCACAAAAGAUAUGCAGAUUCAAAGAAUAAUCUCCCAUACUAGAUCCACCAAAUUCACUUUUUACUUUUGAGUAGGAAGAAAUAAAACUGUGUCGCGCCUAGUUUUUCCUAACGCAACAUCAACCAUUCGAUUCAGAGCCAAAAUAACAACUAGGUCCUUGGCAUUUAUCCUAGAUUUCCAAAUAAUACCUCACUAGUUCCAUUCUAAAUGCUUGAUGACAGACAAACACGCAUAUCAUUGUUAAAUCAAGGCAGACGAGAUUAAUCCAGGUUAAUAAUAGAUGACCAUGUUACAAGCCAAUAAGAGCCAGAAGCACCCUACUAUUGACCAACCUGUAGUUAACUGGCGACGAGCGGCACAACCUCAAUCAAUGCUAUCUCCAGCCCGACCUCCAACAUCUGCAGCUAUGGGCUCUUGAGCUCGCAGCGCCUCCACGCCUCGUUCCACCAUCUCCUCAGCACUUGCAAACAUUCAGUUGGAAGAUAGUUGUUAGCACAAUUUCUGCAUUCGCUAGUAAGAAAAAGGCAUCAUGCUACUUUGGCUAGUCUAUUACAAGGCAUCAACUAAGCAACGCGUAAAGAACUGUAAGUAUCUACAUCAAAGACACAGCUAGUGGUUUUACACGUUUAUAUCAUGUUAACGUGGAGUUAUAGCCAGAGCCGGUGGGGUCAAAGAUGUGCAUCGCUCUGUCACAACAAAUUAAACUGCUGCUGCAAACAUGCACAUGGAAAUCAGAAACAAGCCGUGAAAACAAUUCCUGGCCCCAAUUUUCUUUCGCAUUCACUCGUAGAAUCAUCCCUUCUAACUAAUCCAUCCACUUACACAGCAGAAGCAAUUCACCAUGCACCACUACGUGUAUAACUGCACGGCGAUAAAAAAGCUACCUUUCCAUGGUGUAGGGGCCCUCGGGGAGGCGCCUCCCCUGCCGGAGGCAGUCGAGGAACCAGCAGUGGCUGACGAUGCGGACCCGGAGCCGCCUCGCGAUGUCGUACUUCUUCCCCUCGAGCCUCCAGCAAACCUAAUCGCGGCUCAAACAAGGCAACGCGAAUCAGCGGGUGCGGCGAAGACCGGGGUCGACGACGGGCGCGAAGAGAUUACCACGUGGGUUAUGGAUCUGCUCAUGGAACCGACGUAGCUGGCGCCGGCCUCCGAGAUGAGCUUCACGAGCCUGUGCCGAUCGUUGCCGUGGUAGCCGCUCACCGUCGCUAUCACCUUGUCCAUCCCCGCCGCCGGCAUGGACCCGCCGCGGGCGCGGGAGACUCCGGGGGCGGGGAGGUCGGCCCGCGCGGCGGAGACGGCGGUCGGGAGGCUGGAGGCGGCGGCGGCUAGGGCCGAGAUCGGGGGUGGGGAAUGGGGAAGGAAUGCUCCGAUUUUGAUCCGCCGGUGGCGUAAUUUCACAACUUGAUUCUGAUUUCCAUGCGCGGUGUUGAUGCGCAGCUCCCUCACCAUCGCAGUCGGCCGCCCCUGGGCAGGGGGGGUUCGUCGGGAGAAGGUGGACUCGGGAGGUGGAUCUCCGGCCAGUGAGAAGAGGGAGGUGGCACCGGCAACCGCCACUGGUGUUGGGGUCGCUCGCCAGCGGGGCUUGUUCCAUCCAUGAGAGGUGGGUGGGGUGGCGGCGGUCGGUGGGAGAUGGAGGCGGGGUGGAUCGAAUUUGGAGAGACGAGACGAUGGGAGGGGUGGAUCGGUCUGGGUGGGACGAGGGUAGGGUUUGCGCGGUUUUUCCCCCCGCAGCGUUUGGAUUCAUUGAGAGACGUUCGAUCUGUUGGCUUUAACGGCUCAGAUCAGCUAAAGUGGGGCUGACUGCCGUGUCACGUCAUUGAUCCGAGGAAAGGAGGUUUUAGCCAAUAGGAAAUCAGCAAACAAAAUUGUGUUUGUUUACCUAUUACUUUUGAUAAAAUAAACAUGUUAAUAUUUAGCAAAUUUCUCAAAUAUUUUUUCACACCUUCUAAAAAUGAUGAACCAAUACCAUGUCCAAUUUCAUAUUCUUUAGACCAUAGCACAUCCCACCAAUCAGAAUUAAGCUUAUAUAAAAUUUUUGUUGUUUGUUUGUUUCUCUUAUAUUUUAUCCUCUUAUAGUUUGUUACAAUGACCCAAUAUUGUCCACAUGUGUGUAUGUUGGUAUGACAAACAACGUUGUCAAAGAGAUUUUACAUUUUGUUUGCACAAAAAAAUCAUUUUCUAUUUUCGAAGUGCCAGAAAAUAGGUUUUUUGUAAAGAACCUACCAAAUCUUUGUUGUAAAAAUGUAGCAACUCAUUUUAAAAAUAUUAGACAAUAUAUUAUGUAUAAUAUAAAAUAUUAUGACAGACCAGAAACCAACCCAUUAGCAAGCAUGGAGGAUAAAUUACCAGCCCAAUAUAAAAGUAAGAUGAAAAAAUAGCCCAACAAAAAAGUGGUAUAAAAAACAGUUCAAUACAUGGAUGAGGUGGAAUAUAAUGGACCCACGAGUGACAUGUCAACAUAGUUAGAACAUGUUACGACAUUUUUAUAAUCGUCGUAAAAGUUAUGACGAUCUCAUCUUAUGUGGUUACGACGUUUUUGACUCACAUCGUCGUAAUUUAUAUGUAGAUUUGAUCCCCUCAAACGGUUUACGACAAUCUCGGAUGAAUUCGUCAUAGAUUUAUGACGAAUUCAUCAACGACGUCUUAAAAACAUCAUGUAUGAGCAUACUUCUUGUAGUGACGUCCGACGGUUUCCGGACGUCCGGACGGCCCCGGAUGUCCGAGAGUACGGCUCUGUUCAAGGGCACCGGAUUUCCAAAAGUGGUCGGACGUCCGGCCCUCGGACGACAGGGAGAGGCCGGAAGUCCGAGUUAUCUGACUCUGGAUUUCUCUGGUGCAAGGUUCCGAUUUUCCGAAGUGGUCGGGCGUCCGGUCCUCGGAUAGAGGGAGCCGGAUGUCCGAGACUUUGGCUCUGGUAUAGGGUUCCGUAUUUCCGAACUGGUCGGGCGUCCGGCCCUCGGACGUCCGAAGGGGGGCGGAUGUCCGAGGCUUUGGUUCUCUUUUGGGAUCAAAGCAGAGCAGUGGAGAUGUGGCAUGAGCAGAGAAGUAGAGAUGUAGUUUGAGCAAAUUUAUCGCAAUACCCAGUGAUCCCCUCUUAAUAGUGCGGGAUCCCUAAAGACUCAAGAAACAUAAAAAAAAGGGUACCGAUGAUCUAUACUUGCGUGUAUACUUUUAUUCGCUGAUCAUCACUCCGCACCAUUAACGUCAAAGGAACUGAUACCUUUGAGUUAUCCCUUUCACUUGAGCUUGGUGUUGUUGUUCGUUCUUGACUCAAGAUGAANNNNNNNNNNNNNNNNNNNNNNNNNNNNNNNNNNNNNNNNNNNNNNNNNNNNNNNNNNNNNNNNNNNNNNNNNNNNNNNNNNNNNNNNNNNNNNNNNNNNNNNNNNNNNNNNNNNNNNNNNNNNNNNNNNNNNNNNNNNNNNNNNNNNNNNNNNNNNNNNNNNNNNNNNNNNNNNNNNNNNNNNNNNNNNNNNNNNNNNNNNNNNNNNNNNNNNNNNNNNNNNNNNNNNNNNNNNNNNNNNNNNNNNNNNNNNNNNNNNNNNNNNNNNNNNNNNNNNNNNNNNNNNNNNNNNNNNNNNNNNNNNNNNNNNNNNNNNNNNNNNNNNNNNNNNNNNNNNNNNNNNNNNNNNNNNNNNNNNNNNNNNNNNNNNNNNNNNNNNNNNNNNNNNNNNNNNNNNNNNNNNNNNNNNNNNNNNNNNNNNNNNNNNNNNNNNAUAUGAUCAUUAACAACAGCUUAAAGGGGAUUAGUGAUUAGUUAUCUAUAUGUGUGUUGUCAGCAUAUAGAUAAUUCAUAGCAUAUCAUAUGAAUCAAAGCAUAUCAUAUGAAACAAUAAUUCAUAGCAUAUCAUAUGAAUCAAAGCAUAUCAUAUGAAUCAAUAGGAUAGCAUAAAACUCAUCAUCAUAUGACACAACGAUAAUAUCAUGAUAUCUCAUCACCACAUGAUAGUUUAACAAUACAUCAUCCAUAAGUGAUGGCAUAGCACAUCAUCCAUAAGUAUCGUUACGUGAUGACACAUCAUUAAGUUCGACAUACUACAUCAUACCAUACAUUAUGAGAGAAACAAAAAUCGAAACUAAGAUAAGAUAAUAUCCUCCCCCUUUGGCAUCAAGGACCAAAAAGGAAGGAACCCGACAAUGCUACCACAUACUCAAAUAUCACCCUCAUCAACAUCAUCAUCAUCAAGCAGGCCACUGCCACCAGCCUUAUGAAGGAAGUCAGCCCACUCAGGGCCAGAUGAGAAGCCAAAGUCAGAAGGAGGAGCAGCAGGAAGAUCCUCAUCAUCACUCACAUCAAGAGCGCCCGAGUAUCUCAGACGAGCCUUGAGGGCAUUCUUGGAGGAGACGAGGCAAAAAACCACAUCAUGAGUUUGACCGCACUGGAAAGAGAAAGCCUUCAUCAUGGCAGAAUGUGCCUUGCCAAUGAAUUUGGCAAAGCGACCGAGAGGAGCUGAGCUGGAUGAAGGGGUUGCUGACCGGGAAGCAGUGCGGCGAGUGGAGGUGCAUGAGGUUUUCUUAGGAGCAUAGUCAUCCGCCAUGUGAUUGGGAAUGGCCCACUUGUGAUGCGUGUGAGUGGGAGCAACAGUGAAUUCAGCAACAUGGUGAAUAAAGGCCUAGAUGAAGGGGGCAUGAGGGAAGGCUCGCUUGUAUUGAAGACUAGCGAGCCGAAUCUCAUGCCAGAGAAAGUGAGGCACAUUAAUCUUGCGCUUGGGGAAAUCGUGUAAAUGUGACAUGAUAUCAAUACAGUAGCCACUGCAGGUUCCCCUGUCACCCAUCUUGGGAUAGAUGGUGCGGAUAAGACAUUGAAAUAUGAUAAAGAAGGGAGAGCGCCAGAUGGAUACUUGGUUAAGAUCCUUCAUCCGUUCGUCUGCAUCAAGUUCACGAAGUGGUUUGAGGAGAGAGCCACAUGCCUCAAUGGGCUUAGGUGCAUGGUUAGGAUCACUCUUAUGGAUUUUGGUGCCGGAGUCUGGGAAACCGAGUGCGGCAACAAACUCAGCAUAAGAGGCUGUGAACUCAACAUCAGAAGUCAUCCAGCUAACAGUGUUGUUUGAGCCAAAGAAACACGUGGCAUAAAAUUGAUGAAUAGCGGCACUGUUAAAAUCGCACCGAAAAGCAAAGGGGGCAGCGAGCCCCGAUGACUCAAUGAGCUCAAUGGCACCCGGGUAUUUUGAUGGGUGAGUGCGAAUAUGCUCAAGAUCAAUAUAAUGAUGUACUGGGAGAUCCUUAGGAACGAUGACAGUAGAAAAGAUGUCCGCUUGGACGUGUGUGUGGAAAUGUGAGUCCAUAGAGUCACGUUUAACAGAAAAUUGGUUAACAUCGCGGCGGAAUGUAAAGUAGGAAGACUUAGGAACCUUGGUGAUGUCCUUGACUUCACGACCUAAAGCAGGAGAAGGUUCAAGGUAGAUGCGACGAGCAUCACCUUCGGGCUGUUCGGGAAGAGGCGAGGGCAUGUAAGAUGGCUUGCGAGAGCCCGUCUUCGGAAGAUUCUUCCACACAGCUACAAAUUCCGUCCGUUCUUGAACUUCAAGUUCGUCCUCAAAGUCUGAGCCUUCCGAGGGAGACGAGCGAACUGAGCGAACCGGACGCCGGGCGACCCGUUUAACGAGACGGCGGUAUUCGUCCGAGCCAUCCGACCCCGUACCAUGAGUGGCACGAGCGGAUGAACCGGCAGCGGGCUUGCGUGUUGAGUGCUUGAUCCGAGGCAUGGCGGAAGAUCCUGGCUGCGAGGAACGUCAGGAGGUGGAUCCGGCCAGGGUGGUGACCGGAGGGAGACGAAUCCGGUGAAGAACGGCCCACCAGCAGUGAGGAAGGGCCAGGGGAUGGCGCGGCGGCGGCUGGGGCGAAAUAGGGGAGGAGGAGGUGCGUGGUGGUUAGGGCAAAGCCCAGACCCGCGCCCUCCAGCUUCUAUUUAUAGAGGAUCCCCGAUGUGUCGGACGACCGACGGGCGCCGGACAUCCGGAAGCUGUCAACGAUCGGACGACCGAGGAUGGUCGGACGUCCGGACAGGAACAGGCGUCGGACGAACGAGCCGUGCCGAACGUCCGAGAGGGAGGCAGACAGGGCUGAACAUGAUGGUGAGAUGGUUCAAGUGAAUAGAGCAAAGGUAACAUCCAACAGUAUUUCAUAUAGUGACUAUACCUUCCCAACGCUCGAACAAUGGAGUGUGUGGUGGGUUUAACCACCAAGUUCGAGUGCUACCUCGAGACAGGGACACUUAAGCAUUUUCUGUCUUGCUCAUGAUGGUGAGGUGAUAAGGAGUAUUCUCGCAUGUGUAGCAACCAAGGGCCUCUCAACUAACAUAUUUUGGACAUGGUAUGAUGUAAAUCUUCUAACUCGAUUACUAUGAUAAGUGUGGGUCCAAAAUACGGUCAAACGCAUGAGUGCAUAGGAUCAUGCACAAGUUAUCCUAUUAUAAGAGCAAGGCACAUGACACAAGGGCCAUGACACAAAAUUUUCUCAUUCAUAUGACCAUGGAGUGCUAAGAGAACACCAACACUAAGCAUUUCAUUAGUGUGAUUGACAAGGACAUGCAGGAAAUUACAAAGUGGAAAAACUAUUAUGUUCAUGCAAUGAUGCAACCUACACAGGGUUGACUCUAACGUUAUACAUGCAUGAAGUAAAUACUUGUUACCGGAAAAGCAUUGGUAUGGCGUAGAAGUAGCCGAGUCCUGUCUUGACUCUAAUUUCUUCGUGACCAGCACCAUCUUCUUCUGAGAAUAAGUCAAGAUAGCAAUGCUUCUCCAAAGUACCUAAACCACCAUUUAAGCACAAUAUGGUCCCCAAACUUAUUGGGUCCGAAGUAGUUAGUCCAACUACAAUAUAUAUAGGGUAAGAUCACUCAAUUAUGUGCAUACAGAUAUAAGUUUUACUUUCAAGCACACCUUAACCUUUUAAAGGAUACGUCUGAUUUACCAUAUACAUAUAUCGGAUCAAAGAUACGAUAGACACGGCAUGUGCAUCUACACAUAGUAGAUAUGCCUACACAAGCCUAUCAAAAUCCAAGGAUAUAUAAUUUGGAUAAAUGAACACAUAAUUGUCAAUUACAGAACAUUCAUGUCGUCCAAAAAGGAUCAGGGUGACAAAUCAACAUAUGAUAGCACCCCAAGUUCAACACAUGAACCGGUCAAAGUAUCAAACCAUGUAAGGUAUGCAUUUUGCACAACCUUACAUGCAUGUCUCACCCCAUUAGAUGUAUAAGUGUAGGUAAUAUGAUUAUAACUCCCACAACAUUAUGAAAUAAAUAGUACGAGCUCAAAGACAUGCAUGGGAGAUUACCGGGAGACACAUGAAUUUCUCGGCAAGUUAUGUAGGUCAAAUGAAGACAAAGCCGAAAUAGAAUGACCAUGAAAAACACUACCAAGCCAGAGAUACCAUGUGUGAGAGAACACAAUGGUAUUUAGAAUUAUCAGUGGUGGUAGAUUCCAAAUGAGCACAAAGAUCGUUUUAUACUCACACAAGUGUGGUAUGGGAGUUUAACCAUAAGCAUAAUGUUUAGAUGUCGUACGUUAACAUCCCAAUUAGUUAGAUCAUAGUGUAGAGAAAUAAUUCGAAAGGCAUGCAUCAACUAUGCCCUUCUUUUAAGUACGAUCUAGCGGCUAAGCCAUGAGUAUUGGUGUAGUAGAACGUCAUACUCACGCACAUCUAAGGGAUUUAGACACCAACAGGGUUAUUAUGCGAAUUAAGACAUGUGGAGCAUGACACGCCACACAGUUAUAGAAUAACCCCAUGUGGUAGAUUCUGAGUGGCAUACAUCGGAUGUUUAUCUUACCAGGGGAUGUGACGUGCACAAAGCAUAUCACACUCCCUUAAUGUGAUAAUCCAUGUAUUUAUAAUACAAGGCAAUCAAUCAUCCAACUAAGCUGAUAAGUGGAUGCCAAUUUGAACUUCGGAUGGCUUUGACAUCCAACGAAAUGAUUGGAUAACCUUGCACCGUGAAUACUAGAUGGAGUCCAAUACAUAUAUACACAUUUUGGGUUAGUGAUGUGCGUAGAGCAGAACACUGCCCCUUAAUGUGAUGAGCUAUUAACGUCUCAAAAGACCCACACAACGGUGCAACUAGGAUGCAAGUAAUGAUCAGGACUACACACAACUAUAUGACAUACAUAACGACCUACACAUGAUAGAUAACACAUAACAAUCAUACUAGUAGGCGCAACAUGUCAAAGUACAUGCUAGGUACCAAACCUUGACAUGAGAAGGAGUGGGGCACGCAACUUUCAAUGUAAACAAUGUAAGUACAAGUUACCGCAAAGAGGCACACUGGAUAUGGGAUAUGGGCUUGAUAAUCCAAAUGACUUGGCUUGAGAUAAUACAAAUGAUGGAGAGUCCUCAAAUCUUCAUUGUGUAUCCAAGUCUCCAAUGUCCUCCAAAGUCACCUAUUGAUCAAGUUUGAGCUUGUUGGUCCCCAACUACGUUGGGUCCUAAGAGGUUAGUCACAGUAGGCUUGGCAACCCAAAUGGUUCUUUUCUUGACACCAUUUUGAGUACCAACAAACUUGGCAAACACAUUGCCAACCUUAUCCUUCCCAAGGGAAUAGAUAUCAUCAAUAGUGAUUGGGUUGGAUAAGUUACCUCUCGUGCAAGACGAAGCGACGUGACCCUUCUCACGACAUAAGUAGCAACACCUACCCUUUGCUUUCUUCCGAGUUGAUUUCUCACCUCGGGGAGUGUUGGCUUGGGUCUUAUUGGGAAGAGGCCUUCCUUCAACUUGUAGCUGAGUAUGUGAUUGAGUUUGUGGCCGCUUCCCUUGUUGCUUGUGACUUUGAGACUUCGUCUUCAGAGGGCAAGAUCUAACAUGGUGCCCUUUAACUUUGCACUUGAAGCAAAUGAUUUUGGCCGAAUUCUUGACUUGUUCUAGGCCCCUCUUGUUCUUGUUUGAGUUUACUCCAACAUCAUUUUUGUCAUUCGGGGAUGUUUGUUCACAUAGGACGUUGUUGAGUGUGGACAUCCCUUCAUGACACUGUUCCAAGUCUUUCUUCAAAGAAGUGACUUGGGCCUUGAGCUCUUCGAUUUCCUCUGCAUGGUUAGUAUCAACGCAAGUACUAGAGGAAGUGUAAGCUUCAAUGUUAGAGCAACAAGGCAAGGAAAGUAAUUCAUCACACGAGGUAGCAACAUUAUGAGUAGACGAAUUACGAGGACUAGCACAUGGAAAUAUAGUAGUUUGACUAGAAGUAGUGCCAUUGUUCAUAUGAGGCUCACUUGAUGUUACCUUGGUGAUGAUAGCCUCAUGAGCUAACUUUUGCACAUUAUGGGAUGUUAGAAGAUCGGCAUGAGAGCUUGUGAGCAUUACAUGGUUUUCUUCUAACUUCCCAUAAUUGCUAGUUAGUAAAUCAAGUUGAGCACGUAGCUCAAUAUUCUCCUUCAAUGUUGAUACUUCAAAUGAGGUAGAGUUAGAUGUACAAGUAUCAUCAACAAUAUGAGAGCAGUAAGUAGCAAAUAGAGACUUCUCAUGAGUAGAUUGAAGCUCCUCAUAGAUCUUAGAGGUUUUGAUGAGCUCUCCCUUGACAUUAUUGCAUUCAAGGAGAAGGACCUCAAAAUCAUUUUUAAGUUUAUCAUGAGCAACUUCAAUCUCUCCUUUUGAAGAUCUUAAGUCUCUACAUGCUUGAUGACUCUUAUCAAGUUCAUGUUCAAGUUGUUCACUUUUAGCUUGUUCAUGAUUAAGUGAAUCAUUACAAUUUUCCAAGUAAGCAAGAACAUCUUGGAAUCUUUGAAGAGCGUUAUUUUUAGCUUUAUGAAGAAUUUUACUGAUCACAUAGAUAUUUUCAGUCAAGUCAUCAUCAUCAUCCUCAUCGCAAAUAUCAUCGUUAUUGCACAGGGAAGAUGAUACCUCAUUAUUACCUCUUGCCAUGAGGCACAUGUGAACUCGAGGAGUUGAUGAUGAUUCUUUUGGUGAAUCAGAUUCUUCAUUAGUCAAAAGUACUUCAUAUUUCUUGAUUUCCCCUAAAUUAUUAGUCUUAGAGCAACUAGGGAGAAACAAGAUAUUUUGAUCAAGAGGACACGGGAAAGCAGGCAUAUCACCAGAGACAUUUGUCGAGCGAUCUUUAGGUGAAAUGCAUGACCUAUCAGCACAAUAAUUUACACUAUGUGUGGUGCUAGAUAUGCUCGUGUCCAUAGAGGCUAUGACAUUUUCAUCAACAUAUAUUUCUUCACUCACCAUGUCAUUACCUUGUGAGAUUGAAGAUGCUGAGGUGUGCAAGCAAUCGGAUAUGGAAGUAGUGGUGGACUCUUUAUGAUCGAAAAGAGUGAAGAUCUCAUGCACCAACUCCUUCAUCAUAAUAUUGUCUUCAUCAAGAUUGGACCCACCAUAUAUAUCUUCAAGUUUAGUCCAAACUUCAUGAGCUGACUUGCAAGUCGAGAUAGACUUAAACACUUCAGGACUUAUGGUUCGAUGAAUGGCAAGAAAAGCCUCACAAUCAAGAUACAUUUAUUUAGUAGAUGAAGAUACAUCAUCCUUUUUGUCGGCAAUCCCUACAAGAACAAUUCGUAAAGUAUUUGGGCCCAUGGCCCGAAAGUGAUGAAGCAUACGAAUUCUCCAUAGGGUAUAAUUUGUGCCAUCAAAGUCAAAGGUGUCAUUGUGCACUAAUCCAAUAGUCGACAUCGAUGCUCUCUAGGUCGUGAAACCUAAUUAAAGAGAGACCUUGCUCUGAUACCAAUUGAAAGGACCACGAUGACACAUAGAGGGGGGUGAAUAGGCUAUUUAAAAACUUCUUCGAAUUUGGCUUAAACCUAAUGCGGAAAUAAACUAAGAGGAUACUUUUCAAGCACAAAUCCUAAAUGCAAUAGGCACCGCAACGUGCACCAACAACACGAUCUACCAAGAUGGACACAACACGGUUACUAACAAGCACAAGUAAGUUACACAAACUUACUUGAGCUAUAUCACACGACGAGUAGGUGAAUGACACAAGAUACUAGAUCACACUAUAGCACACGAUAUAUCAAAAGCUGCAAGUGUGAACGUGUGGAUAUAGAGGGUAUGCUUGAACGAUUAAUCUUGUACAAAGAAAUAGCCAACACAAUAUAAUGAGCACAAACAAUAUGAAAUGUAUGUAUGCUCAAGUAACACAAGUAAACCACAAUUAAGGAGUUAGGGUUAGGGAUAACCAAGGUCACUGAGACAAAGAUGUAUCCCGAUGUUCACUUCCUUGGAGGGAAGCUAGUCAUCGUUAGAGAGGUGGAUGUUACCACGAAGGCACACCAACGCCACGAAGGCUCACCCUAUUCUCCCUUUAAGAUAACACCACGAAGGUGUUUCUCAACCACUAGUGGUAAGCCUUUGAGGUGGCUUCCAAACCCUCACAAACUUUUCCGGGGGUAAUCACACGGAUUGAUUCCUCUCCGAAGAACUCCUACCGCGUAGGAGUCUCCAACCUCCAAGAGUAACAAGAUCACGGGGAAUGCUCAAAACUUGCUCAAAUCUCAAAUAUCUUGGGUUGAGAGGAGGAGAGGGAGAAGAUCUAUCUUUUGAUUGGAACAACUCUCAAAGGGGCUCACAAAUGCUCUUGGGAUCUAAGAUUUGGUGUGAGCAAAUGUGUGCGAGGUAGAAAUGUGUUCUGAUGAAGAUAUGGCUGUGUUGGACCCCCUCUCACGAAGUGGGAGGGGGGUAUAUAUAGUGGGGAGACUAAAAUAACCGUUGUGGUCACUUAAGUCUGACAGUGGUCGGACGUCCGACGGUUUCCGGACGUCCGGACGGCCCCGGAUGUCCAAGAGUACGGCUCUGUUCAAGGGCACCGAAUUUCCGAAAGUGGUCGGACGUCCGGCCCUCGGACGACAGGGAGAGGCCGGAAGUCUGAGUUAUUUGACUCUGGAUUUCUCUGGUGCAAGGUUCCGGUUUUCCUAAGUGGUCGGGCGUCCGGUCCUCGGUCGUCCGGAGGGAGCCGGAUGUCCGAGACUUUGGCUCUGGUAUAGGGUUCCGGAUUUCCGAAGUGGUUGGGCGUCCGGUCCUCGGACGUCCGGAGGGGGCCGGAUGUCCGAGGCUUUGGUUCUGUUUUGGGAUCAAAGCAGAGCAGUGGAGAUGUGGCAUGAGCAGAGAAGUAGAGAUGUAGUUUGAGCAAAUUUCUCGCAAUACCCAGUGAUCCCCUCUUAAUAGUGCGGGAUCCCUAAAGACUCAAGAAUCUUAAAAGAAGGGUACCGAUGAUCUAUACUUGCGUGUAUACUUUUAUUCGAUGAUCAUCACUCCGCACCACUAACGUCAAAUGAACUGAUACCUUUGAGUUAGCCCUUUCACUUGAGCUUGGUGUUGUUGUUCCUUCUUGACUCAAGAUGAANNNNNNNNNNNNNNNNNNNNNNNNNNNNNNNNNNNNNNNNNNNNNNNNNNNNNNNNNNNNNNNNNNNNNNNNNNNNNNNNNNNNNNNNNNNNNNNNNNNNNNNNNNNNNNNNNNNNNNNNNNNNNNNNNNNNNNNNNNNNNNNNNNNNNNNNNNNNNNNNNNNNNNNNNNNNNNNNNNNNNNNNNNNNNNNNNNNNNNNNNNNNNNNNNNNNNNNNNNNNNNNNNNNNNNNNNNNNNNNNNNNNNNNNNNNNNNNNNNNNNNNNNNNNNNNNNNNNNNNNNNNNNNNNNNNNNNNNNNNNNNNNNNNNNNNNNNNNNNNNNNNNNNNNNNNNNNNNNNNNNNNNNNNNNNNNNNNNNNNNNNNNNNNNNNNNNNNNNNNNNNNNNNNNNNNNNNNNNNNNNNNNNNNNNNNNNNNAUAUGAUCAUUAACAACAACUUAAAGGGGAUUAGUGAUUAGUUAUCUAUAUGUGUGUUGUCAGCAACACCAAAACACGAUUAAGGACAUGACUGCACUUUCAGGUGAUACUCCAUUCCUUCAGAUCUCUCUUUACAAAUAUGUCAAGUUCGGUCUACGCCAGCCUCUUUUGACCUUAUCAACAUGCUUUAGUCGUCUGUUAUGCACUUGAGCUUUUAGAGGCCUCCGCUAGUAUGACGAAAAAGGCUUUCGUCCCGCUUUGUAGAUAAAGCAUGAUCAACUUACAACUCUAAGAACACAACACACAACAUCACAACAGAACCCACACACCCGAGGCAAGAUACACAGGUACCAGAGAACAACUACAAAACCCCAUCCACCACCACAAAGACAAAAGAUAAACAAGAAGGAAUACUAUGGUGAUGAUGGAGCCCUCAACGAAGCGAAGAUGGGAAGUUGCUGGCCAAUGAACCGAGAGUGCCAAGGCGGUGUCUUCAAAAAUGUUACGGCACCGGAGUGCCGCCACUGUCCAAUCCAAAGAAUCUAGAUUUUCACUCGAAGCACGACGAAGGUCAAGAUGCAGCCACGACGAAUACUUCAAGAAGCUGACGAUGUCCACGGACAUCGCCUCCGACAGUCUGGCCAACGCCAGACAGGGUGUAUACCCCGGCAAGAAUGCUUCACCUUCGACCACAAUGCAUCGAGAACGAUGUCAGCCGCAUCUCCAUCCCGGCCGUCAACCCUAGCCCCCAUGCUGCCCCACGGCCAUGGUAGCUAGCUUGUAUCGGAAUCACGGGUUCUGCCUGAGAACACUCUCAUUCUUAAAAAAUGUAUAUCAAAAAAUACAUACUUUUUUUUUCUGUGAGGUAACCAAAAACAUACUUUCUCUUAACCAAAAAUACAUACCUUGAAGGAUCAAAUGUAUAUCAAAAAAUCUUGAUGGACCAAAAACAUACUUUUUUUUCCUGUGAGAUAAACAAAAACAUACUUUCUCUUAAAAAUAUUGAUGUCUCAUCAAGGGACUCACAAAAAAGAAACUGAUCUCUUUUGCUAAGCGAUUAUCCAAUCGCUUAAACUGUACAUGUUCUAAGAUGCUCUAGGAGAGAGUGUAUAUGAUGCGAGUUGUGUUUGCAGGUCGUAUUAUUAUCUACGGAUGAUAUACUCAUCCGAUGGUCCCUUACCACACCAGCAUCUCUACGCUAUCGAUCUCCACCAACCAAUUUCGGGAUCUGGGAAUUUUUAGGGUUUGUUAGUUGACAUUUUUAGUACCAACUAGCUAUAGAUAUACGUGAAAAAAUGUGCACCGCAUCAUUCGGAUCGCGUUCCUUGGAUUUACUCCGUAGCAACUCCCCCACAGCUCCAACCCCUGGCUGUACCUAACUUGCUAUAUAUACGUGCGCCAGCUCUGCACAGGGACGCUCACACUCCAAUCAGGCACAGCACACAAAACAAGUCUCGUCAUAUCGAGAAACGGAGCUAGCUCGACCAUGGGUGGUGUUCGGCAGCAGCUCAUGGCCGUCGUCCUCGUGGCGGUGACGCUAAUGGCCACGGCGGCGGAGGGGUACAUCACUCAGAAGACGUGGGCAGCCAUCCGCCGGGCGAACCGCGCCGGGCCGUUCGUCGGCCUCGUCGUGCCCAACACCUACGAGAUGGUUCCUGUGCUCGAGUCGCCCAGCUUCGUGGCCAGCAAGAGCAUCCCUAACAUGGACAUCCAAGGUAAAUACUCUACUCAAAUGGUACGUUUUCAGUCUAAUCAGAUCAAGCAUCGUACGUCAUGUGCAAAAAUAAUCUGACAUGAAAUGACACUGUUGGUAAUACGUGAUCGAUGAUGUUUUCUUAAGCUUGAAAUGUCAACGGUUUGUUUGGGUCAAAGAAAUAAACGUAAUAAGAAACAAGCCUAUUCAUAAAUAUCACUGUCGGAGUCAGAAAUUCGGAAAGAAUAUGGUUGAAUUGAGUAACAAGCCUGCUCAUUUAUAAGAACCGGCCGAACUAUGUACUGUGCUGAAUUUGAAUGGUACUCGAAAGCAGUAACCUGACGAGCUGAAACACUGAGACGUUAAGUGUAUGCAUGACCUGAGAACGGACGACUUGCAUGAAAGCACACGGUGAUGGAACGCGGGACCGGAGAUUAUUAAUAUAUGGACGACUUGCAUGAAAGCACAUGGGAUGUGCGUAUUGAUGGAAGCACAUGCAUGAUAGGCACAGAUCUGCGAACUCAGUGAAAUUUUGUACGUACGAUCGAAGUGAAAAAUGAUACUCGUACGUAGAAGUAAAAGUCGGUCGUAACUACACCGUAAAGAUUAACGAAUGCAAUCAGCAUGAACGUCGUUGAUAAUUAAUACUAACAUUAUUGAAUGAUUUUUGCUUGAAGGGCGAAGGUUUCGCUUUGGAACCAUCGAAGGCCAAAGCGUCGUCAUGGUCAUGACAGGACUGAGCAUGGUAAGUUGGUACAUACCAUUAUAUCUGACUGACAAUGUUUAUCACAAAUACAGUCAGAACUUCCUUUUUUUUUUUUGCCGGGAAAAACACAGUCAGAACUUAACAUACUGUUGCACCAUGGUUGCAGCUCAACGCUGGUCUGACCACCCAGAUGCUGCUGAGCCUGUUCCGGGUGAAGGGCAUCGUCCACUGGGGCAUCGCUGGCAACGCCAACGAGGACCUCCAGAUCGGCGACGUCACCAUCCCCGAGUACUGGGCCCACGUCUCCCUCUGGAACUGGCAGGUAGUACAGAUUUAUCAGCGCUAAUAUUUUUGCACGUUUCACGUGUGUCAUGGUCGACCAAGAUUUGAUGUGUGGAUGAUUGAUUCGGGGGCCAGCGAUUCGGCGACGGCAAGGACAACGAGCUACCGCUGGAGGCCGCCGGCGACUACACUCGGGAGUACGGCGCCCUCAACUUCUCGGACUACACCGUGGGACAGAGCAACCCGGCGCUAUCAGCGAACCUCCUCAACAGCAUCUGGUACCAGCCGGAGGAGAUCUUCCCCAAGUCCGGCGAGCCGGAGGUGCGGCAGCACGCGUUCUGGGUGCCCGCUAGCAAGCGGUACUACGCGCUGGCGAAGAAGCUGGAGGGCAUGGAGCUGCCGGCGUGCGUGAACGCCACGACGUGCCUGCCCCGCGCGCCGCGGGUCACCCGAGUCAGCAAGGGCUGCAGCGCCAACGUGUUCCUGGACAACGCCGAGUACCGCCAGUUCCUCCGCAAGCAGUUCGGGUGCACCCCCGUGGAGAUGGAGAGCGCUGCCGUGGCCCUCGUGGCGCACACGCAGGGGGUGCCGUUCCUCACCAUCCGCUCGCUCUCCGACCUCGCCGGGGGAGGCUCCGCGCUCGGGAACGAGGCCAGCACCUUCAUCGACAUCGCCGCCAAGAACGCCGUCCAAGUCAUGCUCAAGUUCGUGCCGCUGCUCGGGAAGAGCGCCGAGGAGAUGGACGACGGCGCGGCCGCGGACAUCUGAUGUGAGCCAGCAGCCACUUGUCCAUGCACGAAUAAUCUGACGCCCGUGCGUCGUGUAUCUCCAUCGUUGUUCCGCUUUCCCAUUUUUCCUUGCGUUGCGCGACUUUGCGAGCCUAGAUCAAAUCACAGUUGAUGAGCCCACGAGUUGCAGAGAUGAAUUAAAUUAACAAAUCAAAUAAUCAAGCGCAAUGCCGUUUAUCCGGACUUCCAACUACUAUGUGGAAUUUAAUUAGACGCACUCAAUUCACUCACGCGAGUAAUGUACGUAUGUGCUUACGAUCUUAGAGUAACUUUUUUUUUUGGUGAAACUUUGCACUAUUACUCAAGUGGAGGUACUACAGUCUGCAUUACAAAGUUCAAUAAUCUCUGAUAAACCAGAGUUGAGCCAACCAAUUGUUCUACACCUCAUUCUAGCAUACUUUGUCAAAAAAUUACUAACAUUAUUUUGACUACGAUGAACAUAACUAAAAGUAGUGCUACGUAGGGAGAUGAUUGAUCUGUCAAUUAAGUCACUCAUGAUCAUGUUCAAAGCCUCCCGUGAGUCCAUCUCUACCUGAAUAGGUAGGUUUGUCAUCUGAAUAGCCAGCGAAAGACCCUUGAUACAUGAACUUAAUUCAGCUUCCAAUGCAUUUCUACAGAAAAAGAGCUCCAUGCAUGAUGUGUAAAUGAUCUGACCUGUACUAUCACGAGGAACCAUACCUGCACCUGCUCGCCCAUCGGCUGUCCAAGAGCCAUCGAUGUUGAGCUUAGCCCAGCCCUCCGUAGGCAAAACCCACUUAAUGUUUGGAGUAGGAGGCGGAACCAAUCGUGAUCUAGAUAACUGACCAUAAGCAACCACUUGCUUCCCCUUCCGCAGUUCCUCCUCUGAAUAAUUUAGUGAUAGUAGUGAAUCCAGGUAUCUCAUCAGAAAACGUUUAGAUGCCUCCAUUGGAGGGGGUUCUUUCUAGUGAGUAACCUCAUUCCGAUUAUGCCACACCCUCCAUAAGCUCAUCACUAGCAUGCCUCUCUCUAACACAGAAAGAGGGUGAAGUGUAUCCAGCAACCAUUCAGUGCCUGAAUUCUUCAAAUCCGCACGCUUGGGCAAACGCCAAACUAAAUCCAUACAAUCCUAGAGCUGCACUACUAGCGGGCACUUGCAUAGAGCAUGGAAGGUAUAUUCAUCUUCCCUCUCGCAGAUUGGGCAUAAUCCAGUCGUUUCUAGGGUGCAUUUGAAUUUGUUCUGCCAAGUUUGAAGGGAAUUCAUGGCAACGCACCAUGCAAAUUUUUUGACCGUAGGAGGCACAAAACUUCCCCAAAUAAGCUUCCAGCACGUGCGGCGACCAUCUGAAGCAGCACUUGAAGAUUCUGUUGUUGUUCUAUAUGUUUCCUCGAAGGCAAAUUCAUAAACUUAUUUCACCGAGAAGACUCCAGAUUUCGCCGGUCCCCAUGCCAGCACAUCCUCCUCUAGCCUAGGAGAUGCUCGGAUUUUCAGAAUCUCCUGAACGUCACAAGACAGAAAUGUUUCUUGGAGCAGAUUGUAAUUCCAUGCACCAUUAUGUUGGAGUAGGUGAGACACAUAUCGAAUUAUGCAAGUACCUUGAGAUGAUAUGGACCUGUAAGAGAAGGAUCUAGGGAUCCAAGGAUCCCUCCAGAUUCUGAUGUUGUUCCCAUUCCCUACUCUCCAUAUAAGCCCUUUCUUGAGAAGAUCUAGGCCAUGGCUGGUUGCAGUCCAAGUUGAAGAGGCAUUUCCUGAGAAGACCGUAUCCUCCAGUUUAUCACUGGGAUAGUAUUUGCUCUUAAGCAAUCUUGCAGACAGGCUAUCAGGCCGAUUCAAUAAUCUUCACGCCUGCCUAGCCAGCAGCGCCUGAUUAAAGAGGCGAUAGUCCCUAAAUCUGGCACCACCUUUGCACUUCGGACGUUGCAACUUUUGCCAAGAUUUCCAGUGAGCUUUGCGAUGCCCCUUGGUCGAUCUCAAAUAAAGUUUCUGACCAUCUCAGUGAGAUCAUCGCAGACCGAAAAGGGCAUCUUGAAAACACCCAUGAUGAAAACUAGUAGUGCCUCUGCAACUGACUUACUGAGAAUUUCCCUGCCGGGUUGGGCUAGAUGCCCACCGCCCCAUUGAACUAGCCUCUCCAUAAGCUAAGCUUGAAGAUUUUGAAACCGACCUUUCGUCAUUCUUCCGUUAGAGGUUGACAGCCCUAAGUACUUCUCUUCAAACCCUGUGGCAGAAAUAUUCAGAACAUCCUGAACGUCCUCCUGUGCAGUGACUGGGCAAGCUUCUCCAAACAUAAUCGACCAUUUCUCAUAAUUAAGAAGUUGACAAGUAGAUUUGCAUAAAGAUCAAGACAAUCCUUAACUUGUUCAGCUUGAGCUCUUGAGGCCUCAAAGAAAAGGAGUGUAUCAUCUGCAAACAAAAGAUGGGAGAUGCCCGGGGCGCGUCGACAAUUCUUUACAGGUAACAGAGAUCCCAUGUACACACGUUGUCGAAGGAGUGCAGAGAGACCAUCAGAAAAAAAACAGAAACAAGAAGGGGGGGAGUGGAUCAUCUUGUCGCGGACCACACGACAGUGCAAAUGAAUCCAAGAGGGUCCCAUUAAAUCUUACCGAAUAUCUCACCGAUGUGACACAAGUCAUAAUCCCCGCCCUUCUUGGGCGCCACCCUUCCCAUAUUUGUGUUGGGGAACGUCGCAGGGGAAACAAAAAUUUUCCUACGCGCACGAAGACCUAUCAUGGUGAUGUCCAUCUACGAGAGGGGAUGAGUGAUCUACGUACCCUUGUAGACCGUACAGCAGAAGCGUUAGAGAACGCGGUUGAUGUAGUGGAACGUCCUCACGUCCCUCGAUCCGCCCCGCGAACAAUCCCGCGAUCAGUCCCACGAUCUAGUACCGAACGGACGGCACCUCCGCGUUCAGCACACGUACAACUCGACGAUGAUCUCGGCCUUCUUGAUCCAGCAAGAGAGACGAAGAGGUAGAAGAGUUCUCCGGCAGCGUGACGGUGCUCCGGAGGUUGGUGAUGACCUUGUCUCAGCAGGGCUCCGCCCGAGCUCCGCAGAAACGCGAUCUAGAGGAAAAACUGUGGAGGUAUGUGGUCGGGCUGCCGUGGAAAAGUCGUCUCAAAUCAGCCCUAAAACCUCCGUAUAUAUAGGUGGGAGGGAGGGGACCUUGCCUUGGAGCUCAAGGAGCCCCAAGGGGGUCGGCCGAGUCCAAGGGGGAGGACUCCCCCCCCCCAAACCGAGUUGGACUAGGUUUGGUGGGAGGGAGUCCCCCUUCCUUCCCACCUCCUCCUUUUUUUUCUCUCUUGAUUUUCUUCUCCUUGGCGCAUAGAGCCUUUUGGGCUGUUCCACCAGCCCACUAAGGGCUGGUGUGCCACCCUCAAGGCCUAUGGGCUUCCCCGGGGUGGGUUGCCCCCCCCCGGUGAACUCCCGGAACCCAUUCGUCAUUCCCGGUAACUCCGAAAACCUUCCGGUAAUCAAAUGAGGUCAUCCUAUAUAUCAAUCUUCGUUUCCGGACCAUUUCGGAAACCCUCGUGACGUCCGUGAUCUCAUCCGGGACUCCGAACAACAUUCGGUAACCAACCAUAUAACUCUAAUACGCAUAAAACAACGUCGAACCUUAAGUGUGCAGACCCUGCGGGUUCGAGAACUAUGUAGACAUGACCCGAGAGACUCCUCGNNNNNNNNNNNNNNNNNNNNNNNNNNNNNNNNNNNNNNNNNNNNNNNNNNNNNNNNNNNNNNNNNNNNNNNNNNNNNNNNNNNNNNNNNNNNNNNNNNNNNNNNNNNNNNNNNNNNNNNNNNNNAUUUCAAUCUCGUUUACUGGCAAGUCUCUUUACUCGUUCCGUAAUACAAGAUCCCGCAACUUACACUAAGUUACAUUGCUUGCAAGGCUUGUGUGUGAUGUUGUAUUAACGAGUGGGCCCCGAGAUACCUCUCCGUUCACACGGAGUGACAAAUCCCAGUCUUGAUCCAUACUAACUCAACUAACAUCUUCAGAGAUACCUGUAGAGCAUCUUUAUAGUCACCCAGUUACGUUGCGACGUUUGAUACACACAAAGCAUUCCUCCGGUGUCUGUGAGUUAUAUGAUCUCAUGGUCAUAGGAAUAAAUACUUGACACGCAGAAAACAGUAGCAAAAAAAUGACACGAUCAACAUGCUACGUCUAUUAGUUUGGGUCUAGUCCAUCACGUGAUUCUCCUAAUGACGUGAUCCAGUUAUCAAUCAACAACACCUUGUUCAUAAUCAGAAGACACUAACUAUCUUUGAUCAACUGGCUAGUCAACUAGAGGCUUGCUAGGGACGGUGUUUUGUCUAUGUAUCCACACAUGUAAAUGAGUCUUCAUUCAAUACAAUUAUAACAUGGAUAAUAAACGAUUAUCUUGAUAUAGGAAUUAUAAUAAUAACUAUAUUUAUUAUUGCCUCUAGGGCAUAAUUCCAACAAUUCGGGCCUCCGAUGGCUUGCUUUGCCCUGCCCGUGGACGACCUUGCCUCGACAAUGGAGGCGAGCCGGUCGCAAUUUGAACCCGUGGCGGCAAAUUCUUGCGUGUGGUGGCUUCUUCUGUCCUGCGGCGACGGAUUCCGAUGAGUUUUGGGUUCAGUUCGGCAAGUUUCCCAGCGGCGUGUCUGCUCCGACGAGGUUUGACCGGUUUACGGGUUAAACUGUAUACUACCUUCAAAACCGUACAUACAAGGUUUUCGCGGAUGGAUUCAUAGUGCCCUUUAGAAAAGUUUAAGGGCUAAUAAGUUUUAUGGGGUCUGCUAGGCACCGUUAAACUAUGAACACCUUGUUUUUUUACGGAUUUGACCACUUUAAAGGGUGUUCUAGAGUUUCUCAAAAACCACAACAAAAUAUGAAACAGAAGGAGUAACAAUUUUGAUUGAAAAAAUGAAUGGGGUGCAAGUUAAAAAUGAUAGAACGACAAAUACUAUAAACUAGUUAACAAGUAACGGUGAUGCACACAUUCCCGGGCGGGGCCUAGUUGCUAUGUCCACCAUGCCACUAAGGCCACCAUGGUCAGCGGGAUAGGGAGGGAAAUAUGAUGCAAAAACCAAUGUUCGGUGAAAACCAUGAGAAAAAUGUUUUGAAGUUUUGAGAAAAAUAUGAAAAUAAAUACAGACGCUAAGAGGAUGGUGUUUUAUUGCUACACAAAAUUUCAAGUUGAGACACAUUACGAGAUAUGGGCUAUGAAAUUUUUUUAACAUUGAAUAGUGCCGAAUAGUAAUGUCAUUAUUCACGGUUGAAUUUGUCUUUUUGAUAGCUCACAUCUCAUAAUGUGUUUCAGUUUGAAAUUUUGUGUCGCAAUAAAACAUCACAUUCCUAACAUUCAAUGUUAUUUUUUAGUUUUUUUUUACGAAACUUUAAUAUAUGGUUUCUACAAAGUUUUCAUUGAAUAUUGGUUUUCGUGUGAUAUUGCCCAAGUAAAAAAGCGGCAAUACAGGCCCCACGGGACUGAAUAUUCAACCCAUUGAUGAGGAAGUACAUGGUGGAUUAAAACGAGAUGGUUGGUGUUUUAUGUGUCGUUGACCCCUCUUAGUGAUUUAUUCGGAGCGCGUACCACUUCAGAGCUAGCUCAUGAUGCCACUAUGGUGAACGUUGCAUGGUAAACAAAAAAAUUCUACGUACACGAAGACUUAUCAUGGUGAUGUCCAUCGACGAGUGGAGAUUAGAUCUACGUACCCUUGUAGAUCGCACAACGGGAAGCGUUAAGAAACACGGUUGAUGUAGUGGAACGUCUUCACGUUCCUUAAACCGUCCCAUGAACCGUCUCGCGAUCCUUCCCACAAUCCUUUCCGAUCUAGCGCCAAACGGACGGCACCUCCGCGUUCAGCACACGUACAGCUCGACGAUGAUCUCGGCCUUCUUGAUCCAGCAAGCAAGACGGAGAAGUAGAUGAGUACUUCGGCAGCGUGACGGUGCUCCGGUGGUGGUGAUAAUCUAUUCCUGCAGGGUUCCACCCGAGCUCCGCAGAAAUCCGAUCUAGAGGUAAAACUAUGUGGUAUAGGCUAGAGUUGCAUUGGCAAAGUUGUGUCUCAAAAAACCCUAAACCACCACUAUAUAUAGGAGGGAGGGGGAGGGGCUAGCCUUGAGGGACAAGGCCCUCAAGGUGCGCCAGCCGCCAGGAGGAGGAGGACUCCUCCUCCAAUUCGGUUUGGGAAGGAGGAGUCCUCCUCUUCCUUCCCACCUCCCUCUUUCCUUUUCCUUUUCUUUUGGUAUUUUCUUUAUAUGGCGCCAUGGCCCUCUUGGGCUGACUCCACCAGCCCACUAAGGACUUGUGGUGCCACCCUAGGGCCUUGGGCUCACUCCCGGGUGGGUGGGCCCCUCCCGGUGAACACGCGAAACCCAUUCGACACUCCCGGUACACUCCCGGAAUUGCCGAAACUUUCCGGUGAUCAAAUGAAACCAUCCUAUACAUCAAUCUUCGUUUCCGGACCAUUCUGGAAACCCUCGUGACGUCUGUGAUCUCAUCCGGGACUCCGAACAACAUUCGGUAACCACACAUAUAAGUCAACUAUACUAAAACAUCAUCGAACCUUAAGUGUGCAGACCCUGCGGGUUCGAGAACUAUGUAGACAUGACCCGAGGCACUCCUCGGUCAAUAUCCAAUAGCGGGACCUAGAUGCCCAUAUUGAUCCUACAUAUUCUCCGAAGAUCUUAUCGGUUGAACCUCAGUGUCAAGGAUUCAUAUAAUCCCGUAUGUCAUUCCCUUUGUCCUUCGAUAUGUUACUUGCCCGAGAUCUCAUCGUCGGUAUCCGCAUACCUAUUUCAAUCUCGUUAUCGGCAAGUCUCUUUACUCGUUUCGUAAUACAAGAUCCCGUGACUUACACUUAGUCACAUUGCUUACAAGGCUUGUGUGUGAUGUAUUAUUGAGUGGGCCCUGAGAUACCUCUCCGUCACACGGAGUGACAAAUCCCAGUCUUGAUCCAUACUAACUCAACGGACACCUUCGGAGAUACCUAUAGAGCACCUUUAUAGUCACCCAGUUACGUUGCGACGUUUGAUGCACACAAGGUAUUCCUCCGGUGCCAGUGAGUUAUAUGAUCUCAUGGUCAUAGGAACAAAUACUUGACACGCAGAAAACAAUAGCAAUAAAAUGACACGAUCAAUAUGCUACGUUCAUAGUUUGGGCCUAGUCCAUUACAUGGUUCUCCUAAUGAUGUGAUCCAGUUAUCAAGUGACAACACUUGCAUAUAGUCAGAAAACCUUGACUAUCAUUGAUCAACUGGCUAGCCAACUAGAGGCUUGCUAGGGACAUUGUUUUGUCUAUGUAUCCACACAUGUAUCUAUGUUUUCAUUCAAUACAAUUAUAGCAUGGAUAAUAAACGAUUAUCUUUAAAGAGGAAAUAUAAUAAUAACUAUUUAUCAUUGCCUCUAGGGCAUAUUUCCAACAAGUACAUGGUGGAUUAAAACAAGAUGGUUGGUGUUUUACGUGUCCUUGAACCCUCUUAGUGAUUUAUUCGAAGUGCGUACCACUUCAGAGCUAGCUCGUGGGUUGGGCUGGCUUGCUGGGUCGGCCAGGCUGCCUCGCCGGUUGGGUGUUUUUCUGUUGCUCUUUUAUUUUUUAUUUUCUGUUUGUUUCCUUUUGAAAUUGAGUUUUAUUUAAAAACCGAACUUGCACCAAACUCUUGUAGAAAAUUUCACAUAUGCUCAACUUAAUAUUUAUGACUUAGCAAGAAGAAUUUCCUGCCAAAAUAAAACUUAAUAACCUUGUUUUGAAUAUGUUAAUUACCUCCUUAUUAUAUGUGAAUUGAUUCAAAAAUUUAAUUCAGUUCAAUCAUCUCAGGAAUAUUUACAAAGAUAUAGAUUAUUAUUUAGAACUUGCAAAAUACUUUUUAACACAGAUUCAAUUUUUGAAUUGUCACCCUAUUUUGCAAAAAAAUAUAUUCCAUAAAUACUUGUAGGUUCCAAUUUAAAUCCCAAUUUCAAUUUAGAGUUUUAAAUAAUAUCUGAGAUAUAUGGAAUUUUUUUUCCAAGCCAAAUUACUUGAUGGAAGUCACACACACACAUUUUGUAACCCAAUUUUGGUUUUAUAAAUAAUCCCUAAAUGACAACUUAGAGUCCUAAAUAAUUCCAAAAUUUUAUUUUUAGCCAUAAUUGAACUCAAAUCAAUCGACUCCUAAUGAAAAGUAGUUGAAAUAAAAGCAAUUCCAAGAACAUUUGAAUUUUUUAAUUGACUAUAAUUUUUAUUUCAUAUUCCAAAUUUGGGAGGGAAAUUGGGAUUUGGCAAUGAACCAUUUGUUUCUCCAUCACUCAGUUUUGAAACAAAUUCCUACAUCAUGAUAUUAUGAACUUUAAAUAAUAUUUUUUCUCGACAAAGGUCCGAUCAACUUGUUCUUAGCCCAUUACACUAUAGCUAGCCCAUAAGGAGGGGGCAGGUGGAGCUGUAAGCAAACAAGUUUCUAGACCCACUAAAAAAGGCGAAAAUGAGAGCAAAGAAACGGUAGGCUCCAUAUUCAAACUCAGAGAAGGCUGGAUCUAUAAAAACGUUAAGAAAACACCAAAUGAAUUUGAGAAUUCAUAACAUUCUACCAGGUGUAAUUGUUUUGUACUCCCUCCGUUCCUAAAUAUAAGUCUUUGUAGAGAUUUCACUAGUGGACUACAUACAGAUGUAUAUAGACAUACUUUAGAUUAUAGAUUCCAUCAUUUUGCUCCAUAUGUAGACCCUUAGUAAAAUCGUUUAAAAGACUUAUAUUUAAGAACGGAGGGAGUAUAAGUCUAUUUUUUAAGUAAAUAUUGUUAUUUAUUUUAAUCAUGUGAUUAGAGACGCGCUUGCAUGGCUAUAAGUUUCACUUGUGCUCACUAUCAUGUCGCCGUGACUUUUGCUUAUUUCUGACAUUUUGUGUGCACAUAUCAAAAUGGUGUUUUUGCGAUCCGACGAAUAUCCUAAACCUGAUGCAGUGCAAGUGGAAGUAUACUAUGGUUGGUGACUUCGUUGUCUCAUUGUUUUCUCCAUUUGCUCCAAUUGGCGAGUCCUUCUCUUCGAAGGUUUUUGGUGAAUGGUGACAAUGACUGAAAGCCACCCAAAUGAAAGAUUUGUCGCAGCGAUUGUUACAAAUAUCCCACGUUUUUUUAAGUAAGGAGAUGAUCCGACCUGCUGUCAAAAAGAAGAGAUGAUGAUUUGACUUUCUUGGUACCGUCAAAGGUUUAGCAACUACAAAACGGUCCUUUUGGCCGGACGAACGGCCCGUCUCUCUGACUCUCUCCACGCGUCACGCCGUCGCGCGCUACCUGCCGAGCGCUGCCGGCCGGGAACCGGGGUCCGACCCAGUCCUCCUCCCGCCAUAAUUUAAAUCCCACAGGACUCCAAAUCCCCAUCCUACCCCUCCUCCUCCAACCAAGAGCGCGUGCCCUUUUCGGCCAUUUCGUCCUCUCCGUCGUGUGCUUCCGAGUCCAAGGUUAUCGAAACAAAACCAUCCCCAUCACCGAGUGUCCUGCUCAGCGCAGGCGGCACGGCACGCGAGAGAAGGCAGACAUGGCAGGGCCUACGCCGACGUACUCCGCCGUUGUGGCGCACGCCUCGGCGUUCCUCGCGGAGCUCAUCGCCGACCCGCUCCUCCGGCGCCACCUCCUCUCGGCCGCAGCCGCCGCGGACGGCGGCGGGGGGCAGCACACGGCCGCGACGCUCCAGGCGCUGUCCCUCAUAUCGGACGCGCUGGACACGGUCCCGUCUGCCUCGCCGUCGCCGUCGUCGCUCCGCGCCGCAGAGCGACUGCUGCUGUCCCUCCCCGCGGCCACCCCGCUCUCCUGCCUCCUCUCUGCGCUCGCGUCGGCCGCCCGACGGCGCGGCGGGGCGCCGUCCGCCGCUUCCGCCGUGCUCGACCUCUUCGUCCUCGAUCCCGCGCUCGCGCGCCACGAGCUCGCGCCCGCGGCAUUCGAGGCGCUCUUCGCGCCGCGCCUCCUCCCCGUGAUGCGGCACUUCGCCACGCGCCGCGCGUCGGCCGCCGCCGCCGUGGCAUCCGCGGCGCAGGGCGACGAGGACAGAUCCGUGGAGACAGUCGCACUGUCGGCGAUGAGGGUGCUGUCGCUGAUGAGCGGCGCCCAGGCGCAUGAGAUGAGGGGCCUGGAGCGCGAGUACGAGAUGGUGCUGGACGUGAACUGCAAGGCCUACGCGCUCUACCUAAAGAAGAUCCUCAAAGCCGGCGAGGCGCCAAGGAUGUCGCCGCCGCCGCCUCCUCCAGAACUUGUAUUCACAGUAGGACAGCACGAAGACGAGUACGAGAACACGGGCUACGAGGAAGCCUCGACGGACGCCGACGACGGGGCCGUCAGUUCGCAGAAUGGAGUACGGAAUAAUGUAAGUCUACAUAGACACUCCAUUCUUUCGCAUCCAUUUCAGCGUGCUCAACGGAGUAGUCCAGACUCCAGAUUCACAGCAGGUUGCCGGUGAUUUCUGUAGCCAAUGUGGGCGGAGGCGGAGGGCGACCUGUACCUGCGGCAGGGCAGCGUCAAGGGCCGGAGGGAAAUGAUGAGGCCGCCGAGCCUGUAUCCGCAGCGCGUGGCUCCGCACCUCAUAGUGCAGCAGCAGAAGAAGCAGCCGCCACAGGUCGGGAGAGGAAGCCCGGCGUCCAGACUCCGGGCCGGCUACUCGCCUCCCACGGCUUCCGACGACAGCACGGAGGAUUCUUCAUCCGAGCUCUACACCGGAAAACAGGUGUGUGCUUUAUGUGCUGCAUGCCUGUAGCUGAACCUUGACGCGAACUCAAACUUAAACAAGUUCUUUGAAGCCGAAAUUAGAGAGGUGUUUAAUUAUCGGCUGAAACUAGAGAAGUUCAUUGGUGCUCAGCUCAAGUCAUUUCUUAUGAAUCGCAGCCCCGAAGAAGAUUAACAGUACACAUCCAGUUCAUGAUUAGUUAGCAUAUGCACUGGUUUCAACAUGGAUGCCGGCCUACUGCAAGUAAAAAAAUAUGAACUUUGAAUUAGGCAACUUAGACUCGUUUGUCAGUUUACGAUAAUCCCAUUUUAAUAACUAGACCUGGUCUUAUUUACUCUGAAAAGCUGACAUUUUUUUGUCUACAUUCUUACUUACCUUCUCACAAGUCAUAACACAUUAGAAACCAAGUUCAUCACUAUUUGUUAAUCCUUAUGUAAACUAAUACAAAAGUAUUUAGAUCUAAACGCUUUUAUAUUAGUUUACAUAGGGAGUAUUUCACAACCUGAAACUAAACCAUCAGGGCGUUUGGAUAAAUGGUCUGGAUUCGACAGAUUUGUAAAACUAGUGUUUCGUAAUUGGCACCCUGAAAUCAAUAAAUUCUAACUCCCCCAUUUCGUAAAUAGAAGAUGUGGGUUUUAGAUAUUGGUAUCUGUACGGAUUUUCAACUAGAAAUUUACUAAAUUCAUACUUCCUCCGUCUCAAAAUAACNNNNNNNNNNNNNNNNNNNNNNNNNNNNNNNNNNNNNNNNNNNNNNNNNNNNNNNNNNNNNNNNNNNNNNNNNNNNNNNNNNNNNNNNNNNNNNNNNNNNNNNNNNNNNNNNNNNNNNNNNNNNNNNNNNNNNNNNNNNNNNNNNNNNNNNNNNNNNNNNNNNNNNNNNNNNNNNNNNNNNNNNNNNNNNNNNNNNNNNNNNNNNNNNNNNNNNNNNNNNNNNNNNNNNNNNNNNNNNNNNNNNNNNNNNNNNNNNNNNNNNNNNNNNNNNNNNNNNNNNNNNNNNNNNNNNNNNNNNNNNNNNNNNNNNNNNNNNNNNNNNNGUUAUUUUGAGACGGAGGGAGUAUAAUUUAGAUAUUUAUCAAGGACUUCACCAGGGAGCGGCGCCGCACAUUAGUCUCCCCGUGCGGCGGCUCCCUUCCAUCCAUUCCUUGCAUGCAUGCAUGCAACAUUAUACGAACAUGACAUCAUUAAUCUUCUUUCUAUUUUGUAUUUAAAAAAAUUAUCUUUCAAACUGUUAUCAUUAAUUAAUGAUCCGUUGUCAUCACUGAAUUUUUUGCGACGAGAUCUUCAAAACUAGAUCCCAUGUCGAUAUGUUCUGAUAACUUUUAUUUUAAUCGGUACUUACCAGAUUACUAUCACUUACUUGUCGCAUUAUUUGUCACAUAGUUCCCACAUUAAAUCAACUUGGUUAUCAGGCUUAUGAAUAUCUAUAUACCCCACUAAAAAACUUGAUUCAUUGUACUUGUGUUGGUUCAUGCAUUUACUUGUUUAUUGAUAAUGCUUUAAUACCCACUUUUUAGCUUCACAUAACAUUGCAAUGCUUAAAAAGUAUAAAAUUAUUGUACCGAUAACUAUGUAUAAUUUUUGUGACAAUUAUACAUCUGUAAGAUGACAACUGUGAUGGCAUAAAUGUGACAGCUAGGAAUGAUGAAAAAAAAUCAACGAAAUAUGCCAACAUGAGAUCUUAUUUUGAACGUCUCGUCGAGACGAAUCUAACAGUGAAGACGAAUCUCCAAUCAAAUUAUUAAUCUGUGAGAUAAAUCAUUUCUAAAAUUCAAAAAAGCAUUUGAUACGAUGAUGUAAGCAUGAUGUAAAAGAUUCUUGCAUGUGGACGAGGCUAUUCUAGCCGUUGCAUGGGAGAGCUGUGGUGUGACGCCUCUCUUUAGAUUUUCCCAUUUAUCAAUCAAAAUGAUUAUUUAUGUAGAACAAGUCAAUGUUAGAAUAGUUUGAUACCAUGCUUUCUACGAAUUCAUCGAAUGGAGGUAAUUCUAGAAAAGGAGUUAUGAUGCAUAUGUUCCUGAUGAGUUGUGAUAACCCCAUUCGCAAGUAAUAACAAUGGAUAACCCGGUUUUAAUUUAAUUGGUUUUACACGUUAAAAGAUAUAUAACAUGCAUGAAAAAAAUCUUGCCAUAAGUGUUGUGAUUUUGUUUUGUAAAUUUCAGUAGUAAGUUAGUUUGUAGUUUGAUUCGUUGAAUAUUGUGGUAAUGACAUUUUGGGAAAAAUGUACAUCAGCCUAUAAAUAAAUUUAGAAUGACCCAGUUCAACAGCACAACUAAGUACUCCCUCCGUUUUUACUUGCUCCGCACAUUAGCUUUGACUGAAGUUCAACUUUAUGAAGUUUGACCAAGUUUGUAGGAAACAUUAUGAAUGUUUACAUUAAUACAUUUAUAUGAUGUAAAAAUAUAUGCAGUGAUGAAUCCAUUGUUAUUGAUUUGAUUUUUUGUACAUUAAUAUAAUUUUCUACAAACUUGAUGUAAGUAUUUAAGGUUUUACUUUAUAGAAACCUAAUAUGCAGAGUAAAUAAACGGAGGGAGCAUAUGAGAAGUUAAAGCUUCACACACACAAAACAACUAGGAUGAAUAUCUAGAUGACAAAGCAUAUAAUAUAAUGGCUGAUUUGCUAUAUUCCUAAGUAGUUUGAGAAAUAUACAACUGUCCUCUUGUACUUUUCAAACUGAAACGACAAAGAAGUAACUAAUUAUUUUUUACAAAUAAUGAACCAAAAGUCACAGUCGUCAACUUAGAAAAAGGUAUUCAUUCAUGGAUUCCGAAAUAUUCCAUCCGUGCUUAAAUGUAAGCCACAAUUUAUACAUUUAGAUAGAUACAGAUGUAGCAACACUUAUAAUGGGCAGUGGUAUGAAGGACGAGGAUUUGUGGCUCUGGGGUGCUAUCCCCCUAUAUGUAUAUAUAUAUAGAGAGAGUAAUAUACUCACUAAAUACAAACGGCAUAUACUAUGUAUGGUGGGCCGGAAAGUAAACAAAGUUUCUCAAUGGCCCUGUUUGGAUACUCUAACUUGGUUAGAGGUUAGAGUUAGAUUCUAACUCUAGACUAACCCUAAACUAACUCUAACCAAAGAGGUGUUUGGAUGGAAGAGUUAGAUAGCCAAUAAAUGCACUUAUUUCAAUCAUUUGGCUUCUUUAUCUAUGAUUUUGUAUGGUGGAGGAAGAGAGAAAAGUAAUUUUUUUGGACCCCACCUAACUCUAACCCAAAAAAGCACCUCUUGGAUGGGUUAGAUGCAUCUAACCAGCUCUAACCCACGUGUUUAGAUUUUUGAGGGUUAGAUGAGUUUAAUUUAACUGACUCUAACUCUAACCCUAGGAUGCAAACAGCACCAAUACUACUAACCAAUGCAGACUUGUGGGUCUAGGUUUAAUUAAUGAAUGUACUAUUAGGACAUGCAAGACAGGGACAUUUAAUUCAUGUGUGUGCUAGUGAGAUGAAAGACAACAGAUAGUUACUACCAUAAACACUGUAUUGAAGCUCAGCUGGCACGGUCCAAUAAUUAUAAACAAAAGUGUUUGCAUGUGGUGUAAUUAGUGUUAAUACAUCUUUUUUGGACCAUAAAAAUAGACAGCUACAUACUGGUUCGUGGAAUAAGCCAGUAUAAAAGAAUGACUAAUUACAUUGUUUUUUAAGAGAAUAAGUGCUUGAAUUAGUAUAAUAUUACAAUUCAAAACUUCACACAAAAAUAUAAAAUCGUGAAAGAUAUUUUAUGAAUAACAAAACUGCAUGCAUCCUUAAAAAUCAUGCAUGCAUGUGGUUGCUAGUAAUCAAUAAUUUAAGUGAGUCAUGCAUGCUUUUACUCUUGUGUGGGUCCGGUCACCUAAGAAAGCACAUGCAUGCCGACAUAUACCAAAUGUUGAGCAGCCUCUCACGUAUGCAUGGGCCCAUGUGUGCAGAAAAGUAGAAUCAUAUACGAGACAUAUGAUUCAAUGUAAUUAUCUGAUAUAAAAGUUUAUACAAAGCAUUUAUGUCAUAUGUUUUAAAUCCCGAAUGAAAGUGCGUGGUGGAGAUGUAGGGGGUGCAGCACCUAGGAUGCACUAUGCAAUUCCCGUGGUAUGAACGGCUACCAUACUACAAUCCCGGAAAUUAUUGCAAUGGGAAGUUUCGGAUAUACAACCACGACUAGUUAUUUUAUGUGACUGAGAUGUAUAAAAUUUAGGAUAACUUGUGAACAAAUAAUCACUUGGAAACAUCCAACCAUCCUCAUCUUCUUAGGCCAUCUACUACGGGGGCGCUAACACUAGGCGACAAAAUUGUUUUCCUGCUCACUACGAUGCGAUUCCCCGUCAAAAACAUGAUAUUGCCUAGCAUUGAAGCAAACUAAGUCACUGGGCGCCUCAUCCUUUUUCUUUGCACAAAUCAAAGUUAAUUGGUCAUGAGGACUAAGGCUGGAAUUUUAACUCGAAAGCCAUGAGCUAAAUGAGUAGCCCGUGACUCAGCUCGACUCGACUCGAACUCGUUGACUAAUGAUUGAGUUGAUUUUUAAUCUGAGCUUGUUAACAAAAAAAAGUUUAACAUGUCGAGCUAACGAGUUACUCGUUUAGCUCAUUAAGCUCGUUAAUCAGAAGGGACGUGAGAUAAGUAUCAAUAUUUUUGUAGAUUAUUUUCAUUUAUGGAGUGUACAAAGUGUGUCUUUUGUGUAAACUAUUGAUUGUUUGAUUUGUGUAGAAGGUUCUAUGUUUAUAAGUAUAUUCUUGUAGAUUAAUUGCAUACAUAAUAUGUAUAUCUUGUUAUUCACGUCUAUAACAAGCUUAACGAGUUAAAUAAGCUAGCUCGUGAAUUAGACGAGUUGAGGUGAGUUUAAAUCUAAGCUUGUUAUGUUAACGAGUCGAGCCGAGUUAACUCGUUGUCUUAAUGAGCUCUAACGAGUCAAGCUAAGCUAACUCGUUAUCUUAACAAACUUUAACGAAUCGAGCCGAGCUGGCUUAACUCGACUUGAAUUCCACCCCUAAUGAGGAAUUAUCCUGCUUUUUAAUUUUGGAAACAAAAUAAUUUCAGACCUCACCUAAAUAUACAAAAGUUCAAAAAAUUACAUAUUUCCUGAAAUAUUUUGAUUUUGAGUUUCCAAAAUUCACCUAAUUUCAAUGAAUUUUAACAUAAUUUUAAAUUUAUUUUGAAAUCAGUUUGAAUUUGCAUCUUAAUUUCAGGGAAAAAAAUAUUUCAGACCCCAAUGAAAUAUGCAAAAUUUCAAAAAUUUGUGUGAAAUUUCGUUGAGAUUUUUAAACCUUAUCCUGGAUGCCAAAGAAAUUAAUUCCCAAAGAAUAUCAAUGGAGGCUUCUUCAACUAACUCGCUGGUUUUCCGGUUUCUUUGGCUGCUAGGUCGGCUUGGUGUUGAGGAGGACAAAUUUGCGAUUCAAGUUUUUAUUUUUAUUUUUGACAAUUUUUAUGUAAGUUGACAGGAUUUGCAAUUUGAGUUUUUUUGUUUAUUAUAGAGAACGACUCUAUGGUGAAUUUUCAAUUUGUUUUUUUUAUCUCUAGCGUCUAAACAAAUGGCUAAGCAUUGGAGAUGACCUUAGUCACCCAAUUUCACUAGAGUUGUCCAUUUUCAAAUAUGUUUUUGAUAAAAACACGUCUAAAUGUACCCGGCAUUGAUUUGAAGCGGAGAUUCGUGUUGGUAUGUUCCUUUUUAUUUUCCUUUUCAUUUUGAUUAUGUCAUUUAGAUGUGUAAUACUUAGGGUGGCCUAAAUAGAAAUAAUUAUGAAAUUGAGUUCUUAGCUUCUUUAGAAAAAGCUCAGUAAAAGAAGACAUGUAAACUUCCCGGGAAAAAAAAUACUCCCUCCGUUUCUAAAUAUAAGUUUUUUAAGCGAUUUCACUAAGGGUCUACAUACGGAGCAAAAUGAUUGAAUCUAUACUCUAAAGUAUGUCUAUAUACAUCCGUAUGUAGCCCUAUUUAGGAACGGAGCGAGUACUACACAACCCUCGUUUGCUUCUCCGGCUGAUCUGCUGAUGAGCCAUCUCUCCAAAGCUGAGUUCCCAAUGUUGUUGCCUUGUCUCUUAGGAAAAGCAAGCGGCGUCCCCACUGUCCAAGCCACGCGGCGACGACGGCGCCAGCCGGGCCCGCCUCUCUCCGGAGCACUCAAGGUAACCAUGUCACCCGCUUCCGGAUACAGCAUUUCCCGCAACCUAGAUUGCACCGAUGCCAUCGAUGGAGACACGCGCUGAUGGAUUUGAAUACAUACAGGUCCUCGAUGGCCGGCGACGCCGAGCUGUCGCGGCUUCAGCAGCAGGCGGCGACGACGCCCAAGGACUUCGUGUGCCCGAUCACGAGCCAGGUGUUCGACGACCCCGUCACGCUCGAGACCGGCCAAACGUACGAGCGCCGCGCCAUACAGGAGUGGCUUGACCGCGGCAACGCGACGUGCCCCAUCACGCGCCAGCACCUGCACGGCGGCAGCCUCCCCAAGACCAACUACGUCCUCAAGCGCCUCAUCGCCGGCUGGCGCGAGCAGAGCCC
rnacentral:lncRNA from 1 species